rnacentral:lncRNA from 1 species
AAAACUAACCCCAGGAUAUUGCUUAGCUCUUUUUUAUACAGUGACUGCAGUUGGUUGAAGUCUAACUUUGCAAGCUUCAGUAAAGCUUUACUAUGUGACGCUUCAUCCUGGUAGAUAGACAUGAAAGGCCUUGCCUCUAGCCUCUCCAAGCCUUUCCUCAAGGGCCUGUAUAGGGCAUGAGUUACUUGUGCUGCAAGAGGGUAUUCUAAAUGUUCUACCAUAGACUUGAGGUGAGUGGUGGUGAAAGCAAGUGCUUCAUCUAGUAUGUCUUCUUCCCACACCCUGAGAUGUGCAGCUUCAUACAAGCCUAGUAGGCCAUAUGCAUCAUUGAUCAAAGACUCCUUGAACCUUCCCUUUUCAUCUGUGUACCUGUUGAAUAUAUCUGUAAUCAUCACCAAAACAUAGAAUGUUAUAUGUGAGCUUUGCUAGAUGAUAUUCAAGCACCUUAUAAUACAUGAUAUUCCUGAGGCUUACCACAUGAAAUAUUGAAGCCUUGUUGUCUUAGUAGUCGAAAUCGAAGCACAACAUCAUAGAGAUCAUCAUUUAUGUCAUCAAUGCAAUGAUAGUUAUCAUAGGUAUUUUGUAAUGCUUCUUCUAUCUCCUUUUCAAAGUGGUAUGCCACCCCAAGCCGUUGAACUGCAUCGAUAAACUUCAGCUGUUUUGAAGGGUUACUAGCUGAAGCCAUCAGCUCUCUUCUAACUUCCUCCUUUAGAUCUUCCAACUGCUGCUCUUUAUGGGCCAGAGUUAUCUGUAUCAAUAAAUUGCAAGAACAAAAAGUGAGAAAAUCUUUAGGUCUUGUUAUGAAAACUACAUACAUGAUCAGAAAAUCACCUCAUCCUCAGGAGUGUGGCUCACGAUGAAGGUAUUGCCCCAAAUGCUAGGCUGAUAAUUUGCAGUUCGGCGAUUAGUCUCUGGAUUAGCAACUGGGGCUGGAGAAGACCUGUUGCUGGUAGCGAGAAUUAAGGCCAUGUGUAACUCACUCGAGCACUCAAUAUAUGAAUCAGAUGGCUUGCAACCUUAGGUAUUUGUAGGAUGGAAAAUGGUUCAUUACAAUGAUUGAAUAUCAAUCCGAGAUUCCCAGUAGCAUGGAUACAAUUAAUUCAAGAUCACCUAUCAUAUUUAAACCAAGUUUAUUAAAAAUUAAAUAUUUAAAAUAUGUUUUCUGUUCUCUUAGAAAUACGAAAAGUGUAUCUUAUUCCCUUAAUAAUUCUCAACAUUCGACCAGCCGCCAAACAUUGAUUAAGACUUUUUCACGGGAAGAUAAAACUUACGAUUGAUCUUUUAUUGUCCAAUAAUAUCCUAAUAAUAGAAGAAUUUUGAUAUGACUAGGAAACUAAGUUCUUUUAUAUAAAAACCAAAAAUUAUUUUAAAAAAUUAAUUAAACAAUUAUUAUGUCUUCAAAAAUACUAAUGGCAUUUGUUCCCGGAGAAAUUUCUUUUGAUGACAAAUAUCUAAUUUCUCCCAAUAAGGAAAAAGAAAUGGUGGGAGAAGUUUAAGGACUUAUUGGUUUAAGUGUCCCCAUCAUAGUUUUGAAACAUGGAGACUGAUUUCUUUUUAUGAGGCUACUUUCAAUUUGAGUACAUUUCUGGGAAAUUUUUAAGAACAAAGAAUCUGAGAAAGCAUUUGAGCUUUUGGAAAUGGUGGCUAAGAAUUAAAGGUCAUGGGACAUGCCAGCACCAUAGCUGAGCGCUGGCCAACUACCACAUCGAAGGCAUUCAUUGGCAACACUGUCAUUCAGUGGGUCAAUGGUUGUAUGUUGUUGAAAAUUAAGCAAGUGAAACUUGGUUUAAUUUGGGGCCCAUGGUAAGAAACAUUUGUGGUUAGAAGAGACUGAAGACAAGAAAAACACUGGUCUUCAAUAGUCUCUGGCUAAGUUCCCUCAAAAAAUCCGGACAAGUCAUUAUUAUUAGGUAUGCCUCGAAUCAAAUUAUUGUCCUAGCUGUCGAAAAUUCAACUCCUAACAAUUUUAGUUGAUAAAAUUAUAAGUAUAAAGUUAUAAUUUCUCAGUUUUAAAUUGCUUUGUUUAAAAUAAUAAUAGUAAUAAUGAUUUUGAUCUAUAUUUGCAAAAAAGCAAAUAUAAUCUCCAAUUUUAUCAAUUAUACCUAUUGAAUAGGUAUUUUUUCAAUUCAUGUCAUGUUUCUAAUUGUAAAAUACCUUUCUCUAAACUCAAUAGCUAUUUUUUGAAUAAAUAAUAUUAUAUGAAGAGCUUGAUUUUAUUAUUUAUUUAUUGUUUUUUGAAUUUUGAGUUGAUUGGCUAGCUGGUGAGUUUGUGAUGUUAUCAUUGUCUAGCUAGUAGGAUUCAAUUGCACAAUGCUCAUCAUAUUUACUAAAAAAACAAAUUUAAUGAAUUUAUUUUGAGUUUUCUUAUAUAGUAUUGAAUUCAUGAGAACAAGAGAGAGAAAAAAAAAAGCAUAUCCUUACGAGAAAAUGAGCUUUGAAAUGAUAAAGGAUCCCGUAAAAAAGAAGGUAUUUAAAGAAGAAAAAAAAUGCCGAUGUUAUUGAAAAGAUAGGAUAGUUACAAAAGUUGAAUGAAUGAAUGAAUAUUAUUAAAAAAUAAUUAUUUGAAAAAUAAAUAUAAUAAUACCAUGUUUAUAUCUAUUAUCUUAUUUUUAUAUUAAAUUUGUCUAUUCAAAAGAUCAAUUCACUUUUUCAUAUUAAAUUUAUUUAAAAAAAAUAAAUAAAUAUUAGGUUGUUUGAAUCACUUGCUACCUAGAGGAAAAUCGAUACAAAGAUAUGUUUUGACUUCCGGUAGAAGAUAUUUGAAAUCCUAAUUUAUGGUAGAAUUAUUCUCAAUAGAACAAAUUUUUUAAAAUUACUCUACCAUGCAAAAAGUCAUUCAAUGGUUGUAUAUUGUUUGAAAAGCAAUUUGGAUCCGUUUGGGGGCUAAUAAUGGUAAGAAUGGAAGUGAUAAAAAUUAAAUUUGUAACAAACUUAAAAUAUAAAAUUAUAAAUAAAGGGUUACAAUUUCUCACUUUUUUUCUAAGUAAUAUAUGAUAUUUCCCAAGAAAAUAAAAAUACCCUUUUUCCAUUCUCAAUAGCUCUUUCUCAAUAAAUAAUAUAUGAAGCAUUUGAUUUUAUUUAUUUAUUUAUUGAAUUUUGAGGUGAUUGACUGGCUAGCUUGCAGAUAAGUUUUUUUAUGCGGUCAUUGAUCAAUAUCUAGGCCAAUAGAUAAGUUUUUUAUGUGAUCAUCAAUCAAUGUCUAAGCCAAUAGAUAAGGUUUUUUUUUUUAAUUUAUUUAUGUGGUCAUUAAUCAAUAUCUAGCUAGAAGGUUUCAUUUUCCACUAUGCAGCAUCAUACUCACAAAAGGGAAAAGGAAAAAAAAAAUGAUUUUUAACAUUCAUUUGAAAAAAAGUACAAAAUCGAAAUCCAAGUUUAUAAAAUACAAAUUUCAAGUAAUUAUUUAAAAAUAAUUAAUAUGUCAUACACUUUUUGAUUAAAAGUAGUCUUUGAUUAUUUAGAUACUACAUUUUUAUGAUAUAUGUAUUAUUUAAUUAGGUACUUAUUUUUUAUGAUAUAUGUAUAAUAUUUCAUCAUCUUAGAUAAUAUAUUUGAUUAUUAAGUAUAUAAAAUUUGAAUUAUUUUUAGAGAGUUAAUAUUUUAUAAUUAUUUUUACAUAAGUACAUGCAAGCUCACUAUUUCCAAAAAAAAGAAGUCGAUUUAAUGAAUUUGUUUAGUAUAAAGGGUUACAAUUUCUCACUUUUUUUCUAAGUAAUAUAUGACAUUUCCCAAGAAAAUAAAAAUACCAUUUUUCCAUUCUCAAUAGCUCUUUCUCAAUAAAUAAUAUAUUGAAUUUUGAGGUGAUUGACUGGCUAGCUUGCAAAUAAGUUUUUUUAUGCGGUCAUUAAUCAAUAUCUAGGCCAAUAGAUAAGUUUUUUUAUGUGAUCAUUAAUCAAUGUCUAAGCCAAUAGAUAAGGUUUUUUUUUAAUUUAUUUAUGUGGUCAUUAAUCAAUAUCUAGCUAGAAGGUUUCAUUUUCCACUAUGCAGCAUCGUAGUUACAAAAGGAAAAAGGAAAAAAAAUAUAUGAUUUUUAACAUUCAUUUGAAAAAAAGCACAAAAUCGAAAUCCAAGUUUAUAAAAUACAAAUUUUAAGUAAUUAUUUAAAAAUAAUUAGUAUGUCAUACACUUUUUGAUUAAAAGUAGUCUUUGAUUAUUUAGAUACUACAUUUUUAUGAUAUAUGUAUUAUUUAAUUAGGUACUUAUUUUUUAUGAUAUAUGUAUAAUAUUUCAUCAUCUUAGAUAAUAUCUUUGAUUGUUAAGUAUAUAAAAUUUGAAUUAUUUUUAGAGAGUUAAUAUUUUAUAAUUAUUUUUACAUAAGUGCAUGCAAGCUCACUAUUUCCAAAAAAAAAAGAAGUCGAUUUAAUGAAUUUGUUUAGUAGAAAGGGUUACAAUUUCUCACUUUUUUUCUAAGUAGCAUAUGAUAUUUCCCAAGAAAAUAAAAAUACCCUUUUUCCAUUCUCAAUAGCUCUUUCUCAAUAAAUAAUAUAUUGAAUUUUGAGGUGAUUGACUGGCUAGCUUGCAAAUAAGUUUUUUUAUGCGGUCAUUAAUCAAUAUCUAGGCCAAUAGAUAAGUUUUUUUAUGUGAUCAUUAAUCAAUGUCUAAGCCAAUAGAUAAGGUUUUUUUUUAAUUUAUUUAUGUGGUCAUUAAUCAAUAUCUAGCUAGAAGGUUUCAUUUUCCACUAUGCAGCAUCAUACCGACAAAAGGGAAAAGGAAAAAAAAAAUGAUUUUUAACAUUCAUUUGAAAAAAAGUACAAAAUCGAAAUCCAAGUUUAUAAAAUACAAAUUUCAAGUAAUUAUUUAAAAAUAAUUAGUAUAUCAUACACUUUUUGAUUAAAAGUAAUCUUUGAUUAUUUAGAUACUACAUCUUUAUGAUAUAUAUAUUAUUUAAUUAGAUACUUAUUUUUAUGAUAUAUGUAUAAUAUUUGAUCAUCUUAGAUAAUAUCUUUGAUUGUUAAGUAUAUAAAAUUUGAAUUAUUUUUAGAAAGUUAGUAUUUUAUAAUUAUUUUUACAUAAGUACAUGCAAGCUCACUAUUUUCAAAACAAAGAAGUCGAUUUAAUGAAUUUGUUUUGAAUUUGUUUAGUAUCGAAUUAUACUGAGAAAUAACAAAAAAGGGAAAAAAAAAAAAGUGACAAAUAUGGUCAUAAAAGGCAGUGCAAUAAUAACCCUUUUAGGCAUCGGAGGGAGCAACCCGGAAGCUACUCCGGGUAGUCCUUGUUUGUUUUGUAGGUCCCGAGGGCUCGCUGGAAGACAGAAGUUUCCAAGUUACCAACACCAAUACGAGAAAAUGGGCUUUGAAAUGACAAUGGGUUAUCAAUAUCAAUCCUUAAGUAUUUAACAGAAAGACCCUGCUGGCGUGAUUGAGCUUCUCAGCUUCCUUGCCAAUGCAAUUCACAUGUAUGAAGAGACACAUGUCAAGUCGAACUUUCCCACAUACGAAUUUUUUAAAAUUUGGACAACUUUUCUACAAAAUUUGUCUAAUUCCUAUAAGUUAAAGCCUAUCAAUACCAAAUUGUAUUUAAUUUUUUUAAUCUUAUCUAAACUUCAAAGUGCUACCAUGAGAUUGCAAUAGUGUAGUAGUUCCAAGUAAAACAAAUUUCUGCAAUUUCUUUACAUUGAAAAGAAAAAAAAAUGUUAUUAUGAAAAUGUGAGAAUAUGUGAACUACUCUUUACAUCAUAUUUUUGUGAAAUUUUAUGAGUUAGGUAGGUGGCCAUGUUAUGUUUAAUUUCAAAAUUAUUUGAGUCAAAGUUAUGUAUGAGGGUGAAAAGGGUUAAGCCGUUAUUUUAAUAUAUGAUUUGAUGCCUAAAUAAUAUGAUUACUGAUCUUCUUUCAUCAAUAUAUUUUAUAAAAUUGCUAAAUAACUUUUAAGCUUUCUAUGGUACACCUGGAUUGAGUUAAGGAAUCAAAAAGGGGGAUUACAGAUAUAAUGUAAUGACCUACUUUGAACCAUGUAAAUAUUGUCCAUCUAUACUUAAAGAGUUCUCAUAACUUUAAAACAUGUCUAUAAGAUUAAGAUGAUCUCAUACAAAUAUAAUAUCAGAAUAUUUUUAUUCUCUCUGAUUUGAGAUGUCGCACAAAAUAACCAAUUAUGUGUCAAUUUUUUAUUUAAUUAAACAUAUUUUAGCUUAUAGCCACAGAACUUGAUAUAAAGGGCAACAAUUAAGAUGUUCCUCUAUCUUAAUAAUAGAGGAGCAUUCAAGGAAGUGUGAUGCAAGAUGGCUAUCAGUCUAAUAACCAGCCAUUUAGGACAUAUAAGAGACUAUUUUUUCAAUCACCAAGUGUGAGUCCCCUUUCAUAGAUUGUCUUCCGUUACAAUGCUCAGCUAGCAAACUUAAAACAAUUCAUUUUGUUGUCAUACUUUAUAGGGUUUAUGAUCAUUAGAUUGAACUUGAGGAGGUUUUCUCCACUUUCUGAGAGCCUAAUGUUAACUUGGAGAAUUUAAAGAAGAGAUUAUUUUCUUUUUCUUUAAAAGAAAUGGGUAAAGAAUGGGUAUAUAGCUUGACAACAAGGAGCACUGACUCUUAGGAGAAAUUACUUUUGAUGACAAAUAUAUCUAAUUUCUCCUAAUAAGGAAAAAAAAAUGGUGGGAGAGGUUUAAGGACUUAUUGGUUAAGUGUCCCCAUCAUAGUUUUGAAACAUGGAGAUUGAUUUCUUCUUUUUAUGAGGCUACUUUCAACUACCACAUCGAAGGCAUUCAAUGGCAACACUGUCAUUCAAUGGGUUAGUGGUUGUAUGUUGUUGAAAAUUAAGCAUGUGAAACUUGGUUUAAUUUGGGGCCCAUGGUAAGAAACAUUUGUGGCUAGAAGAGACUGAAGACAAGAAAAAUACUGGUCUUCAAUAGUCUUUGGCUAAGUUCCCUAAAAAAAUCCGAACAAGUCAUUAUUAUUAGGUAUGCCUCAAAUCAAAUUAUUGUUCUAGCUGUUGAAGUCGCGACCCACCGGGAUAUCUGUGUCUCCUUGACGUUGGUGCUCAAUCAACUGAGAAUGAUGCUUCCUUCCUUGUUACUGUAAAAGAUGUCUGGAUAGGUUGUCCAAACACACUCUCCAAAGCUCUUGUUAGUUUGACAAUUCUCUUUGAUCUUUCCUUUUGGGAGUCAAUCUGAAGUUUGUCUUACCUCCUCUCUUCAUUGAGUUCCCUCAAGGGUUUUAUAUUGUCUGGAGUUUUUGUUGUCACAUCUAAGCUAGUGGGGUCCAUUUACUUCCACAGUCAUCAUGGCUACUCAUAGGGUGGCAACGCAAUCAUUACUCUUUUGGGUGAUGGAUGGUGAUUGCUAAUGGGGCGAUCGAGCGGCGCAUCUGUCACUUCAUUCCGCAGACGGCACAGUGCAAAAUGUGUCAAGUGGCCUGAAAAGACAUGAAGAUGUCCCAGCUAGCACGCCUUUAAUGGAAGGCGAAUGAUGGAAUGUGGAGUAUGGUUAGAGACGUUGUUUGAAGCAUGUCCUGUGGCUUCAUAAAAGCAUGGGCAUCUGGCCAUUGAUCAUUGGAUCCGGAUAGAAUGGAUCCAACAUGUAUGUUACUGGCCAAUGGAUCCUGUCCGGAUAAAGGCGAAGGUUGCCAUAUGUCUACAGAAGGUUUGCUAGUGAGGGUAAGGCAGGCCGCCAUGUGUCAGCUCAGGAGGAGGGUCCUACAAUACCUUUUUUUAACCCGUUUGAUCUGUCUGAUCAGAAAAUGUGUGUUAAAAUGAUUCAUUCAAAAAAUUUUUGGGGAUUGUGCGACAUGUGGCGCCUGAGCGGGAUAUUUAUGAUGAGACACCGACCUUGAAAUUACCACCAGGCGGCAUGUCGUUUCAAAAGUAGUGCAGUUGGGUGCCUUAUCGUUUGGGGUUCUUAGGGAUUCUAUCCUAUAAAUAAGAAUCCAAUCCCCAUUGACGGUACUUUUUCUUCAUUUCGCCUUUUGCUUCUCCCUAAAUCAUUCCGACCAUCCAGAAACAGCAGUUUUGGCAUUCAAUUGGCAACGCCUUCCCCAAAGAUUCCUUAACUUGUUAACUCAGGCGAUUGUAGCUCGGUUCAUCCCCAUCUUGUAAGCAUUCACCAGGUUCGCUUCUUCUUUCUCUUCCACGUCUUCUACUUCUUAUUUUCCAUUGAUUGAGAUGUUUGUCUAUGGUUGGGGGUUUGUGGCGACGCUUAAGAGAUUCGGUGAGUCAGGGGAUGACUUUUCUAGAUUUUGCAGAGAAGGGCAUAGGGUGAUUCUGGGGUAAUAUAUCCCGCCAAGGUCGCGUCCUAAUGGGCCUUAUUAGGGUAUAUUUUAGUUUUCGCGUUUUGAGGCUCUACCAAGUCUACUAGAUGUGCGUUUUCCUUUGGUGUGCUUGUAAGUCGUAGAGGGUCAAUCCCUUGCUAGGGUUAGGAACUGGCCAAUGGAACUGGAGUUCCUGAUUUGGGAUGUCGCUAAGUCGGGCGUAUUACCCAAUAAGAUUUCUUGGGGGUGUUGUUCUUGAGGCAGUAGGGUCGGGUGACUACUUCUUAACUGUCGGCAUUGUGCCAUGCACGUUUGACUCGGCCCGACGCUUCAAGAUGCUUGCAAAGAGGGGUACUACCUCGUCCAACGCAGCUGGGCAAAGUGGGAAAAGUGGCUGGACAGCCCCGAGUUCUGUACUCCCUUAUCUGGAGAAGCCCACUAAGCUUCUCAAUGAGCGGGAGUUUCGCGACCACUUCUGUUUUACGAAUCGUAUCUCCAUUCAACUGGUAGAGGGGGAUCCAAUGCAUAUGGAAAAAACCGGACACAACGCUAUGUACUCCACCAAGGAGCAAUUCAACGCGGAGCUUCGCUUUCCCCAUCUGUCCCUUUUCAAGCAAUUCCUUCACUACACCCAAAUCCCCCCAACCUUUAUUGAUCCCAAUAUUGUUCGGGUGCUGAUGGGGUGCAGUAUCCUGAAUAUGCUCUUCCACCUAGACCUUUCCCUAUUGGAGGUCCUUUUCAUCUGUACCAUCAAGAAGGGCAAGAAGGACAUCUUCAACAUGCUUGCCCAUAUCCCAUCCUUCAAGCUAGUGAUAGGCCUCCCUAAUUCGAACAAAGGGGAAGCCAAGGGGCAUGCGCUAGUCAGGGGAGCAUGGGCAGGUUUGAUAGAGCACCUACAAAGGGACUUUUAUCCUAACCAUUUGUUGAAGAUUCCGGGUAGGGAUGACUCUGAACACCUCCUCCCUGUUAAUAUUUUAGCACUGGGUUAGUUCCACUAGGUUGCUAACACUCUUCGUUUUGGUUGGUGUAGGUACAAAUAAGAUGUGUCAUUUGGUUGAGUGGGUAGAGAAAGCUUCGUUCGUCCGUUUGAACAAGCUGUUCAAGAUCACUACAAGCGAAAUGAAUUAUCAGACGCUCAUUUCUGCCCGGAAUCUUCUAGCGGUUGUCCGGGAAACUCGACCAUACGUCCUUAAUAUCCUCCCUAGACAGUUGCCUAAGGUUGUGGUGCCCAGGGAGCAUUUUGUUUUGUGAGACCUCCCCCUUUACGAAGAGGCAUGCAAGGCGGACGCAAAGGCUCAUCAAGAGCAUCUCGAGCAACGAGAAGAGAGAAGGCAAGAGGGGACCCUACGGAGGGCGCCUGGUGAGAAGGGUCGCGUGCAAUCAUCUACGGCUCGUCCUUUAGCAGAAAAGAAAAAGAAGAUGACCCUUGUAAAAGUGACCAAAGCCCCCCACUCCGGCUCUUACCUCUCCAUCUACUUCUUCUCCUUCUGCGUCGGACAACUCUGCCCACGCCUCUGAAGGUGUCUUUAGCUCCUUGAGGCUUGAUCCUAGCAAUCCAGGAACCUGCCCUUCCGAGCUUGAGCCAGAGCCUAUAGCACUUGGAGUAAUAAAUGAGCCAGAAGAAGAAGAAGUAGACAUGUCAGCUGACUUGAGAGCUGGCUUCAAAGAGAGGCAUCACAAACACCUCUAUGAAGCCAUUGACAUGGUUCCUCCUCCUACUAAGAAGGCUUGUCCAGAAAAAGUUCGGGAGGAAACCGAGAGAGAGGCUCCUACAACACCAGUGCCCCAACUGGAUGUUAUGGGGCCAAGCAGUGUGCCCGCUGCUGAGGAAGAGGUUGGCCCGGCCCCAGGGGCCCUCUGAUGGCACUGCUCCUGAUGAAGAAGUCUUGGAUUAGAAGGACUCUCUUGCACCCGCUUCUCUUCAUAGUUGGGAUGAAAUGAUGGAGAUGUUAAAGCAUAUCCCAUGCUUUACAGAUGCUGAGUCGCCCUCUACUAAGAUGUCCGACUUCUUCCCUCUCACCAAGCGGAUAUUUGUGAACCUUGGUGGUGACCCCCCUUCCUUUGUCUCAGCCAAACUUUCCUUCAGCACGCUUAAGUCCACAAUCGCCCAUAUUUAGCAACUUCAGGAUUGUACUAUGUCGAAAAUUGCAUAAGUGGUACUUUCUCAUACUUUGCUUCCUUUUCCGGAUUGAUGCACACUCCACUUAAUUAAUGCUAAUUUUGUUUCUGUUGCAGUUGGUGGCUAGUAUCCGCAACAUGGUGCGACAGCGCACCCUCCUUUUUGUGCGACUAAAGGUUGUUAAAGCCAUGCAGUCUUUCAUUUCCUACCGCCUGGGUGGCAGCGAGGAUUUCGCUCAAGGCUGGAGCGAUCAGAGACCGAUCUCGCUGCUACUCAGAAAGCUGCUACGGAAGGAGUCGAGGCUUUGAAAAAGGCUGGGGAAAAGAAGGAGGUGUUCCAGGUUGAGGCAAACAAGCUGAAGAAUGAGGGAGAGGUCGCGAAGGCCAAGCUUAAGAAGGCGGAGCAGGAGACUUCUCAUCGAAGAAGGAUACAGAAUAGCUUCGAGAUAGGCUCGCGACUAAAAAAAAAAGACAUAGAGGAAUUACAAGCAGGUUUCGUCGCUCAGAAAAUGGAACUAGAAGCCAGAUUUGUGCUCAAAAGAAGGAACUGGAAGUGAAGUACCAAAAGCAGGUGGACAAAAUGUAUUUCUUCGGCUAUCGCUGUUGUAUGAAGGAAAAUGGUAUCAUGCAUGAUAUUCCCUCUCUUUCUUCUAAUGACGAGGAUGAGAUACUCGCGCGGUCCUCCUCAAUGAGAUAGUGCCCUCUUUAUGUAAUUUUUCUUCUUGAUGUAAUUUUUGUCGUGAAGUGGUUCGACUGAGUAUUUGUAAAGACAAUUUUUAAUAUGUUUAAGCUAUGAAUAUAACGUUGCUUUACUUUUCCUUUUUGCUUUCAUUGAUAAUAUUGCUUUAAGUGAACUACAUUCCAUGGGUGGAGUAAAGGGGUUUCGUCUAGUUUCUGCAGAUGGUAGGCUCCAUUCUCACUUGCCUUUGACACAAUGUAAGGACCUUCCCAAUUUUCUCAGAGUUUCCAGCUCAUUUUUCAGCCGUGUUUUCAAAGACUUUCCUGAGGACAAGUGUCUCAACUUUGAAGGUGCGGGGUCGUACCUUUCGGUUGUAGUAUGCAACUACCCUUUGCUGAUAAGCAAUCAUUUGGAUAGAUGGGACUAGUGCUUUGCAAGUUCCAUAUCUUCAUUUAUCUACCCCUGUACGGUGGUCCGGGCCGUGGGCAUGCCUACUUCUGUGGGGAUGACUACGUCCAUUUCGUAUGCAAGAGCGAAAAGGGUGCUUCCUGUUAGUCGCCCAGGUGUUGUCCGAUAGGCCCACAAGACGUCGGGCAAUUCUUCCACCCAUCUUCCCUUGGCUUGUUCCAGCCUUUUCUUCAAUGCGGAUAGCAGAGUUUUGUUGGUUGCUUCUGUUUGUCUGUUGCUUUGGGGGUACCGAGGUGUGGAGUAUAAAUUCUUGAUUUUAAGCUCCGAACUGAUAGUUCUGAAGGCAACACUGUCAAACUGAUGGUCGUUGUCAGCUAUGAUCAUUUGGGGGAUUCCAAAUCGGCACACGAUGUUCUUUCAAACGAACUUUGUGACGUCUUUAUUCUUGAUGUUAGCAUAAGCUUCGGCCUUUACCCAUUUGUUGAAGUAAUCAGUGGCAACAAGUAGGAAUUUCUUUUGUGCAGCUGCAGUAGGUAAGGGUCCCACAAUAUCCAUCCCCCACUGUACGAACGGCUAGGGGCUUAUUACCGAGUUGAGUGUUUCAAAGGGCAUAUGCGGUAUAGGCUCAUACCUUUGGCACUUGUCACACUUCUUGACAUACGCUUCUGCAUCUUGCUUCAUAGUUGGUCAAUAAUAUCCUUGUGAGUGUGCGUGAUGCACUAGAUAUCAGCCUUCCGAGUAGUUGCCACAAACACCUUUGUGCAGUUUUGUCAGCACAUAUUGGGCUUCCGACUGGUCUAAGCACCUGAGGUAUGGGUCUCCGAAAGACCGUCUAUAGAGGUAAUCUCUAAUCAAAGUGAAAUGAGCAACUUGCACCCGGGUCUUAUGUGCAUGCUUGGAGUCUUCAGGCAGAGCACUUGUCCGGAGAUAUGUUUUUAUGGAGUUUGUCCAUUCCUAGUUUUCCUUGAUAGUGCGGCAGACGGGCGACUCUAUGAUGGAUGGAGCGGUAUGGAUACAUAUUGGCAACAAUAUAGAUUCACUUAUGGGAAGUGAGGCGGCUAUGCCUGCUAAGGCGUCGGCUUGCAUGUUACCUGCUUGGGGAAUCUUCUUGACAGUCCACUCGUCCAACUGCUGAUUACUACUCACAAAGUACUAUUUCAUAACUUGUAAUUAACUCUUUUAAACACUUUUGAGUAGUAGUUAUCACCUUUUAACCCAAUUAACAUAUUAAGGACCCUUGCAAUCGAUUCUAAUCAAAUUGUGUUAAGUUUUGGUGUUUUGAUAGCUUAUUGAUCACCAAAACAAUCUGAGAUUAAGAAAAGUUCUUUGGAAUCCUUAAGCAAAUCCAGAAUACAAGGAGUAUGGGAUCCUGCACAUUCCAUCCGACUGCCGCGCCAUUCCAUCCGGCUACCGCCACUUUACACCCGGAUGUAUCACAUCCGGAAAUCUGCUACUGUCAUCAUUCCAUCCGGAUGUCUUACAUCCAGAAUUCAAGAGCCGGAUGGGAGAGGAGGGCGUUUCAACUUCUCCGGACAAACAUAUCAGGAUCCGCCGAUAGCAUUCACCCGGAGGAUUUCGCAGCAAUUUUGCACAGUGCCGCAGUGUUCUCCUGAAGCUUCCCGAUAUGUGCGACCGACAUCUUUAGAUAUUUUUCUUUAGAUAUUUAUCUUUAAAUAUUUGAUGUCUAAAUCCCCAAACUCUCCUUAUAACCCACCAAUUAUAGGAUUCCUUAGUUAUUAAGUUUGGAAAAAUGAUGAAUAACCUUGUAGAUAUUAUUAUUGUAAUUUUCAUAUAAAUAUUUCUCGGAAGCCUGUUCUCGAGACGACGCAACUUUUGUAUAAUUUUCAAAGGAAGAAAAAUACAGAGCUUUGCUCUGCUUUUACCUUCUCAUUUUGAUUGUAUUUUCUUACUAGCCAAACAAGCUCUGAGGAUGUUUCCUCAGAGAAUGAGUGGCUAGAAUUUUAGUUCCUUGGAGUUAAGGUUGCCGGGAAAGGUUCCAAGUGCAAGAAUUAGUAGCUUUGUGGUUUCAACCAUUAAUGAAGAGAAAGUGUGACCAGUUAAUGGUUUUAUCUUUUUAGUUAACUUAAAACGCCUUUAAAUCACCUAGGCCAACACUUGAUAAGGCAAGUGAUCUCCAUCCAUAGAGAUGCACUAGUUUAUCUUUUGCGAGCCUUUGGGAGGUGGUUUGAAGGUAGGGUUUUCUAGAAUAGCCAACACUUGGUAAGCUUUUGGACUCCACGGAGACAUCCAUUAUUUAUCUCUUGCAAGCUUUUGAUUACUACUCAAAAAGAGCAUAUUUUAGAUAAUAAUUCUCACGAGUUUCACAUCUUUUGAGUAGUAAUUAUGCCUAAAACACUCAAUUAGCAUGUUGUUGCCCUUGCAAGAGUUAUUAAGAAGUUUUAUGAAGUUUUGGAGUCAUUUCAAGGUAUAAUUUUGAUAAAUUGGUGACAAAAGAGAUUAAUCAAAUUGAAGAAAACAAAUAAAGUUGAUGAUGAUCCAAAUGCAUAAUGAAAGAAGCAAUGCAAUCAGUUUGGAUUGGGAUUUGGAGCUUAAUUGAAGGUGAUGGAAAUGGAUUAAACAUGAAGAAAUGAGAGAAAUUACAAAGAGGAGUCGGAAAAGCAUAUUUCUCGAUUUCGCAUGACCAUGCGAAAUGAAACAGCAUGGCUAUUGGCUGCAGCACAUAAGGGAAUUCUGAAAAGCAAUUUCUUUCGCACAGUCAUGCGAAAAGCUCCAGAAGAACUAAAAUGAAGCUGAUGGACUCUCCACUUUGCACCAUCAUGCGAGAUUGCUAGGGGCUCAUGCGAAAAUGCAUUUUCUCCAGAUUCCUUGAUGAAGAAGCAUCUGGAAGACCUCUAAAAUGUUGCCAAGUGUCCUUUUAACCUUAGCCUAUAAAUAGAAACGAGAUUUGACUCAUUUAAGAACUUUUGAUACAUUUUCUAAUCGUAGAACUUUUCAUACUUCUUCUCUCUAUAUAAUUCUCUACUUUCCUUCAGUUUCUCUUAUUUUCUCGGUAGCUAAACAUGUCUUGUGAGAUCAAAUCUCCAAGCAUGAGUGGCUAAAUCUCAUUUUUCUCGGAGGAGGGAGGAUCUAGAGGCAAGAUCUAUGGUGAAUUAGAGAAUUGAGCUUGAAUUGCAAAGGUAAUUUGAUCUAAUUGAUUGAUUAAUUGAAAUUUGGGGAUUUUUCUUUUCAAAUUGUCUUGGAUGAUUACUACAAUGCAAGCUAGGUAGAUUCAUCAAAUUCUUAAUGCUAGAUUUGAUAAGAUUGAAUAGUUGCAUUGUGUGAAUCAUCGGAAGAUAAUUUAAGAUGAAUUGAAUAUAUGAUUCAAAUUGAUCUCUUGGAUUAGAUUACCUGAUUUGAAGAGCAAUUAGAUCUAGAUCUAAAGCUAAAUCAAAAAUUAGUUUAGAUGAAAAUUUAGGUUUUCAAUCUAACUUGAUGAAAAUUAGAUCUCAACACCUAUUCACCAUGGAAAUUGCUCUCUAGAAAAUCCUAACUCCGAGAAUCUCACCUCUUAUUAAUUUUCUUCUCUUUUACACUUCAUUUUCCUCUCAAUUUGAAUACAUUGCUAUUUUGGAAUUUUAUCAUGCAUUUUCAAAUCAAUUUCAUUUUAUCACAAUCAUUUCUUAUCAUCUCAUUCAAGCCUUAAUUACCAAGAAUAAUCCAUCCUUGUGGACGAUACCUAACAACCACUAUACUACAGUAGUUUGUACUAAAACCACUUUUUGAUCGGGUACAAAUUGCUAUAGAAUAGUGAGUUAGGUUAUAAAUUUUGUUUUGAUCCAAUAAACGACAAAAUCUAAGCGGUAAUCCAAGGUUAAAGAUCACCUUGAAUGGCAAGUGCUAGGUGAGAGGUAUGAGCCAUUGCAAGGUGCAUCAAUGAGAGAGAAUUAUUAUUUGAAUCCAUUAAGGGGAAGCAACUGUACAAAACCAGUUAGAAAAUUGACUAUAUGUUAAUUCUCUAAUGCGAGGAAAUGAACCAAAUGACUGGAGCUCUGUUUUUGCAUAAGAAACCUCCCUUGUGAACUUAAACCUCCAAGGAAUGUUUUUUUUUAUAAGUAAUUUCCAUUACUUCCUUUGCCGUUAGUUUAAACCUAAACAUUUUUCAAUCAAAGUUUGUGUUUUAUUUCUCAAGCUAACCUUGAAAUGAAAAGACACCAAUUCAUCUUUGAAUUGGUAUCAUUUAUGAAUUGAAAACCCUUCCCAAUGAACGAUCCUAGAGCCACUAUGCUAUAAUAGCUUUGUCUUUGCUACCCUAGUCAUGGUGUAAUAGGUUAUAAAUUUUGUUGAUUUCUCCCUCAAUCAAGGAGCGCCAGCUGGACAUGAACCAGCUGAUACACCAAUUGGGCACAAAUCAAAUGGCGCCUUUGUCGGGGAAGGUGCCAACUUCAUAGUGAUAUUAUUUCAGAGUACUUGUGAUUUUCAUCACAAGUUUGGUAACUUUUCUUUCAUUUUACUAAUUCUUAUUUUUUUAUUUAUUGUAUCUUUACUUGUUCAUAAUCUAAUAUAUCUUUUAAAUCCAAUUUAGUUCAUUUUAGUUUGGUAGCCCUGCUUUCUUUUGUUUUCUUUUAUUUUUAUUUUAGUUAUAGUUGAUACUAGUUGUGUAUGCCAAAGUGGAUACAAGAUAGUGGAGGAAGGCUUGUCAAACGUGAUAUACCUCAUAACAAGGAAUUGGAAUUGAGCUUAAAUAUCAUGGAAGCUACACCUGAAGAUCAGCAUAGUCACCAUGGUCAUCAGGACAAUCCCAAUGAAUUCAUAUCAAUGAGGGACCGCAUGCAUCCACCUCGUAUGAGUGCACCAUGAUGUAUAGUGCCCCCUACAGAGCAGCUAGUGAUCAGACCCCAUAUUGUGCCACUUCUACCAACUUUCCAUGGAAUGGAAAGUGAGAAUCCCUACGCACAUAUCAAGGAAUUUGAAGAUGUUUGUAAUACAUUCCGAGAGGGAGGAGCUUCUAUCGACCUGAUGAGGCUUAAACUAUUUCCUUUUACUUCAAAGGAUAAGGGCCAAGAUUUGGCUUAAUUCUUUAAGGCUAAGGAGUAUCCGUACUUGGACUGAUUUACAAGUUGAAUUCCUCAAGAAAUUUUUUUCCCACUCACAGAACAAAUGGCUUGAAAAGGCAAAUUUCAAACUUCUCAGCUAAAGAGAAUGAGAAAUUCUAUGAGUGUUGGGAAAGAUACAUGGAAGCUAUUAAUGAUUGUCCUCACCAUGGCUUUGAUACAUGGCUAUUGGUGAGUUAUUUCUAUGAUGGGAUGUCUUCCUCAAUGAAGCAACUCCUCGAGACAAUGUGUGGAGGAGAUUUCAUGAGCAAGAAUCCUGAGGAAGCUAUGGAUUUCUUGAGUUAUGUAGCUGAAGUCUCAAGGGAAUGGGAUGAACCGCACAGAGGAGAAGUGGGAAAGUUGAAGUCUCAACCGAGUGCUUUCAAUGCUAAGGCUGGGAUGUAUACCUUGAAUGAAGAUGACGAUAUGAAAGCAAAGUUUGCAGCUAUGACAAGAAGAUUGGAGGAGCUAGAACUGAAAAAGAUGCAUGAAGUGCAAGCUGUUGCUGAAACACCAGUGCAAGUAAAGCUGUGUCCUAUUUGUCAAUCUUAUGAACACUUGAUGGAGGAGUGCCCUACACUUCUAGCUGUAAAGGAAAUGUUUGGAGAUCAAGCAAAUGUCAUUGGACAAUUCAAGCCCAAUAACAAUGCACCAUAUGGAAAUACUUACAACUCAAGUUGGAGGAAUCAUCUAAAUUUCUCAUGGAAGGCAAGAGCACCUCAGUACCAACAGCCGGCUCAACCAUCUCAACAAUCUUCAAGUCUUGAACAAGCAAUAGUGAAUCUCAGCAAGGAUGUGAGAGAUUUUUUUGGAGACCAAAAAGCAUUCAAUGCUCAAUUGGAAGACUUUGUUGGAGCCCAAAAAGCCAUCAAUGCUCAACUCAGUCAAAGGAUUGACAGUAUAGAGAGUACUUUGAAUAAAAGGAUGGAUGGAAUGCAAAAUGAUCUAUCUCAAAAGAUAGAUAAUCUCCAAUACUCAAUCUCAAGGCUCACUAACUUGAACACAGUGCAAGAGAAGGGUAGAUUUCAUUUUCAACCUCACCAAAACCCCAAGGGUAUCCACGAAGUGGAAACUCAUGAGGGAGAAUCUUCACAGGUGAGAGAUGUUAAAGCCUUGAUCACUCUGAGGAGUGGUAAAAAGGUUGAGUCACCAACACUCAAGCCAUAUGUUGAAGAGAAGAAAGACGAAGAAACAAAGAAGAGGGAGGAAAUGAAAGGAAAGAAGAAAGAUGUCAGUGAAAUGAAAGAGGACCAUGAUUCAAUAGUGAAUACAAAUCCGGAGAAAGAGCUUCUUAAGGAAGAAAUGCUAAAGAAAUCAACUUCUCCACCUUUUUCUCAAACGUUGCAUGGGAAAAAGGGGAUAAAAAAUGCAUCAGAAAUCCUUGAAGUAUUGAGACAAGUGAAAGUCAAUAUCCCAUUGCUGGACAUGAUUAAGCAAGUUCCAACAUAUGCAAAGUUCCUAAAGGACUUGUGUACUAUCAAAAGAGGGUUGAAUGUGAAUAAGAAAGCCUUCUUGACUGAGCAAGUAAGCGCAAUCAUACAAUGCAAGUCUCCUUUGAAGUACAAAGAUCCGGGAUGUCCUACCAUUUCAGUCAUGAUUGGAGGAAAGGUAGUGGAGAAAGCUUUGUUAGACUUGGGAGCAAGUGUGAAUUUGCUACCAUACUCUGUCUACAAACAAUUGGGACUUGGUGAGUUGAAGCCAACAUCAAUCACCCUAUCUCUAGCAGAUAGAUCAGUAAAAAUUCCAAGGGGGGUAAUUGAGGAUGUCUUAGUUCAAGUUGAUAAUUUCUACUAUCCGGUAGAUUUUGUUGUUUUUGAUAUGGAUUCUACUGUAAAGGAAGCUAAUUCAGUUCCUAUCAUCCUUGGAAGGCCAUUCUUUGCUACCUCAAAUGCAAUCAUCAAUUGUAGGAAUGGACUCAUGCAACUCACUUUUGGCAACAUGACACUUGAGCUCACCAUUUUUUAUAUGUCAAAAAAGCAAAUCACUCUGGAAGAAGAAGAAGGUCCAGAAGAGGUAUGCAUUAUCGACACUUUAGUGGAGGAGCACUGUAAUCAGAAUAUGCAAGAUAAGCUGAAUGAAGGUCUUGGGGAUCUUGAAGAAGGGUUGUCUGAACCCCCUGAUGUGCUUGCUACUCUACAAAGUUGGAAGAGAAGAGAAGAGAUUCUACCUUUGUUCCAUAAAGAGGAAGGAGAAGCUGCUGAAGAAGAGACCCCAAAGCUCAAAUUGAAGCCUCUGCCCGUGGAGCUGAAAUAUACAUACCUUGAAGAAAAUAAUCAAUGUCCUGUUGUUAUAUCUUCAUCUCUUACCGGUCAUCAGGAGAUUUCUCUACUUGAAGUUAUCAAAAGGUGCAAGAAAGCAAUAGGAUGGAAAAUAUCUGACUUGAAAGGAAUCAGUCCUUUGGUUUGUACACAUCACAUAUAUAUGGAGAAAGAAGCUAAACCAAUUCGUCAACCUCAAAGAAGAUUGAAUCCUCAUUUACAAGAAGUGGUGCGGACUGAGGUGCUGAAGCUACUCCAAGUAGGUAUUAUUUAUCCCAUAUCUGACAGCCCUUGGGUGAGCCCUACUCAAGUGGUACUAAAGAAGUCAGGGAUUACUAUGGUUCAGAAUGAGAAAGGAGAAGAAAUUGCUACACGCCUCACUUCAGGUUGGAAGGUGUGUAUUGAUUAUAGAAAGUUGAAUGCUGUGACAAGGAAAGAUCAUUUUCCAUUGCCGUUUAUUGAUCAGGUGCUGGAGAGAGUCUCUGGCUAUCCUUUUUAUUGUUUCUUGGACGGGUACUCAGGGUAUUUCCAAAUUGAAAUUGAUGUUGAAGAUCAGGAGAAAACCACUUUCACAUGUCCGUUUGGAACAUAUGCCUACAGAAGAAUGCCUUUUGGUUUAUGCAAUGCACCUGCAACAUUCCAAAGAUGUAUGCUUAGUAUCUUUAGUGAUAUGGUGGAGCGAAUUAUGGAGGUUUUCAUGGAUGACGUCACCGUAUAUGGGGGUACAUUUGAGGAAUGCUUAGUCAAUUUGGAAACAGUUCUUAAUAGAUGCAUUGAGAAGGACUUGGUGCUCAACUGGGAGAAAUGCCAUUUUAUGGUACGUCAAGGAAUUGUCCUUAGCCAUAUCAUCUCCGAGAAAGGCAUUGAAGUUGAUAAAGCAAAUGUGGAGCUUAUUGUCAAAUUACCGUCCUCAACAACUGUGAAAGGAGUAAGGCAAUUUCUUGGCCAUGCAGGGUUCUAUAGGAGAUUUAUACAAGACUUCUCUAAGCUUUCAAAACCUCUUUGUGAGCUUUUGGCUAAGGAUGCUAAGUUUAUAUGGGAUGAAAGAUGUCAAAAUAGCUUUGAUCAACUGAAGCAAUUCUUGACAACUGCUCCGAUAGUAAGGGCUCCUAACUGGCAACUACCCUUUGAAGUGAUGUGUGAUGCCAGUGACUUUGCUGUAGGAGCUGUACUUGGCCAAAGAGAAGAUGGGAAGCCCUACGUGAUCUACUAUGCAAGCAAAACAUUGAACGAAGCUCAAAGGAACUACAUAACUACAGAGAAAGAUUUGUUAGCUAUGGUGUUUGCCUUAGACAAGUUUCGUGCUUAUCUAGUAGGGUCUUUCAUCAUUGUUUUCACUGACCAUUCAGCCUUGAAGUAUUUAUUGACAAAGCAAGAUGCUAAAGCAAGGUUGAUUAGAUGGAUUCUUUUGUUACAAGAGUUCGAUCUCCGAAUCCGAGACAAGAAAGGGGUGGAGAAUGUGGUAGCUGACCACCUUUCAAGGUUGGCUAUAGCACAUAAUUCCCAUGUAUUACCUAUUAAUGAUGACUUUCCUGAGGAAUCACUUAUGUUGCUAGAGAAAGCUCCUUGGUAUGCUCAUAUUGCUAACUAUUUAGUUACUGGUGAAGUUCCAAGUGAGUGGAAUGCACAAGACAGGAAGCACUUCUUUGCAAAAAUUCAUGCUUAUUAUUGGGAUGAGCCUUUCCUUUUCAAGUAUUGUGCAGAUCAAAUAAUACGGAAGUGUGCCCCUGAAGAAGAGCAACAAGGAAUCCUCAGCCAUUGCCAUCAAAAUGCAUGCAGAGGCCACUUUGUCUCUCAGAAAACAACCAUGAAGGUCUUGCAAUCAGGGUUUACUUGGCCAUCACUUUUCAAAGAUUCCCACAUCAUGUGUAGGAGUUGUGAUAGAUGCCAAAGACUCGGGAAGCUUACAAAAAGAAACCAAAUGCCCAUGAACCUCAUCCUUAUAGUUGAUCUUUUUGAUGUUUGGGGUAUUGACUUCAUGGGACCUUUCCCAAUGUCUUUUGGUAACUCUUAUAUAUUGGUGGGGGUUGACUAUGUUUCCAAAUGGGUUGAGGCAAUCCCCUGUAAACAUAAUGAUCACAGGGUGGUUCUCAAAUUUCUUAAGGAGAACAUCUUCUCAAGAUUUGGGGUGCCCAAGGCCAUAAUCAGUGAUGGAGGUACUCAUUUUUGCAACAAACCUUUUGAAACCGUAUUAGCCAAGUAUGGAGUGAAGCAUAAGGUAGCUACACCUUAUCAUCCUCAAACUUCCGGGCAAGUGGAGCUAGCAAAUAGGAAAAUAAAAAACAUGCUGAUGAAAGUGGUGAUUGCAAGCAGAAAAGAUUGGUCUAUUAAGCUACAUGAUUCAUUAUGGGCAUAUAGAACAGCUUAUAAGACUAUUCUUGGCAUGUCCCCCUAUCGUCUCGUCUAUGACAAAGCAUGCCACCUCCCUGUGGAAGUUGAAUAUAAGGCGUGGUGGGCAAUCAAGAGGUUGAACAUGGACUUGAUCAGAGCUGGAGAAAAGAGGUGCUUAGACCUUAAUGAGAUGGAGGAAUUAAGAAAUGAUGCUUACAUCAAUUCCAAAAUUGCAAAACAGAGGAUGACGAAGUGGCAUGAUCAACUAAUCUCCAACAAAGAAUUCCAUAAAGGACAAAAAGUUUUGCUUUAUGAUUCAAGACUCCAUGCCUUUCCAGGGAAGCUCAAGUCAAGGUGGAUAGGCCCUUUCAUUAUUCACCAAGUGCAUCCUAAUGGAGUGGUGGAAUUACUGAAUUCCAAAACCACCGACAUUUUCAAGGUCAAUGGUCAUCGUCUCAAGCCAUUCAUUGAGCCAUUCAAACCAGAAAAGGAGGAAAUCAACCUCCUUGAGCCACAGAAAGCCUGAUCAGAGAAGGGAUAGAUGGACUUGGUUUCACCAAAGUCCAUGAUUUUGUUAAAUAUGUUAAUUUUUAAGUCUUAUAAAUUAUUUGAUCGUAAAUUUGAUCUUAAAUUUUGUUAAUUGUAAGAUCAAGAGCUCAGGCCCAGCACACUACCAUCCUGGGGCAGAUCCAGCAUCAUCUCGGCAUUACAUUAGCUCCUAAGCAUGCCAUUUCCCAGCUCAUCAGAGCCAUCACAGGCCCCUCCUUUUGUUGAUUAGCCUAUGCCUCAUUAAGAGCCUCCUAUAGGAGAGGCAGCUGAGUAUCACUCCACGUCAUUCAGGAGGUACCACUUCCUCCCUAUGUUUCAAUCACUUUUAUCACAUUGAGGACAAUGUUCAGCUUGGUUGGGAGGAGAGUUGAGGAAUUAAGUUUUUGUUAUUAAUGCGAAGUUAUUUUGGUAAUUUAGUUGCUUUUUGCUUAAUUUUAAAAUUUUAAAAGUUUUUAUUCUACUCUCCAUGCUUAUUAAGGAAAAAAAUUUCAAAUUGAAAUAGGAGAAAUUGAAUUUUUGUCUUUUCACUUGACUUAGAGUUUGUAUUAUGCUUAUUAAAAUUGAUGAAUUGUUGAAACUUCUAUUGAAUUCGAGCUUAUGUCUUCCACUUUAAGCUAUUCACACACUGUGCACAAUAGGUUCCGAGUAUAAGAUGAAAAACUAUUUCCCUUUUGACUUAGGAAAAUUUUAGACUUGGUACCUUUGACCUUAUUUAAUAGUGUUGGAACACCUUAUAAAAUGCCAAUGAGCCUUUGAAAAAAAAGAAGAAAGAAAAAAUGUUUGCUUGCCUUGAAACCCGAGUAAGGUCCGAGGGGUAUAUGGUGAAAAUCUUUAAAACCUGGUGCCCUAAGCCUUCAUUGGUUGGGAGUCACCGACCUCAAUGCUCAUUACAAGGGUGAAUAAGUGGAGUUUAACAUACUGUAGGUGCUUGGGUAUUAAAAUUUUAUUCUCAAAAGUCCGGGGUAAAAUCCAAGGAGUUAGUGGUUGAAAUAUCCUUAAAGCUUGAUGCCCUAAACCUUAAUUGGUUGGGAGUCAUCGAUGGACCCUCGUUACAUGGACAAUUUAGAAAAGAAUACCCUUAAGCCUUGUACCCCUGCAAUGAAAAAAAAAAAAAAAGGGUGCGUUCUUAGCCUAUUGAAGUUGGUCAGUUUGCUAAGUGUUGAAAAAAGCUAGGUUGGGGGGAGAGAUUAGUUUAGCAUACUAUAUUCGGAAGCUAUCAAGUAACACUUAGAUUUUUGUGGAAGAGUAAGGAUUGGUCCUUUGGAAGUGGAAAUGAAUUUAAAGCUUAAAUUUGCAUAAUGCCUUCUCUUUAAGAAUUGUGAUUAGAUAAGUUAUUUGAUAACUCUUGAUGAAGUUUAAGUUUUAUUUCUUUAAUGUUCCAUGUGAGAGUUAGAUCAUCAUGCCACUUGGAAAUUGUUUUUGGAUCAGCAUGAUGUUGUAAAUUAUAGUACUGUUUAUUUUUAUUUUUCUCUCCUUCAUUGCUAAGGGACUAGCAAUAUGUCGGUUGGGGGGAGUGAUUACUACUCACAAAGUACUAUUUCAUAGAUUGUAAUUAACUCUUUUAAACACUUUUGAGUAGUAGUUAUCACCUUUUAACCCAAUUAACAUAUUAAGGACCCUUGCAAUCAAUUCUAAUCAAAUUAUGUUAAGUUUUGGUGUUUUGAUAGCUUUUUGAUCACCAAAACAAUCCGAGAUUGAGGAAAGUUCUUUGGAAUCCUUAAGCAAAUCCAUAAUACAAGGAGUAUGGGAUCCUGCACAUUCCAUCCGGCUGUCGCCACUUUACACCCGGAUGUAUCACAUCCGGAAAUCUGCUGCCGCCAUCAUUCCAUCCGAAUGUCUUACAUCCGGAAUUCAGGAGCCGGAUAGGAGAGAAGGGCGUUUCAACUUCUCCGGAUAGACAUAUCUGGAUCCGCCGAUAGCGCUCACCCGGAGGAUUUCGCAGCAAUUUUGUACAGUGCCGCGGUGUUCUCCUGAAGCUUCUCUAUAUGUGCGACCGACAUCUUUAGAUAUUUUUCUUUAGAUAUUUGAUGUCUAAAUCCCCAAACUCUCCUUGUAACCCACCAAUUAUAGGAUUCCUUAGUUAUUAAGUUUGGAAAAAUGAUGAAUAACCUUGUAGAUAUUAUUAUUGUAAUUUUCAUAUAAAUAUCUCUCGGGAGCUUGUUCUCGGGACGACGCAACUUUUGUAUAAUUUUCAAAGGAAGAAAAAUACAGAGCUUUGCUCUGCUUUUAUCUUCUCAUUUUGAUUGUAUUUUCUUACUAGCCAAACAAGUUCUGAGAAUGUUUCAUCAGAGAAUGAGUGGCUAGACUUUUAGUUCCUUGGAGUUAAGGUUGCCGGGAAAGGUUCCAAGUGUAAGAAUUAGUAGCUUUGUGGUUUCAGCCAUUAAUGAAGAGAAAGUGUGACCAGUUAAUGGUUUUAUCUUUUUAGUUAACUUAAAACGCCUUUAAAUCACUUGGGCCAACACUUGAUAAGGCAAGUAAUCUCCAUCCAUAGAGAUGCACUAGUUUAUCUCUUGCGAGCCUUUGAGAGGUGGUUUGAAGGUAGGAUUUUCUAGAAUAGCCAACACUUGGUAAGCUUUUGGACUCCACGGAGACAUCCAUUAGUUAUCUCUUACGAGCUUUUGACGGGUAAUCCAAGGUUAAAGAUCACCUUGAAUGGCAAGUGCUAGGUGAGAGGUAUGAGCCAUUGCAAGGUGCAUCAGUGAGAGAGAAUUAUUAUUUGAAUCCAUUAAGGGGAAGCAUCUGUACAAAACCGGUUAGAGAAUUGACUAUAUGUUAAUUCUCUAAUGCGAGGAAAUGAACCAAAUGACUGGAGCUCUGUUUUUGCAUAAGAAACCUCCCUUGUGAACUUAAACCUCCAAGGAAUGUUUUUUUUUAUAAGUAAUUUCCAUUACUUCCUUUGCCGUUAGUUUAAACCUAAACCUUUUUCAAUCAAAGUUUGUGUUUUAUUUCUCAAGCUAACCUUGAAAUGAAAAGACACCAAUUCAUCUUUGAAUUGGUAUCAUUUAUGAAUUGAAAACCCUUCCCAGUGAACGAUCCUAGAGCCAUUAUGCUAUAGUAGCUUUGUCUUUGCUACCCUAAUCAUGGUGUAAUAGGUUAUAAAUUUUGUUGAUUUCUCCCUCAAUCAAGGAGCGCCAGCUGGACAUGACCAGCUGAUACACCAAUUGGGCACGAAUCAACUGUUGCAAGGAGUCUUGGACUUUCAAUAGGUAUUAGGACAUGCGUUCGUCUUUAGCUUCAUAUUCUUUUUGUAUAUGCCCCACGAUGAGCUGAGAAUCACUAUAGAUCCUCAGUUUAGAAGCAGAGAGUGCGAAGGCUAGGUUUAGUUCAGACAAAACUGCUUCAUAUUCAACUUCAUUAUUUGAUGUAGGGAAUCCUAGCCGGAUAGCCUGCUCUAGUUGUUUGCCUGUCGGAGAUCUUAGAAGGAGGCCCACUCUUGAUCUGGACGACCGGGAGGCUCCAUCAACCUACAAAAUCCACCACCCUUCCUCGCCAAUCUCCGUGCUUUAGGUAUGCUGUCGGGGAACCUCGGCUAUGAAAUCAGCCAUGACCUACCCCUUCAUAGACAACCUAGGUUGAUAUUCAAUUCCAUACUCACUCAACUCUAUGGCCCACUGGAGCAUUCUUCUUUAUAUGUCUGGCUUAUGCAAGAUACUUCGAAUUGGUUGGUUAGUGAGCACGACUAUUGGAUGAGCUUGGAAAUAUGAGUGAAUUCUCUAAGCGGCAUUUCGCAAAGCUAAGGCGGUCUACUCCAUUUUUUAGUACCUAGUCUUUACGUUGGCCAUCGCUCUGCUGAUGAAAUAGACAGGUCUUUGUUCUUUAUGCAACAGGGAAUGAAACAAUACAAUGCUAAUCGCCCAAUCAGAUACUGCAAGGUACAUGUACAAUUGCUCUUUAGGUUGAGGGUUGCUCAAAAUGGGGGGUUGUGUAAGGUAAUGUUUGAUUUCAUCGAAUGAAUUCUGGCAGCCGUCCAUCCACUCUGUUGCAUUGGCUUCUCUGAGCACUAGAAAGAAGAGUUGCAACUUGUCUGUGAAUCAAGCUAUGAAUUGUCCGAGCGCAACAAGCAUGUCUAUGAGGCGUUGCAGCUUUUUUUUGCUCCUAGGCUCAGGUGUAUUCAUGAUUGCCUUGAUUUGGUCUGGUUUGACUUCUAUUCCCCUCUAGGAGAUCAUGAAUCAUAGGAAUUUGCCUAAGCUUACACCAAGGUGCAUUUAGACGAGUUGAGCUUCAUACUCUAUCUUCUCAACAGAUUGAAAACUUCUUGCAAAUGCUGGGCAUGCUUUUCUCGGGUUUUUCUUUUGACCACUAUAUCGUCAAUGUAUACCUCUACCAUGCGACUGAUCAGAAGUUUGAAGAUUUUAGUCAUCAACCUUUGGUAAGUGGCUCCAGCAUUUUUGAGCUAGAACGACAUGACCUUGUAAUAGUAGAGUCCGUGCAGCAUUAUGAAGGUGGUUUUUUCUUUGUCCGUUAGAGCCAUAGGGAUCUGAUGAUAUCCAGAGAAGGCAUCUAGGAAAGAGAGCAUCCCAUGUCCAAAGGUGGAGUUCACUAUCUGGUUUAUCCAUGGCAGUGGAAAACUAUCUUUGGGGCAUGCGUCGUUGAAGUUAGUGUAGUCACGCAUACUCGCCACUUCCUUUUUUUCUUGGGAACCACCACUACAUUAGCCAGUCAUUCUAGAUAAUCAACUUCCCUAAUGAAUUUAGUUGCCAACAACUUUUCUACCUCACUUUGAAUGAUCUUUUGUCUAUCCGGAUGAAAUCGUUGGGCCUUUUGCCGUAUAGGUCUUGAUGAUGCUAGGAUGUUGAGUCAAUAAGAGGCGACCGAUGGAUGGAUUCCAGGCAUAUUGGACUGUGUCCAUGCCAAAACAUCUCUGUUUUGCUGGAGUGUGUUUUGAAGGUGUUGCGUCUCGUUUGGCUGUAAGAGGGAACUGAUGUGCAUAAAGUGAUCUUCUCUCUUCUAGACCUGAACGAUUUGCAAGGGAUCUACUACCGGGGAAUCCUUAUCCGCUGGAUAUUGCAAUUUCUAUUGGUCAGGCUAGUCUGCUUGCUUAGAGGGAGACUCACGAUCCUUGCUGGAUCUAGUCUCCCAUACAACUUGGUAACAUUGAUGGGCAACCAACUGUCUACCGUAGAGAUCGAUCUAUCCAUCAUGUGUGAUGAAAUUCACCAUCUGGUGAUGUGUGGAAGGGAUGGCCUUCAUGCUGUGCAACCAGGUACGCCCCAGGAUAGCAUUGAAGGGUGAUAAAUCUUCUACCACUGAUAAUUGUACAUUAAGGGUGAUUGGACCUGCUUGGAUUGGUAGUACGAUAUCCCCAAGGGAUGUUGUUGAGGCCCCAUUGAACCUUGACAGUAUCCGUCCCGGGUUCUCCAAGCUGGAGGGCAUAAAUCCCAUUUGUUUAACUACAAACACUUGUAAGAAAUCUGUCGAGCUACCCGGGUCAACCGGAAUCCUCCUCACAUCGAAGUCACCAAUUCCUAAUGUCAAGAUGAGGGUGUCUCGGUGCUGUUGCAACACCUGGGCAAGGUCCACUAGAGGAAAGAGGAUUACUUCAUCUAUUGGGUGAGCGUUUCCGCUAGCUAGAUCAAGCCGGAUGGAGCUAAUAUGCUCUCGGACCGUGACGGCUCGUAGCAACCUCUGCCUCUUCCUCUUGGAGUUGUACUUUUCAUCCAAGGGUCCAUCAUGGAUGUAGUUAAUUAUGGCUCUGGGAAUAACGGGAGCUAAGGGAGCCCUGGGGGCUUGAUUGUGACUCUUUACUCCUGAGUGGACAUACUAUUUUAGAUGUCCUACUUUUAUGAGUUUUUCCACCAGAUAAUGGAGACUUCUGCAUUGCUCCGUGGUAUGUCCAUGCUCUUUGUGAUAAGCACAUUUUUUUUAGUGAUCUCUUUUGGUUGGAUCCGUUUUCAGUGGUUCUGGCCACCUGAAAUUAGACAGCUCACGAAUCAAAGAGAGUAGCUUCUCAUACGUCACGAUGAGAGGUGUAAGCGGGGAUUGUUCCUGUUGGCGUUGCUCACCUUGCCUCAUUUCGGGAGGCCUUCUUUGACUUGAAGGCUUGAGGUUCCUUGCCGCGUCGUUUCUGACCGAUUGGCCGGUGACUAAGAUCUAUUGUGUGGCUACACGGACAUCAUCUUCCAACAUAGAAUAUUUUUUUGCGAGCCGAAACAGAUCAUCUAUAGUCGUGGGAGGUUUUUUGGCAAGAGAUUCAAAAAAUAGCGCACCCAGACAUAUGCUACGCUUGAAAAUUUGGAGGACAACAUCCAAGUUGUAGGAUUCCACUUGCAAUACAGCUUGUCCAAAGCCCUUCACGAACUCUCUUAGGGACUCAUUCUCCUGCAUUUUUAUGUUUUGCAAGGUGUCGAUAUUUUGCUUAUACCGAGCUAUGCAUAGGUAUUGUCCCACGAAGGUUUCUAACAGAUCCCUGAAAUUAUCAACCAAAUUCAUGGGGAGCCGAUGAAACUAUGAGAGAGCUUGGCCUUGGAGGCUAGCGGAUAAGACUUUGCAUAAUAGCAUGUCAUUCCCUAUGUCCAAAGUCAUGAGCUGCCGAUAGUUCAUGAUAUGGUCAAACGGAUCGUUGGAUCCAUCAUACGCAAAAAAUUUUGAGACGAGGAACCCUCUUGGGGGUUCGUAGUUGAUAAUAUGAGGAUUGAAAGGCAUGGAGAGCAUGUCGUCCAAUCAUCUGCUAAUGGAGAUUGAGGGGGCUUCAUUUGCUGGAUCUCCCCCGACUUGUUGUAGUGGUUGGUGCGGGGUAUAACCCUAUGAGAUGGGCGCGGCUGAGGGCCCGGGGUAUGUCCCCUAUGUCAUGGCUAUGUGCGACCUAUCUUUGCCGGGAGCUUAAGGUCCUAACCUUGCAUGCAUCGCGUCAGAUAAUUGGGGUCUCUUAUCACGUUGCCUCUUUGAUGAGACACGAGUAGAGUCAGAGUUUUCGUCUUGCGGUGCGCGAUACGCAGGUAAAGGUCCUUUGUUAGGCCAUACACCACGUACAUUAGGGGGAGGUCCCGCUCUUCCAAGAUAUGUGGCCUCCUGGUUAUGCCUAGAGUUUGUUCCUUGGUCUCUUGGUCGGUGGUCACGAGGAGGUUCUGAGGAUGAAACUUGGAUUCUCAACACCUUGUUUUCCUCCUUGAGUUUCCUCGUUUCUUAGAGCAAGGCUUGUACCUGCCAUUUGCUUUCUUGCUGUCGUCUUUCCAUGCUCUUAUGCUAGUCAAAAUAACCUUCAUUACUCAUAGUUGAUGAACGACUUCUUGAGGGUGUGGACAUCUUCGUAAAGGAGAAAGUCGAGUUCCCACAGACGGCGCCAAUGUUGAAGUCGCGACCCACAGGGAUAUUUGUGUCUCCCUGACGUUGGUGCUUGAUCAACUAAGAGUGAUGCUUCCUUCCUUGUUCCUACAAAAGAUGUCCGGACAGGUUGUCUGGACACACCCUCCGAAGCUCUUAUUACUUUGACAAUUCUCUUUACUCUUUCCUUUUAGGAAUCAAUCUGAAGUUUGUCUUACCUCCUCUCUUCGUUGAGUUCCCUCAAGGGUUUUAUAUAGUCUGGAGUUUUUGUUCUCACAUCUAGGCUAGUGGGGUUCAUUUACUUCCACAGUCAUCAUGGUUGCUCAUAGGCUGGCAGCACAAUCAUUACUUUUUUGGGUGAUGGAUGGUGAUUGCUAGUGGGGCGAUCGGGCUGCACAUCUAUCACUUCAUUCCAUAGGCGGCAGAGUGUAAAAUGUGUCAGGUGGCCUGAAAAGACAUGAAGAUGUCCCAACUAGCACGCCUUUAAUGGAAGGCGAAUGAUGGAUUGUGGAGUAUGGUCAGAGACGUUGUUUGGAGCAUGUCCUACGGCCUCGUAAGAGCAUGGGCAUCUGGCCGUUGAUUGCUGGAUCCGGAUAAGAUGGAUCCAACAUGUAUGUUACUGGCCAGUGGAUCCCGUCUGGAUAGAGGCAAAGGCUGCCACGUGUCUACAGAAGGUUUGCCAGUGAGGGUAAGGCAAGCAACCACGUGUCAGCUCAGGAGAAAGGUCCUACACUAGCAGUCGAAAAUUCAACUCCUAACAAUUUUAGUUAAUAAAAUUAUAAGUAUAAAUUUAUAAUUUCUCAAUUUUAAAUUGCUUUGUUUUAAAAAAAAAACAUAAUGUUAUUGAUUUAUAUUUGCAAAAAAGCAAAAAUAAUCUCCAAUUUUAUCAAUUAUACCCAUUCACAUAUGUAAAAAUCCAUUCAAAUUUAUAUCAUGUUUCUAAUUGUAAAAUACCUUUUUCUAAACUCAAUAGCUAUUUUUUGAAUAAAUAAUAUUAUAUGAAGAGCUUGAUUUUAUUAUUUAUUUAUUUAUUUAUUGUUUUUUGAAUUUUGAGUUGAUUGCUUAGCUAGUGAGUUUGUGAUGUUGUCAUUAUCUAGCUUGUAGGAUUCAACUACACAAUGCUCAUCAUAUAUACUAAAAAAAUAAAUUUAAUGAAUUUAUUUUGAGUUUUCUUAUAUAGUAUUGAAUUCAUGAGAACAAGAGAUAAAAAAAAUAAUAAAUAAUAAUAAAUAAAUUAAAAUUUACCCAUACGAGAAAAUGAGCUUUGAAUGAUAAUGGAUCCCGUCAACAAGAAAGGUAUUUAAAGCAAAAAAAAAAAAAGUCGAUGUGAUUGAAAAGAUAGGAUAGUUACAAAAGUUGAAUGAAUGUAUGAUUGUAAAAAAUUCCAUGAAUGUGAAGUUGAACUUUAAGAUUGUUCUCAAGAAACCAAUUAAAUACUAUUCAUUUGUAUUUUGUAAUCUUAUGUAAGUUAGAAUAGAGUCAUUGAAACUUUUACAGAUCCGACAAGCGAAAAUCCUUUCUUUUCUUGAAUGAUUACUUGAGUUCAACAUAUUUAGACUAGUUCUGAGUCCUAAUUUUCAAUCCUUGGAUGAACUUAUGGGUCUAAUUAGUACAAUGGACCUUGAAAGAAUAUUGAAUAUGUUAGUUGAUUACAUAAUAGAAAGAUCUAAAACUUAAGGAUUAAAAAGGUAAAAUUUUGAGAGGUUGAUAGCAUAUACUUCAACGGAUUCUAGACAUCAAUUCAUGAGGAGUCUUCAUGUAGUGAAUAAUAGGGUAUAAACCCAAGUUUAUAUUUUCUUCUAAUAUUGUAGGGUACUACAGUGAAGUUGACUCUUUAUAGUGGGAUGCCAAGUCAACUUCAAAAUUUAAUUUUGUGGGAGCUAGUAUUUGUUGGGAUAGAGCCCUAUAAAGCAAGUCAUUUUGUGACAGAUUUUAGAUUAAUUAAUCAACUUAUUUAUUUAUGGUUCUGGUUCUAUUUAUUAUCUCUUCUUGCAUUAAUUUUUUAUCAAAGCAUCACAUUUUGUAUCAUUUAUGUUAUAUAUAACUUGAGUGCAUUAGGAGUUAUAUAGAAGAUAUAAGUCAUAAAUUUUUGAGAAGGUGAUAAGUGAUUUACAGUCAAUUUAUAGAUUUUGACAAUUCAUAAAAAACUGUAGUGCACUAUCUCCUAAUUAAAGAGAUAAUUUGUCUUAAAUCAUCAUGAUAGUUUGAUUUGAAAUUAUUUUUAUUAAUUAAUAAUUCUUUGUAUUAAGUAUAGUUUGAUUUGAAAUUUAUUUAUUUAAUGAAAAAUUUUGGAGAGAUUAAAGAAAAUUUUUAAAACAAGUGUAAUUCAAAAGACGAUCAUACUUGAAGAUUUUCAAUUCAUAUCAAUAUUGGAUCGUGGAAAUAGAAGAGGAAAGAUAUCAUGUUAAAUUUUCAUUGCUUUUUUAUGGGUUUUUUUUAAAAAAAAACAAAAUUUUGUUAAUGUUUUUGUUUUGUUCUUAAAAAUUGAUGAAAACAAUUUCAACUUCUUUUCUGAAAACCAUUCUCUAUUUCAUCAUGUUUUUAAAACCUGGAAACAUAAGACAACAAUCAAAUAAUGAUACAAAUUUUUUAAAAUUGGUUUUCUAUUAUUAAAAAUAGAAAUAUAUAUAUAUAUAUAUAUAUAUAUAUAUAUAUAUAUAUAUAUAUAUAUAUAUAUAUAUAAUCACACUACAAAAUAGGUUAUUAGUUUUUAUAUGAAAAUAUAUCCAUUUAUGAUAAUCCCUAGUUUAAUAAAAAAAAUAUUUAUAAAUUUAUUUUAAGAUAAUAUUUAUUUUGCAUAGAUCUGAUAUCAUAUUUUUUUAUAUUCAUAUUUUUAUAUUUAUGAUAGUCAUCUUCUUAUUAUGUUACGGGUUGCACAAAGCCCUUUAUGUGAUUUUUCUUCAAUUCUUUAUUUUAAAAUUUUUAAAGAACAAUUGAAGAUGAUCAUUUGCUAUUUUCACUCUUUCUAUUUUCUUAACAUAGUUUUCCAAGAAAUGAAAAUGCAAAAAGACCAUCCAAACAUGGUUUGAAGCAUGAUUUUUAUUUUCUUUGAACCUUUUUUCCCCUGCCACCAUGUUUCCCAACAAUGCGGAAAAGCUCCUGGGCUUGUGUUUUUGUCUCUUAUUCUCUUCUACUAAAGGAUAUUCCUAGGAUGCCUCCUGUGAUUCUUUCAUGUGUCUUGAAGUUUAGGGAAACAUUUGGAAAACAAUAAAAGGUCUUCUUUGUAGCUAUAAAAUAGUUCUUUCUCCAUCCGCUUGGGGAAGGCCCUAUGCAUUCAUUUUCUUCAUGUUUUAAGUAAGAUUAGUGUAACUUCUUUUUUAAAAGCAGAAAAGGUAUGAAUUUGUAAGCUUGUGAGUGUAGUCUCUUCUAUGAUUCUUUUAGCUUUUCUUAAGCCUUAACCCUGGUUUGGACCUUGAUGUGUCUUAAAUUACAGCUCGAACCUCUGCGUUUCUUAAGCUAGCCUUGGACUUUGGCAUAUCUUGAUCACCUGAACUUGGACAUUAACAUGUUUUGGGUCGGGCUCAGAUCCUAGUAUUGUCUUAUGUUAGGUUUGGACCUUGACAUAUCUUGACUUGAGCUUAGACGUUGCCAUGUCUUGGGUUGGGCUUGGAUGUUGGUUUAUCUUUAACUAUGACAUGGACUUGGAUUUCGGCUUGUUUGAGGCCAGGGUAUGGACUUAUACCUUGACUUGUUGAUGCCUAAAAUUUAAGCUGACGACUUUAGAUUUGCAUUAUUAUCUUUCUCUGGAUGAGACAAUUAUAGAAAAGGGGGUCUUGCCAAUCCACUUUUAUUCGAACUGUUUGUUCUUAUUCUCAACCAAGGAAGCAUUUUAUUUAAAGCAGAACACUCUAAAACUGCAGGGAUCUAGCGGCCAAAGCACAUAUUCCAAUCUUAUUACAAUGACAUCAAUAUACAUUAUUCCCUUAAUUUCCAUUGCUGACAUAUGGAAGAAGCUGGAAUUAGCUUUCAUUUGGUCAUACUGGCACAGGGUCAAUGAGCAAGGAUGCAAUAUUAUCAUUCAUCACUUUCCCAACAUGAGUGCAUUCAUUGUUUUCCUUAUAAGUGAUGUCUACCACUUGUGUAAGAUUCAGAACUCCGGUAAGAAUUAGGACCAACAUGGAAGUAGGUCUAAGGAACCCUUGGUUAAUUCCUUCCAUGCAUUCACAAUUUGCUUGUUAAACUCGUCAUAAGCUUAUUGCUCUAAGACACUAUAUUGCUUGACAUAGCAUUCAAUGGCUAAGGCAACAUGCCCUCUCUCUUGUUCAAACUUCACACAAAUAUAUAGUAAUGCAAAAUAUGAGGAAAAAACCACUAUACAAAUUGUUAUGAAUGAACCUAGAUGUAAUAUAUUCUACACGCAUACCUAAUGUGCAAUCAUGUCGUUCAUGGCUCAUGAGCCUAGUAAUUAAACAUACAGCUACUGUAAAAAAGUCAUUGUAAACCCCAUCAAAGGCUUCUUUUGUUAUCAUUUCUCCUAUUCCAAUGAAAAAAAAUGGUUGUGGCCAAGGGGAAGGCCGAGCUUACUCAUGCAACUUGCAUGUAUUACUGUAUGGUAGGUACAUGUUCUUAUUCCAAUCUUAUUACAAUGACAUUAAUACAUGUUAUUCCCUUUCCAUUGCAGACAAUAUGGAAGAAGCUAGAAUUAACUUUCAUUUAUUUACUCAUACCGACACAGGGUCAAUGAAUAAGGAUGCAAUAUUAUCCUUCAUCACUUUCCUAACACGAGUGUAUUCAUCGUUUUCCUUAUAAUUGAUGUCUACCACUCGUGUAAGAUUGAGAACUCCUGUGAGGAUAGGGACCGACAUGGAAGUAGGUCUCAGGAACCCUUGGGUAAUAUCCUUCCAUGGAUUCGCAAUUUGCUUGUUAAACUUGUCAUAAGUCUAUUGUUUUGAGACACAAUAUUACUUCACAUAGCAUUCAAUGGUUGAGUCAACGUACAUGCCCUCUAUUUUCUUCAGCAUUCCUAGCAUACCUUUCUUUCCUUCCCAAGGCCGCACAUGUUUUUUCACUUAAAAUUGGAGAACCUUCCUUUCUUCUCACCGAAGCAGUGCACUUUACUUAUAUUUUUCUUCAAUUGGUGCACUUUUAUCUAAAACUUGACUGCUUCCUAUCUUCUUUUCUUCUUCUUAAAGUGGUGCACCUUUGUUACUUGACACAUCUUUUUACCUUAGGGACUUGGUGCACCCUUGGAUUGUGCGACCAUGAUAUAAUAAAGACUUCGUGAUUUUUUUUUUUUUGAUGACGUUAUUGUGUCAGGAUAGAGAAAGUUGUGAGAGAGGUCAAGGAAUCAAAAUGAGAGAAGUUGGGGUUUAGAGUGGGAACGAAGAAUGGUAUUUGAUGAAGAUCUCGGUUUAAAAUUGAAAAUUUAGUCUUCAUAAUAUUUUUCUUUGAUUUGAGAUUUGAUUUCAGAAGUAUACGAAAAUUAAAAAGGAAAUUUAGGAUUAGAGUUAGGGUGUAAUUUUUUUUUUCUCCUAUUUAAGGUUUGAUUUAGGAAGAGCAUAAAGAUUUGAAAUUAGAUUUUCUUUGUCCAUUUAAGGUUUCAUUUGGGACGUGCAUAAAGAUUUUUUUUUAAAAAAUUAAUAUUUUUUUUCCACUUAGGAUUUGAUUUGGAAAUUUAAGUUUUCAUUUGGGCAAUAGAUGAAGAAGAUUAAAAAAGGAAGAAAAAGAUGAUAUUUUAAUUUUUAUUUAAUAUCUUAAUUUUAAUUAUCUAAAAUUAUUUAAUUAUUCUAAUUAAUGAUACUUUGAGGUUAAUUGUGAUUAUUAUAUUUAAUUAAAAUUAACUAAAAUUAAUUAUAUAUAAAAAUCUUAAAUUAGGAUCAAUGGUAUUUUAGAAAUUUUUAUUAAGUUUAGUUGGUAGUAAUUUGACUAGAAUUAGGAGUAGAUUAUUUUGUAGAAAGUUUAAUUAGAAUGAAUUAAAUCUUUAUAUUAAAAAAUUACUUAAGAAUAAUUAGAUAAUGAGAUAAGAUAUACUAAGAUAAAUAAAAGAUACUUUAGGCAUUUUCUUUCUAUUCUUUAACAGUGACAUCAUUAAUCAACUAACAAUCAAUCCUUAAGGUUAGUCAAUGAUUGAUUGAUGGUCAAGUUAUAUAAUGGUUGAUCAAGGGAGUGUUGAUAUAAUUUCAGAAUCCUGAAGAAUUAAAGAUAAGUUGCUUCAAUGAUUGAUUGUCGAUUGAAAUUUUACUCCUAAAAUAUGCUUGUGGCUUUAGCUUGUCAAAGAAUAUGCUGGGAAUCAGUUAUGCUUGGGUUACGAGUUCCAUAAGCUUACGGCUUUAGAUUUUCAAGAUUGUCUUUCUUUGGAUGAGACCGUUAUAGAGAAGAGGGCCUUGCCAAUCCGCUUUCAUUCAAACUGUUUGUCCUUUUUCUCAAUGAAACUCUAAAACUGUGAGAAACUAGCCGCCAAAGCACUUAUUCCAAUCUUAUUACAAUGCCAUCAAUGCAUAUUAUUCCCUUAAUUUCCAUUGCUGACAUAUGGAAGAAGCUGGAAUUAACUUUCAUUUGCUCAUACUGGCACAGGGUCAAUGAGCAAGGAUGCAAUAUUAUCUUUCAUCACUUUCCCAACAUGAGUGUAUUCAUCAUUUUCCUUGUAAAUGAUGUCUACCACUCAUGUAAGAUUGAGAACUCCGGUAAGGAUUGGGACUGGCAUGGAAGUAGGUCUGAGGAACCCUUGGUUAAUAUCCUUCCAUGCAUUUGCAAUUUGCUUGUUAAACUCGUCAUAAGCCUGUUGCUUUGAGACACUAUAUUGCUUCACGUAGCAUUCAAUUGCUGAGGCAACAUGCCCCCUCUCUUGUUCAAACUGCAUACACAUAUAGUAACGCAAAAGAUGAGGAAAAAAACUACUAUACAAAUUGUCACGAAUGAACUUAUAUGUAAUAUAUUCUACAUGCAUACCUUAUGUGAAGUCAUGUCAUUCAUGAGCCUAGCAAUUAAACAUGAAGCUAUUGUAAAAGGGUCAUUGUAAACCCAUUCAAAGGCCUCUUUUGUUAUGAUCUCGUCCAUGCCAAUGAAAAAGAUGACUGUGGUAAGGGGUAACGAUGAGCUUACUCUUGCAACUUGCAUGUAUUUGUCUAUGGUAGGUACAUUUCCUUCAUGGAACCAUUGUGCUUCAUCAAAGUAAGCGCCAAUCUGAAUUUUCAUCUGACAAAACAUUCCUCCACAUUACAUACUUCUACUUAUGCUUUAAUUUUUAGUAUAAACUUCUCGGAAGGUAAACUUAAUAUGAUUCCUAAACAUAACUUGAACCCAACACAUUUAUUUUUCUUGGAUUUGGGUUGAGUGCAAGUGAGUUUAGGUUAAGUUCAUAUCAAUCUGUAUAACCAUUUAAUAAAUAAAUUAUUUUUUUAUCAACUUGAAUGAUACUAAUUUGAUUUAAAUUGACCUAAUCUAAUAAUCAUAUUGAUUAACUUGAUUAUAAUUCUAGCUUAUUUAAUCAAUAUUCGAUUCAUAUAAAGCUUGAUUUUGGAUAUACUUUAAUUAAAAUUCAGUCACAAGCAUGUUAGGUUGGGAGAUCAAUAAUAUAAACCAUAUAAAAUCUAAUUCAAUUUUAUUAUUAAAUAACAUGUAAUUAUUAAAUAGGUUAUAUUUUACAUGUUUAAUAAUUAGGUGAUAUUUGAGUUGACCUAUUUAUUCGAUCUAUGAUAUGACACAAAUAGGAUCCAGACGAUUUGCCAACCCUAGGUUUCUAUGCCACUAUAAACCAACAUCAAAUCAAAUAGUAGGGCAGCUACAAUUAGAAAUCUCGUACCGCUUCUUUUGCAUGGUGGAAGCUGUAUGCUUUUCCUUCUUUAUCCAUCUCUUCUUCAAUUUCUUUGUAGACAUCUAAGAGUGCCUGAUAUAUUACUUUCAUGUGUUCUGGAAGUUGAUCGAUGCUAUUGAUAUCCCACCUGAGAAUCAAACAACACCAAGGUGGUGUUUGUUUUUUUGGCUUUUUGCUGAAAAUCAUUUAGUUUUAGAAUUUAGGUUGUUUGUUUUUUUACUUUUUCAUGACUUAUUAUAAACUUUUUACUAAAUAGAAAAAGCCAAAAUAUGUGGCUUUUUCUAAAUAGAAAAAAUAACACAAUGGUUUUUUUUUACUUUUUAAUACUUAAUAGAAAUAAAAUACUACAAAAACAAACAACCUAAUAUUUAAUACUAUUAAGUAUUAAGAUUCUAUUUAGAAUUAAGUAAAAAAACAAACACCAUCCAAGUCUUGAUUAAGUUUAAACACGAGUAUUUCAAAAUUGUGGACAAAAUCAAGGUGAAUUAUUUGCAUAUUAGAAAACCUUUCAAUCAUUUCUGCAAAAAGCUUAUGUUCUUCAAGCGAACCAUAUGCAUCAUACAUAUCAUCUAUAGUGGAUAUUAUGUAAAGUACUUUGGUCAGAAUUCUUCUAGCUCGUGAGUAUUGGGGCUCAAAAUACAUUGCAAGUACAAAGAAGUAGACCUCCACGACUCUAUCUCGUGCAAAUGAUAUCUUCACGGUAAAGCCUAGUUCUGUAUGCCACCUAAAAUAAAUUAAUAUGGUUAGCAGUAAGGGAACUGAUCAUAAAAUCACUAAGUAUAUGCGUGGGUGAUUUAAAAAUUGACCUAGAAAGAUUGCUCAGCUCUUCCUUGUGCAGUGACUGCAUCAGGUUGAAGUCUAACUUUGCCAGCUUCAGCAAAGCUUUAUCAUGCGAAGCUUCGUGUUUGUGGUAGAUAUAUACCACCUCGCCUCUAGUCUGUUCAAACCUUUCCUAACGGGCUGCUUCAGGGCAUGAGUAACCUGUUCUGCAAGAGGAUAUAUUCUAAAUGUUCUACUGCCGACUCGAGGUGAGUGGUGGUGAAGACAAGGGCUUCAUCAAGUAUUCCUUCUUCACGCACCCGGAUAUGUGUGGCUUCAUACAACCCUAGCAUGCCUCUCACAUCAUUGAUCAAAGAUUCCUGGAAGCCACCUUUUUGAUCCUUGAACUUAUUGAAUACAUCUACAUUUAUUCACAAAAAUAUGAUAUAAAAGCAUUCCGGAAUAAGAUUGUGAUGAUAUUAUGAAGAUUUCAUUUUAUCUAAUAGAUGAUAGUUCAUGCCUUACCACAUGACAGAUUGAAUCCUUGUUGUCUUAGGAGUCGAAAUUGAAGAGAAACAUUGUAUAAAUCAUCAUCUUUAUGCUCAACAUCAUAAUAGUUAUCAUACAUAUGUUUUAAUGCUUCUUCUAUCUCUCUUUCAAAGUGGUAUGCCACCCCAAGCCGUUGAAUUGCAUCUAUGUAGUUCAGCUGUUGUGAGGGAUUACCAGCGGCAGUUAUUAGCCUUCUUCUCACUUUCUCUUUCAGAUCUUCAACCUGCUUCUCUUUAUGGGCACGGGCUAUCUGUACCGGCAAAUUGCAUAGACAAACUAUUGCUGAGAUAGAUGGUUAAUAUACAUAUAUAGAUAGAUAGAUAGAUAGAUAUUAGAUAUCGUGAAUUACUUCAUCAGCUGGAGUGUAGCUAAUGAACCUCUCACCCCAUAUGCUAGGUGAAAAAUCUGCAGUUGGACGAUUAACCACUGGUUUAGCAUUUUGGGCAGGAGAACAUGCUGAUACUCUAAGGGGCAUGUUGGUUGGAACAAGAACUGGGGCACAGGUAAUGACCUGGUUACCCCAAGUUCUAAGGUGAAAGUUUGACAUUGGAGGGUGAAAGUUCAGUUUAGGAUUUUGGGCUGGAGAACAUUUUGAGAAGCUUAUAGACAUGUUUGUUGGAUUAACCAGUGUAUUUUUGUAUUCAUAAAUACACCGUCACUUUAACAAAGUACACGUCAGUCAUAACCUCAUAUUUUUGUAUUCAUAAAUACACCGUCACUUUAACAAAGUACACGUCAGUCAUAACCUCCAUUGGCAGCCAAAUGCCCAUGUAGUGCAUAUUGUAUUUAGUUUUUUCAAUCAUUCAACUCAAAUUAUGUUUGAAAGCAAAAAGGAUAAGCUGUUACUGUAGGAUAUAUAAUUUUAUUCAAUAGAUAAAAUAACAUUCAAAUGACCUUAAAUUUUUAUCAUAAUAUUAUUGAUAUGUUUAUAUUCCUCGCUUAUAAUCUCUUGGUAGUUGCAGAGAAAUCGAUCUUUUUGUAGAUGGUUAGAGUUUGUAGUAUUAAUUUACUUUUUAGGAGAAUUUUGGGCUUAUUUAGAGUUUUUGAAAUCUGUUUUGAAAAACUGUUUUUAAGACCAAUUUUUUUAUGUUUUUAGAAAAACAUAAUUGUGUUUAGAAUUGAAUUCUGAAAAAUAGCUUUUAUUCUAAAAAAAAACAUAUUUAAUUGAGUUAAUAAAAAAAAAAUAUAACAAAUAAGACAAAAAAAUAUAUCUGGAAGUUGUUGUUGUUUUUAAUUGAGAUUUUUUUUAACUAACUUGAUAUUGUAAUCAUAUACAUAAUUUUUAGAUUUACAUUUUAAUUAAAUUAAAAAACUAUUAUAUUAUGAAAUUUAUUUGCAUGAGUUAUAAUUUUUUCAACAAAGGAUUACUUUACCAGUAUAUUAUACAGAAUGGAAGUCUACAAAUUUGUCCACCAUUACUUCUUCACCUCAUCCUUGGACUACUAGUUCUUCAUUGCUUGUAGUCAUUUCCUUUGCAUACUCCUUUAGUUUAUACUCACUUUAAAAGUAGCCAUUACAUGAAAACCACCAUGUCAAAGUACACACUACAUGAGAAGAAUGUUUCAUUGUAAUGUAAUUGAUGAAGGGUAAUAAAGGGACUCAGAAAUGAAUACAACACCUUCUCUCCUUGUCAGCCCACCUCUGAACAAUUGAGCCGAACCUAACUCAAUGGUGUAGUUAAUACUUAGAUCAGGCCUACUUCCCCUGGAAGUUGUAAAAAUAGUCUAGGAAGAAUUUGUAGUGAACCACUCCAAUGCUAUGAGCACCUGCAAAUCAAAACAAUGGAACAGACAAAAACCAUUUUUUGUGACACUACAAGAACUAGAACAAGAGUAGAACCCGUAAAAUCAUAGUAAUCAAACACCAAAGGUCCCAAACCAGUGAUCCAUUUGCAAGAAAAGAGAAAUCAAAUUAAUGAAACACAAAUCACAAUCAUUUUAAAUAGAGCAGAGAUCAUUCAAAACCGAUGAAACUCUAGACGAUGUGUUAAUGAACCAGGAAAUAUUCUAAGAAAUCACACGAAGUGAUCUAUAUUAGCCUAGUGUUAAUAUAAAAGAUUCAUAAUUCCAAGAACAUAUGAUUCUCCAUUUUUGGAAACCACAACGCAAGAUAAGGGCUUCAAAGUAUCUAUCCUUUUUCAUAGUCUUAGUUUUUUAUCAACCAAAAUAGAGAAAAAAAAAAUACACAGCCUAUAAUCAAACCAAUUAAGUAAAAGACCACAAAUAUAUAUAUAUAUAUAUCAAAUUAAAGAUAUACUCCAAUCCAAAUCUCAAAACCAUAAAUUACUUUCAUGGAGAAGACAAAGAAAGGAAGAAAAAGACAAUACCUAAGAAACUGACAGUCUCCUUCUCAAUGAAUCCCCUUGAUGCAAAAGAUGCUAAGGUUAUUCUUAGCCUAACUGUUAGGCGAAAAGAAUCCAUAUGUUGCGACAUCUGCAAAAGCCUAACUGUUUUCUCUCCUGCCAAUAUCCAGAGGGUAGAAUAGGCCACCAGCCUAAAAUUCAAAGCUUCAUAACACCAUCAAAUAGCGUACAUACAAGAACAUGAACACAUAGAGAGACUUUUUACCCGAACAACACCUUCUCUGGCAGCUAAUAAAAGAAUAUCAGCACAUGAAACAAUUCCAGGGUAGGUUGCUUCCAGCUCUUCCUUGAUGGAGUCAAUUAUAUCAAAGCCUUUUAGAGUUUCAUUAGAAAGCGAAUCUUUCUUUGAAUGGAUUCCAUUAACCGCAUCCAACAGUACUGAUGCAUCACAUCCCUUGAUCAAUUUCAAUUAGCAAGUGGUGCAAACCAAUGACAAAUAAUCUUAAAAAUUUCCUCAUGAAUAUAGAAACAAUUUCAAGAAAUGAAAUGAAAUGAAAUGAAUUCACCUCAAAAUCUGAAAAAAAGAAAAAGAAAAAAAAAAAAAGACAAUCCAGACUAAAAUCAAUAAUGAAUAGGAAAAUUUUCUUCAAAACCAAGUUUGAAAUCAGAUUGAUUCUAGAAGAUCACUAGAAAAUUAAUGAAUCUUAGAUUAAAUAGUGAAAAAAAUAAUGACAAAUACAAGUGAACAUCAAGGAAAAUGAAUAAGAAAAAUCGCUUCAAGACCAAACUUGGAACCCAACUCAUGUCGAAUUCAGAAAAAAUACAAGAAACCCAUAUCAAAAUCAGUAAGAAAGAGGAAGAAAAACACCAAUGCAAAAUAUCAUAAACUUCUUCCCCCUUUUUGGUUUUUUUUCCAUUUCUGGUGCUUUGUUUUUGGACCCAAAACUACUAAGAACUUGCAAAUCACUGUCCUUAUGAAGAAAAGAAAAAAAAAAAAACCCUAAAUCUAGAUUUUCUCAACAACUAAGCAGAGUAACCAAGAAGAAGCAUGCAUGAAAACUAAAAGCCCUAUAGAAAUUUCAUGAUAAAUCAAAUGAGAGUGAAGAGAGGGUUGUGAAUUGCACUUGGGAUUUCUGCUGUAGGAUCUAAUUUCGCAAAGACUUCAUGAACAACUUGAAGUAGAUCAGGAUCAGUACCAGCUCCACGUUUAUAUUGAAACAUUGGAUUAAGAAAGAAUGCUACAAUAGUAAAGUAGAAAUGUAGAAUUAGAAUGUUAUGAAAAAAAUAUAUUAAAUAGAAAUAACUUUUGAAGAUGGAUAAUACUUAGUUACCUGCUGCAUAAAGAGGAUGUUUAAGAGUUCUAUCCCAACAAUCUGUGAUUAUUUCUAACACCCAUUCUCUAGCAUUAAGCCGAAUGAGGUUCUCUUUCAUAACUCAAAUCAAUUUGUACACAAAUGGCAUUGUAGGAACAACUUCUGAAUGGACAAUGCGAAGAAUCAUGUAUAGCGCCUCAUAGAUUGACACUAGUUUUCCCAUUCUCUCCCAAUACGCAUGGUCAAACAUAAGUUUUUUUAACUUUUUUGUUGAUUAAUGUGCGACUUAACUUGUGUUGUGCCCAUUCAUCACUGAUAAACACUUUAUUCAAGUUCGCCUUCUUUUUUAAAAGACUUUCAAGGGAAAUAUAAUUGGUUGCAAAUCUUGUUGUUCCAGGGCGAACCAUGUCUCCACCACACACCUUCCACAUCUGCGCAAGCAACCAACUAUGGUUAUAGAUGAAGUUGGUUAUCUUUCGAGCCUUUGUAAUCACAUGUGCAACACUCGACCUUUUACCGAUGUCUUCGAACAUUAAGUCAAUGCAAUGUGCUACACACAGAGUCCAAUAUAAAUUGUAUUUCUUCAUUAACAACUUCCUCGCCUUCACAAAUGUCGACCCAUUAUCCAUAACUAUUUGUACCACAUUUUGUUUGCCAACUUCCUUGAUCACAUCCUUUACCAAACCAUAUAUGUAUUUGUUGUCUUUUAUAUAAUUUGAUGCAUCAACAGAUUUGAGGAAGAUUGUGCUACCUUUUGAAUAUACCAUAAAAUUAAUUAUCCUUAAUUUCAUAGGCCUAGUCCAUCCGUCACACAUAAUCGUGCAUCCAUAAGUCUUUUAUUUUCUCUUUGAAUAUUAACAUAAGCUUCCAUGUCUUUGUACUCCAUAUCCAAGUACUUGUGUUUGAUUUCAUAAGGAGACGGUGGUUCUAUACCCAUACCUACCUUCCAUAUAUAAUUAAAGCAUAUAAGAACAUUUUUGGCAAUCGUACUUUAUAAAUAAUAAUGAUAUUGUUAAAAUGAAUACAAUUUUGAAAAUUAUAGUAAUUACCUACUUGUUGUGCAUCAACAAUCAUGUUCUUGAAGUGGUGAGAGUCUGCUUUAUUAGGCGCAACACUUUAAAAAAUGAAGAACUUACUGACAAACGUCUCAUGGUUUCCUUGAUGGCACCACCUUUGAAAAUAUUUUUCAUAUUUUUCUGUCUUGCUGCUAAAGAUUUGUACAAUGAGGGUGCACUAGGCGGUGAUGGAUCCGAAUAUCAAACACUUUGCAAUCUUCGCAUAUGCCUUAUUGGAUUAGUUAAAUGUGAAGACUCACCUAUUAAAAUUAUUAAAAUUAAACAUAUAUGUUAAUUUAAUAUUAUUGAUAAAGUUGAUAAGAAAUAGUAAUAAUUCAAAUUGAUAAGUUAGUCUUCCAUUUUGCAUAUACCUGUCUCACUUUUGUCUCUUACAAAAUGUUCUUUUUCUUGUUGAUUCCAUUCAAUAGCUUUUGAUGCUCGAACCGCCGCUCUAUAAGCAUGCUGCUCAUCAAGGUGCAUGUCAGCCGGAUACAUAAACACAUCAUCAUCAUCAAGGUUUUCCUCAUCCUCCUCAUCAAUUACAUGUCUAUGUAUUCCUCCCAUUGUGUCUCGCAAGUAAGCUUGGAUCUCUUCUAUAUCUAUAGUCUUUUUCGCUUUUGCCUUUUUUUUUUUUUCCUUUAGAAGUCAUCUUAUUUCUUGUUUCACUUUUAAAGGCACGUUAGGACAAUUUUUUGUAUUUGAAUGAGGUUUGUAUGCGAUAGGUGAAAUUUAAAACGAGUAAUCCUACCACUCUUUAUUGUCAACCUAUAAUAAUUGCAUGUUGUUCCAUUUUUGUUCCCUUCCAUAGGUGUACAAUAUUUCCAACAAGGAUCUCGACCCAUGAUACCGCUUCCACUUCCACUAGCUAUUUUCUAAACAUGUAUUUUAAAUUCUCAUACGAAACUAAUAUCAAAUUUAUAAUUAUUAAAGAUAAAACAUCUAAGAAAUUUAAUAUUAAUAUUAUUUAUGAAAUUGAUAAGAAACAUUAUUAAUAAAAAUUGAAAUUACAAUUGACUUAUGCAUAUAUGAAAUUGAUAAUUAAAAAGACAAACAUUAUCAUAUAUGUGAUGUGAUAUUGUAGACCCUCCAUUUUGUCCUACUAACAUAUGCCCUAUUGCCUGUUCGUUUAGUACUUUACAACAAUUCCCUCGUGGCCCAUUACUACUUGUGUAGCCUAUCUUUUCUAAGCCACUUUGGGGACUUUGGUUGAGGGAUUUAUCUAACCCCAUUGUGACUCUUGGCAGCCUUAAUUUAGACUUAGGCUCACUUAGGUACCUUAUGCCCACUUGGGCACCCUAGGCCCAUUUAGGCACACUCGGCCCAUUAGCCACCACCCUAGGCCCACUUAGGCACCUUAGGCCCACUUAGGUACACUUGGUCCAUUUAGGCACCCUAGGCCCAUUUAGGCACUUUAGGCCCAUUUAGGCACCCUAGGUCCAUUUAGGCACACUAGGUCCACUUGGCAAUUGCAUGGAUGCAUGGUUUGCAUGGCUUACAUGGUUGCAUAGCUCGUAUGGCUUGCAUGUACAUGAUUUUGUUUUUGUUUUUAUUUUUAUCUUUCUCUACACACCCUAGGCCCACUUAGGCCCACUAGGCCUACUUAGGCAACCUAGGCCCAUUUAGGAAUCCUCACAUUCUUCGUACCCUCCCAAUUCUCCACUUAUUUGGACUUUUUAAAAUUUUUUGGGACUUCAUAUGGGUUGGAUGUUGUUUAAAUAGAUUCAUUACACUUAGAAGGUGGUGAAAUGAUUUCCGGAAAAAUCCAAAUCCAAAAAUAUUAAAAAAUUAACAAGGGUACGAAGAAUGUGAGGAUGUUUAAAAUUUGUUGGGACUUCAUAUGGGUUGGAUGUUGUUGAAAUAGGUUCAUUACACUUAGGAGGUGGUCAAAUGAUAUCCGAAAAAAUCCAAAUCCAAAAGUACUAAAAAAUUAACAAGGGUACGAAGAAUGUAAGAAUCCUCACAUUCUUCGCCCCCUCCUAAUUCUCCACUUAUUUGGACUUUUUAAAAUUUGUUGGGACUUCAUAUGCGUUGGAUGUUUUUUAAAUAGGUUCAUUACACUUAGGAGGUGGUCAAAUGAUUUCCGAAAAAAUACAAAUCCAAAAAUACUAAAAAAAUUAACAAGGGUACGAAGAAUGUGAGGAAUCCUCACAUUCUUCGUACUCUCCCAAUUCUCCAUUUCGUUGGACUUUUUAAAAUUUGUUGGGACUUCAUAUGGGUUGGAUGUUGUUAAAAUAGGUUCAUUACACUUAGUAGGUGGUUAAAUGAUUUCCGGAAAAAUCCAAAUCCAAAAAUACUAAAAAAUUAACAAGGGUACGAAGAAUGUGAGGAAUCCUCACAUUCUUCGUAUCCUCCCAAUUCUCCAUUUCUUUAGACUUUUUAAAAUUUGUUGGGACUUCAUAUGGGUUGGAUGUUGUUUAAAUAGGUUCAUUACACUUAGUAGGUGGUUAAAUGAUUUCCGGAAAAAUCCAAAUCCAAAAAUACUAAAAAAUUAACAAGUACACACAUGUAGUUGAUUAUCGUCCCCUAUGUAUUGCCUUGUGGAAGAAGUAAUAUCUAAUAAAUCAUUAUAAUAAGGUGAGGGAACAAUACGUAAUAAAUCAUUGUAAUAUGGAAAGGGCGACACAUCAUAUGUAGCACCUAGUUUCUCUGGGUUCAUAGUGUUUUACUUUUGAAUAUUCCCUGAAUAUUUAAAUAAGAAUAUGUAUUACUUAAAUCACCUAAAUAUAUUAUUUAUUAUAUUAUAUUCUUUAAUACAUAUGUAUUAUUGUGAUUCAACUUGAGGAGUAUUGAUACUGAGUCUUAAAAUACAUAUGUAUGUAGAAUAUAUGUCUACAACAAAUCUGGAUCUCCUUGUUAAUGUGUAAUGGUGUUUUGGAGUACUACAAUACUCACCAAAUUAAUUAAAGAUUUCACUCUAUAGCAAAUUAUUAUUAUUAUUGUUGUUGUUAUUGUUGUUGCUAGCGUUAUUAUUAUUUAAUUCAUUAUUAUGAAAAUUAUUAUUAUUAUUACCAUUUAAUUAUUAUUAUUAUUAUUAGCUAUUAAUUUUAGUUUUUUCUUUUUCAUCUUUUCUUUUUUGUUGUUUGUUAUAUACUUCAUAAAAUUAUAAGUUAUGGUAUUUUAUUAGGUUGAAAUCGGAAGUUCAAGUUCAUUAAAGUAUGACAUAGUUAACUUAGGUUCACUAAUUUUGUAAAAAAUUUAAUGCAUUUAUAAGAUAAUUAAAUAAUACAACAAACUUAUCAUUUUACUAAUUAAGGUAUUUUAUUUUAUUUUAUUUUAUUUUUAACUUUUUUACAUGUAAGAAUACAAAAAUUAUGGUUCAAUGUGAAACUUUGGAAUUGCAUGCAUAUGAAAGUGAAAUUUGUUGGUGUCGUUCCCAACUAGAGUUAGGUUCAUCCAACUUCACUAGAGUCAGGUGGACUGCUUCCUUUCUCCAAGUCGUGAACUUAGCCGAUACUAAGUGAUUACUACUCAAAAAGUGCUAUUUGAUAGCCUUUAAUUAAUCCUUUUUAUCACUUUUGAGUAGUAGUUUAGGCCUUUUAACUCAAUUGGCAUGUUAAGGAUCCUUUAAAGCAAUUUUGAUCACUUUGUGCAAGUUUUGGUGUUUUUGUUAGUAUUGUGAUCACCAAAGCAAGUCAAGAAUGAGGAGAGCUAUGAGGAAUCUUGGGCAAAGCUUAGAAUUCAAUUGCCAAGAGUGAAUCCGGAUUGCAAGGAGAAAAAGCAAAGAGAAUCUGCCAUGGAGCAUAUUCUUGAUGACAGUCGUAGCAGCCACUUUUGGAGCACUUUCUGAAGUCUAAAUGAUGCAAGCUAUAUACCAUUUCAAAGCUCAGAAAGUCAACAAUCCAAUGCUUCAAACGGUGCGCGAUUUGGAGUUGAAACGAAGAAGUUGCAGCCAUUACAAGCCAGUCACUCUGAAGUGCUGCGGAAUCAACCUUUUGUUGCGAGAAUUUCGCAACACUUUUGUACAGUAAGGUGUUUCUUCUUCUGACGAUGCACGAACCAUGCCGCGAGAAGGGAGCUGGAAACUUCAAGAUGGAAGCCAACUUUGCAGCCUGGUGAAGAUAGCUUGGUCUUGCGAAAUAAUUUCGCAGCCCUCUUGGGUGUCUGCGAAAUUUCGCAGGCACCACUUUUCUCCUGCGAAAUGGCUCCUGAAGCCUCCCGAAGCUUGCUACCGACAUUGGGAGAUAUUUUCCAUUAGAUUUUUGUUGUCUAAAUCCCAAAAUACUCCUUGUAAACCACCAAUUACAUGAUUCCUUAGUUUUUAAGUUAGUAAAAAGACCAAAUAUCAGUGUAAGAAUUAGUUUUAUAUUGCUUUAAUAUAAAUACCUCUCGGGAGCCUGUUCUCAGAGAAGAGUUUUCUUCUGAAAACAUUUGGUAAGGAAGUAAAGGUCUUUUCUUUCUACUGCCUUACCUUCUCACUUUGUAUUUUCAUUUUAUUUCUAAGUUAUGAAUUCUCUGAGGAGUUUUCCCCAGAGAAUGAGUAACUAAACCUCCAAUUCCUUGGAGCUAAGGUUGCCGGGGAAGGUUCCAAGUGCAAGAAUGCAAAGCUCUGUGGUUUUAGCUAGUAAUGAAGAGGAAGUGAAAUCCUUUAGUGAUUUCAAUGUUUUUAGUUAACUUAAAACACCUUGGAGUCACCUGGGCCAACACUUGGUAAGGCAAGUGAUUUCCAACCAUGGAAAUGCACUAGUUUACCCCUUGCGAGCCUCUGGUAGGUGACUUCAAGGUAGGAUUUUCCGGAAUUACCAACACUUGGUAAGCUUUUGGACUCCUAGGAGACAUCCAUUAGUUAUCUCUUGCGAGUUUGUGAAAGGGAAGUCCAAGGUUAAAGAUCACCUUGAAUGGUAAGUGCUCGUGAGAGGCAUGAACCAUUGCAAGUUGCAUCAGUGAGAGAAUUAAAGUGAAAUCUAAUUGAAGGAGUCUCUGUACAUCACCGGUUAGAGAAUUGACUAUAAGUUGAAUCUCUAAUGCGAGGAAAUGAACCAUCUGACCGGAGCUAUGUCUAUUGCAUGAGGAACCACCCCAGUGAACCUAAAUCUCCAAGGAAUGCUUUUCUUCCUAAAUUAUUCCAAACUUCUGUUAAGUUAGUUAGUUUAAAUCUCAACCCUUACCAAUCAAAGUUUGUGUUUUAUUCCUUAAGCUAACCGUGAAAUGAAACAAGACCAAUUCACUUGGAAUUGGUAUCCUUGAUUGCUUGCAAAUCAUUCCCAGCGAACGAUCCUUAGAGCCACUAUACUAUAGUAGCUUUGUAUUUGCUACCCUAGUGUAUGGUGUUAUAGGUAUAAAUUUUGUUGAUCACUUCCUCAAUCAAGGAGCACCAGCUGAACACAAAUCAGCUGAGACACCAAUUGGGCAUGAAUCACUAAGUUAUGUGAUAGCACCCAAUUUUUCCGUUCGUGCUUCUUGAGAGUCCGUCCAGUUGUACUGGAAUCAGACAGACUUCUUCCCUGCACAAAAGGAUGUCCAGACAGGUGAUUUGAGCACAUCCCUCCCAAACUUAAGUCAGUUAAGGAUAGCUCUAACUUAUUUUUGUGGCAAAAAAUGAGUGUAUGGGCAUGCCUACCUUGUUCGUGCUUUUUGAGGGGUUUAUAUAGAACUGAUGAUACUGUCCCUAUAGUGUUGACUAUACACUCUAGUCUUUCUUGUAAUGAUGAUUGCCCUUAGGGCGGUUGAUUGGUGCCAUCUAUUGAUGUGCCAAAAUCUCAAACCAUGCAACUAAUUGUCCAUUUAGCUUGCCAAUGUCUGGGAUUGUGUGUAACAAUUAAUUGACAUUGACUUUUGGGUAUAAAUGGAGUCCCGUCCGCUGCUUAGAUGUCAGGCGUCUAAUCCGCCGCUCAAAUGUCAUGUGUAUGGGCCAACGCUCAGACAUCAAGCAUAGUUGAUCAUGCAUGCCAGAAAUCCUAAGGACUUGAUUAGACUGAUUUUUUCGUCUGAGAGUCCAACGAGCCCAGCCUAUCGAUUCCCUCCGACCUUGUGGAAGAAGAGAAACCUCUCACUUCUUGUGUCAGACAUAACUUAUCUUGGUCCAAACGGAUUGAUCCCAGACGGGUUACAAGUUUGUCCUGGUCGACCAAGGGGUCUUAAGCUUGAAAAUGACACAUGAAGGGAAACCCCCCACAAUGCCCCUUUAAUCCGUUUACUUCUAUUCAAAUGAAGAGGAGAUGUUUUUGGAGCGUCCAGUUAGUCUCCUAUCUGAACAGGAAUUUCGGGAUCAUUUCCAUAUUCCAGACAAUAUCCCUAUCCUUCUAAUAGACGACGAGGCGUUAUCCUCCGUUGACCUGCCCAACAACAUGAUGUAUUUUUCUAAGGAACAAUUCAUUGCAGGGCUCCGUCUACCUAUCCCCUCUCUCUUCAAGCAGUUCCUUCAUUUUAUGUAAAUCCCUUCAGCUUUUCUUCAUCCGAACGUUGUCCGGGUAUUGAUGGGAUGUAGUGUUCUAGACAUGCUCUUUUAGUUGAAUCUCUCAUUGUUGGAAGUUUUGUUUGUUUAAAAUGUCAAAAUGAGCUGGAAGGAAAGGUUCAGCUUUUCUUCCCAUAUUCCUUACUUGCAGCCGGUGACUGGUUUUCCUGAUUCAUGCAAAGGCUAGGUAAAGGGGCAUGUCCUAGUCUCCGGUCCUUGGAGUGGUUCGUCUAAGGAACCAAAUGGAGUCUUUUCUCCACAACAUUCAUUGGAGAUUUCGAGUAGGAUACACUUCCAUCACUUUCUCUAUAUUUUGCAAUUAUUUCUUCCUCGUUGUCAAUUUAUUGUUGAUCUUUUUGUUUGUGUGAUAUAGGCAAGGAGAGGCGGGGACGCCUUGUAGAGUGGGUAGACAAGGCUUCUUUCACCUACUCAACAAGUUGUUCGAAAUAAACGCAUUCGAAUGGGCCCCUAAAGUUCUUCUGUAAGAUAAUAAGUUGCUAACGCUAAUCGAUAAUCCAAAGUCGUUCAUCAUCCCCGUAUUUCCUCAUCUGGCUCCCCCGUCUUUGGUACCUGGUGAACAUUUCGUGCUAAAGGAUUUUCCAUUCUAUGAGGUUGCUCGUCUGGCAGAUUAUAAGGCACGUUAGGCACAUUUAGAGGAGUGGGAGAAAAAACAUCAGGAAAGGACAUUGAGGCAAGCUCUGACUACUAGUCUUCUAUCUUCCAAUUUUGUUGUCCAUCCUCUCACUGAAAAGAGGAAGAAACCUACUACUUUGCCUAUCUGGAGGGUAAGGACUCCACCUCCUUCAUCUUUAUCUUCUCCAUCAGCUUCAUCAUCUUCGUCAUCUCCAUCUUCUUCAUCUUCCAAUGGCAAGCCAAAAGCAUGGGUUGUCCAGGUAGUGUCCCUUAUUAUUUGUGAUGAGGAAAAAGAAGAGGAUAUGGCUUCAAACUUAAGGGUCGGAUUUCGUGAGAGGCAACACAAGGGCUUGUCCAAAUCCAUUAUUGUCAACCCUACCCCCUCUAAGAAAGCUUGUUCAAAACCUACUUCAGCUUCUGCGCUCGUGUCGGUUCCUCUGACUACUGCUAUAGUCUUCACCCCUAAGCUAGAUGAGAAACUUCCUUCUGUUGAUGAACAUGCUUAUCAUAAGACGAGGAGACCCUUCAUCAGCCCGAACAACUUCAACAAGGAAUCGUUCGAAUACAUGACUUUUUUUUCUCUUUGUUCGAAGUCAACCUAUGUCCCCAAUCGGGAGGAGGUAUUCAAGCUUUUGAAGUGAAUCCCUGUCUUCACCGAAAGAGAGUCCUUGGUACAAAACAUGGGGUACUCUUUCCAGCUACUCAACAAAUCCCAAUCGAGAUAGACAACGAUCCCAGUCGAUCUUUCAUGACCUGGCUUCUGUACGACACUCCGAACAUUGCCAUUUCUCGCAUUAUUCCCAUGCAAGACUAUAAGGCUUUUGAAACGACAAAUAUGGUAAGUCACCUACCCUUUUCUUCUCAUUUUUCCUUAGCCUCUUGUUUCACAACGAUUUCUUUAUUGCAUCUUCAGGUGAUAGUCGAAGUCUGAAACCUCAUGCGGUAGCACGCUCCUCUUUUCUAUCGAUUGGAAACAAUCGAGACCAUGAGGCCAUACUUUGCCCAUAAUAUGGAUGGGAAUGAGAAUCUUCUUGCCAGCUUGGAGACGACAAAGAGUGAAGCCAUUGUUGCCCAAAAGCUUGUUAAAGAAGAAAUCGGUCUGUUGAGGAAAACCGAGGAAGAGAAUGAGACAGUUCAAACUGAAGCUCGCCAGCUGGUUGAAAAGAAGGAAACCAUGGUGGUUGACAAAAAAAAAAAAAGGCUGAAGAAGAGGCUGCCUAGUUGAGGCAGGAGCUACAAGAUCUCCGAGCAGGGUUUGCCUCUCAAAAAGAAGACUUGGAGGUUCACUACCAAAAGCAAGUGGAUGACAUGUUCUUGUACGACUAUCGUUGUUGUAUGAAGAAACAUGGCUUCAUCCAUGAUGCUCCCAGUUUUCCUUUGGAUGACGAGGAUGAGUUUUUAGGCGACCUUGCCGAGGGAGGAGGAGAUGUUUUCAAAGGCGGUCCUUAUGGCGAGUAGGCUUGAUCUCUUUGUUUGUAUUUAUUUAUUAUGGAUGGACGUGGCCUAGACUACUACAUCUAUAAAGACAAUGAAUGCUUUAUUUUUUCAAAUAUAUUUACUUUAUCCGUUUGUCUCUCAUACAUUGUUUUCAUAAGCAAACUUUAUUGAAAGUAAUGCUUUAAAUUGGAUACAUUCCAAGAGCAGAGCAGGGGUACGUUGUCUAGUGUUUGAAGAUGGUAUACCCUUAAGUCUCUAGCCUUAGUUACAACAUAUGGCCCUUUCCAGUUAGCUUGAAGCUUUUCGGCUCCUAUUUCAGCUGUGUUCUCAAAUAUUCUUCUGAGGACUAAAGUUCCUAGCCAAAAAAACUAUGGUCGUGUUUUUUUGUUGUAAUGAGUGAUCGUCUUUUGAUGGUAAGAAACCAUUCAGAUAGUUUUGUCUCCUAGCAUUUCAUCUGCCCAAUCCAGUUGUCUUAUGAGUUUUUCAUCAUUGUUCCUCUUAUCUUAUACAACUGUUUUAGCGGUAGGCAUGUCAAUUUCAGUUGGAAUAAUGACCUUCAUCCCAUAAGCAAGGGCAAAAGGAGUAGCUCCUGUUGGCCAUCUGGAUGUCGUUCUAUAAGCCCAUAAGACUCCGAGCAGUUCAUCCACCCAUUUUCCUUUAGCUCCUUCCAGAAUUUUUUUAAUGCAUUCAGUAGGGUUUUGUUUGUCGCCUCAGCUUGCCCAUUACUCUACGGAUAGCAAAGUGUUGAAUACAGAUUCUUGAUGUUUAACUUCGAACAGAAAGUUCGGAAGACGGUACUGUAUGAUUGCUCACAAAACUCCAAAUCGACAUACGAUGUUUUUCUAGACGAACUUGAAGACAUCCUUAUCUUUGAUGCUAGCAUAGGCUUCUGUUCCACCCACUUGCUGAAAUAGUCAGUUGCAACGAGUAAAAACUUCUUUUACGCUAUUGCAACAAGCAAGGGAUAGAUUAUGUCGAUCCCCCACUGCGCAAACAACCAAGGGCUUGUAACCAGGAUGAGAGCUUCAUAAUGUACACGGGGAAUGGGAGCGUGUCUUUGACACCAGUCACAUCUCUUAACAUAGUUUUCAGCGUUUUGUUUCAUGGUGGGCCAAUAGUACCCUUGCAUGUAAGCACGAUGUGCCAAGGUUCGUUCGCCUGUAUGAUUUCUAUAUACGCUUUCAUAGAGUUCGGCUAGGACAUACUUGGCUUCUGGCUUGCUCAAACACCUUAGGUAUGGUUCUCUAAAUGAUCAUCUAUAAAGCAGGUCAUUGAUCAAAGUGAAGCGGGAUGUUUGCACGCAGAGUCUGUGCACUUGCUUCUAGUCUUCUAGUAAUUCCCUCGUCUAGAGGUAUUUUACGAUGUCAUGCAUCCAGCCAAGGUUUGCUUCAUUGGUACUGCACACUAGUUCAGGUGUGAUUAAUGGUGUGGCUUGGAGGUAGAUAGACAACAUCAUUGCCUCUUUUAUAAGGAGAGUGGCAACUAUUCUGGCCAAUGCAUCCGCCUUCAUGUUCUCCUUUCGGGGUACCAGUCUAACAAUCCACUCAUCUAGAUUUUUCAAGCGAUCUUCCACCAUGGUGAGGUAGCGAGCCAUGCGUUCGUCCAUUACUUCAUACUCUCGUUGAAUUUGCCCGACAAUUAGUUAAAAGUCGCUUCUGAUUUUCAACUUUGUUGCAGCCAGUGUUAGGGCAAGAUCUAGCCCAACUAGGACAAAUUCAUAUUCUACUUUCGUACAAUCUCUCACAAAAUUCGUACACUCUCUCACAAAGUUCGUAUCCUCUCUCACAAAGUACGUAUCCUCUCUCACAAAGUUCGUACUAUCUCUCACAAAGCCCAUACCAUCUCUCACAAAGUUCGUACCAUCUAUCACAAAGUUCGUACCCCUUCUAACAAAGUUUGUACCCCCUCUCACAGAAUUUGUACUCUCUCACAAAGGUCAUACCCUCUCUCACAAUGUUUGUACCCCCUCUCACAUUGUUCAUAUCAUCUAUCACAAUUUUCGUACCCCCUCUCAUAUUGUUCGUACCCUUUCUCACAUUGUUUUCCUUCUUCAAGAUAUAUAAAACUUCAUCUUCAAAUUUAAUCUACAAAUAAACAAAAUAAUAAUAUAAAAAUAUUGAUGACAAUUUCAUAAAAAAUGACUAAAUUGUCUCAAUUUGAUUAAUAAUAACUCAUAAAAAAUUCAAAAAUCUAAAUGUUAUAAAGCAUUACAUAUUUAAAUGUCAUUUAACAUGACAUUUAUACCUACAACAAUUAUAUUUAAAUGAAAAAAAAAAAAUAUCAAAUGUUACCUUUUAACACUUGUAAUCACUUGACAUCCUUCAUAUAAUGUCUUCUUCAAGACAUAUAAAACUUCAUCUUCAAAUUUAAUCUAUGAACUUACAAAAAAAAAUGAUAUAAAAAUAUUAAUAACAAUUUGAUAACAAAAUUUAAUAAUAGACUCAUAAAAAAUUCUAAAAUUUAAAUUUUAUAAAUCAUUACAUAUUCGUUAUUUAACAUCACAUUUUUACCUACGAAAUUUAUAUUUAAAUAAAAAAUAUCAAAUAUUACCUUUGACACUUGUAAUCACUUGAAAUCUUUCAUCUUUUUCGUAUAAUAGAAAUUUUAAAUUUUCUCCCUCAAAAAGUUUCAAACUUGAUCUUCAAAUUUGAUUUAUCAAAACACAUCUCACAUAUUUUAUAAUAUGGUAGUUGAAACUAUUUAAUUUUCAUAUUAAAUUAGUAUCCCUUUUUGUAUAUAUGAAUAAUGAGAGUAUAAGGGUAGUUGGUAGAAUUUUCUUUUUUUGAUAGAGUUAAGUAGCAUUAAAUAACAAAUUAUAUUUGAUAUUUAAUAAUAAAUUAUAAAAAAAUUAUAAUAUUUAGAUAUGUAUGAAUUGCAUGUGAUUAUUUCUCACAAACAAGUAAGUUUUUAAUUUUUUUUUUUAAGUGGGUAGGUACCUAAAAUAAAGAGUGGGUACCAAAGAACGAUAUAUAUUUUGUCUAUAUUCUGUAAGUGGCUGAAUGAUAAGAUGCCUGUUGGUGAAAGAGAUGCCUGUACGUCGUCUUAAAAGAUGUUUAUAUCAAACAAUAUAUAUUUGUCUAUAUUCUGUAAGGGGCUGAAUGAUAAGAUGCCUGUUGGUCAAAGAGAUGCCUGUACGUUUGUCUCAAAGAUGCUUGUUUAUAUCUAAGAAACAAAAGAUUCACAAAAAAAAAAAAAAAAUGAUGCUUAGAUUAUAAUAUUGAUCCUUGUUCUAUUUGGUUUAAGAGAAUAGUUUGACAUACAUGCAUAAGGUAAUUAUACAAUUGUAUCAAACAAAUUCCUGGUCAAGUGUCACGUUCAAACAAGAAGAUUAAUUAAUAAAAAAGGUCAUUUCUAGGAGUAAAAAAAUUAUGAAAAAUAUAUCAGUUUUAACCACUAAUAUUAAUUAUUAGCAAAAGUCACUUUGAACCAUAAAAAUAAAAAGAAUAAAAAAAAUUGAUAACAAAAUAUCACGUUGAACCACAAAUAUUAACUCACAGCAAAAGGUCACCCUACGCCAUACCUACUAACAGAAACAUGUUCUGUAGUUAACAUGUACACCAAACCAUCACUUUAACAAAGUAACGUCGGUCAUAACCUCCAUCUUACAUAUUUUAUAAUAUGAUAAUUGAAAUUAUUUAAUUUUCGUAUUAAAUUAAUAUAUUUUUUUUAUAUAUGAAUAAUGAGAGUAUAAGGGUAGUUGAUGAUAAGAUUUUCUUUUUUUAGAUAGAAUUAGGUAGCAUUAAAUAAUAAAUUAUAUUUUUGAAUUAAAUCUACCGCAUUCAUUGAACUGACUUAGUCCCAUUUUCCCAAUCAACUUAGCACGUUGUUUGAAUUAAAUACCUACGGAUUGAUAUUGUUUGAAACUCAAGCAGACCAAUAUUUUAUAGUCUAUUCUGAGCACGACUGUUUCACACCGUGGGCCCCAAAACUAAACCAAAUCCCACGUACCAUUCAACUUAAUACAACCGCUGCACGCUACUGACCAAUUCUUUCUAAUUUUAGUAAAUAGUACAUAAAAAAAGGACAAGAGACUCUAAAAAAAGGAAAAAAGAAUAGAAAAAAAGGUCCAAUUCAUACCUUAGCCGCCCCUAACGGUUUGGGCUUUUGCGUGAAUUUAGGCAAGGGGUUUCUCUUUCAUGUCAUCAAUCUCUUUCAUACAUUAUAUUCAACAACAUACAGCUUCAGGAGGCCAUUGCUCCCCUAUAAAUGCAAUGGAGCUUCCCAAGCUUUUGCACUCAUACUUUGCAAGUCAGUUUUCAAAGAAGUGUUCUACUACCAUUCCAAAAAAUUAACAUGUCGGGUCAAGUCUUAGCAAGCCCUCUAGGCCAAUUUCCUGAUCUGGAAAAUCGUCCAGUGGUCAAGUAUCACCCUAACAUUUGGGGUGACCAGUUCUUAUCCCACACUCCCGAAGACGAGGUAAUUGAAUGAAAAUCUGUGUUAAAUACCUGUAUAUUCGAAGGUUGUUUUUCUUGAUGUGUUGUUUAGUAAAAUUACUUGGUUGCCAUAGGUAACACGUGCCUGCAAAGAGAAGCAGCUUGAAGAUCUGAAAGAGGAAAUUCGAAGGAAGCUAAUGAAUACAGCUGGUAACACUUCCCAACAACUAAAAUUUAUCGAUGCUGUGCAACGUCUUGGGCUGGCAUACCACUUUGAAAGAGAGAUAGAAGAAGUGUUACAACAUAUUUAUGAUAGCUAUCCUAAUGGUGAUGAUAUGGAAGGUGAUAUCUAUAAUGUUGCUCUUCAAUUUCGGUUACUAAGACAAGCUGGGUUCAAUAUUUCAUGUGGUAAGAGCCCAAAGAAUUGUCAUGUAUAAGCUAAAAUGUAUCCUUCUCAUAAUUCCAAUCUUAUGUAUGUUUAAAUUACGGUAUUGUGUAGGCUUGUUCAAUGAGUUCAAGGAUGAAAAGGGUAACUUCAAGAAAGCUUUGAUCAGUGAUGUAAGAGGCAUGCUAGGCUUGUAUGAGGCUGCACAUCUCAGAGUUCGUGGAGAAGACAUACUGGAUGAAGCACUUGCUUUCACCACCACCCAUCUUAGGUCCAUGGUAGAACAUUUAGAAUAUCCUUUUGCAGAACAAGUUGUUCAUGCCUUGAAGCAGCCCAUUAGAAGAGGUUUAGAGAGGCUAGAGGCAAGGUGGUAUAUAUCUAUCUACCAGGAUGAAACUUCGCAUGACAGAACUCUACUAAAGCUGGCCAAGUUAGAUUUCAAUCUAGUGCAGUCCCUACACAAGGAGGAGCUAAGCAAUAUUUCUAGGUUUGCUUUCAAAUCACUAGCAGAUAUACGUAGUUACCUUCUCAUUUUAACCUGAGCUAAUUGUUUCAAUGAAUUUUAGGUGGUGGAAAAAAUUAGACUUUGCUACAAAGCUACCUUUUGCGCGAGAUAGAUUGGUGGAAUGCUACUUCUGGAUACUUGGGUUUUACUUUGAGCCUCAAUAUGUCUGGGCUAGACGAAUUCUAACCAAAACAAUUGCCUUGACAUCCACUAUGGAUGAUAUAUAUGACGCAUAUGGCACAUUUGAAGAACUCAAGCUCUUCACCGCGGCCAUUGAGAGGUUUGAUACAUGCAAAUUACCAACCUUCAUCAUUUAUACCGUAUGUGAUACUUAAAUCAGGCCUGGUUUUAUUUUCAGGUGGGAUAUUAACAGCAUAGAUCACCUUCCAGAAUACAUGAAACACUUUUAUGUGGCACUCUUAGAUGUGUACAAAGAAAUUGAGGAAGAGAUGGAGAAAGAAGGAAACCAAUAUCGGGUUCAAUAUGCCAUAGAAGCAGUAGGACAUUCUGCAUUGACUUUGUUUUGUAUACUAACAUAUCGUUGGGAUAUAGAUGUGACUUGAUUGAAUGUUUGACAGAUGAAAAACCAAGCUAGAGCUUAUUUUCAUGAGGCUAAAUGGCUCCAUGAAGGACGCAUACCAACAGUGGAAGAGUAUAUGAGUGUAGCACAGGUAAGCUCAGGUGACUCCAUGCUUACAAUCACGUCUUUCAUUGGUAUGGGAAAAAUCGUAACAAAGGAGGCCUUUGAUUGGGUGAUCACUAACCCCAAGAUUGUCACUGCAUCAUCUGUAAUUUCUAGGCUUAUGGAUGACAUCACUUCACAUAAGGUAUUGUGAAUAUAGUAUUUCUUGUUAAGCUAUAAUUUGACCUUAACCUUAAAGCUCAAUCAAACAUAUUUACUGCACUGUUCUUCUAAACCAUAUAUGCAGUUUGAGCAAAAGAGAGGACAUGUUGCCUCAGGCGUUGAAUGUUACAUGAAGCAAUACGGUGCCUCUGAGGAAGAGGUAUACGAUAAGUUUCAGAAGCAAGUUGAGGAUGCAUGCAAGGAUAUUAAUGAGGAGUUCCUACGACCUACGGCUGUUCCGAUGCCUCUCCUUAUGCGUGUGCUUAAUCUUUCUCGAGUGAUGUAUGUGAUCUACACGGGGGGAGAUGGGUACACUCAUGUUGGAAAAGUGAUGAAGAAUAAUGUUGCAUCACUGCUCAUUCACCCUAUCGCAUGACCAAAUGGAUCAAGUUGAUGAGCAUCUACAUAUUUUGCCAUACCUAAGGAGUAAGAUGAAUAAAAAUGAUUGUAAUAAUAUGGGAUAUUGUUACAAUGUUUGAUACUAGUUUCUCUCUCGGUUUGGUCGCAUCCAUUUUAAUAUAUGUUUAAAACACAUGGAUCAAGUUUGAUACUUUUCUGUCAUUUAAAGUUCACGUGAGGGAGAAAAUUCUCCAUAGAAAAUCACUUGGCGGAGAAAAUUCAAACAACACGUGUAUUCACUAUGGAAGUUACCAGGAAAAAGAUGUUUUGGUCAGACCGCUUAUAUGACCUUAUUAGCAGAAGAGGGUUCAGAGCAAACAAAGACAUAAAACACUAAAAAAUUCAUCCUAACGGGUAAAAUAUGAUUAUUAUUAUUAUUAUUAUUAUUAUUAUUAUUAUAAUAUUAGACAUGAUAAAAGUUUUAUUAUAUAAGUUAUGAUAUUACAUAAGAUUGGAAUUCAAAGUUCAAGCACAUUAAACUAUGCAGAGUUUAAAUUUUUGCCAAAAAAAAAAAAAAAAAUUGGAGAAUCAAUUCAAUCAACUCAUCAUUUUCCAAGCAAGGAUUACAAUAUUGAAAAUUAUAGAAGGAUCGAUGAUUAUAUUUUAAAAAAAAAUCUUGGAAUGAAACAAUAAUACAUGUAUAGAAGUUUUUUAAAUAAUAUAUAUAUAAUAACAUUUGUGAUAUUGAAUAAUAAUCCAUAGAGCUUGAAAAUGCAUUUAAUUAUAAAAUAUAUAUGAUUCCAUGUAAUUUGAUAAUAAGUAUUUAUAAUUUCAUUUACAACAUUAUUUCUUCCUCAUUAUUUAAUUGAUAUAGACAAGGUAUAAAAAAAAAGACUUACAAAAAGAAUUAUCAUAAGGUUUUAUUUUUUUAACAAUAAGUUAAAAUAAAUUUGAAAAAAAAAGAUAAUUAAAAUUAAUACAUUUUUAAACAUUUUAUUUAAUAUUUUAUCUUGUGCAUAAAUAUGUCAUAAGAAUAGGAUAAAUAUAGUACAUGUGAUUGUAAACAAUAAGGCCAAGUAGCCUAGGUGGCGAAGUAGCCACCUCCCUUCCUAAUGUAGUUGAAAUUACCAUAAAUUGCCAAAAUUAGUGAUUAAUUGAAAAAAUAACAAAAGAACAUGAUUAAUCAAGAUAGAUUAUCAAAAUUUCAACAAAAAUUCAUUGAGUGAAAUUCUCCCAUAAUUUCCUAUAUUGGUGAUAUUUUAAUUAAGAUUAUGUUCUAAUGGUGAUAAAAACAAAUUAAGACAGCCUUCAAAUCAAAUGUACUUUGCAAUGAAACAAAUUAUGCUUAGUAGACAUAUGUAUGUUUUUGAAAAGGAUGGAUGUUAAUUUCAGAUUUUGCUUUGAAAUUAAGCCAUCUGACACAGUUGUCUUUUAAAGACGACUUUAGUGAAUGCAACUUCAAAUGACCAAUAAUGCACGGUAGCAGUAAGCGAAGACUCAUUAUUUUGACUUCAAGGCAUUAAUUCAUAUUUUAACCAUUACACAACAGAAUAUAUAUAAUAUUUAUAAGUAACAACUUUCUUCUUAAGCAAAGCAGACAAGAAAGACUACAAAAUCUAUACCAAACAGAAUAUCUACUAGGAAUUUAAUUGAUUGGCUCGAACCCAAACUACCUAUGGACAAAUUUGGAUAAUUAUUUCUAACACAAUGAAUUUUUCACAUGUUCCUACUCAAUGAGGAUACUCAUUUAUUAUGAAAAAUGAUUAUUUGAAAACCCUUUUUAGGUUUUUUAGAGUGAUCAUUUAUUUUAUUUAUUUUUAAAAAAGGAAAACAAAAUGAGAAAAAAAAAAAAAAAGACAAGUUCAUAAACCAAGAUUGAGUUAGAAGUCAAAUUACCUAUUGGGAAAAUACAAAGAUAAGUCAUACAAAACAACCAUCUAAGCUUAUAUACCUAUAGUCUUUACUAAGCAAAUGAAAUAAAUUAUGACAAUUAAAUAAUUGAUUAUGGAUGCUCAAGAAAAGAAAAACACAAAUAUAAAACAAGUCAUGGUGUUUAUCAUGUCAGAAAAAUAUUAUUAAAAAAAAACAAAUGAUAAGAGAAUUUGUAUAAAUUGAUUUAUGAAACUAAUUAAAAACAUGGGUUUAAUUAUUUCUAAAUUCAAAGGAUUAAAAAAAUUAUUCCAAUUUGAUGGUUUCAAUCUAUUUUAAGUAUAAACUAAAUUUUUGAUUUCGUUUUUUUUUUUAGAAAAAAAUGCUUCACUUUAUUCAAUUUAUAAAAAAAUGUUUUUUAUUUACUUUUUCUGCAUAAAAAUAUAAAAAAAAUGGUUUUUAUUUACUUUUUCUUCAAAAAAACAAAUGUAGUUGUCCUAUCUGGUUUUUGUCAUAGUUGGCACCCGAUCCAAUUGGUCAUGACAGUUUAGUAUCGUUUUCAACGUAAGGUGCACCUGCACGAUCAGUCAUGUUGUUGUCCUAUUUGGUUUUCGUCACAGAUGGCACUUGAUCUUAUUGGUCACAACAACUCAGUAUCAUUUUUGGUAUAGACCCUACCUAUACGAUCGAUCACGUGAAGGGAAAAACCCAGAUCUCUCUAUUUCCCAAGUUCGGAUAGGUUAGGAACAUGCAUAACUAUCCUAGGCUUUUUCUAAAUCAUAUACACAAUAAAUAAAUAAAACAUUUUAUACUUUCAAAGGAAUCCAAAAGUGAUAAUGAAAACCAUACCUCAUACAUAAAUGUUCUUGAAUCAAAUCCGCAUAGGGAAAAUAAAGAAGGAAAUCAUAGAAGUCUUGUAAACCCGAAGUCUUCUGCCCAAUGAUUGGAACCUUGAUCUUGGCAGACUUCCGAUGGGGAUGGAAGGGAGGGUGGAAGCUAUGACUCUUUCUCUCUCUCUCUCUGGAGGUGGAAAAUGACUCUCUAGAAAAACUAUGGGAACCCUAACCCCUAAGGGGGUAUUUAUAGGGUUUCCUAUUAGGAUUAGGUGACUUGAGCCCACUAAGGGCUUAGGUUACUUAAUGUAACCUAAAACGAGGACCUAAUUGAUUAAUUAAACCAAUAGGGCCUACUAAUUAAUCAAUUAGCCCAAUCUAGAUACCUUAUUCACUUACCUUGCAUAAUUACCAAAACAUCUUUAUGAAUAAUAGUGAACCUAGAGCAAAUCCAAUCCUCAUAACCAAUUCUAACAAGGUAUAUGAGCACAAAACGAGGACGAUUGGGACCCAUAGGAAUAUUGGCUUCCUUAUAAUCCAAUUCUAAAGUUGAUUCAACAUUCCACUAUAGAGAAUCAAUUGAACUCUAGUAUCCUAUGUAAAUAACAACGAGACACCAAGUGCUUAGGUUUGUGACAUGUUAUCCAUUGUGUUUAAUCUCCCCAUGAACUAGUGUCCUUAGUUAACAAGGUGAAAACUAUCAGCCUUUCAAGACUACCUCUACCAUAUUUGAGUUAUAGAUCCUCCUAUUGUGUGUUCAAUUGACAUAUUUUAACUCUCAAAGAGCCUAUGUCAAGUUCCACUUAAGGAACUACUAUGGCCAUAGUUACCAUGAACACAUCUCCUUAGGAUCACCCAAGGGGACACACUAUCUUAAUCCUAAGAGAUAUCAUGUUGCCUCUAUAUACCUAUUGAGAAUACCUAUUGCUAUUGGCUUUCAUCAACAAUGACCCAAUCCAUAGGGAAUAUAUGAUCAACUUACAAUCUCACCCGUAGGUCAAAGCCACUACUAACUUCAGCAUAAGCUUAUUACUCUCUCAAGGUUGAGAGAUAAACACAAUGAAACAUCUUAGUGGAGUCAUGACUACUUGAUAGCCUUAAGUCAUAACUCACCAUAGGUCCUGUCUAAUGUGCAACCUACACACUAGUGCACUCACCAUGGGAAACUCAUCCCAAUAGCCAAGACCAGUUAUCCCUCCAAUUAGGAGGUGGUUCACUAUAGUCUCUAAUGGAUUGCCUAGGCCCAUGAACCGAUUGUGAACAAGUCAUCAAUUUGUAAGGAACCCAUGACUUAGAUCGUAUGUGCAACUCCUAAUGCACCUAAGUCACGUACAAUGCAAAAUACGUAGGUAAGAAUGCUCAUAAAGUAUAAUACAUGUAAUAAGGAUAGGUAAGAGUGAAACUAAAACAUCAUUAAAUAACUAAUAAAUUCCAAACUUAUUACAUCAUGUCAUGCUUUUAAGGGCUCUAUCCUAACAUCACGUCGUUGUGCUACUUGGUUUUCAUCACAAAUGGCACCCAGUCUGAUUGGUCUGAUUGGUCAUGAUAAUUUUCCUGGCCAAAAAGUGAUACAUAUACUAAACAUUCCUUUUUUAUUUUUAUGCAGAAGUGAAUACUUUUAUAAUUUUUGUUACAACAUGAUUUUUACAAUUUUAUUUUAAAAGAAAGUAUCCAAAUCUCAUCUUAUGUGCAAGAGAAUCUUUUUACAAAUUUAUUUUUAAAAAAAUAUUUAGAAAUUACUUUAAAAAAGAUUUGUACAAAUUUAUUAAUAAAAAAUAAAUAUUCAGAUCCAAUUUUAUUCACAAAAAAAAAAUGAAUUUUCUUUUUUAGUUUUUAUUGAAAAUAAGACUUUUACAAUUUUAUUUAAUUAGUAUGAAAAUCCAAUUCCAUUUUAUUAAUACUAGAACUGAAUUUGAACCAAUAAUAAUUAUUUAAAUGAGCAAGUCUAUUUUAUAAAGAGACAAUAAAGUUUGGAAGGAAGUACACCCGUGUUGGACGUUGGUUUGGAGUGGGGGACCAUCACCAUUGAAUAACGACCUUCAGUGUUCUUCUAUAUAUAGAAAGGGAUGUGAGGUGAUGUUGUGGGUUUUGGAUGUUAAUAUGAAAAAAAGGGUCAAGUGUUUUGCAAAUGGCCCCACUUGGUAUUACUGAGUGUGGAUAUGUUGGAGUUGUUUUGGGGCUUAAAGUUUUAGUUUGACUUGUUUAAAUUUCCCUUUUUUUCACGUACAUUGUAUUGACUCUUCUCAUCGUUGUUGUCGCAUUCCUAGGUCCUUAUUUUAAUAAUUUAUUAUAUAUAUAUAUAUAUAUAUAUAUAUAUAUAUAUAUAUAUAUAUAUAUAUAUAUAUAUAUAUAUAUAUAUAUAUAUUUUAUAUGAAAUGCAAAAUAUUUGAGUGGUUGCUUAUAAUAAUUUAAAAAAGGUUGAGUAUAUAAUAUUUGGUCAAAUAUGUUUCUACUAUCAUUUAUUAAAAGUGGUAAAUAUUUGCUAUACCAUUUGUAAAGAAAUUAAGAUUUGUUCUACUAUCAAUUGUUAAAGUCGUAAAUAUUUGUUAUACCAUUUGUAAAGAAAUUAAGAUUUGGCAACUAUAUUUCUUCUAUCAUUUGUUAAGGUGAGUAAAUAUUUGACUAUAAUAUUUCUAAAGAAGUUAAGAUUUGGUUAUGUGGACCCCUACAUUUUGGAUCAAUGAGUUCCAUUCGAUGGCGAACUCGUUUUUUAUUUGAAAAUAAUUUUUAUUUAUUAAGAACAUGACUUGGAGUCGCCAUUUAUUUUUGUUUUAUUUUUAAAAAGGGUAAACAAAAUAAGAAAUAAAACCCUAAGUAUGACUUCUUAUUUUAGAAAAGAUGGUCCAUGAAAAACCGGAUCGGGAUUAAGGGUCAGAUUACUUAUCGGAAAGGUACAGAAAAGAUCACAGCACCCUCUAAGUCCCUAAAAUCGGAUUUAUAAAAUGAAACUGAUGUGACAAUCAAUAAGAAAAUCAAUUGAUACUCAAAUCAAUCAUGCACAUAUCGAAAUCAGAACGUGCAUAGAGAAUGACCAGAAUGGGAGUGGAUGCGUACUUGGGCUACAAUGCGCUAUCAAGAAAUAGGGUUAAUGCAUAAUAAAUAAAUAUAAAAUAUAAUACACAUGCAUCACUAAAUAGGGUAAAAAUAGUCAUUAGAUAGCACUCCACACUUCACUCAAAUUUAUUUUUAAAACUUGGAUGUUGGGCCUCCACCAAAACCCAAUUUAUCACAAAUUUCAUUAUUUCAAAAUUAUGAAAAAUUUGUUCUAACUUAUGCAAAAUAAAGAGAAACAUAAAGUUAUUUGAAAACCAUAAUAAAAUUAAGACUGAUCGAGAGAAAACUAGAUUUUUGAAAUUUAUUUGAAAAUUGGAGUUUCGAAAAUUAUUUGAAAAUUGGAGUCUUGGAAAUUAAAUUUAAGAAUUGGAAUUUUGAAAAAAAAUGUUUAAAAAUGGAAUUUUAAAAUAAAUAAAUAAAUAAAUAGAAUAAUAAUAAUAGCAAAAAAUAAUAAUGAUUAAAUAAAUGAAUGUCAAUAUUGAAAAUUUUUAAAUUGGAAAAAAAUUAUUUAAAGAUGAAAUUUUAAAAUAAAUAAAUAAAUAAAAUAAUAAUAAUAAUAAUAAUAAUAAUAAUAAUAAUAAUAAUAAUAAUAAUGAGAAUAAUGAUUAAGUAAAUAAACGUGAAUAUUGGAAUUUUUGAAAUUAGAAAUUAAAUUUGGAAUUUUGAAAAAUUGUUAUUGUUUAAAGAUGAAAUUUUAAAAUAAAUAAAUAAAUGGGAUGAUAAUAAUAAUAAUGAAAAUAAUAAUUAAAUAAAUGAACGUGAAUAGUGGAAUUUUUAAAAUCAUAAAUUAAAUUCGGGAGUUGGAAUUUUGAAGAAUAGUUAAAAGAUGGAAUUUUAAAAUAAAUAAAUAAAUAGGAUGAUAAUAAUAAUAAUAAAAAUAAUAAUUAAAUAAGUGAACGUGAAUAGUAGAAUUUUUUAAAUCAUAAAUUAAAUUUGGAAGCCGAAAAAAAAUAAAAAUAAUAAAUAAUAAAUGAAUAAAGACAUAGACACCACCUAUAAUCUAUUUCUAUUUCCAUAUGUUUGGUUUCUAAAAUUUUGAAGACUAGCGGGGUUUUACUGCAAAUUCGGGUCGAUUUGAUAAAAAGGGUUUUUACGGAUACUGCAACUGGGGUUUGGGGAUGCUGCUUGAGAUGGACAGGUAAGAGUGAGGUAGAUUUGAGUUUGCUGGUUUGGAUUGUCUGAACAUUUCCCUUUUUUAUUUUGGGGGUUUAAUCUUUGAGUUACUCUACUCUGGUGUUUGGCUGAGCCCAUUUGGGGAUGUGAUUUGAAGGCAGAGCAAAAUAAUUGGGUUUUUGGAAAAUAAACAAAUGAAUAAAAAGAAUAAUAAUAAAAACAAAAUGAUAAUUAAAUAAAUGAAUAUGAAUAUUGGGGUUUUUUUUUUUAAAUGAGAAACUAAAUUUGAAAACCGAAAUUUUAAAAAAUUGUUUAAAAGUGGAAUUUUGAAAUAAAUAGAAUAGUAAUAAUAACGAAAAUAAUAAUUAUUAAAUAAAUAAAUAUGAAUAUUGAGAAAUGGAAUUUAGGACCUAAAAAUUUUAAAGAUGAAAGAUUAGAGAGUUAAAUUAUUUGGAAACUAGAUUUUUGAAAAUCAAUUUUUAAGGAUUGUGGGCUUUGGAAAUGGGCCAAGAAAGGUGGCCAUGCAAACUGGAAUCAUGCACGUGGACCCAAUCAUAGUUGGGCUCAACCUCUUUCAAAGAGCCCAAAAUAUCAGGAAUGAAAUACUUGUGGUUUCUCAGUAAACAACAUCUCCAAUUGGAUUCCGGUUGAAGUAGCCAAACAAAACAUGUCUUGUGAUCACUACUAGGCCUUCGCUCCUAGCCUUCAAUGAUACCAUCAUGCGCACGUACUCCUCAAGCUUUUGGACUAGGAAAUAACAAUCUCCAUGACUUCAACCCCAAGCUGAACUUCACCAGUAUGACCAUGUUCAUGGAAAUAACAAACUCUACCUAAAUCAGUUUCUAUCCAAUUAAUACUAUAUCGAGAUAUUUUCAUUGUAUAACUAGGUCCAAUUUAAACAUGAAAUAAGAGGUGACUAGUUAAAGAUAUGAUACCAGUAAUAAAUAUAAUAAUUCCAUGCAUUAAUAAAAGGAACUGAGCAUUCAAGGCAAGUUGGUAAUUAAUUUAGCAAAAAUGUAGUGCUUUGAAACUACAUGUCCUUUUGCAAGGUGUCCUAAUAUCAUAAGAAUCAACCCUACUUUAGGCAGGUCAUGACUCUUAUUACUAAGAUAGAGACCCUAUUUAUUUGAUAAACUUGCCUUAAACUUUAAAAGUUAACCUAAGGCAUUGAUCAACAUACCUUUCUUGUUUAGCCCUUAACCCAUGCAAUUGGUACUACUUGAAGUGAUUCUACCUCUUCAUGUCCAAGUUAAGUGUGUAACAAAGAUCCUUGACAUAAAUGUUAACAAGUGAAGAGUUUCAUCUUUAGGAUUGGCCGCUCUCACCACAAACAUAUAUAGUCUCAUCCAUAAAGGAUAGUCCAUAUCCCUUAAUUCCUUGGGUCAUCCCCUCUUUAGGAUGGUGAUGUACCCAAAAUCAAGAUGGGCUCGAUCUUGGAAGCUAUGGGCUUGCCUAUAGCCCUCUUCCACUUAAUCUUUUGAAAUUAGAGCUUUUAAAACAUUAGUAAUUGCCUAUCCUCUUUAAAAUUUCAAUGAGAGUAUUUUAUCCACAAAUGAAUUUUGAUAAAAUGUCCAUUCUCAAAUUUUAAAAUCUAUUUUUCAUAAAAAAAAAAAAAAAAAAAUCUCCUUCUUUACACAAUUACAAUUAAUAAAUAUUUUGUCUAUGAAAUUGUGGACCCCGCAUUUCGGCUCAAUGCGUUUCCCACUCGAUGGCAAGCUCGAUUUUUAUUUUGAAAAAUAAUGAUUUAAUCGGCUAAAAAAAAAGCGGAUUUGGAGUCACCACUUAUUUUUGUUUUAUUUUUAAGGGUAAACAAAAUAAGAAAUAAAAACCCUAAGUGUGACUCCUUGUUUUGGAAAAGGUCGGUCUACGAAAAAACAGAUCGGGUUCGGGGGUCAGGUUACUUAUCAGGAAGGUACGGUAUGAACCGUAGCACCCCUCUAAGCCCCUAAAAUGAGUCUCUACUAAUAAAAUGAAGUAGUCAUGGCAAUUAAUUAGGAAAUCAAUGAAUACUCGGAACUAUCAUGCACAUAUGAGAAUCAGAGUAUGUAUAGUGAAUAAUCAGAAUGAGUGAAUGCGUACCUGGGCAACAAACAACAACGCGCUAUCAUAGAAUGAGGUUAGUGAAUAAACACAAAAUGGUGAUAUGCAUAUCAUGGAACAUAGCAAAUCAAUCAAUCAAUCAAUUAGUCAUGAAUUCACAUAUGUAGGGCCCCCACCAAAGCCCAUUUUAUCUUACCUGAAUCAAUUCCGAUAACUCCAUCGUUCGGAAUUACGGAAUUUGAUUCCUUGCUUAUUUCAAAACAUUUUAAAAACAGAGGAGGUAUGUAAAUUACUUGCCAGAAAUAAAAGCGGCGGCAAAGUGUUAUUGAAAAUGUGAUUUUGGAACCUAAAGAAACUCUAAGGAUGAAGUAUGAGACAAUUGGGAUUAUUUGAGUACCAGGAUUUAAAAGAAUUUACAAAAUGGGAUUCCGGAUGAGAUAUCCGGGGAAAGCGGAACGUCGGCAGGCAGAAUUCCGGGUGCGAGAUGUCCGGGUGGAAUGUUGGGGGGGAGGAAUUCCGGAUGCGAUGCGUCCGGAUGGAAUGGCGGCGGGAGGAAUCUCCGGAUGCGGGGGGCGUCCGGGUGGAAUGGCGGAGGGAGGAAUUCCAGAUGUUGGGGCGUCUAGGUGGAAUGUUAGCGGAGGAGCGGGAGGCAUUCCGGGUGCGAUGUGUCCGGAUGGAAUGGCGGCGGGGGAAUUCUGGAUGCGAUAUGCGUCCGGGUGGAGUGUUAGCGGAGGAGAAAUUCCGGAUGCGAUGGGCGUCCGGGUGGAAUGGCGGCGGGAGGAAUUCCGGAUGCGAUGCGUCCGGAUGGAAUUAACAUGGUUGUGAGUAGCAUGAAGAAUGGGUAUGGACUGUAUGGACAUGGGGGCUUGGGUGAGUGGUUUUAAUGGGUAUGCAAAGGAGUGAAGGAUGGCAUGCACCCGUGAGACUCCAUGUAAGCGGGGGAGUGGGAUGGAGAAUGAAUGAGAGGCGGAUAGGUGUGGUGGAGGAUGCUUGACUCCUGCAAGCUCGAGUGAGGAAAAUGGAUAUGACGACCUAGAGAGAGAGAUAGAUAGAUGAACGAUGGGUAUGUAGGCAUAUUGGAUAAAACGAUGAAUAACAAAUGAAAAUGGGUAUGGAGAGGCUGAUGAGGUGAGCUUUGCCGCCAUGACAACUACCCCAGGUUUUUUAGGAUCUCUUUCGAGCGGGGAUGAGAAAUUGGACGCGUACCAUAACGGACAUCAAGAAACAGGGGAAGUAGAGAAACAGAACGUAAAAGAAGAUGAAUAAAUAAAGGAAAAUAUCAGAAAAUCCACUUCAUGAAUCAUGCAUAAAUCUUCUGAGCAGGUGGGUAAACCAUAUCGGAUGCAGCCACCCUCAUGACUCUCAAGCAUUUCAUAACCACAACAGGAACAUAUCAAAUUAAAAUGGACAAUGGCAAACACGUUUGCAAGGUCAUACUUCAACAAGCAGACUGGUGGCCUUCAUUAUCCACCCUAAACAACAUUAUGUUAUGGAAAAUCAGUGAAUAAUGAGAGACGAGGAGAAAACUGUGUACGUACCUGGUUCCUCAAGCAAAAAGAAAUCAAGUCUCAGCUCUCUCAAUGGAUUUUCUCUCUGCCGUCAAGAACUCUCCCCUGGCCAUGGAAGACCUUGCCGAGCAAAUCUCCUUUCUCUCGAAAAUCCCUCAUCUAGCCAACUCUUCCCUCACAAAACUUUCUUCCUUCUUUCCUUUCUUUUCUCUGCCUUUCUUUCUGGAUUUACCUUCUCGACCAUCUCUGCCGCAGCCACCUUUUCUCUGCCCUUAUCCCCCUUCUGCGGCCACCUUUUCUCUGCUCCACUCCUUCUACAGCCACAUUUUUCUAAUUCACUCAUUCUAUAGCCACCUUUUUGUCCCACUCCUUUUGCAGCUUCAAAAAGCGAAGUUGAUUCCUUAUGGCCACUAAGGAUGUGACACGUGGCCCGUUGGGAUAGUGACACCUGGGUAAAAAUGUGAUCUGCAAAAACAAAUAGAGAAGAAGUGACCCAUACCUAAAUGGGGGUCUACAAAUAUGCCCCUCUUCGGUAGAACUCACGAGUGCAAGGAAUAUGAACACUGAAGUGAAAGGGAAGUGUGAAUAGUGAGUGGAAUGAAGUGAACUCUACCGAAGAACCAAGGAGACCCCCAUAGGGACACUAGCAAACACUACAAGGAAAAUGUAAAAAGAUGACGUUUUUUAAGCAUCAAGAUAGAUAUAAGAUGACGCUUUCCAAAAGCGUCAUCUCUUAGACUGACAUCUUAUGAAUUUCCAAUUGUUGAUGCUUUUCAAAAGCGCCAUCUUCUUUGGCGGUUAACCAUGACGCUCAUAGAAAGCGUCAUUAUUCUAAACCUUGGCACUCUAUAAGUGUCAUUGUAAGUCUGCAAUUUCAUUCAUCUCAAUAUUGACACUCAAUAAAGCAUCAUUGUAUAGGUAGGAGCAACAUCGACACUCAUGAUAAGUGUCAUCUUAUAGCAUUUUUCAACCUUGACGCUCAAAAAAAGCAUCAUGUUCUUAAAUCUUCAACCUUGAUGCUUAUGAUAAGUGUCAUCUUAUAGCAAUUUUCAACCUUGACGCUCAAGAAAAGCAUCAUGUUCUUAAAUCCUCAACCUUGAUGCUUAUGAAAAGCGUCAUUGUAUAUUUUAAAGUGACGUUGACACUCAUAAUAAGUGUCAUCUUCUGCCUUUAUUAUCCUAUGAGAACAAAGCAUGACGCUUUAAAAAAGUGUCAUCUUAUCUCAUUCGAAAUUUUAAUAACCCAUAAAAGUCCUAAUUAUGCCCUGUUUUAUAAUUUUUCACAAACAAUGAAUGAGUAAUAAAAAGUUAAUUUAAGAAAGUCCUAGGAGAAAAAGUACUAAUUGUGGUGUUUCUCUUUCACUAUUAAAAUUUACUAAUAAACAGACAUAAUUAAAUAUGAAUUUUCUUAGCAUUAAAUUUAGUUGAAAUUGUUCAAAAAACUAAAAAAUUUACAACUUCUUUUUCAACUUUGAGUUGUUCAUAGUCUUUUGCUGCAUCUAGUUCUACAUCAUCUUUCUUCAAAAUGUAUAAGGAUGGUUACAAGUCACAUUCUAGAUGCUCAACCUGCAAAAAUAAUUGAGAGGUUACAUAUAACUAAUAUUGACAAAUAGUAAAAUAAAAAAACAACUCUAUAAAUGAAAUGUGUAUAUACCAAUUUUUUAAAUUUCCAAGAUAUAUUUCUUCUACUGCAAUAAAUUUUAACAUGUUGGAAGAACUAAACAAACCCCAAUAAUUUUGUUACACCAAAUUUCUAAAUAUUCCUUGAACUCUUGUUAUGUGUUUAAGAAAGCAAUCAAUAAACCACUUUCUAGUGUUUUCCCAAAUGCAAUAUUUGAUUUUGUCUAACUUGGGUUGAAUGCAAUAAUUAAAUUUGUCCAACUCAUAUUAUCAUUCAUAUUGUAAUCAUGAGUGAAUGAUGACUUGCAUCCAUGGUUAUCAAAAUAUGUUAUAAGUAUAUCUAACUUGGGUUGAAUGUAAUAAUUAAUUUUUUUCAACUCAUGUUAUCAUUCAUGUUGUAACCAUGAAUGGAUGAUGACUUCCACCUAUGGUUAUCAAAAUACGCUAUCAACAUAUUGGGUCUUGUCUUAAAUUUAAAGCAUGUAUACACUUAAUCAUUUUCUUAGACUAACUUAUUAUGGAUAGAAUUAAACCAAUUAAAUAACUAGGUUAGGUGGUUUCCCUUCAUCAAUGAAGAUUGUAUAUCCAUGUGGUUGCCUUCCUCCCUAAUUAGGCAUUACUAUGAAUUACAAUUAGCUAAAUGACCCAUUGUUCAUCAACUAUCUCCAUUAUAUGAUGGUCUUUUAGCCCUUCCACCCAAUUGGCCUUUACAAGUCAUCAAUUAUAUGUAUAAACAAAUGUCUCUAACUCUUAAAAAACUCAAAAAAAGAAAAGUCUUGAUCUUAGUGACUAUUUUGGUAUGAUUUAUAUCUUAUACAUGAAACUUCAACCAUUAACAUCUUUUCAUCCUUCUUAUAGGUCCUACAAGACACUGGAUGUUUUGCAAAGAAAGCAAGUAAGGAAUUAAAAGGAAAAAACUAUAAGUUUGAAAAAUUCUGAAAUUAUAAGUUAAAAUAUCUAUGUUCUUCCUACUGUUAAUAUCUAUUAUAGAUGAAAUUUACAAUUCAUUGGUUUUAUCUAUUUAACCAAUUAAUGUAGUUGGUAUGAAGUAUAAUGUCAAGAGAAGAGCUAGCUUGCAUGGGUACAUUAACAUCUAAUCAUGUGAGGAUAUCUAUUAUCCUAAGUAAACAUCCUAAAUAUGAAACUUACAUGAAAUGAUUUUGUAAACAUGGAAUUUAUUCAUAAAACUAACAAUAACCUAAGCAUCUUACCUCAACAUUCUUUUAUGAAAAUUUUCAACUAUUGCAGGGAGUCCUUCAUGUCAUUGAACAUGUUUAGGUCUGAAUAAGCAAGAGUAGUAGUGACGUACUUAAGAGAAUGACCUAUGUCUUUCAGUACAACCUGAAGAAUAUACAAUAAACAAUUUAGCAACAAAAUUAGAUUCUUAAAAGUUUUAACACAUUAAAUUCAAUAAGCUCAUUAAUUUCAAAGAAGGUUGGUAGCCAAAGGUAGUAGAAUAAUUGAGAUAAAGAAACUAGGAAUAAAGAAAAAUUAAUUUUAGGUAAAACAUUAUAAUUAAAUUGAUAUUUUAACUUGACAUGUUAUGAAUCCAUGAAAAAUAAUACAUUGGCAAUACUUAAUUGAUUAAAAGAGUAAAAUAACACCAAAUAUAGCAAAAAACUACAUGAUAUGGACAAAUGGUUUAUUUUUGUAACAGUCAUUAGCAAACUAAAAUUAAAAGGGCCUUGGUGGAGGAAAAAACUAUUAUAUCAAAAUGACUAGUUUCUUUCCUUAGAAUUGCAUUUAGAUUGAGGAGCUAUUAUUCAAGUUGAUACCCUAUUUUAGACAACGAGGCUUUGGAGGCCUAUUUAGAGAGAAUGAGAUGUUUUUUUUUUUUUUUUCCUUAGGCUUAUUUGUAAGAAGUCUUAAUCUAAUUUCCUAUUUUUUUAAUGUCAAAGAAAAUAUAAGUAUAAGAUAUUUUAAACUUUAAGCCCAUUAGUUUAGGAGGAGGCCUCUACAAAUUUAAAUUGAAAAAAGUUAUACAGCAAGUGAUCUUAAGGAUCUAAAAUGUUUUUUUUUUUAGGAUAGACAUAUUCUUAAUGCAUGCACAUGUAAUGAGACUAAAGACUUUCCUAAAAAUAGUUUGAAAAUGCAUGAAUUUUCGUACCAUUACAACACUAGGAUUUCAACAAAUCCAACUAAUAAGGAUGUAUACAGGAAAUACACAAAGGGUGUGACACCUACCAUGUCUACUAGGCUUCACCUCUCAAUUUGCCAAUUACACAUCCAUCAAAAUAGAGCAACCAUUGGAUGAUCCAUAUUGAAAACACUGCCAACUAGGAGUACCAAGAUAUAUAUUAACAAAUCAUGACUAAGAAUAAAUUAUAAAAUUAACAUUAACAAAAUAUUCACUAGAUCUUUAGAAUAAUAUGAAGUUAUAUUAGACUAUAGGUCAUACAAGGUACCUUCAAACAUGAGUAAUGAUUAAUUGAGUCAUUAACAUAACCCAAUCUGAGCGAACUUCAUUAAUUUCCAUUUCACUAUAUGUUUUUCUCCCAUUAAACUGAAAUGGAAUAACAUACAUCUUCACUAAGUUGAAAUGGAAAAUCAAGUGCUAUAGAAAAAUGACCAACCAUAUGAAUUGCAUUGCAUACAAACCUUUGAUGUUAGUUGGUUUGGAUUAGCAAUGAUUUCUUUCAUGUAUCUCAUCACGUAAUACCCACAUUCCACACUACCUGGUUGUCUUGGACACUAUGGCAAAAGUAUCAACAAUUACAACAAACAUAGCAUGAUGUUCUUACUUCUUUAGUAUCUAACUGAUCAUCAUAUUAAUCAUCGCCCAUUUCCUAAUUUUGUGUAGUGAAUUAAGUGGUCAAACAAUAUAUUUUAAUCUAAAGGAAUAAGUACUUACAACCACUUUCACCCAAGUCGGCUCUCUCUUUGAUGUUUUCUGUUUUUCUGGUGGGUUGAUUCUAAUUGCCCUAUAAAAAAGAAAUGAUGUUCUAUAGAUAAUAUGCAUUGUACUAAAAUAUGAGAAGUACACACUUACAUGUUAACUAUCUCCCUAAGAUCAUCACAUGGUUGACAAGCCAUUGGAUCAAGGUAAUAUGCAAUCAUUCUCUUCAUCUCCAGUGACACUAAGACCCAGUGGAAACUAAAGAAAAAAGAAAAAAAAUUGUAAUAUAAUAUCCACAAAUUAAUACAUCACAAACUAACUUAUAUACAAUAUAUCGAGAUUUGGGAUAAAAGGUUACUCUGGAUUGUAUGGAAUAAGCAUAUAUUCAGCAUGUUUUGCAUUCCUUAGUCGAUCCGCAAUGACCCUUGACCUGUUUUCUUUACUUCCCUCUCCCAUUCCAGCUUUUGAAACCAAUGCUGGAUUGACAAAAACAUAUUGUUCAACCUGCUUUCCAUCAAUCAACUUUCUAUGCAGGUGCCUAAUUAAAUCCCACAUAAUAAGUUAUCAACAAUCAUUAUAGGUCAUUAGCAAAUAACCUUUUACCUAAAAAAAGUGUGAAGAGUAAUUAAAAAAAUUAUAAAAUCCCUCACCAGAUGUAGUAUAAGAUACAAUUGGAUGACACUUCUUUUGAUGAUAUAAUCAUGUCCAUAUCUUCUUUCAUUAGGAAGGUCUUGAAACUCUCACCAAAAACAUCAUCUGGGAAGUCAACAGGAUGUACUCUUGAGGUACUCAGCAUGAGGCCAACCAAUGCCUCAAAAUUCUUGAUAUCUUGUGCUUUCUCACCCUUAGAUUUGACUUCAACUUCAUUUUCUUUUUGUUUCUUUCCUUUCUUGGAUGUCUAUACAAUUAAGAACCAUGAUACAAAUCAAAUCAACUAGUUGAAUAUACAAAAAAAAUGAAAAAUAAAAUAAAAUUUAAGGUUAUCAUAAAGCUUGGUAAAUAAAUUUACUCACCGAGAUAAGAGUAUGAAUGAUGACUAAAUGAGCUGGCCACAAAACUUGGUAACCAAUUGCAGCCCUAACAGUAGUAGUUUGUCCAGGAAUAGGAAUGGGAAGGGGUGCACUUGAAUCAUAAGAAGCAUCAACAACUACUAGAUAGUUGGGACCACAUUCAAGUAUAAUUGUGCCACCGGCCACUAUAUUUUCCUUGGUCUCCACAGCCAACUCACAUUUUCUAACCUACAAAAUGAAGUUAUAUUAUUAGAUAUGAGCCAAUAUUCUAUAUUUCAUUCUUUCAAGUCUACAUCUUCAAAAUAACAUUGGUUAAUAUUGAAAGCCAUCUAUAAGGUACAAGCAAAAAUGUGAGAUAUGAAGUAAUUUUAGAUCACAUUGGAAAGAUUAAAUGAAGGCAUGCAAAUUAUUAUGUGUUUAUAUAAAGAAUAGCUAUUCUUAAAAUAAAAGAGGUUAGUAAUGCAUAAUCAAUCAAAAUAAUUAUUGAACAUUAAAAAGUUUCAUAAUAUAUGAAAUAAAAAUCUCAUAUGAUCUAAUUAUGUAGACAACAAAAUUAUAUUAUCUAUUUUGUAAAUGCCCAAAAUGCUAAAAAAAAAUUUGACAACUUUUUGAUUUUCUUAUAUUGCACCACAUAAAAGAAAACCAUAUAUGUUCCACCAACAAUUAAAUUAAAUUCAAACAAAAAAAUUUACCUAAAUUAUAUCUCCUAUUACAACAAAAAUUAUCAUCAAAUUAACUAGAUAAAUACCUUGUUCUUUGGUUCUAUUGGCACUAGUGGACUUGCAUCUUCACCUCUACGGAUUGGCUUCUCCACUACUUCUAGUAGGAGAAGCUGUUUUUGUUUCAUGUUCGAACUGCUAACAUCAGAUUGGGGAGUGACUACUCCCACUUGAGACAGUUUUGCUAGCACUUCUGCUUGAAAGUUUCUUUGCUCUUCUUUAGAUGCUGCUAUAAAAUCCCUAACAGCACGAUCUACAGCACUAUUAAAAUAUUGACGAGGUAUGUGGUGCUUCCCUUUGGCUCUAACUCGACCACUAUACUCAGGAGUACCCAAUGCUUCUACAAGUAUAUCAUUACUCCCAUUGACACUCCUACCAUUCUCUUGAGACUCUUUCAACAACUUAUCCUUAAAAAAAAUGUUAAUUAUGAAGUUCAAUUAUAAAUUUGUUAUCAUAAAUUAGCUAUUAUAAAUAAAUGAAAUUAAGGUUGAAAAUAUCCACUUACUAUUUUUUCAAUCACUGGUAUGGCCACUUCAUCAAAGGUGCCAUCUUUUUUUUCUCUUGCUUUCUUCCAUAAUAUGCUUCGAUCAAUACUUUCAGUUGACCCACUUGCAACCAUCUUUUAAAAGGAGACAAUGUAUAAUGUAAUAAGCAUAUAACACUAUUAUGUAUUAUGUAUAAAAUAAAUAAAUAAACUAUAAAUUAGUAUAAACUUACCAUCUCUUCCUCAAGACCAGCAUUUCCUUUCCUACUUAGAUGGUGAUUAUAAAUGUGUUUCUUUCUUCUUUCUUUUUGAACUUCUCGAUAUUCCUAUAAAUUAAAAAUGCAUAAUUAAUGAAUGUGAAUACAAGAUAUGUAAAGAGUUGUAAUUAUACCUUAAAUCUAUCAGACAAUCGAUCUUUAACAAACAUUUUCCAAUCUUCAUCCUCAAUAAAAAUAUAUUGAAUUGGCGGUUUUUUGAGGAGCUCCGGUUGGUCUUUGAAAGGAAGAAUGUACUUCACUGUUAGCAUGUUCUUAAAUGAUCGAAAACAUUUUCCAAUGGUUAGCAUACAAUUCCUCCUACUUUUGGGAUUCAAUGAAAAAGCACCCUACACAUUAAUAGUAUACAUGUUAGUAACUUAAUAUGGUUAGGAAUGAUUGAUGUUUUGCAUAAAGAUGAUGUAGGUAAGAAUGUGUUACCUCAAUGCUAUCCCAUAACUUAUCCUUCAACUGUUUAGGUACAACAUGCCACGUUUGAUAUCUUAUUGGCACCAUAGUGUGUGCUAAUACGCCUAAAUAGCUUGUUAGAUGAACUGCUGAUUCUCCUAUGAAAAUGCCAUCAAGAUUGUACUUAACCUGCAACUUGAUCCCUUUGCUUCUGUUCUUGGUAAUCAUGGACUUUCGUGUCAUUCCUCUGUACUUCCUUUUUGUGGUUUUUUCUCCUUUCUCUGGAUCCAUUCUGGUAACAAAAAACAAAAAAACAAAACAAAACAAAACUAAUAAAGAUUAGUUAACAUUAUAUUAGAUAUAACCGUGUUAGAGAAGAGUUGUAAAAAGAAAAUUUUAGACAAAACAAUCCCUCAUCAUUGCAUAAUGAAAUGCCACCAAUGAAAUGGCCUUAUCUAUUCUCAGUUUCUUAUUCACUUGUGCCAUAAAAGUGAGACAACGAUAGUCUUUAAUUAAGUUCAUUUAGUUGUGUGCUUCAAUUAUUUGGACCUUUUGUUGUUUCAAAUACUUUUUUUUAGUGAAUUGUAUGUAUUUAGAUCAUACAUUUCAUGGACCUUUUUUUUGGAAUGGUUCAUCACAUAACGAAGUUGACAUUUCAGUUUAGCUAUUUUUUCUCCCUCUUUCUUGCUCAUUUGAUUUAUUUUAAUUUAAAUUUGUUUUAUUUUAUGAACUUUUAUAUUCUAGUAUGUGUUUCUCUUAUUAUUUUUUUCUAAUCCAUUGUCAUUUUCUUUUGAAUUUUCCUAUGAGAGCCUUUUAGAAUUGCAUAUUUAACUUACUGAAUUGUUAACUAGUUCAUAUCAAAACUAAAAUUUACAUAUAAGAAUUUUACAAGAAUCAUACUUGAUAUUUGCUUUAGUAUAUCAAAUUUUAAUAACAAGAAAUGUCAAAUGUAGAAGCAAAAUAAUAAUAAGAAUAAUAAUAAUAAAUAAUAGUAAUAAUAAUGUCAAAAUGGCAUCAACUUAGGCAAUCAACUUGAUGUUCUUUGGAAACAAAAAGAAUUAAAAUUACCUGUUUUGUGGGAUCUGCAACCCACUCGGCAUCCUUUAUUUCUACAUCAUUAUUAUAAGUUUACAAUUCAGCUACAUAGAGGAUUUGUUCUCAAUCCAAAUCCCCUCACAAUCACCUCUUAUACAUAUUGCAUCUGAGUCAUCCAUUGCAUCAAACGCUUCAACUUCUGGCAAUGUCCCUAUAAAGGGAUGGUGUUCAAUAGAAUUGUCCACAAGGUCAUCACUUUCUUCCUUAUCCAAGAAAUCUUUUUAAGGAGUUGACAAAACAACUGAAUAUCUUGGAUCAAGUUGGUCUUGCACAUAAAAUACUUGCUUGGCUUGAGAUGCCAAAAUGAAAGGAUCUGAUUUAUGAGCAAUUUUAUUAAAGUCAACUAAUGUAAAGCCAAGAUCGUCAACUUUUAUGCCAUUCUUAUUAUCAAUCCAAUCACACUUGAAAACUGGUAUCCUAAACAUGGUAUAAUCAAGGUCCUAGAUCUCGUUAAUAAUCCCGUAGAAACAAAGCUCACCAAACACUGGCUUUUGAUCCUUGGCACUUGCAAUUUGCAUUGUUGAAGCUAUAAUACUAACUCCGCUAUUUUGGGUAGCUCGUAAGUCAUCACGCUCCUUACUAUGGUAUCGACAUCCAUUAAUGACAUAUCCAUGAUAUUUCGAGACAUAGUGGCUAGGACCAUGAGCUAUCCACUUAAGGGUCUCAGAUAUAGGUUCAUUGUUACCAAUUGCAACUUCAAUCUGCAAUUAUAAAUAAUAGUUACUAUGUAUGUUCAACAUUAGUAAAAAGAAUAGUUCAAAUUUGAGCACCAAUUUGAUACCUUUUUUCGAAACCAAUAAGUAAAUGUUCGCAUGUGUUCAUUCUGGAGCCACUUUUGUCUUUUAGAUUGACGAGGAUUUUUCAAUUUCAACCAUUCCAUGUGCUCUCUAUGCAAUUAUUUAUAAAAAUUUCAAAGUUUUUGUCCUGUAGUUAAUUUAAGUAUAACAAAUAAAUAUUAAGUGUUAGUAGUUCUUACUCGAUAUAAGGUUGGACAAUAGUUGUAUUCUCUAAAACAUAAUGAUGUGCAUGCAACCACAAAUUAGAAUCAACGAUCACAACUUGACCUCCAGGUAUCGGUGCCCCAAUUUUUUGGUUAAUGUUUACACUAAUAGGAAUCCCAAUUGCAUCUACAUUUGAUAAGUACUCUGUACAAAAUUCAAUAGCUUCCUCCACAAUAUAGCAUUCGACGAUGCAACCUUCGGGUCGGUUACGAUUUCGCACAUACCCUUUCAAAACUUUCAUGAAUCUUUCAAAAGGGUACAUCCACCUUAGGUAAACCGGUCCACAAAGUCUGACCUCUCUUACAAGAUGCACAGUAAGAUGGAGCAUGAUAUCGAAGAAGAAAGGUGGGAAGUACUUCUCAAGUAAGCAUAAUGUCACCACUACAUCAUUUUGUAACUUAUCCAAUGCAGGCACAUCAACCACUUUGCUACAAAGAGCAUUGAAAAAAAAACUCAAUCUACAAAUAGCAUGUCUUACAUGCUUUGGUAAAACUGAUCGUAAUGACACUAGCAAUAACUGUUGCAUUAAUGCAUGAUAGUCAUGGGAUUUAAAACCAUAAAGCUUCAAGUCUUCCAUUGACACAAGGUUUCUCAUGUUAGAGCAAUAACCUUUAGGAACCUUUAAUUGUGAUAAAGUUUGGCAAAAAAGCUUCUUCUCCACUUUAGAUAGUGUGUAACAUGUAAGUGAGAGGUAAGUUCGAUUUGAUUCAAACCUUGGCCCUAAUUCACACCUUAAGCCCAUCUCCAGAAGGUCUAAACGAGAAUUAAGUCCAUCCUUUGUCUUACCUGGAAUGUUAAGUAAGGUACUGAUGAUGCUUUCACAAACAUUUUUCUCUAUAUGCAUUACAUCCAAGUUAUGACGAACAUGUAGGUAUUUCCAAUACUCAAGAUCAAAGAAUAUAGACUUUUUCUUCCAACAAUUUCUAGUUUUGACAUUCAACUUACCUUGAGUCAUCUUAUUUUUUCCCCAUGAAUUACAAAUGACAUCAAUUUUCCUUAGAAUUUCCUCUCCACUCAAUGGUUGCAAAGGUGACCGAAACUCUUGUUCCCCAUUAAAUGCUUUUUUUGUUUCCUAAAAGGAUGAUUGCAAGGAAGAAAUCGUCUAUGACCUGUAUAUGAGUUCUUUUUCCCAUGCUUCAAUCUAUGAGAGUAGGUAUCUUCCCCACAUAUGGGGCAUGCAAAAUAUCAUUUAACUGUGCAACCAGAUAAGUUUCUGAUAACCCGACUCUUGGUAGCUUGGCAUGUAAGGGUAUCAACAAAAUUUAUACCUAAGGUCCUUACACUAAAGUAGCAAAGCUACUGUAGCAUAGUGGCUCUAGGAUCGAACACUGGGAAGGGUUUUUACUUUAACUAGUGAAGUUCGGAGGAUGGAGUGAACUUUUCUUAAUAAAAAUUAGGUUAAGAUGAAAACAUAAAAAGAUGAAGGUGUUGUAAACUAAACCAACAUGAAAAUAGGUUAAAAGAUGGAAAAAGAAGUUUCUCAAAGCUUUGGAUAGCCAUGCUUAACUCACUGUGUAAAAAUGGAGAUUUUGGGACUCUUCACCUCGAGUUGGGGAAGCAACUAAGGUGAUGCUUACUUCCCGAACCGGUAUGAGUUUAACAACUGAGUUUUAGUCCUUGAAAACUUACAAAAAGGGUAGUUGAACCUCAUAAAUGCUCUUUUAAUGAUAUAGGUCAUCUCCUCGACUUGCAAUACAAUGGCUCGUAGGAGAUAACUAAUGAACAUCAGUGGAUCUAACAAUAAGAAUCCACUGAGACCAAAAGGUUAUCAAGUAUUGGCCAUUCAAAGCAAGUCAGAGGGAUUAAAAGCUUUACUUUGAAUGAAAACAUUUAUGACGCUCAGCUACUUACAUUCAUGGCUUGGAAAUCUCCAUCCUGACACGGGAGCUUCACAUGGCAUCCAUUACUUCAAGAAACUAAAAGGUUUUAGCCUCUCAUCCUUGGGGAUUUCAUCCUCCAAGGGUGUUUGGCUACUAAGAAAAUGAGAAAGAAAAGAGAAAAGAAGCUUCUGAACAAAAGUGCUCUUAUAACUUAUAAAGUUACAGGUUACAAGAUUUUAUAUCCUUGUCUGAGGCUCUUCACCUUUAUUUAAAGACAAUAACAAGCUAAAUUACAAGAGCUAUUACAAAAGCAACCUAUUCAUUGGUUGAUUACAAGGGUAAAAUAGGUAUUUACAAAGCUAAAAAUCAAGCAAAAUAUCUUGGAGAACCGGUAGUGGAAUAACAUCAACAACGUCUCAAAACAGGGGAUUCAAAGGAAUUUCGCAAUGUGCCUAAAUCCUCCUUGCGAAAUUUUCGCAAUGUGAAAUUCACAUUGCGAAAUGGCAAAAUUUCGCACCAUGAAGAAAAUCCCCUUGCGAAAUGGCAAAAUUUCGCACCAUGAAGAAAAUCUCCUUGCGAAAUUGGUCAUUUGACAUGAUGCAGUUGCCUUCCAAAAGUCAUAUCUUCCUCAUUUCAGCUCCAAAUCAUACACGGUUUGAAGCGUUGGAUUCUUGACUUCCUAAGCUUUCAAAUGGUAUAUAGCAUGCAAAAAAUGGACUUCGGGAAGUGCUCCAAAAGUUCAAAGGAAGACUGCAGCUGUUUUCUUCACUCUGUUUUCCUCUUCUCCAUUGCUUGUGCUCGUGUUUCCACUUGAAAUUCAAGCCUAUAAACGUACAAAAUCCUUGCUUAACUCGCCCAAGUAGCUCCUCCAUCAAUUGGCAUGCUUGAAUCGAUUCAUAAGCUGAUAAAAACAUGUAAACUUGCCACAAAAUGGUUAAAACCAAUUACUAAGGACCUUAAUGAAUUAAUUGGGUUAAAUGAAUAUGAUUACUACUCAAAGGUGCUUAAAACCAUUAUUAUUAGGUCUACAAAAUAGCACUUUUUGGUAGUAAUCACACCCCCCAACCGACUCAUUGCUAGUCCCUUAGCAAUGGAGGAGAUAAAAACUAAGUAAACUAUAAUAAUAUACAUAAAAGGGAUCAUGCAAAUCACUCCAAAAAAUGAUAUGAGUGGCAUGAUGGACAUCCAUGGAUCAAUAAAGAUGUGAAACUCAACCUAUAAUAAGAGUUGUCAAAGCAUUCACUUGAUCAUAGAGUACAAAGAAUGGAUAUUAUGCAAGUUUAAGCAUCAAAAGAAUUUCCACUCUCAAAAGAUCCAAAUCAAAUUCUUCCACUACAAGCUAAGUGUUAAUGUGAUUAGCUUCCGAGUAUAGUAUGGAUAACUAUCAUCUCCCCCCAACCUAAGUCUUUCUUUAAGCUUAGCAAAAUUAACCAUCUCUUGAUAGGCUAGGAACGCACCUCUUAUUCACAAUUCUUUUCACUUACUAAACUUAACCAAUUCACCCAUGUAACAAGCAGAGGAUCGGUGACUCCCAACCAAUAAAGGCUUAGGGCACCAGGCUUUAAAGGCUUUCGCCACCCCUUCGGACCAUGCUCAGGUUUCAAGGCAAGAAAAGAAGUUUAUUCUUUUUUUUUUUUUCUUUUUCUUUUUCUUUUUCUAUUUUUUCAAAGACUCAUUGGUCUUUAUGAGGUGUCCCAACACUAUUAAAGAGAGGUUAAAGGUGACAAAUUAUGAUUUCUCAAGCUUAGAGGGUGAGAUAGUUUCACAUCUUAUAAUCGGAAUCUAAUGUAUGUGUGUGCGAAUAGCUUAAGGUGGAAGAGAUAAGUUUGCAUGCAAUGGGAGCUUCAACCAUUCAUCAACUUUUAGAAGAGCAUAAUACAAACUCUAAGACUCAUGUAAUCAAGUUGAAACUCGACUUCUCUCAUUUAAUUUUGAGAGUUAAUCCUUAAUAUCCAUGGAGUUUAAAGCAAAAAUUUUAAAAAUUUAAAAAAGUAGCUAAUUUAACUAAGUAUGAUAAAAAUUUAAACUAAUACUUACUUCCUCAUCUCUCCCCCCAACCGAGAUGAACAUUGUCCUCAAUGUUUGAAUCGAAAAUAAGGAGGAAGGAAGUGGUACCUCAUGUGAUGUGGACUUGGAGUUGAGAAGGUUGAACACCUGUUUCAAAAUUCAAAAAUUGAAUGAGAGAGGAAUUUAUACUAAAUAUUUACAAAAAUGAUGAGUGGGCCCCACUUUGAGCAGCUGAGGACAAGACUCAAAGGGUCCAUGCCAUGAUGGUAUAUUCAUAUAAGUUGCAAUGACAUUUGAAUGUAGCUUGCAGGGGUGUUAAAAUUGGAGAUUUUUGGCUAAAACAGGGGAAAACAAAGGAGGAGUGAACAGUGAGUGCCAAAAUUGGCACAGUCACUGUUCACCUCCUUUGAAGCCCGACUGUGUGUUUUCCAAGUUUUGGGAAAAAAUUCAAAAAUGGUUUUUUAAAAGGUAUGGUUAGGCUCUAAACAAGAUUCCUGAGGUGUUUGGGUAGUUUUUAAAUGAUGAAAAACAAAAUUAAAUGAUGGAAAAUGAAAAUCAAAGUGGACGGCCAUGCAUGGAAUGGUUUUGAAAAUUGAUUUUUAAAAAGUUUUGGAUGGAUGGGAUUUCUAAAAUUGGGUUUGGAUUUGAAAACAAAAGGUUUGGAAAUGCAUUCAUGAAUUUUUAAACUUGGAAAAACAUGGAAUUCAAGAAAAAGGCCUUUCCGAGAGCUUUGUUUUUAGAAAUUAGCUUGAAAAUCAUUUCGCACCAAGAUAAACAAGGUGCGAAAGUUUUCGCACUGGUAAUUGAGGUGCAAAGAUAGCAUCCCGGGAGGCUUGGCUUUCCAAAAUGUAUAGAAAUUCCUUUUCGCACCAUGCACUGUCACUGUGCGAAAAAUUCGCACUGAGUGUGUUCAUGGUGCGAAAUUCCACUGAGAGCUUUGCUUAUGCAUUUUGGCUCCCCUGUUUCCUUUGUUUCACCUCCAUUUCGAUUUUUGCAAGCAUCGUACCUGCAUGAACACUUCAAAACUCAUCUUAAAACCAUAUUAAAACUAAAUUAAAGCUAAGAAUUCAAACUAAAACAUGCAUAAAUUUAAAGAAAGCAUAGAAUUUAAAUGAAGCUGAUAGCAUGUACCCCAAAAAGAAGAUGAACUAUUUAGCUCAUCCUCACUCACACACCCACUUCAUGCUGAAUUCCCCCUGGAUCCCAAACAAAAUUGGCAUCCCUCACUUGAGACUUGCUUUGUAUGAUCUUGCCAUACAAAGCUUGGGGGAAAAAUGGAUGCAUCUGUUUCUUCAUUAUUUCUUCUUUGAUGACUAUCUUCUGAGGUUCUUCGUCUAUAUAGUCAUCUUUCUCUAUGCUUUUCCCCUUUUUCUUUCCUUUGAUUUCCUCCCUCUUUUCUUUCUCUAUUUCAUUCUCUACCUCAUGCUCUAGUUUGCAUGUGGGCAGAUCAACCUCUUUAUCUCCCUCCUUAGCCUCCAUUUCAUGGAUACCCUUUUGAUUUUGAUGAGGUUGAGAAGGAGAGUUUUCUUUCUCUUGCAUUGUGUUGAGGUUGGAAAACCUUAAGAUUGAAUCUUGGAUAUUAUCUAUCUUUUGAGAUAGAUCAUGUUGCACUCCAUCCAUCUUUUUAUUCAAUGAACUCUCUACUCUGUCAGGGAGUGAUAUUUUUUGACUGAGCUGAGCAUUGAUGGAUUUCUGAGGUUCAACAAAAUCUUCCAUGACUUUGUUAAGAUUCAUCAUAGCUUGUUCAAGGUUUAAGGCUUGCUGUGGUGCUUGAGCAGGUUGCUGGUACUGAGGUGGCUGUGGUUUCCAAGAGAACUUUGGAUGUUUCCUCCAAUUGGAAUUGUAGGUGUUGCAAUCACCAAACAUUUUCCUUACCACUGGAAUGGUAGGACACUCCUCCACUAAGUGCUCAAAAGACUGACAAAUGGCACAAAGCAUAGCUUGCAAUGGUGUCUGAGAGAUGGCUUGCACUUCUUGCAUCUGGUUCUUUUCUAGCUCUUCCAAUCUCCUCUCCAUAGCUGCAAUCUUUGCCUUCAUGUCCAUGCCAUCAUUCAAAAUAUACAUCUCACCCUUAGCUUUAGGUUGAGACGUCAUUCUUCCCAUAUCUCUAGCAUUUGGUUCACCCCAUUCUCUUGAAAAUUCAGCCACAUAACUGAAGUUCAUGGCUUCCUCUGCUAUCUCAUAUUCAAUAUGGCAUGCACAACUAGCAAUUUGUGAAUUAAAAACAGAGAAAACAAAAGAAAAUAAAAGAAAAUAAAAUUCUAAAGAAAAAAAAUUAUUAAGAUUAACUAAAAACUAAAUAAAAGAUAUACUAACACAUGAACAAAGAAAAAUAAAAUAAAAUAAAAAGUUAGUAAAAGGAAAAUAAGAUAGAAUUCACCUCACUCAUGAGAAGUCUCACAAGUUACCUCCGGCUGAUAUAUUCAUAGUGAAGUAGCACCUUCCCCGGCAACGGCGCCAUUUGAUAACCCGACUCUUGGUAGCUUGGCAUGUAAGGGUAUCAACAAAAUUUAUACCUAACGUCCUUACACUAAAGUAGCAAAGCUACUAUAGCAUAGUGGCUCUAGGAUCGAACACUGGGAAGGGUUUUUACUUUAACUGGUGAAGUUCGGAGGAUGGAGUGAACUUUUCUUAAUAAAAAUUAAGUUAAGAUGAAAACAUAUAAAGAUGAAGGUGUGUAAACUAAACUAACAUGAAAAUAGGUUAAAAGAUGGAAAAAGAAGUUUCUCAAAGCUUUGGAUAGCCAUGCUUAACUCACUGUGUAAAAAUGGAGAUUUUGGGACUUUUCACCUCGAGUUGGGGAAGCAACUAAGGUGAUGCUUACUUCCCGAACCGGUAUGAGUUUAACAACUGAGUUUUAGUCCUUGAAAACUUACAAAAAGGGUAGCUGAACCUCAUAAAUGCCCUUUUAAUGAUAUAGGUCAUCUCCUCGACUUGCAAUACAAUGGCUCGUAGGAGAUAACUAAUGAACAUCAGUGGAUCUAACAAUAAGAAUCCACUGAGACCAAAAGGUUAUCAAGUAUUGGCCAUUCAAAGCAAGUCAGAGGGAUUAAAAGCUUUACUUUGAAUGAAAACAUUUAUGACGCUCAGCUACUUACAUUCAUGGCUUGGAAAUCUCCAUCCUGACACGGGAGCUUCACAUGGCAUCCAUUACUUCAAGAAACUAAAAGGUUUUAGCCUCUCAUCCUUGGGGAUUUCAUCCUCCAAGGGUGUUUGGCUACUAAGAAAAUGAGAAAGAAAAGAGAAAAGAAGCUUCUGAACAAAAGUGCACUUAUAACUUAUAAAGUUACAGGUUACAAGAUUUUAUAUCCUUGUCUGAGGCUCUUCACCUCUAUUUAAAGACAAUAACAAGCUAAAUUACAAGAGCUAUUACAAAAACAACCUAUUCAUUGGUUGAUUACAAGGGUAAAAUAGGUAUUUACAAAGCUAAAAAUCAAGCAAAAUAUCUUGGAGAACCGGUAGUGGAAUAACAUCAACAACGUCUCAAAACAGGGGAUUCAAAGGAAUUUCGCAAUGUGCCUAAAUCCUCCUUGCGAAAUUUUCGCAAUGUGAAAUUCACAUUGCGAAAUGGCAAAAUUUCGCACCAUGAAGAAAAUCCCCUUGCGAAAUGGCAAAAUUUCGCACCAUGAAGAAAAUCUCCUUGCGAAAUUGGUCAUUUGACAUGAUGCAGUUGCCUUCCAAAAGCCAUAUCUUCCUCAUUUCAGCUCCAAAUCAUACACGGUUUGAAGCGUUGGAUUUUUGACUUCCUAAGCUUUCAAAUGAUAUAUAGCAUGCAAAAAAUGGACUUCGAGAAGUGCUCCAAAAGUUCAAAGGAAGACUGCAGCUGUUUUCUUCACUCUGUUUUCUUCACUCUGUUUUCCUCUUCUCCAUUGCUUGUGCUCGUGUUUCCACUUGAAAUUCAAGCCUAUAAACGUACAAAAUCCUUGCUUAACUCGCCCAAGUAGCUCCUCCAUCAAUUGGCAUGCUUGAAUCGAUUCAUAAGCUGAUAAAAACAUGUAAACUUGCCACAAAAUGGUUAAAACCAAUUACUAAGGACCUUAAUGAAUUAAUUGGGUUAAAUGAAUAUGAUUACUACUCAAAGGUGCUUAAAACCAUUAUUAUUAGGUCUACAAAAUAGCACUUUUUGGUAGUAAUCAGUUUCCAUACGCAGGAAAAUCAUUGAUUGUCCACAGUAGAACAGCUCUUAAUGUAAACAACUCUUGUUGAUGUGCAUCAUAAGAUUCAACCCCCACCUCCCACAACAAUUUUAGGUCAUCCAAAAAUGGUGCUAAAUAAACAUCAAUGUCAUUUCCAGGUUGUCGUGGACCCGAUAUUAACAAAGACAACAUCAUAAACUUCCUUUUCAUGCAUAACCAGGGAGGAAGGUUAUAAAUUACCAUUAUAAUAGGCCAACAACUGUGUCUACUACUCAUUGAACUGUGAGGAUUUAUACCAUCUGCUGAAAUAGCAAGUCUAAGGUUUCUAGGUUUUGAAGCAAAAUCAGGCCAUCUGUGAUUGACUAGUUUCCAUGAUGGGGAGUCAGAUGGAUGACGUAAUUUUCCAUCAAAUUCUCUUUCUUGGGCAUGCCAUAUGAGGUAUUUUGCAACUGUUGGGGACCGAAACAAUCUUCUAAAUCUUGGAAUAGGAGGAAAAUACCACAUUACUUUUGCAGGGACUCCCUUCCUCUUUUUAGUUUUUGUUCUAUCUAACUUCCAUCGUGAAGUUCCACAAGUUGGACAUGAAGAUGCAUCCUUCAAAUCAUUCCUAUACAAUAUGCAAUCAUUCGGACAAACAUGUAUUUUCUCAUAUUCCAUUCCCAAUGCAUUCAAUGUCUUUUUUGCUUCAUACAUAGACAAGGGUAACUCAUUGUUUAGAGGUAACAUAUCUCAAACAAUUCCUAAAAGCUCUGAAAAACUUUUAUCAGACCAUCCAUACCGUGCUUUCAGGUUGUAUAAUUUCACCAAUGCAGACAACUUUGUAAAGUUUCUACAACCAGGAUAUAAAGGUUUUUGGGCAUCUUCAAGCAAUGUUUCAUAAAAUUCUGGGUCAUUCUUACAAUCAUCAUGUGCAGCUGAACCAUUUCUACUGUACUAUCCACAUCAGUAAAUUGAACCGUAUGAUGACAUUCUGCCCGACUAGUUGGUGGUCCACUUGGAGCGGCAUCUCCAUGCCAAUACCAUGUAUGAUAACUCUGAUCAAUUCCAUAGAAAAAUAAAUGCUCUCUAAUUUUUUGAGAAGUAUGGAAUAUCAUAUUACCACAUUGAAGGCAUGGGCAUUUAAUGGAGUUUUUAUAUGCAGAAUGUUUUAAUGCGAAUGCGAGAAAGCUUUCUACCCCAUCCGCAUAAUCCUUUGAUCUCCUAUCCUUUGUCAUCCAAGAGCGAUCCAUUUGAUGUACAACAGAGAAACAAAGCUCCUAGAUACCACCAACCACUAAAGUUAUUAAUAACUAUCCUAUUAAUAACCUCAAAAUAUAUGAUCCACCAAUUUCAAAUUUCAAACAUUGUCACAAAUACUUUUACCAAUCCAAAAAACAAUAAUGUGUAAGUCAUCUAACUAUAAGCAAUAUGACAACAAAUAUAAUUAGUAUAUUAGGUUAUUAAAAAAUUAGAAUAAAAAAUGGAUCUGAAUUCCAUCAUUAUGUUUGGUUUGUGCAUGAAUAGGAAUCAAAAGUUAGAUGUAACUCUCAAUCUUGUGUUCUAUUCUCAAGUACACCAAGUUUGAAAUUUUAAAAAGUUUGAAAAAUACUAAAUCACAUAAUUUCUGUAAUGCCACAAGAUGAGCAAGACACAUGGAUGGAAAUAUCUUUUUAAUUAUGGGUUGAAAAUCAUUUCUUUUAAAUCUAAGUAUCUUCUUAACAUCAUCUUGAUUGUUGAAUAGUAUCAAACAUAGACAUAUGAAAGAGUAAUAAUUGAGAUAAUACCAACUAAUACAUAAAUAUCACUAUGGAAAACAACAAAAGUUUCCAAAUGUUUCAAUUAAUAGGAAAAAAUGGGUUUACUCCAUCAAAAUUUGAUAGAGUACUUAAAAUGAGACUUAAAAGUUCACUUGUUAGAUGAAGCACAAAAUAAGAAAGGUAAGUAGAAGGAUGAUACUCAAUGAUAAAGCUUUCAUCAAUUUCAUUGAAUUUGCUCCUAGAGGAGACAAUGAUAACAUGAACUAAAAAAGUGAACUAAUAUGGCUAAGCUUUCGAUGAGUACAAGCAAGUGAUUUAUGCAUGAUUUAUGCAUUCUAACAUCUCCAACAUCCUUAAUUAGGUAGUGGUUCCUAUCCCAUAUAGGAAUACAUAAUCCCUAUGUAUCAAUUGCCUUGUACUCAAUUUAAUUUUAAAGAAAUUUCGGCAGCAUUUUCCUAUAGUUCUCCAAGUACACAAAAUGGACAAGGCACAAUAUGUAACCUUGUCCAAAUAUGCACCCAGAGAACAAGAGGAAAGACUACCAAACUUUCUAAAAAUUGAAUUAAGAACAAAGAAUUAACUUCAUAGAUAUUAUGUUUUCCUAUACUGUCCUAUUGGACAAUUCAAGCAUCAUUUGUAGAGAAAAGAACUUUAUCACAAGCUAGACAAAUUUAAAAGUUGUCAACUUGAAAAUGGCCUAGAUAGACAAUUUUCACCAUUUGACAACUUAAAUGUCUUUAUUAUGUAAUAAGAGAACCUUUUGUCUUCCAAUGAUACUUGAAUGGGAGCUCUAAGGUUUCAUGCAUGCAUGUUUGAUUAAAAUUAAAACAUCAUAAUGAUUUAUUGAAUUAUUAUAACAUAGCAACAUAACUCUCAUUCUAUCAUGUUUAUCUCAAAUAUAUAACAUUUAAGAUGGAGCCAUAAGAACCUUUUCACAACUUAGACCAACAUCUUCUACAAAAAGGGUUCAUAGUAAAUAUAAUCAAAUUAAUAUGAUUUGACAAUUUUAAAUGCACAAUAAGUAAUUAUCUUACAAAACAAAUAAUAAGAGAACUAAAAGAAAACCAUGGUGACAUGAUCAUGCAAAUGAAUUGCACCUAGAAAACUAGUAAUAUGAAUGUCACUACUUAUAAUAGAAUAUAAGGUUCAGGAGGAGGUGGAUAAGCAUGCAAAGGAAAAGUCAUGACUGAUAACCCAUUUGUUGGUUUUAGUAGCCCAUUUGGACACUCUUAGACCCUUUUAGGCACAUUUGACCCAUCUAGGCUCAAUUAGUUUAAUCUAGGCACACUUUGGAUCACCUAGACCCACCGUAAGCAUACUUAGGUCACCAUUUAGGCAUUCUUUACGUAACUUGCAUGGUUGCAUGACUUGCAUGACCCUCAAUUUAUUUAUUUAUUUUUAUUUUUAUUAUAAAAAUAAAUGGAGAGAUUAAGUUUUAAAUAAAAAAAAUCAGGAUACUUUUUAAACGGAGGAGUUGACACUUAAAUGUUUUUUUUUUAAAAUAAAAUAUUAAGUUUUUAGAUUUGAAAAUCAGAUUUUUAUUUUUUUUUAAUAAAAUUAAUUUUGUAAUAAAAUAUUGAAAAAUUGAUGCCAUAAUAUUUUAUGUUUUUAAUAAAAAAAAGAGAAUUAACUUUAUUGUUAUUAUUAUUAUUAUUAUUAUUAUUAUUAUUUAUUUAUUGCAAAAUCAUUUUUUUUAUUGGAGAGAUUAAGUUUUAAAUUGAAAAAUCAGGAUAUUUUUAAAAUGGAGGAGUUGACACUUGAAUGUUUUUUUAAAAAAAAUAAAAGAUUAAGUUUUUAGAUUGGAAAAUCAGAAUUUUUUUUUAAUAAAAAAGAAGAUUUUUUUUAAUAAAAAAGAAGAUUUUUUUUAGUUUUUUUAAUAAAAGAUUGAAAAAUUGAUACCGGAAUAUUUUAUUUUUUAAAAAAAAAAAUAGAAUUAGCUUUAUUGUUAUUAUUAUUAUUAUUAUUAUUAUUUAUUUAUUUUUUUAUUGAAAAAUUAUUUUUUUUAUUGGAGAGAUUAAGUUUUAAAUCGAAAAAUCAGGAUUUUUUUAAACGGAGGAGUUGACACUUGAAUGUUUUUUUUUUUUUUGGAAAAUAAAAAAUUUAAGUUUUUAAAUUGGAAAAUCAGAAUUUUUUUUAAUAAAAAAUGAGAUUUUUAUUUUUUUAAUAAAAUCAAUUUUUUAAUAAAAGAUUGAAAAAUUGAUGCCAGAAUGUUUUAUUUUUUUAAUAAAAAAAAGGGAGAAUUAGCUUCAUUGUUAUUAUUAUUAUUAUUAUUAUUUAUUGAAAAAUCAUUUUUUUAUUAGAGAGAUAAAGUUUUAAAUCAAAAAAUUAGGAUAUUUUUUAAACGUAGGAGUUCACGCUUGAAUGUUUUUUUUUGAAAAUAAAAUAUUAAGUGUUUAGAUUGGAAAAUAAGAUAAUUUUUUGAAAAAAAAGAGAUUUUUAUUUUUAUUUUAAUAAAAUCAAUUUUUUAAUAAAAGAUUGAAAAUUUGAUGCCGGAAUAUUUUAUUUUUUAAUAAAAGAAAAAGAUAAUUAGCUUUAUUGUUAUCAUUAUUAUUAUUAUUUAAUUUAUUUAUUUAUUUAUUUAGUGGAAAAUUAUUAUUUUUUUAAAUGGAGAUAUUAAAUUUUAAAGAUCAAGUCAUCAAAUGAUUAGCCAUAAGGUUUUAAGAUGAGAUUCACUGUACAUGUACAUGUAUAAAAGGGAAACAAAUAUGGAAGUUGGUUGUUGUUUACAGUAAAUCAAAAUAAGAAUGAGAGAUAUAACAAGGAAAAAGGCAAAGAAUAUCAAUUGUAGCUCUUAACUCCUCCUAAGUGCUGAAUAACAUAUUAGUAUCAACCUCAUUUCAUGGUUAAGGUUUCUAUCAUGGCAUAUUCACAGUUUCUGUCAUGGCAUAUUCAUAGUGAUCCAAUGUGGAUAUAAUGGAUACACCACCAUUAUGCUUUUCAUGGCUCAUUUAGGACAAAGCAAUGCAUGGGUCUCUUUGAGUGUCAUAGGAGGGACUAUGAGGAAUCAAGGCAUGGAGAUACAAUGGUGCUUGUGCUUCUUGGCAGCUACCUAGUAGUUGGUGUAUUUGUAUCAAGAAAUAUUUAGUGAUGAAUGCAUAGGAAAACCUUUUGAUUUGCCAAAUCAUGAGAAACAAUUUAACCAUCACUUGAUUUUCAAAGUGGAAUUUCAAACUAGCCUUGAGUUAUUUCAUCUUACACACAAUUACUUUUUGCAUAUUAUAAACCAAGGUUUGGGUAAUAGAAUGGAUAAUCUGUCUUGAAAAACUAACCUGUAAACAAAAGUCAAAUGUGUCUGUAUGCCCUCAGAUUCCAGCAACCUUGAGGCCUCUAUUCCCUGAAUUGAAAACCAACUAUUAAGGGACCAUAGUGGGAUGAAAGUUAUUAGCUUCUAUAUACCAAGCACUAAAUUCAGAUACUCACUUGCCAAGUUGAAGGAAUUUUAAAUAACAAACACUUUGGAGGGACAUCAAUUUCAUUGUAUAGGGUCAAAAGGUCAUGCACCUACAGAUUAUGAUAAACUAAAUGCAUCAGACUACAUAAAAAUGUAAUUACUGAAUAAAGAAAAAGGUCAGCGUAUCAUAGUUUGAACCAUCCAUCUAAAUUCCCAAUAUUGUCUAUGUAUCACCCAAAAGAGAUCUUAGUGGAACAUGCUCUCUUUCUCUCGCAUACACGGGCACAAAAGCAAAUGCUUAGAAAUAUGCAGUAUUUUUGUUUGAAAGAAAAUUCCCAAGAAAGAGAAUUGCUACAUUGAGCUGCACAUUUUCAACUUGGAUCAGCCUUCAGUAACCAAAAGGGCCUCAUACAUUGGUUUUUUUAAAAAGAGCACCAUAAGAAGGAAAGGAAAAGUGAGACCAGUCAUCACCAAACGCACAAGCAAAAAUCUCCAGCAGCCAUUAUGAGUCAUUUUUCCUUGAAAUUGCUUCCAAAUGCAACCAGCAAUACUAUACAUAAAUUCAAAAUAUACUUCCUAAAAGCAUAAACUAAAUAGGUGUCACAUAGAUGGACAUUUGACCCUUUAUCCUCUAUAUGAUCCACCAACCCACUCCAUCCUUUCAUAGAAACGUGUUUGAUUGCUAUUUAAAAAAUUUCUUAGUACUUAAAUAUCUCUGUUGCAGCUGGCAUGGAUUCAUCAUACUCCUUGGCCCCACUGGCUACUGUCAGGUCAAGAUGUGUUUCAUUACCAAAGCAUGCCUUCUUACAAGAACUAUAGUGGAAACUAGACCCUCACAUAGAUUCUCUGUCCAUAACCAUCCAAUAUAAACAUUAAACUAAGUAAAUGAGAAUGACUAGCUUGUAACUUGACAAAGAAUAAAUCAAAAGGUAAUUUAAAAGGACAUGACAGAAUAUCAAUUAGCAUAUAAAAGGUGGAGGGUGUAGAAGAAUUAUCAGAAAAAUAAAGACAUGUCUUCAUUUUAAGGCAAUAAUAGAUAUGGCUUACAUUGAUAAACCUAGAUUACCAUUCCAUGUGAAUGGUUGAUAACAAAUAGGACAAGCUAAAAUGCUCUUGCUGAUGCUAACCUCCUUUUCAACUGAAAUAGAAUCCUGAACAUAAGAAAUAAGAUACAAUAUAUUGUGUCAUGACAGGAAAAAUUAAUUAUUUCGUAAUUCCUCAUGUGAACUGACUGUAAUUGAAAAAAUAAAAAGACAUCAUCUCAUUAGCACCGUAUGAUAAUUUUCCUCACAUUUUCCCUCAAAAUUUCCUAAAACCAAUUAUAGGGAAAAAGAAAAAGAAAUUAAAGCAUAAAAGAUGAAUUUGGUUGUAUAGAAUUUGCAGCCUUGGAAUUGAUAAUUUUCCCCUUUUGUGGUGGAUGCCCCAGUGUCAAGUCCACCGUUUGGUUGUUUUCUAUACCAACUGGAUUUCUAGUUGAAUUUAAAAGCCAUAAACCCAAAUUCCUCAAGAACAAGUAAGCAACUCCAAGAUAAAAGUUGGUUCUCCAGUUCCGUAAAAAUUGAACUUUGAACCAAAUCCAAUUCUACCCAACCAAAUGCAGCCUAAUUCUUCAAGAACCAUAAAAGAAUAAUGAAUGAAUCAAGAAUGGACAAAUACAUUGAAAAAAAAAAUCGGGAGCAGUACAAAUUCUCAAAAAAACUAAUCAUAAAGAAUCACAUAUGAAUUAAAACAAUUCCUAUGAAUUUUUUUUAUGCUCGAUUGACCAAAAAAAUAUAACAGUAGAACUUGUUUUGUCUCUCACGUACAUUCAUUGCACAUGCACACACAGUUACCAAUUGACACAGCCACCAAUUGCAAUGGAAAAUGGGGGCUGGUGGUUUUGGAGAGUGGAGGAAUUUAUUUUAAAAGGGACAUUCAACAUGCACAGAAGGAGAUGGGAAUAAAAAAAAAAAAAAAUUGGAAAGAUAAGGGGUGAGAAGACACAACCGAGAAGGAGGAUGUCUUUGAGGGUGGAGAAAACACACAGCUGGAACUCUCCACUACCAGCCACAAGAAAAGUAAAAAAAUGUGACCAGAUCAGGGCACAAAUGGGUAAAUCAAAAUGAACAAAACCCAUAUUUCAUGCCUAAUCAACAAAUCAAGAACAGAGUAGAACAGAGCAUGUACCACGAACCGUGUUUCUUCUCCACUACAGCCCAUAAAAUUAGGGCACGAUUUGAAACUCGACCAACAUCAGAACACUUGCAAUAAAUGAUGAAUAUGGAGUUGAAAGAGUGGAGAAUCACCUGAUUUGUCGCUCGUUGGUGGAAUUUGUAAGAGAAGAAUGGAGUUUCAGUGCUUAUUCUCUGUUAUGAGAGUCACAAAAUGGAGAUUCAAAAAUGAUCUCCAAUUUUUAAUACUUAAGAUCUCACACUAAGGCUUGGAAACACACCGUCUAGCUAGAUCUCCAAUGUCAAGAGCCUCAUCUGGAGUCAUUGAUCGACGUUGAUUACGGUUAACUGGGCUUCUAGGGUUUGUCGGGGUUUUGCGAAAAUGGAGGGAAUGUUUGGCACUAUGAGGUCGUGGGUAAGAAUGGGAAAUUUUUGAGCCAUAUAUAAAGGUGUUAUUUUAAUGUCACUUUUAUAGAGCGCCAAGGUAAAAAUUGAUAAAUGAAAACGCUUAUAUAAAACAUCGUGCUAUAAGAAGCACCAUCAUCCUUCAGCAUAAAGCGCCAUGGUCUAAAAUUUUCCUUUUAAGCGCCAACUUCGACCACUUAUUUACUCAACUGCCACUCUAAAAGCCAAGUAAUGACGCUUAUUUGAAAGCGCCAAAGAAUCAAGCGCCAUAAAUUGUGUUUUUUGUAGUAGUGAAAACACGAAUUCGCUCAGGCUGACAGACUAACACAAAGGCUCUGAUCCUAAAACAAAAUGAUGUCUCAAAAUGCCUCUACGGCCACACUAAGGAUCCAAGCUCCCUCUAAGAUGUCUCCAAAAGUGACCCGAAGAUCGAUGUCGAAGAUGAGUAACGGUUGAACCACCCUAGAGUACGAACAAGAACGUGUCCAAAGGAGACUGCCCUAUGUGGACUACGAGAUGAAUAUGAGAUAAGCACAGGGUAAUGACGUGAGGAGAGUGAGAAUAAGUGCAAAACCAUGAGGGUAAGAUGUGCAAUGCCAAUGAAUAUGAAUGCUGGGAGCUGUGACUCUGAAUGACGGGACUGACUCUAAACGCUAAACUGAGAAAAACAACGGCUCUGGAAGCCAAACCAAAAAGCUAACUCUAAACGCUAAACUAGAAAAUAACAGCUCUGGAAGCCAAACAAAAAAAAAAACUAACUCUAAAAGCUAAACUAGAAGGCCCAUAGGUAAAGACCUACGAUGGUGAUACAAUAAAAAUGCCCAUAGAUGAAAAUCUACGGUGGUGAUAGCUGAAAGAAUGGGGAUUCCCUCAACAAACUAACGGUAGGGGGAUGCCCUAAACAAACCAACAAUAAUGGCUCUGGAAGCCGAAUCAAAAAGCUAACUCUAAACACUAAACUGGAAAAAUAAUGGCUCUGGAAGCCAAACAAAAAAAAAACUAACUCUAAAUGCUAGACUGAGAAAACAAUAGCUCUGGAAGCCAAAUCAAAAAACAAAACUCUAAACGCUAAACUAGAAAAUAACAGCUCUGGAAGCCAACCAAAAAGCUAACUCUAAAAGCUAAACUGGAAGAAUAAAGGUUCUGGAAGCCAACCCAAAAAAACUAACUCUAAAUGCUAGACUGAGAAAAUAAUAGCUCUGGAAGCCAAAUAAAAAAAAACUAACUCUAAAUGCUAAACUGAGAAAAUAAUAGCUCUGUAAGCCUAAACAAGAAGCUAACUCUAAACACUAAACUAAGAAAAUAAUAGCUCUGGAAGCCUAAACAAGAAACUAACUCUAAACACUAAACUGAGAAAAAAAAAAAAAGCUCUGGAAGCCUAAACAAGAAACUAACUCUAAACACUAAACUGAGAAAAUAAUAGCUCUGGAAGCCUAAACCAAAAAAACUAACUCUAAACACUAGACUAGAAGAAUAAUGGCUUUGGAAGCCAAACCAAAAAACUAACUCUAAAUGCUCAACUGAGAAAAUAAUAGCUCUGGAAGCCAAAUUAAAAAGCUAAACUCUAAACGCUAAACUAGAAAAUAACAGCUCUGGAAGCCAACCCAAAAAGCUAACUCUAAAAGCUAAACUGGAAGAAUAAAGGCUCUGGAAGCCAACCUAAAAAAACUAACUCUAAAAGCUAAACUGGAAUAAUAAAGGCUCUGGAAGCCAACCCAAAAAAACUAACUCUAAAAGCUAAACUGGAAGAAUAAAGGCUCUGGAAGCCUAAACAAGAUGACAGUAGGGGGAUGCCCUAAACAAGAUGACAGUAAUGGCUCUGGAAGCCUAAACAAGAUGACAGUAAUGGCUCUGGAAGCCUAAACAAGAUGACAGUAGGGGGAUGCCUUAGGUGAUAGCUCAUAAAGAUCGGCAAAUGGGUCUAACAAUCAUGGAAUCUGCACGAGGCAUGGCAAACCCAAAGAGAGGGUGUAUGACCCAGUAGGAAAUGUGAUAAAGGGGGUAUGCCCCGGUAUGAUGACUCACAAAGAUCAAGAAAUAGAUCGAGCAGUGAGGCAGUACACAAAAGGCCUGAUAAACUCAAGGACGGGGGUAUGCCCCAGUGCGGCAUGCCGUUGCAAAUCUCAAUCCGCUGGAAAUGGCUGAAAGGGGCUCUACGAGUCUCGAACGACGCUCCACUAAUAGCUCAUAUCGAUGAAGAGCUCAAGAAUAAUGGUCAGUGAGGCGAAUACAAUAUAUCCCGGCCGAGUGAUGGAAACUGUGGCGGACAUGUGAGAGAACGAUCGCCUCCAUGGCUAAAUGAGGGAAAUAUGCCCCAGUGUGGCAUCAGAUGUACCCGAUAUGCCCUGAUGACCCGAGAACAACAUCAUGGGGAUGCGUAAAAGGCCUUACGCGUACCCCACUAAAAUGAUGACGUGGGAAUCCAAGCACUCGACAUGACUUCGUCCAAGAACCACGACUAUAUCAGAGAGUAAUAAUCUGGCUGAACGACUCAAGAGAGGCUCCUCGGAGUAUCAGCACAAAAUAAAAUCGAAUCAUCAACCUAGCAUGUAUCUCAUAUCCGUGGAUGAUCAUGUAAACCAGUGGGGGAUCUCUACAUCUCAACCGAAAUGAGGAAUAUGCCCCAGUGUGGCACCAAGAAUGCAACAUGUCACAAAAUCAGAUGAGCUUAAAUCAUCUAUGCCUGCAACUGAAUCAAACCCACAUAUCAAAGAGGCGUCCCUCGGAAGGAAGCAUGACAACAUCUAAGCAUCUAAAAGCGCGGGCCUGGCUCCACUAAGGAAUCAUCGUGAGGAUAGCGAAUAUAUCAUCAUCUCUACAUACAUCUCGCAAAUAAGGAUAAGCACGCAACUCCCUCAUGAUCUGUAAAUCUCAUCUGGACGGAAAUAUGCCCCUGUAUGGCAUCUGAUUCGUGCCCAAUUGGUGUCUCAGCUGAUUCGUGUCCAGCUGGUGCUCCUUGAUUGAGGGAGUAAUCAACAAAAUUUAUAACCUAUAACACCAUACACUAGGGUAGCAAAGAAAAAGCUACUAUAGUAUAGCGGCUCUAGAAUCGUUCACUGGGAAGGAUUAACAAGCUAUCAAUGAUACCAAUUCAAAGUGAAUUGGUCUUGUUUCAUUUCAAGGUUAGCUUAAGAAAUAAAACACAAACUUUGAUUGGCAAAGGUUUAGACUUAAACUAACUAACACAACAAGUAAUAGGAAUAACUUAGGAAGAAAAACAUUCCUUGGAGAGUUAGGUUCACUAGGGUGGUUCCUCAUGCAAAAGACAUAGCUCCGGUCAGAUGGUUCAUUUCCUCGCGUUAGAGAUUCAACAUAUAGUCAAUUCUCUAACCGGUGUUGUACAGAUACAUCCUUCAAUUAGAUUUCACUUUAAUUCUCUCACUGAUGCAACUUGCAAUGGCUUAAGCCUCUCACUAAGCCUUAACCAUUCAAGGUGAUCUUUAACCUUGGAUUACUCGUCAAAAGCUCGCAAGAAAUAACUAAUGGAUGUCUCCUUGGAGUCCAAAAGCUUACCAAGUGUUGGCUAUUCUAGAAAAUCCUACCCUAAAGUCACCUCCCAGAGGCUCGCAAGGGGUAAACUAGAGCAUUUCCAUGGUUGGAAAUCACUUGCCUUACCAAGUGUUGGCCCAGGUGACUCUAAGGUGUUUUAAGUUAACUAAAAACAUAGAAAUCACUAAAGGAUUUCACUUCCUCUUCAUUACUGACUAAAACCACAAAGCUUUUCAUUCUUGCACUUGGAACCUUCCUCGACAACCUUAGCUCCAAGGAAUUAGAGGUUUAGUUACUCAUUCUCUGGGGAAAACUCCUCAGAGAGUUCAUAACUUCGUAAUAAAUAAUAAAUACGAAGUGAGAAGGUAAGGCAAUACAAAGAACUAAACUUUACUUGCUUACCCAAAACUUUACAAAAGGAUCUCUUCUCCAAGAACAUGCUCCCGAGAGGUAUAUAUAUGAACAUAAUAUAAAACUAAUUAUUACAUAGAUAUUUUCUCUUUUUUACUAACUUAAAAGCUAAGGAAUCUUGUAAUUGGUGGCUUGCAAGGAGUAUUUUGGGAUUUAAACAACAAAAAUCUGAUGUAAAAUAUCUCCCAAUGUCGGUAGCAAAUAUCGGGAGGCUCCAAGAACCAUUUCGCAUGAGAAAAUGGUGUCUACGAGAUUUCGCAGACACUCAAGAAGGGCUGCGAAAUCAUUUCGCAACAACAAGCUAUUCUCGCAGGGCUACGAAGUUGGCUUCCACCUUGAGGUUCCCAGCUUCCCUCUCGCGGCAUAUGUCGGGUAUCUUCAGGAGGAAAUACACCACACUGUACAAAAAGGCUGCGGAAUCACUUCGCAACAAAAGGGUGAUUUCGCAACACUUUGGAAAAUGCUUCCUUCAACUGGGAGUGAUUGGCUUGCAAUGGCUGCAACUUCUUCGUUUCAACUCCAAAUUGUGCACCAUUUGAAGCAUUGGAUUGUUGACUUCCUAAGCUUUGAAAUGGUGUAUAGCAUGCAUCAAUUGGACUUCAUAAACUCUCCAAAAGUGGCUGCUACGACUGUCAUCAAGAAUAUGCUUCAUGGCAGAUUCUCUUUACUUUUUCUCCUUGCAUUCCGGAUUUACUCUUGGCAAAUGACUUCUAAGCUUUACCCAAGAUUCCUCAUAACUCUCCUCAAUCUUGACUUGCUUUGGUGAUCAAAUUACUAACAAAAACACCAAAACUUACACAAAGUGAUUAAAAUUGCUUUCAAGGGUCCUUAACAUGCCAAUUGAGUUAAAAGGUCAAAACUACUACUCAAAAGUGUUUAAAAUGAUUAAUUAUAAGCUAUCAAAUAACACUUUUUGAGUAGUAAUCAACAUCGAAUGUGUGAUAAACCAGAAAAGGCCAAGUGUCAUCAAAUCAUCCUCCGUCAAAUGCACGAUCCCGAUAAUCCAAACACAACUGAAACGAAUCUAACCAUCAGAAAGACGUCUCCCAGAAGAAGAAGCAUGACAAUAUCUAAAAAGCAACCAGAUCUCAAACACCUGUCCAAGCAGAGGCUGUCGAAGACGACAUCUGAUCCCAUGGCCUCAGGGUGGUCUUAAGACACGGGACGUAACGUAGGCUAGGGUGAUAGGGUGAUAGAAAUGAAGGGAAACUAGUCCCAAAUACCCAAUGGUGCCUAAUGUGAACAUAGUGUAAAUGAGGAGACAAAUGAAGCAAAUCAAACUGAUAGUGAGAUGUGUGAUGAUGAUGUGAAGGAAGUAUCAAACCCAAGAUGGGUCACUGUAGGAAAAGAAUGAGAGGUGAAGUGAGAAUAAUGAAUCAGAAACGAAAACGAGGAUGAUGAUAAUGAAGCAAAUAACACCAAAAGGAGUAAUGAUCGACUCGGAUCAAACAUGGAGUGAAGUCACGUCAACUACGAACACGAUGAUGGAAUGGACAAUGAGCCAAAGCUCCUAAGAGAAGGUCACUCAUCCCGUUCACAAGAUAUACGACAAAAUGAAUACAAAGCCUGAGGGAUCCCGGGAAGCUCACAUACGAACUCCCAUCAACAAACAUGCUCGAUCAAGUGACCCUCGAAUAUCAAUACAUACUCAGUGAUAGAUAACAAUACACACAUGCUUUUAUUUCUUUUUCCUUUUUUUUUUUACAACAUAUAAAUGAACUGUACAUGCUCUCUGAACGCAUACAAAGAAGACUCAAAAACGGGAUUAAAAAUGAAUAAACAUGCUCUCAAAUAUCAAUAUAUCACAAACUCUCCCUGAUGAGGUGACCUUCUCAAACUGAGGAUCCUUGGAUCAGUGUCCAUAGGAUAGAUAGUGGAAAUGACAUGACUACCCUCCAUGUAAUGAACUGAGGAUGAUCAUCCUUCAGGAUGAAAGAAGAUGAUGUGAAACGAACAGUAGAUAGGAUAGGAUGAUGAGAUGAAUAACACAAACAGUGAGAUGAGAUGAAAUGCAAUGAUGUAGUGAUGAGAACAGAUAGUGAGAAGAAAUGCGCCCCUAUGUCUAAGGCUCAUGGAACUCUCAAACAAUGCAUGCACACACUAAAGGGCCCCGAUCCCGAUAUGAAAGUGCGAGCAAUUCAAUGAGAAAGAAAAGCUAUAAUGCGUGUGUGAGGCUCAAGUGGGGUAGCAAACGGACUGUAUAUAUCAGAAGGGGGAUAAAGGGAUAUAGCUAACCGAAAUGAUGGCCACCCAUCCUGCGACCAUGGACUCAAACAUAGUACCUCUUUAGCUGAUCCACGUUGGUCGACUCUGAGAAUUGGUUUCCAUCUAAAUCCAUCAACCAUGCAGCGCCCUCUGGAGACAACUCUCUGAUGAAGUAAGGUCCGCUCCAAUUGGGUCUGAACUUCCCUCUAGGAUCUCUGAUCAAUCCUCUGAUGGCUCUCAAAACUAAGUCACCUACAUGUAGUGGUUUGGGCUUGACCCGCUUUUUGAAAGCACGGGCCAUCUUCCUCUGAUAUGCACGGACGUGAUCUGCCCCCCUCAAUCUCUUCUCAUUUAGGAUAUUGAGCUGAUCAAAUCGAGCCUGAGCCCAAUCCAUCUCGGGAAUCUGCUGCUCUAGUGCUACUCUCAAUGAUCCCAUCUCAAUCUCAACAGGUAGCACUGCCUCCAUGUCGUACACUAAGGAAUAAGGUGUGGCUCCUUUAGAGGUACGAAAAGAGGUCCUGUAAGCCCAUAGUGUGAAAGGAAGCUUCUCGGACCAACCCCGAGAAGUCUCAACCAUCCUUCGCAAAAUCCUCUUGAUAUUCCUAUUCGCGGCCUCUACUGCCCCAUUCAUCUGCGGCCUGUAUGCAGACGACCUAUGAUGCCGGAUGCCAUAUCGCCGUACUAAGGCAUCAACCUCUGCUCUGAAAUGUACACCUCUAUCUGAAAUAAGCUCGUGAGGGACUCCAUAGCGACAAAUGAUAUGUGAUAUGAUGAAUCUGGCAACUCCAGCUGAUGUCAAUCUCGCAUAUGAGGCGGCCUCCACCCACUUGGUAAAGUAAUCAAUACCGACAAGGAUAAACUCAUGACCACUGGAAGAUUUCGGUGAAAUAUUCCCGAUGAUAUCGAUACCCCACACUGAAAACGGCCAUGGUGAAGUCAAUGCAUGCAACUCCGAGGGCGGCACGUGAAUGAGAUCUCCAUGUAUCUGACACUCGGGACAUCUCUGAACAAACUGGCAGCAAUCCGUCUCCAUGGUCAACCAGAAGUAACCAUUCAUCAUGAUCUUACGAGCCAACAUAUGUCCUUCUAUAUGUGGUCCGCAGACUCCCGCAUGAACCUCUCUCAUCACUCGAUCGGCAGAGGCGCGGUCCAAACACAAUAAUAGCAUCCCGUCAGGAGAUCGCCUGUACAGUGUCUCGCCACAGAUCACGAAUUGAGCAGCCAAUUGUCUCAAUGCUCUCUUAUCCUUGACCGUGGUUGCCUCAGGAUAUAUGCUAAGUCUCAAAAAGUGAUAUAUGUCGUGAUACCAUGGCAAACCAUCAUAUGGCUCUACAUCAUCAAUCAAGCAACAGUAAGCAGGAGCAGAUCUCGACUCGAUCAGCAAAGGUCGAACAGUGGCGUCAACAGGAAUAUCAAUCAUGGAAGCUAGAGUAGUUAAGGCAUCAGCAAACUGGUUCUGCGCUCUAGGCAGAUGUGUGUAUCUCAAAUCCUUGAAUUUCGCGACCAGUAACUCCAAAUAUGCGUGAUAAGGCCUAAGCUUCGCAUCUCUAGUCUUCCACUCGCCCUGAAUUUGUCUAAAUACCAAAUUGGAGUCACCAAACACCUCCAUCUGUCCAAUCCCGAGCUCAAGGGCCGUCUUCAAUCCUAGAAUACAAGCCUCAUACUCAACGAUAUUGUUCGUGGCCGGAUGUCGAUCCGAGAAUGUCAAACGAAUAGAUCUGGGAAUGUGAUCACCAUGAGGGGAUAUCAAUAAGACACUUAUCCCGUACCCAGAAUGGUUGGUUGUACCAUCAAAGUACAUGCGCCAACCUGACAGACUAGUCACAACUGCAACAUCCUCGUUUGGAAAAUCAUCGUCACUGGCAUCAGAAACUGGUAAUGAGGCUAGGUAAUCUGCGACAAUGCUCCCUCUAAUGGAUUUCUGAUUGACAUAAUGGAUGUCAAACUCAGUCAGAAGCACCAGCCAUCUCAUAAGGCGACCAACUAGAGCGGGUCUAUCAAACAAAUAUCUCAAAGGAUCUAGUUGGGAUAUCAAAUGCACUGAAUACUUUGUCAUGUAAUGUCUCAAUCGGCGAGUAGCCCAAACCAAUGCCAAGCAGUAACGCUCAAUCAUGACAUAUCUCGUCUCGUAGUCUAGCAUCCUCUUACUCAGAUAAUAAAUGGCCCGGUCUUUACCCGAAUCAUCGAGCUAAGCUAACAUACAUCCCAAAGCCACGUCUGAGAUUGAUAAGUAUAGGAAUAGAGGGCGGCUCGGUGUAGGAGGCGCUAAGACUGGAGGUGACAACAAGUACUCCCUGAUCCUCUCGAAUGCAUGCUGACACUGAUCACCCCAAACAGUAGGUUGACUCUUCCUCAAGAGUCGAAAAAUGGGCUCACAGAUGUCUGUCAAUCUGGCGAUGAAUCUUCUGCUGUACUGAAGUCUGCCCAAGAAGCCUUUGACCUCUCUCUCUGUCCUCGGUGCAGGUAUGUCAAGGAUGGCUCUAAUCUUGUCCAGAUCUACCUCUAUGCCUCUCUCACUGACCAUAUACCCCAAGAGUUUCCCAGAAGUCACUUCGAAAGUGCACUUCUUGGGGUUCAGUCUCAAUUUGAACUGCCGGAUCCUAUUAAAGAACCUCUCUAGAGCUGCUAGGUGAUCUGAUCUACCUCGGGAUUUCACUAUCAUGUCAUCUACAUAAACCUCGACAUCCCGAUGCAUCAUGUCAUGGAAGAAGGUGGUCGCUGCCCUCUAAUAGGUGGCUCCUGCGUUUUUCAAUCCGAAUGGCAUGACUCUAUAGCAAUAAGUGCCCCACUCGGUAAUGAAGGACGUCUUUUCCAUGUCAUUUGGAGCCAUCAAGAUCUGACUGUACCCGGAAAAUCCGUCCAUAAAGGACAACAUUGAAUGACCUGUCGUACUAUCAACUAGCAUGUCGAUGUGUGGAAGAGGAAAAUCAUCCUUAGGACUAGCCUUGUUGAGAUCUUUGAAAUCAACGCAAACUCUCACCUUGCCGCCCUUUUUGGGAACAGGGACGACAUUGGCCAGCCACUCCGGGUACUCAACCACUGAUAAGAAUCCUACACUAAGCUGCUUCUGGAUUUCCUUUUUAACCUCCAGGCUCCAACGAGGAUGCAAUUGCCUCAACUUCUGCUUAACCGGUUUGGCAUGGGGCAGAAGCAGCAAACGAUGCUGGACGAUAGACGGAUCAAGGCCCGGCAUGUCCUCAUAGGACCAUGCAAAGACAUCCAAGUAUGCUCUGAGCAACUGGAUGAGGCUGUCCCUCUCAUCUAUAGAUAAAUCUGAUCCGAUCCGCAACUCUCUAGGUUGAUCUGCUGUGCCAAAAUCAAUAAUCUUCGUGUCCCCUACAGCGGGUGAAACUCUCCUAUCAACGAGAUCCGAAUCGGAAGCAGAAGACGAGUCAUCGUCAGAAUCGUGCUGUGCAAUCUCAUCAUCAAUGUCAAAAAUCUGUGAUGUGGGUGAAGAUGGUGUAGAUAGAUCAAUAACAUUAGAGAUAGGCAAAUACUCAAAGAUGCUCAAAUCCAUAGAUGAAACAUCGGAAACAAUGUCAGAACGGGAGACGAACCCCGAUAGAACGUCAAAUAAAAGAGGUGGGUCCACAAAGUCGGACGCUCCCUCGAUAAUGCCAACAUGGCUAUCAAACAAAUCAUAAAAAACUAUGAUGUCCUCAGCAGACUCUAAAGCAGAAGCAGUCAGGAUCUCCUCGGAAAGCUCGAUAGUGGACACCCCAAAAGGGUCAAAUAAUGAAGCAAGCCCUGGUUGAACAGUCUCCUCAAUCUGGCUCAAGCUUAGUGCGAGCAUCUCGUCAAUAUACUCGUCAUGUGGUGCGGCUCUGUCUACCAUGUCACUGAUCUCGACAAAUGUCCCGUGAUCAUCGAUCUCAUCUGGGAAGCAAAGCGUCAUAAGGCUCGUGCGAUCCGAAGAGGAAGGAGCAAUCAACACAGAAGUCGAAGGACCAGGGGCUCCGUCUCUCAAUCGUAGCUGCUGGAUAAGGCGCUGAAGCUCGGCCUUCUGGGUGGUGCUAAGUCCUCUGAUGAUCCCAUCAGAUGGUGUGUGCGGCUCCGAUGCCCUCAAGAAGUAAUCUGCUAGGCUCCUAGUGUACAGACGCAUGGGAUAAUAGAAAGGAGUAUGAGUCAGUCGAGUCCUCACUCUCUCCUUGCGCAAGCGCACCAUAUAUCGGUAGUCAGCCUCGGUGGGGAUGAACCCGAGCCCAAAUGGUACGUCAUGAUCAGGAAUGGCGAUGAACUCGCUCGGUCCAUGCUGACGUCGACCCAAUCCCAUGCCGGGAAGAUAAGACAUGCUCCGCAUAAUAUCGAGCACCACUAUGCUGCCGUGCUGGUCAAAUGACAUAGCUACAAAGUCUCGGCAAAAGUCCUCCAUCUCAAGGGUCUGCACCUCGUCAAAAGUGAACCCGAUCAGCAAUAAGUCAUCGUCACUAUGGCUGAUCUGGAGCACGGGCUCAACAGAAAUGAACAUGUGCCCUGUCGACUAUACGGUGACUACCUGGCCCUCAUGGAUGAAUUGCACUUUCUGAUGAAGUGAAAAAGGGAUGGCCCCGGCUCGGUGAAUCCAUGGUCGGCCCAAAAGUAGGUUAAAGGAUGUAGGAAUCCUCAAAACCUGAAAUACAGUGACAAAUGUGGUCGGACCUAUCAGGAGCUCAAUCUCCAAGGUACCCAUGACCUCUCUACGGGUACUGUCAUAAGCGCGAACGGUCUGAGUGGAGGGACCGAAAUCGUAUGGCGCAUAUCCAAGGGCAAUGGCAGUGGCAAGAGGGCAUACGUUCAAGGUCGAGCCAUUGUCCAAAAGGACAGAUGGGACUCGGUGGCCUGAACAGCCAACAGAUAUGUAGAAGGGACGAGUGUGGUCCGAGCCCUCCGAUGGCAAAUCGUCGCCCGAGAAUACGAUACAUGUGGCUCGGCCAGCUGUCAUCAUGUGAAUCAAACCCUUAGGAGUGGUGGUGGUCUCAACUCUGAUCUGGCUCAAGGCUCGAAUCAAUGCAUCUUGGUGAGUGCUCGAAGAUGCCAACAAACUCCAGAUAAAGAUACAAGCCUGAGUGCUUUGUAGCUGCCUCAAAAUCUCAUCAUCCUCUACUCGGACCUCCUCAGAAACAGAUGUACCCUCAACUGGCCUAGCUGCCGCGGGAGGUGGCUGUCGCAUCACUCUACCCCCUCGGAGAAUAUACUGGAUGUCCGGAGUCUGAGAAAUAUCAACAUGUGGAGCCCGAACCUCUUCAACAUCCGGGGCUAAAACGAACGGCGUCUGAACGCUAUAACGCAUGAAGGUCGGAGGCUCGACAAUGGACACAUGUACUGGGGCUGUCUCAGGAAAUAAUCUAAAAUGAGUGGGCACCUGAGGCUCCAAAGACAUGCUGCUCAUCUCAUAAAUAUCCCCCAACUCUAUGGGCUUCGGAUCCAUGUCAUCCCAGCUCAUCAUGCGGACAUGGUCAUCAGAAUCAACAAAGUCCAGGAAAUGAAUACCUCCGUCUGGUGGAGGAACUGCAUGCGUGGUAUGGGCUGGUAGUGGGUUUUAGGUUACACUUGGCUGACCCAAGUGAACCAAACCCUGAUCAAUCAAGUCCUGGAUGACAUGUCUCAGUGCGGUGCAUCGAUCAGUCUCAUGUCCUAGCCCCUAAUGAUAGGCACAACGCAGAUCCAUCCUGAAGUGAGGAGGUAGAGGCUGAAGGGGCGGUCUCGGAGUGAGUGCAGUCAGCAGAUCGGCCUCUGUGAGCUUCCGAAGAGCCUGGCUCAACGGCAUGCCUAUCUGUGAAAACUGUCUCUGCGUCCUCAAAGCAAAGGGUGUAGAGGUCUGCUGAGAUCGAGGCCUGGGGUAUGAAGGUGCGGGCCUCGGAGUGAACUGUUCAGUGUAGCACGGCUGUCCAGUGGCCGUGUAUGAAACAGGAGGCCUCUCAAUGCCCUGAGUGGCAUAGUAAGGUAGAGCCAAUGGUUGAGCCUGAUAUGUCUGAUCAAAAGUCGGGCAAGGUGCCUGUGGCCUGAACUGUUAAGGUGUGUAAGACGAAUGAGUCUCGAGGAGCUGUGGGAUCGGCUGAUGACGCCUAGGAGGCCUCUGACUGGAUGAACUGAUAACACUAACAUCUAUCGUCCUCCGUCCUACGAAUGGUUUCUUCCCCUUAACAUCACUAGGGGAAGAAUCUACCCAUAAACCUCUCGAGAUGACGUCCUCGACAUCAUACAAAGUCAUAACCAGAUACCCAAAAUCUGUGAACGAGACCCCGACCACAUGUCUGGCAAUCACCGGCUGUAGACUCCUCAAAGCCAUCUGAAUCUGGUCUCUCUCUGAUGGUCUAUCCACUAUCUCAGCUAUCUUCCCGCGCUAGCGGGAAAUGAAAGAAGAAACAGACUCCUCUGCCCUCUGUCUCAGAGCCUUGAGUUCUUUCCUCGAUACAUCUACGACAGUGUUAAGCGAAAACUGUCAUAGGAACUCCUGGGCCAAGUCAUCCCAUGUGCGGCGUCUUGAGGACUCCAGAGACGCAAACCAACGCUGAGCCGCCCCACUCAGAGAUAGGGGGAAAAAAGUGAUCAUUUGAGGCUCGUCUAGUCCAUGAGCCCUCAUCACGGUGCUGUACAGUCAGAGAUGGAUGCGUGGACAACCAAUGCCUAUAUACCUCUCAAUAUCCGGCAUCCUGAACUUAGCUGGCAAGCUGGCUACCGGCACUCCAUCAAAACCCUCCCAAGUAAUGGCUCUGUUUGAAGUCCUCAACUGCCUCAAACCCUACUCAAGCCUAUCCAGGCGAGCAUGUGGAUCCUCUGAGGUCGGGGUAGACAUGGUGAUGGGAGGCGGGGCAACCUCGGUCUGACUAUGCAGAGUGAACGGCAUGGCCUGUCGCGCUGACUGACUGGGUGGAGGGGGUGGUGGCACUGUAGGGUCAUACUGGGCGCCAUCUUGAGACGGGACCUGCUGGGCCUGCUGCCCAUCUAUCCUCUGGCCGAGGCUAGCCAAAGCCUCCUGGAUAGAAGCCAUGGCGGCCGUGAACUAAUCGACAGUGACGACCUGCUGAUCCAUAUCUGGUGUGUCUGAAACCCGAACUAAUCUGCCCUCAACUCUGACCCAAGAAGGUGUGUCCAGACUGCGAAUGAAAUCUGAUCCUGGCAAGGUGAGAAGCGGAAUGAGGAUACGGUAUAGGAAAAGUAUGAAAUGAAUGAUAGUCUGAACUGAAACGGGCAAAUGCAUCCAAGACGAAGACGAACUGUCCGACCAUACUCAAACUCAUAUCGAUCCCCAAGCACUCUCAACUGGAGACUAAAGAGAGGGAAAAUCGGAUCCGAACUGUAACUAAAGAGGCUCUGAAGGCCCUCAGAUACACCCACGUGUAGGGAGGGAGUCCUAAUCGGAGGAUCUAUGGCUCAACCUACAAGGUCAAGGUGACUCUAAAUGGAUAUGGGUGGACUUUAAAAGAUCCCUAGCAGAAGCGAUCUUACCCUCCGGCAGUACGCAACCCUCUGCACGCCUCCGAAGAGACGGGGCACUUCCAUGCAAGGUGGUCAUCACCUCCACACAUGCACUACCUCGCAUCCCAGGGGGCUUCCUAUGGUGAAACCUCUCACACUCUCAACACUCAAUAGUCAACUAAAGUGCACAGUGAACGGUGUGGGUACAUCCGAAAACCUUAAGAAGCUAAAACAUAAAAUGAAACACACUGGCCACACAAAUAUCCAUGAAACCUAGCUCCGGGCUAUACAGGUCUUCAAUGAUCGGACUCCAAUCGACAUCAAAGUGUCGCUCUCCUCCAGAAUGCUCCCGUGCAUCGGUAUAGCCCGUCGCUAGACCCUACUCCUAAUCUCUGGCUCGGUCAGAGAGCAAGCAAAUAGAAGGCCUCACACUUGCAAUAGUGAGAACCGGGAUGAAAGGAAUGACCGAAACUAAGAGAGUUGGAAGUAAGGGGAUAUAUGUGCGACCCACAUGGACAAGCAACAUGCAAUCAUGCAGAGGGAGGGCAAUCAUGCAUCAUACAGUCAAGCAGAGUACAAGAUAUAUCACUCAUGUCCACACAAAAAGCUACAACUAUCAGGAUGAAUAGCGAUAUGAACAUCAUGCUCAAAAGACGAUCAAGAUAAUAUGCAAGCCAGAGAAAAUAGCACAGCAAGUCAAAUGCUAUACACCAGUGAAUCCAUGCAUGUGAGGUGAACAGAACAAUCAUGGCAAAAUCAGAAUGACUACGCUAAGCAAUGCAAGAUGAUCAAUCAAUAUAAUCAGCAUGUCAAUGUACUCAACAAACAUGACAAUGAAGCACAGAAAAAUCAAAAUCCUCAAUGUGCAAUCAAGAUAUGAGCGUCCACUGAUCGUCCAAUUGAAUACCACGUUUGCUUCAUUCUAAGUUCAAGUUUGACCCUCUAAACAUCCCCAGCGGAGUCGCCAUUUUGUGGACCCCGCAUUUCGGCUCAAUGCGUUUCCCACUCGAUAGUGAGCUCGAUUUUUAUUUUGAAAAAGGAUGAUUUAAUCGGUUAAAAAAAAACUGACUUAGAGUCGCCACUUAUUUUUGUUUUAUUUUUAAGGGUAAACAAAAUAAGAAAGAAAAACCCUAAGUGUGACUCCUUGUUUUGGAAAAUGUCAGUCUACGAAAAAACAGAUCGGGUUCGGGGGUCAGGUUACUUAUCAGGAAGGUACGAUAUGAACCGUAGCACCCCUCUAAGCCCCUAAAAUGGGUCUCUACUAAUAAAAUGAAGCAGUCAUGACAAUUAAUUAGGAAAUCAAUGAAUACCCGGAACUAUCAUGCACAUAUGAGAAUCAGAGUAUGUAUAGUGAAUUAUCAGAAUGAGUGAAUGCGUACCUGGGCAACAAACAGCAACGCGCUAUCAUAAAAUGAGGUUAGUGAAUAAACACAAAAUGGUUAUAUGCAUAUCAUGGAACAUAGCAAAUCAAUCAAUCAAUCAAUUAGUCAUGAAUUCACAUAUGUAGGGCCCCCAUCAAAGCCCAUUUUAUCUUGCCUGAAUCAAUUCCGAUGGAAUUAUGGAAUUUGAUUCCUUGCUUAUUUCAAAACAUUUUAAAAACAGAGGAGGUAUGAAAAUUACUUGCCAGAAAUAAAAGCGGCGGCGAAGUGUUAUUGAAAAUGUGAUUUUGGAACCUAAAGAAACUCUAAGGAUGAAGUAUGAGACAAUUGGGAUUAUUUGAGUACCAAGAUUUAAAAGAAUUUACAAUAUGGGAUUCGGAUGAGAUAUCCGGGGAAGGCGGAACGUAGGCCAGAUGGAAUUCCGGAUGUGAGGUAUCCAGAGAAGGUGGAAUGUCGGCAGACAGAAUUCCGGGUGCGAGAUGUCCGGGUGGAAUGUUGGGGGGGGGGGGGGGGGGGAGGAAUUCCGGAUGCGAUGCGUUCGGAUGGAAUGGCGGUAGGAGGAAUCUCCGGAUGCGGGGGACGUCCAGGUGGAAUGGCAGCAGGAAGAAUUCCGGAUGCUGGGGCGUCCGGGUGGAAUGUUGGCGGAGGAGAAUUUCUGGAUGCGUAGGGCGUCCGGAUGGAAUGGCAGGAGGCAUGCUGAGUGCGAUGUGUCAGGAUGGAAUGGCAACGGGGGAAUUCCGAAUGCGAUAUGCGUCCAGGUGGAGUGUUGGCGGAGGAGAAAUUCCGGAUGCGAUGGGCGUCUGGGUGGAAUGGCGGCGGGAGGAAUCCUAGAUGCGAUGCGUCCGGAUGGAAUGAACAUGGUUGUGAGUAGCAUGAAGGAUGGGUAUGAACUGUAUGGACAUGGGGGCUUGGGUGAGUGGUUUUAAUGGGUAUGCGAAGGAGUGAAGGAUGGCAUGCACCCGUGAGACUCCAUGUAAGCGGGGGAGUGGGAUGGAGAAUGAAUGAGAGGCGGAUGGGUGUGGUGGAGGUGUAAACCCUCAAUUUUGUCCCUCGACACUGGCAUUUAUCCUUCGGGUGUCACAUCCACCCAUUGUUCGCAUAUGGCACCACUAGGGCCCCUUUUGGGCUUAGUCGAUGUCCGAGCCUUGUGUGGGUUUGUCUGUGGUCCAUUGUGGUGCAUAUGUGGUUCAUUUUGGAGGGUCACCCUGGCCAUUUUCCUAGUCGUUCACAUCACGCUAUAGGAAGGAAGUGGGGUCAUCCUGAUGUCUUAGCUUAGUUGGAGUUUAUAGGGGCAUGUUGAGGUUCGGAGCACUCGGGCUUGUUUUGAUCGUAUCUCCCUCAUCCAAACUCAGAAUCAAAAACCGUUUCUUUUUAUGGAUUCCUUAUUCUUCCAGGAACAUUCUGUAAAAUUUUCAAAAUUUUUUGCAACCGGUCGGCUGGUUGGCAGCCGGUUCAUCGAGUCAACCGGUGUAGAACACUGAUUUUUGGUAAUUGUUUUGAUCAUAUCUCCCUCUUUCGAACUUGGAAUCACAUACCGUUUUUUUUAAUGGAUUCCUUGCUCUACUAGGAACAUUUUGUCAAAUUUUCAGAAUUUUUUUCCAUCGGUUCGACCAGUUGGCAUCCGGUUCGGCCGGUUCAGCCGGUUCAUUGAGUUAGCUGAGGUAAAACACUAAUUCUAGUAAUUUUGAGGCCCAAAUCCUACAUGGCUCAGGCCCAUAAGCUCCAGAUCAGUUUUGGGCAAUGUUGUGGGUCCAUUUUAGGCCUUGGUUUGGGUUCCUUGCAGCCCACCAUGAAUCCAUAUGGAUUCUUGGUGGUGAAGCAAGCUGAAAAAACUGAAGGGAGUGAGCUGGCCUUGUAAGUCUAAGAGAAGUAAUGAGGGGUGUGGUUCCCAUGCUGAUGAAGGGAAUUUCGGUGCUGAAGGGGAAGGAACCCAGGAGGCUCAAAUGCUAAGAGGGGUAUGAGUAUAAAAGGUGAGAGGAUAGGAGAGCAAAUGACCUUUGACAUUUUGGAGAGGGGAAAUUCUGCUGGUGAGAAAAACAAAAGGUCAGUAGCAUCUUCUGAGUUGAGAGUGUGGGGGAAGCUUCAGCACUGUGGUUUUUUUGAAAAGGAGAGUGACAGCCUCUCAGUUUAGGAAGUCAUCAUCGGCAUGCACGAAUCAUAUUUGGUGGAGAUUCUGAGGUAACCACGAUGAAUUUUCUUUACUUACAGUUUAUCUUCCUUGUCUUCAUAUGCUUUUUCUCCUUCCUCAUCAUCUUUUCUUCCCUUUGAUAUGAAGAUUGUAUUGAUUGGGUGUGGAUAAUAAAGGCCACACAUGAUUGUUAUUGUUUUCUUCCUUGAUCACUUAGGAACUUUCUGACCGAAUUAGGGAUUUUCUACCAACCGGCUGAACCGGUUUGGAACGGGUUGAACCGGUUUAGCACCAUAGCUGGCUGCCUCUGUCAGCCAUGAGGAACACCUGCCUUUCUUUGUCCGAUUCUCACUCAUCCGAGCUUGGAAUUGAGAACCGUUUCUUUGUUCGCUUCCUUAAUCACUUAGGAACUUCCUGACCGAAUUUGGGAUUUUCUACCAACCGGCUGAACUGGUUUGGAACCAGUUCAACCGGUUCAGCACCAUAGCUGGCUGCCUCUGUCAGCCAUGAGGAACACUUGCCUUUCUUUGUCUGGUUCUCACUCAUCCGAGCUUCGAAUUGAGAAUCGUUUCUUUUGUUUGCUUCCUUAAUCACUUAGGAACUUCCUGACCGAAUUUGGGAUUUUUUAUCAACCGGAUGGACCGGUUGAGAACCGGUUCAACUGGUUCAGCACCAUAGCUAGCAGCCUCUGUCAGUCAUGAGGAACACUUGCCUUUCUUUGUCUGGUUCUCACUCAUCCGGGCUCGGAAUUGAGAACCGUUUCUUUUGUUUGCUUCCUUAAUCACUUAGAAACUUACUGACCGAAUUUGGUAUUUUUUUAUCAACCGGAUGAACUGGUUGGGAACCGGUUCAAUCGGUUCAGCACCAUAGCUGGUUGCCUCUUUCAGCCAUAAGGAACACCUGCCUUUCUUUGUUUGGUUCUCACUCAUCCGGGCUCGGGAUUGAGUGUCGUUUCUUUUGUUUGAAUCCUCACUCAUUUAUGAGUUUUCUAGAAAAAAUUGGGAAUUCUUCUCAAUAGGUUGUACCAGUUGAGAACUAGUUAAACCUGUUCUGCUGGAGAACUUUAGGUAGCCCUCGAUUUUGGCAUUUUUCGAGCCCUUAUCCAUGGGGGCUCAAACCCAUUUGCUAUAGGGCACUUGUGAGCCAUCUUGAAGGUUUAAGUCAGUGUUUGAUUUCAGUUAGUAUGGGCAAUUUUGAAGUUAUGGGUGGUGUGGUCUAGAUGAGUCUAGUUCGAUUUGUAUGACAUUUGGGGAGUCCCUUACCUCAUUUCAACCAGCUAUCUUCCUUUUUGGCACAAGCUUUGAUGCUUGAUUUUGAAUACAUGUUGCGUGACUGACUCACCCUCUACUGCAGCGCUUGGCUAGGGACCACAGGAAUGCAUCGUUGGCUUUGGUUGUUGAAUUCAUAUGCAUGCAUGGUGCUUAAUCUUGAAUGUUUGUUAUGUGUUUACCUGUGUUUGGUUGACCUUUUAUGCAGCACUUGGCUAAGGACCACAGGUACGCACCCAUUGUUUUGUUUGGUUGAAUUCAUAUGCAUGCCAAAUACCAAUUAGGAUUGUGUGAUCCAUGACAUCUAUUUAGCCUAGGGUUUCAUUUGACCUUUGACCCAUAUGCUCCCACAUACCCAAUUCAUUAGUAGAGACCGAGUUUCAGGCCUAGAGGGGUGCUACCUCGCAUGAGGUACCUUUCCAACGGGUAACCUGAUCCCCGGACCCAGAAUCUAGUUUUCGUAGACUGCUUUUUCCAUACUGGGGUCAUUAGGGGUUUUUGUUCUUACUUAAUUUUCCCCAUUUUAAAAACAAAAAUAAAAAGUAAGUGGCGACUCCAAACAACACCGUUCCUCACCAGGGGCGGGUUUUUUUUCAAAACUGGAAAACACCAACUUUUUCAUUUCUUUCUUUUCUUUUAAAAGCGAGUCGCGUCGGUCCGGUGGAUCGGGUGAGGGUCCACAGGAGGAUGCUUGACUCCUGCAAGCUCGAGUGAGGAAAAUGGAUAUGACGACCUAGAGAGAGAGAGAGUGAUAGAUGAACGAUGGGUAUGUAGGCAUAUUGGAUAAAACGAUGAAUAACAAACGAAAAUAGGUAUGGAGAGGCUGAUGAGGUGAGCUUUGCCGCCAUGACAACUACCCCAGGUUUUCUAGGAUUUCUUUCGAGCAGGGAUGAGAAAUUGGACGCGUACCAUAAUGGACAUCAAGAAACAGGGGAAGUAGAGUAACAGAACGUAAAAGAAGAUGAAUAAAUAAAGGAAAAUCUCGAAAAAUCCACUUCAUGAAUCAUCCAUGAAUCUUCUGAGCAGGUGGGUAAACCAUAUCGGAUGCAGCCACCCUCAUGACUCUCAAGCAUUUCAUAACCACAACAGGAACAUAUCAAAUUAAAAUGAACAAUGGCAAACACGUUUGCAGGGUCAUACUUCAACAAGCAGACUGGUGGCCUUCAUUAUUCACCCUAAACAGCAUUAUGUUAUGGAAAAUCAGUGAAUAAUGAGAGACGAGGAGAAAACUGUGUACGUACCUGGUUCCUCAAGCAAAAAGAAAUCAAGUCUCAACUCUCUCAAUGGAGUUUCUCUCUACCGUCAAGAACUCUCCCCUGGCCAUGGAAGACCUUGCCGAGCAAAUCUCCUUUCUCUCGAAAAUCCCCCCUCUAGCCAACUCUUCCCUCACAAAACUUUCUUCCUUCUUUCCUUUCUUUUCUCUGCCUUUCUUUCUGGAUUUGCCUUCCCGACCAUCUCUGCCGCAGCCACCUUUUCUCUGCCCUUAUCCCCCUUCUACGACCACCUUUUCUCUGCUCCACUCCUUCUGCAGCCACCUUUUUAUGUUUUACUCCUUCUGCAGCCACCUUUUUGUCCCACUCCUUUUGCAGCUUCAAAAAGCGAGGUUGAUUCCUUAUAGCCACUAAGGAUGUGACACGUGGCCCGUUGGGAUAGUGACACCUGGGUAAAAAUGUGAUCUAAAAAAACAAAUAGAGAAGAAGUGACCCAUGCCUAAAUGGGGGUCUACAGAAAUAUUUUCGAAGAAAUUUAUUUCCCUCAAAUUACUAAAUAUCCUUUUGGUAAUAACCUUUAAUGACAAAUUGAGACCACCUUAUCCAAUUAUGAAACAUUUAAUUCUUCAAGGAUUCUCAAAAAUAAAUUUAAGAAAAAUAUUUCAAAUUCUUAAGAAUAAAAUUAAAAAGGAACUUUAGCUCUCAUAUUCAAAAUUCCUUAUAAAUUUAAUUUCCUUAUCCCUACCCCUUUCCAAUUUAAUAAAUAUUCUUAAAUAUGAAAACUAAUUUUCAUAAUAAUUUAUUUCAUUAAAAUUACCAAAAACUAAACUUUUAGUAAUUCCUUUAAUGAUAAAGUAUUCAUCUUGAAAUUUUCCAAAAACAAUUAUUUAUUGUCCAAAUUAAGGAUUAGUGUAAUAAAAAAGUUUCCAAAAACUUGAAAAAUAAAAACUAAAGAGCACUUCAUCCAAAAGGGAACUGUGAGGAUUCUUAUCAAAAUAAUUUUAAAGAAAAUAAUUUAGAAUCCUUUGGAAUAAUUUAGAAAAUGAAACUUUGCUCUCUAAUUUAUUUUCACAAGUUUUAUUUUCUUAAUCUAUACUAUUUCAAAAUUAAGUAAAUAACAUGCUAUGGAAUAUAAUUUUCAAGAAAAUUUAUAUCCAUUAAAAUUACUAAGAGUUUCAUACAAUUUUCGUAAAAAAACUUUCAAUAAUUUUGGUGACCUUCUUAAAAUAAAUAAGAGAAUCUCCGCUUAAUUUAGAAACUUACAUCCUGAAAAUAAAAAUAAAAAUAAAAAUAAAAAUAAAAGAUCUUUUAAGGAUUUUCAGAAAAGGAAACUAGAUUGUCUCACAAUUUUUAAUUUUUUUUUUACAAAAAAUCAUUCCAUGUAAAAAUUCCUUAAUAGUAGCACCCUUCUAAUUUUGAAUAAAACUUGAUUUAGAAAUAACUUGCUCAUGAAAAUUUAUUUUCCAUAAGAAAAUCCAAAAUUAGUAACUUUGGAAGCACUUGCAAUAUUUUUCACAUGCAAUAUAACGAUAUGCAUCAAAAAGGAAAUAUUCCAAAGGAGAUCUCAUGGCCAAGGGAUAUUUUUCACAACUUACCAAUUGUGAAUCAAACUUAAUUGUCUUCAACUUAACAUUAAUACUUGGAUUCAAAACUUAACAAAAGAAGCUCUUGUAUAGCUUCCAUAAUUCAGCAACUUUCAAGCCCAACAAGUGGCCCUAAAGAUGAGCCUAAAAAAGCAAAAAAGAAUUGGACCCGUAUGCAAUCCCAUUACAACAUACCCUCUAUGCAGCUUUCCUUCAAACAACCAUAUCUCCGUCAUUUCAACUCCGAAUCGUGAACCGGUUAUGGCAUUCGAUUCCUGACUUCCUAAGCUUUUCUCAUUGCGCUUUUCUGUCAUUGAUGCGUCCAUGGCUUCCUAACUGAUGGUACCGAAUCAAGAGAAGGAGAACUUUGUUAUCUGACAACAUGCUUCAGCUUUAGGGCAUAUACUUAUGCAGGAGUUCAUAACCGGACCUAGGUUUCUUUCCAUAUGACCCCUAGAUUUGAAUGAGAGCCAAGGGUAAAGGAAAACCACAACAAAGGAACAUCCCAAAAACACGGCAUCACACAAACCCAAGAAUCACAAAAAUAGGUCUCAUCCCAUAUUGACAUCAAUGAGUUCAUGAGUAAAUAAGGAACUUAGGUGGGCACAAGACCAAAAACAUUAAUCUGAGCAUAUCACUAGACAGCUAAAAUAAAGUUAAGCCACACUUAAACAAGACCACAGAAAGAGCAACAUGCUUCAUCUAGGCAGAGCACAACAAUCUAGAGAGACAAUAGAAAUGGACAUAUAACCAAUAAUACCCAUGUUUAAGCAACGGGUGUGAGCCAGAAACAAUAAGAAAUGCAAAUAAAGUUAAAAAGUAAGGAAGAAGAAAAAUGAAAAAUACAGAGUGUUCAUACCUGGGAGGUUCUCUUCUCAAACAAAACUUCUCUCUAGCCUUCUCUCCGUGAACUUCUCUUUUUACUCUCUACUCUCCUUCCUCACAGCUCCAUUCAUUCAUUCUGAGGCUCCUCCCCUGGUUCACUCUCAAGUCCUCUUCGGGAAAAAAAAAACCCUCCCCCUCAAAGCUCUUUGCCACCUCCAAAAAAAAUUGUCUCCUUCCCCUGUUUUUUUUUUUUCUUCUCCCGCAAGCCAUUGUCUGCUCCACUGUUCCCAGCUCAGCAAGCCUCCAUCCAUCAUCUCUUGGUCCAACCACCACCAUGGAGAUGGUUACCCACUCCACCACAUGUCCCAUGCAGCUUAUUCAUCUCCAAGACCGUCCCAGCUCUUUCCCCACCCAAAAGAAAGCCUCUCCCCCCUAUUUUUAAAGGGGUCUACAGGUUCAUUUUUUCAAAAAUUAAAAUAUUUUUUUGGAGAAAUAAAAAUGAGAACAUGUUUUUGUGUUUAUUGUUUCAAAAAUAAAUUUUUGAAAAUAAAAAGAAUGAUUGAAAAUGAAGUAGUAUACUAAUUAUGAUUGUGACUCCUUUUUUAUUUAUUAUGUCUAUAAAUUCAUUGUUUUAGUUAGAGUUCAAUAAAAACUUAACUAAAAGUUUGAACAAAUAAUAAAAUUGUAGUUUAGAUUAUUUAUUUAUUUAUUUUUGAGAAUUUUGUUAACUCAUAACUCUUGGCGUCCCUAAUUGGAAUCAACAAGGACUUUUUUAAUACUAUUUUUUUUUUCUUUUGAGAAUUUGGGAUGCAAAUUUACUCCAUUAAUUUGGUUUAGGAUUUUGUAUUUUGUAUUUUAUUUUAUUUUUAUUUUUUUUGUGAUUUACACUCAUUUUCAACAUUCAAGUUUUUUGCAUAAUUAACUUGAGAUUCAACAAAUAAGUAUAACCAAAUUGAUUGAUAAAAAUGACCCAAAAGGCAUAAGUUUUCACAUGGAAAUUGAAAAUAAAAAUUUGAAAAUGAAUUUAAAUUUAGAAUUUAAAAAAGGAAAAUCUUUCAAAUCUCUUUUAAUUUUAAAAAAUAUUUUUAAAGUUUAAAAAAGAAAAUCUUUCAUUUCUAACAUUUUUUUUUCUUUUUUAUUUUUUAUUUUUGGGUAAAAUAUCAUUUAUAAAUUGAGCCAAGCCCACUAGGAUUUCUCUAAUAUAAAUAUCUCUUAGUUCUUAGAGAGUUUUCAAAGAUCACCCCCUAAACUUAAGCCAUUAUUCUUUGUGUUCAAUAAAAAACUUUCAAAGCAUUUUAAAUUUGUUUGUUGAGUUUGUGCUUUUGCAUCAGGAACAUGUUUGGGAUAUAAGUCUAUGAGAAUAAUAAUUGCUAGAUAACACUAUGUACUUAUUCUUCAAAUUUAGGGAAUUUUAAAUUUAUGGUCUUUGACCUUGUGGCUUUUAUAUCAUAGUCUCAAGAGGUUUUAUGAGUGAUUUUCCAUGUAAUCUCAUGUAUUUCCAAAUGAUUCUUUGUUUUAAUUUAUUCUUUAUAUCCUAAUCAAAGAACAUAUACAAACUAAAAAUUGGCAUACAUUGGCUUGAAGUCAAGAAGACUAUCUAUUCACUCCCUUCGAGGUGAUUGUGUGACACAAAAUAUGAAUAAAAUUGAUUGAGAACUAAGGGACUUAUAUUUAAAAAUUUUAUCCAUUCACUCUUAAAAAUUAUGUAUGUUCUUGAAGUGUCAACACUUAACCUAUGCUUCAUUCUUGAAAAACUUACGGAGAAAUACAACGAAAAGAAAAGAAAAUAAUAAGGAAAAAUAAAACAAAAGAAAAAGUAAAAAAAAUGUAUAUAUAUAUAAAGAUAAUGAAUUAUUUUUGUCACUUUAGAUCUAUUUUACCUAUUUUAACUCUUUUAUAUAAUGACUAAAUAAUUUGAAAAUAUAUAGUUUUCUCAUAAAUUUUAAUUAUAAUUCAUUUUCUUUCAUACUUUAAUUUUCAUUGAGAAUAUUUUCCUUUUUCUUUUUUAAGCACUUCCCUGAGAUCAAACAUUGCAUAAAAAAAAUCUCUUAGAGGUUUUUAUGGCCUUUGGAAAUGGAUAUUCAAUCGGCAAGAGUUGAAUAUAGCAUUCUGAAAUCCAUGAAGGUUUUCAUUUGGUUCUUUUAAUAUAUAUGUACAACAAUAUCAUUAUUUUUCACACAUGUUUUAGGGAAACUUAUGAAUACGGCCCCUUGAUUCCUUUAUAUAUAGUUAACAAUAUCGAUAUAUGUAUUUAGUGUUUAAGUUUAUUUUUUUUAGUUUUAAUUAUAUUUUUCAUAUUUUUAUUUUGUUGUUGGCCAUAAUUAAUAAAAAUUUAAUAAGUUUUAAUGAAAUUCAAAGUAAUCUCAAUAAUGUUCCACAUCUGCUUUCCCUUCCAGCCAUUCAGUCUGCUUUCCCACGUCUUGGAUUUCAAUAAUUCUAAUGAACCAUCCCAUCAAUACUGAAGAUUCCAAGCUAUCUUAUUCAUAUAUACUUACCAAUCAAGUGCUUGAGUGAGGUACAGUUCUUGUUACCAGCUACAUGUCUACUGAUCACUCGGCCCCAAAUGCUAAUCCAGAGACAAAUCGCCCGACUCCAAAUUAUCACCCUAGCAUUUGGGGCAAUCGUUUCAUCAUGACCAACACACCUGAUGAUGAAGGUGAUUUUGUGAUAUCUGUAGUUUGCAUAACAAGAUCUUAACCAUCUAAAGAUUUUCUUAAUUUUUUUUUCUUGCAAUUUAUUGGUACAGAUAACUCUGGCCCAUGAAGAGCAGCAGUUGGAAGAUCUGAAGCAGGAAGUGAGAAGAGAGCUAAUAGCUGCAGCUAGUAACCUUUCCCAACAGCUCAAGUUCAUUGAUGCAGUUCAACGGCUGGGGUUGGCAUACCACUUUGAAAAGGAGAUAGAAGAAGCAUUACAACAUACUUAUGAUAACUAUCAUGAGAUUGAUGAUAUAAAUGAUGAUCUCUAUAACGUUGCACUUUGAUUUGGACUACUAAGACAACAAGGCUUCAAUAUUUCCUGUGGUAAGCCUCAUGAAUAUCAUGUGUUAUAUAGCAAAGCUCACAUAUAACAUUCUAUGUUUGGGUGAUGAUUUCAGAUGUAUUCAACAAGAGAAGGGAAGGUUCAAAGAAUCUGUGAUGAUCAAUGAUGCUUGUGGCCAACUAGGCUUGUAUGAAACUGUGCACAUCUCAGGUUUGGGAAGAAGAUACACUAAAUGAGGCACUUGCUUUCACCACCACUCACCUCAAGUCUAUGGUAGAACAUUUAGGAUACCCUCUUGCAGCACAAGAAACUCAUGCCCUAGACCAGCCCAUUAGGAAAGGCUUGGAGAGGCUAGAGGCAAGGCCUUUCAUGCAUGUCUAUCUACCAAGAUGAAGCUUCACAUAGUAAAGCUUUACUAACGUUUGCAAAGUUAGAUUUCAACCUACUGCAGUCACUGUAUAAGAAAGAGCUGAGUAAUAUAUCGAGGUUAGUUCUCAAAUCAUUCUUGGACUUAAAUUCAAAUUAAAAAUUUACUAGGUCUUUUAUGUGGAUUAAUGUAUUUUAUCAGGUGGUGGAAAGACCGAGAUUUCUCUUCAAGGCUACCUUUUCCCAAGGGUUGUCUCUAUCAGUAUUAUUUUAUAAUAACAAAAUUCACAUUAUUUUAUCAUUACAUAAUAUGUUAAAGACUUGAUGAACAGUAACAUGCCUUACCAUAAAUUAAAGAAGAGUAGUACAUUCUUCUACCAAGGAUUGUAUGGAUUGAUGCAAUUCUAGUAUGUAAUUAGUUUUUAAUAAAAUAAAUAAAUAAAUAAAUACAAUUUUUUUUUUGUAGAAAAUAUAUUUUAUUUUUUAUUUUAUAUAAUAAAUAAUUAAAAAUUUUAACAAAUCAAAAUGUUAAAAACCACAAUCAAUUUUUUAUAUUUUUUUAAUUAAAAUAUUAAACAUUUUAAUAAAAAAAAAACCACAAUCAAGUUAGAUACAAAUAAGUAAAAAACUAAAUUUGUUCAUUAUGUAUUUAUUUUUAUAUUAAUUUUUUUUAUUAGUUAUUUAUGACAUAUUAUUAUUAUUUUUUGUUUAAAAUGUUUAUAAAUAAUUAAAAUCAAAGGUGAAAAAGUGAAAAAAAUGAAAUUAAAAAACAAAAGCUAAAAUAAUAUGACAUGUUGGUUCGCCGAAACUUAAAAACAUGGGUGAAAGAAAAAAUCCAUUAUGAACUUUUUGACUAGUCAUGUAAAAUAUUUUUUAAAAGAGAAAAGUACGGUAAUUGACUGCAGGCUAUAGGGCAAGAAAAGUUGAAAGGGCAAUUUUGAAAUUUUGACUUCCAUGGAAGUUACCAGGAAAAAGAUAUUCUGGCCGGACGACUUCCAUGGUUUAAAGAAUUCAUCCUAACGGGUAAAAUAUUAUUAUUAUUAUUAUUAUUAUUAUAAUAUUAGACAUGCUAAAAGUUUUAUUAUAUACCAUGUAAAAAAUAAAAGUUAUGAUAUUAUAUAAGGUUGGAAUUCGAAGUUCAAGCUUAUUAAACUAUACAGAUUUUAAAAUUUUGUCAAAAAAGAAAAAAAAAUGGAGAAUUAAUUAAAUGGACUCAUCAUUUUCCAUGCAAAAAUUAAAAUAUUGAAAAUUACAUAAAGAUCGAGGAUUAUAUUUUACAAAAACAUUGGAAUGAAUCAAUAAUACAUAUAUUGAAUUCUUUUAAAUAUAUAUAUAAUAACAUUUGUGAUAUUGAAUAAUAAUCCAUAGAGCUUGAAAAUGCAUUUCAUUUUGAUUCUAUGUAAUUUGAAAAUAAAUAUUUAUAUUCUAAUGGUGAUGAAAACAAAUUAAGCCGAGGCUUCAAAUCAGAUUUUCUUUGCAAUGAAACAAACUAUCACUACAAGAAAAUGUACUUUUCGUGACAAAAAUUUAGGGGCGAAUUCUAAUUUUGUCGCUAAAAGUAACUUUUACUGAUGAAAUUUUAGAUGUUGUCAAUAAUGUCAAUUUUCUAUAAACUUUUCCUAAUGAAUUUGAAAUUUUUGUCGCUAAAAGAUGUGGCGGGAAAAUUUAGCGCUUUUUUUUUGGCGCAAACACUUUUGUGACAAAAAUAAACUAUUUCCCUACGAAAAUAUUUAUCACUAAUUAUAAUUUUUGGUGAUGAAAAUAAUUUUCUUACUAAAAGUUACAACCUUUUAUCUAUUUUUGCUUACAAAAUGGUUUCGUCGGUAUUUAUAUUAUUUCCUGACAAAUUGAGUAAUUUUGUCACCAAAUAAUGUUAUUAAAUUGUGAUAUUAAUAAAGAAUAUUAAUAAAUAAGUAGAUUAUUUAUACUAUGAAAUAAUACAAUAUAUAUUUGUUGACACUUAAUAUUUAUACUAUAAUAUUUUAUUUAUAUAAAUAAUAAUAAAAAUUAAGGAUCCACAAAAUUAAAUACUAGAAUGUAGAUUUAUUUAAAUUUAAAUGUUCUAUUAUGUAAUAAUAGUAUUGUUAUGAAAUAACAAAAAUGUAAAUUAUUUAAGCAAUUAAUAUUUAUAGUGUAAUAUGUUAUUUAUAUUUAUAUAUAUAUAUAUAUAUAUAUAUAUAUAAAUAAUAACAAUAGAUAAUCCAAGAUAUGUAAGAUUACAUCCUAUGAUAUAAAUUUAUUUAAAUUUCAAUAUUAUUAUAUGGUNNNNNNNNNNNNNNNNNNNNNNNNNNNNNNNNNNNNNNNNNNNNNNNNNNNNNNNNNNNNNNNNNNNNNNNNNNNNNNNNNNNNNNNNNNNNNNNNNNNNAAUGUAGUAUUAAAUUUAUGUUAGCUAUGAAUAAGUAAAUUUAUUCAAAAUCAUACCUUAUCCACUCAAGAAGUAAAUUUAUACUAACAUUUAGUUACCUAGUUUAAAUUAAUAGAUUUUUUUUUAAAUUAUUACUUGGUUUUUAAAUAAUUGGUCAGAAUUAACUUUCUCAAAUAAAUUGUCUAGUAUCUAUAAAAACAUUCUACCUACAUAAAAUUCCAAAUAUUAUUUAUGUGUACGAAGAUAUCAUAUAUUAUUAAUAAAUAAAUAAGUAUAAGUUAAAUAUUAUAUGAUAUAAUAUAUUGUAAGUACUAUAUGCUUAGCUCUAUUUUCAUAUUUACAAAAUAAAAAAUGUCUUAUAUAUAUAGCACAUAUGAAAUUCUAUAUAAAUAUAAAGUUUUUUUAAAAGUUUUCAACCACAUCUUUAUUAAUAAUUGGUUAUUUUAUUUUUUAUUGAUCAAUUAUAUAUUUAUUAUUUUUAAUUAUUAAUUACUAAUUUAUCAAAAUUGAUAUUAAGAAUAAAAUCUUAAAUUAUACCGCAAAAUAGUAACUUCUAUGACUACUAACUUGUAAAGGAGUUUUUAUACUUGUAUGCAUUUUUAAUCAAAUAUUUAAAACAAAUGUAGUUAAAAAUAAUUGAAAUAUAUCAUAAAUUAUUAUAUGAUUUAUAUUUAUAGUGUUUCAUUAUGUUUGAUAUUUUUGUUUGGAAUAGAUGAGAAAGGGAGAGAAAAAAAAAUGAUGUAGAAUCCUAAUUUCAUUUUGAUCAUUAUUUUAUUAAUGUCAAUAUGAGUAUUACACUUUGGCAUUCUCCUAACAUUGUCUUUCAAUUAUACUUUUAUUUUAUAUUUCAAAUUUAUCACUUUAAUCCAUAAGUCUGGAAUUGAAUUUAUUAUAGAUAUUAAUAAACUAUAGUCCUCUAAUUUGUUCUCAUUCAACAUUAGGUUUGUUUAGAGGUGACAAAAUUUGAUAUGACUUAUCAAUAUGACUUGAAUCUAACACCCUUUCAUGAUUUUGGGUUGAGUAUAAUUGAGUUCAAGUCAAAUUCAUGUCGACUAUGGAGAGUGACCUUAAAUAAUAUAAGGUCCCAAUUUUGAUCACCAAUUGGUUUUCAGAACAAAUGGGGGCCUUGUCAUAAAAUACUCUGUGGUUAAGCGUGUUACAGUCAAAGAAAUCUUAGGAUGAGUGACCCACUGGGAAGUACGGAGCACCUCGAUCUACAAGUGAUAUCAAAGCUUGGUCAUAUGUUUGACGGGUGAGCUAGCACUGUGGGUGAAUGGCGAAGGCCUAGAGCGUGGCCAAGACAACUAACAAAGAUGGUAUACUAUCACCGACAUCACCGACGAAAUUAAUUUGUUACCAAAAAUAUUUGGCAAUAAAAAUAAAAUUCGUCGGCAUUAAAUAUUGACGACUUUUGGGACAAAUUUUAUUUUUUUCGUGACAAAAAUUCUUACUUUUGUUGAUGAAAUAUUUCGUUGGAAAACACCUUCAGUGACAAAAUUUUAUUUCAUCAAGGAAAACUUUGGGCGACAAAAUAAGAUUUUUGUCACGAAACUUUUAGCAACGGGUCUAGGGCGACGAAUAAGGCACGAAAGAAUUUUCGUUGGGGAAUGUUUUUGUAGACGAAAUUUAGACUUUCAGUGACAAAAUAUUUUGUCGCUAAAAGUCAAUUUUCUUGUAGUAUAUGCUUGGUAGACAUAUUUAUGUUUUUGAAAAUGAUGGAUGUUAAUUUCAGAUUUUGCUUUGAAAUUAAGCCACCUAACACAGUUGUCUUUAGCGAACGCAACUUCAAAUGGGCAAUAAUGCAUGGCAGCUUUUGACUUCAAAGCAUUAUAUAUAUAUAUAUAUAUAUAUAUAUGUAACAACUUUCCUCUUAAGCAAAGCACCCAAGUAUUCUUCAACUCUAACUCUAUUUUAGUUGGGCUCUUACCAAGGUAGUGACAUCUUGAAUCUAACAAAAACUUGAUAAAAUAUUUAUAUAAUAAUUAUAAUUUAUAUUAUUAUGGACUCAUGCACAUUUUUCACGUGUUCCUACUCGAUGAAAUUGAACUAUGAACCUUACUGAUGUGUACCCAAAUCGUACCAUUUAUUUAUAGUAUUGUCAUUAUAAUAUUGAAAUAUGGGAAAUUUUAAUAGACCAAACAGACCUCAAUAGACCAAAGCCACCAAAUAGCAACUGAAGAAACCGGAAAGCGUUUAUUCCAAACAUGGUAUACUCUGGAACAUGAAACAGAAGCUAGAGUAUACUAUCUUUAUUUGUGUCACAUAUAUCUCCACUCUCAUAUUGGCACAGGGUCUAUGAGCAGCAUUGAAAUAUCAUUUUUCAUCACUUCUUCAGGAUGUGAGAACAUAUCUUUGUGGCCCUUGUACAUCACAUCUCCUGAUCGAGCAAAAUUGAGAAGACGACUAAGGAGAAGCAUUGGAACUGCAGUAGGUCUGAGGCUCUCUUCAUUUAUAUCCUUCCAUGCAUUCUCGAUUUGCUUGUGAAGCUCAUCAUAUGCUUGUUGCUCCGACACACCAUGUUGCUUCAUGUAACAUUCGAUGCUUGAUGCAUUAUGCCCUCUCUCUUGCUCAAACUGCAGAAAUAGUAAUAUAAGGUGUAAAAAAGAAAUUGAUAUACAAUAGAUUUUCUUUAUCUUUAUGGGAUUGAUAUCCAAGUAUCAGUAGGAAGUGUUGUUUCAUUGUACCUUGUGGGAAGCCAUGUCAUCCAUGAGCCUCAUGACUGUGGAGGCAGCUCUAACAAUCUUAGGGUUUUGUUGCACCCAAUCAAAGACUUCCUUGGUUGCAGUCUCUCUCAUGCCAAUAAAAGACAUGAUUGUUAACGGGGGGACACCAACAGUUACCAUUGCGAUACCCAUGUACUCUUCUAUUGUUGGUAUGUAUUUUCCACGGAACCAUUUGGCUUGGACCAAGUUAGCUUGGAACAAGCUUUUAAUCUAGGAUAAAAAUUCAGCCAAGUAAAUAUAUCAUGCAAGUAUUAUAUAUAGCAUUUUAUUUACAGUACAAUAUAGGAUAUCAUAAACACAAUAGAGUUCAAAGAAUCCUACUGCAUCUUUCGUAUGGUGGACACAGUAUGAUCUUUCUGUGUUUUCCAUCUCCUCAAUUUCUUUGUAGACAUCUAGGACUGCCUGAUAGCACGGCUUCAAGUAUUCAGGAAACUGAUCUAUGCUGUUAAUAUCCCACCUGAAAAUCAAGUACCAAGUUCCCUUUUAAAGUUCAAAUAUGAAAUCAAUUCAUUGGUCGUAGGUAAUUUGAAUCUCGCAUGUAUCAAACCUCUCAAUUGCCUCUGUAAAGAGCUCCAGUUCUUCAAAUGUUCCAUAUGCAUCAAAUAUAUCAUCCACAGUUGUUAUCAGAGCAACUACUUUGGUCUGUAUUCUUCUAGCAUAUGAAUACUGGGGCUCAGAACAACUUAUUGCUAUCCAAAAGUACCCUUCUACCAAUCGAUCUCUGGCAAAAGGUAGCUUUGAAGAGAAAUCUAGGUCUUUCCACCACCUAAGAAAAUACAUUAAUCCACAUAAAAGACCUGGUAAACUGUUGAUUUGAAUUUAAGUGCAAGAAUGAUUUGAGAACUAACCUCGAUAUAUUACUCAGCUCUUUCUUAUACAGUGACUGCAGUAGGUUGAAAUCUAACUUUGCAAACUUUAGUAAAGCUUUACUAUGUGAAGCUUCAUCUUGGUAGAUAGACAUGAAAGGCCUUGCCUCUAGCCUCUCCAAGCCUUUCCUAAUGGGCCGGUCUAGGGCAUGCGUUACUUGUGCUGCAAGAGGGUAUGCUAAAUGUUCUACCAUAGACUUGAGGUGAGCGGUGGUGAAAGCAAGUGCUUCAUCUAGUAUAUCUUCUUCCCGCACCCUGAGAUGUGCAGCUUCAUACAAGCCUAGUAGGCCACAUGGAUCAUUGAUCAAAGACUCCUUGAACCUUCCCUUUUCAUCUUUGUACCUCUUGAAUAUAUCUGCAAUCAUCACCAAAACAUAGAAUGUUAUAUGUGAGCUUUGCUAGAUGAUAUUCAAGCACCUUAUACAUGAUAUUCAUGAGGCUUACCACAUGAAAUAUUGAAGCCUUGUUGUCUUAGUAGUCGAAAUCGAAGUGCAACAUCAUAGAGAUCAUCAUUUAUGUCAUCAAUGCAAUGAUAGUUAUCAUAGGUAUUUUGUAAUGCUUCUUCUAUAUCCUUUUCAAAGUGGUAUGCCACCCCAAGCCGUUGAACUGCAUCGAUAAACUUCAGCUGUUUUGAAGGGUUACUAGCUGCAGCCAUCAGCUCUCUUCUAACUUCCUCCUUUAGAUCUUCCAACUGCUGCUCUUUAUGGGCCAGAGUUAUCUGCAUCAAUAAAUUGCAAGAACAAAAAGUGAGAAAAUCUUUAGGUCUUGUUAUGCAAACUACAUACAUGAUCAGAAAAUUACCUCAUCCUCAGGAGUGUUGCUCACGAUGAAGCUAUUGCCCCAAAUGCUAGGCUGAUAAUUUGCAGUUCGGCGAUUAGUCUCUGGAUUAGCAACUGGGGCUGGAGAAGACAUGUCGCUGGUAGCCAGAAUUAAGGCCAUGUGUAACUCACUCAAGAACUCAAUAUAUGAAUAAGAUGGCUUGCAAUCUUCGGUAUUUAUAGGAUGGGAAAUGGUUCAUUACAAUUAUUGAAUAUCAAUCCCAGAUUCCCAGUAGCAUGGAUACAAUUAAUUCAAGAUCACCUAUCAUAUUUAAACCAUGUUUUUUAAAAAUUAAAUAUUUAAAAUAUGUUUUUAUUUCUCUUAGAAUAGGAAAAAUGUAGCUUAUUCCCUUAAUAAUUCUCAGUAUCCAAUCAGCCACCCAACAGUUUUCACGUUAAGAUCUUUGGGAAAAGUGGGUCCUGCUUCACUAAUUUAAAAAUAUAUAAAUAAAAACAACCCAAAUUUUAUUAAUCAAUUUUAUCUUCAUUAAUUCAAAAAUAUUUUAAAAUACAUGUAAUUUUUCAAAAAUCAAAUAAUUAUUUCUUGAAAUGACCUUUUACUUCACAAUAUUAAAUAAAAUUAUGAGAAAAAAAUUAAUUUAUCACUUUAAGUUAAUAAAAGCAUCUUACAAAUAAAUAUAUUAAAUUUUUUUAUAAUAUAAUAUGGGGUACAAAUCAUUGUGAAAAAAUUUCUACAUGAUUUUGAAGUGAUAAAUAAAAUUAUUUCUAAUCUUGUAAUUAAUAAUGAUUUUAUAUUAUAUAUUAUAUAAAUCAUUUCAUCUUCCUAUCUUUUUAAAUAAAAUUGAAUAAAAUUUUUGUUGGUUGACAUCAAUAAUAAAAUAAUUUAAAAAAAUAAAAUAAAAGUUAAAAAUAUAAAAAUAAAAUAUUGACUUUUACUUCACUCAUAAUACAUUAGUUAAAAACAUAGAUAUGAGAAAUAUAAUAGGAGUUAAUGUUUUAUUUAAUUUUUAUUUAUUUAUUUUUUGAAUGUAUUUAAUUUUUAAAAUUUAUUAUUUUAUUAUUGUUCAAUAUUCUUAACCAUGUUUGUUUAUAAAGAGAAUAAAAAAAAUCGUAAAUCCAAUCUCACAGUUGAAAGGACACCAUAACUAAAAGUGAGAUUGGUUAUUUACAAUUAAGUAUCUAUAUGCUUAUUUGUCCAUUGAUAUUAUUAACAUAAUAAAUAAAAGGGUUAUUUCAGGAAAUAAUUAUUUAAUUUAUGAAAAAUGCAUAUGUUUUAACAUAUAUUUAAAUGGAUGAAAAUAAAAUUAAUUUGUAAAACUUUUAAUUUUAUAUAUAUAUAUAUAUAUAUAUAUAUAUAUAUAUAUUUUCAAAUUAGUGAGUCAUAACCUAGUUUUCCCUUAACCUUUCAUUGUACAAUAAAAUUAAUAUCAUGGUAAUAAAAGAAUUUGGUUAUAACUGGGAACUAAGUUAUUUUAUUUACAACCCAAACCCAAAAAUUAUUGUCUAGAUUAAAAGAAAAUUGAAAAUAAUUUGUUUUUCAAUCACACCUAUGGUAAGAAUCAUAUUAUUAAUUAUUUUGAUUCUUAAUUAAAAAUAAAUAAUAAUAAUAGAAAUAUAAUUUUUUUUUUAAUUGAAAUGUGAUUUGAGUUAGGAUAACUCUUAAAUUUUUGACAAAUUUUCAAUCCCAAUAUUUCAUUUACGUAAACCACAUAAUAUUUAAUAACUAAUUCUGCUAUAUAUAGGUCGUGCAUCAAUGAAAUGAUGCUUGAUAUGUCAAAUGUCCUUUCACACAUGCUUCUCAAUUUCUUCAUUUUGAAUGUUUAUAAUGACAAAGAAAAAAAGUUACCUGAUGUGAUUCAAAUUAAACCACCAAGUCCCUAAAGGAGACAUAUGUAACCAGCCAAUCACUUCUUCACAUGAAAUCAUAUUAUUAAUUAUUUUGAUUAUUAAUUAAAAAUAAAUAAUAAUAAUAGAAAUAUAAUUUUUUUUAAUUGAAAUGUGAUUUGAGUUAGGAUAACUCUUAAAUUUUUGACAAAUUUUCAAUCCCAAUAUUUCAUUUACGUAAACCACCAAUUCUGCUAUAUAAUUGGUUCAAAUGUCCUUUCACACAUGCUUCUCAAUUUCUUCAUUUUGAAUGUUUAUAAUGACAAAGAAAAAAAGUUACCUGAUGUGAUUCAAAUUAAACCACCAAGUCCCUAAAGGAGACGUAUGUAACCAGCCAAUCACUUCUUCACAUGAAAUCAUUCCUCCACCUUAUCGUAAUAAUUGAUUCUUCACCCACCAAUAAUUUUAAACUCCCCUAAUAUGGUAAUUACAUCUCCUCCUUCUAUCAAUUUCUAAACCCCAACCUUAUAUUAAUCUCUAAAAAUUCCAUCCCUUAAAUCGGAGUGGUGUGACUUAAGAGUUCUAAACAAUCAAUGAAUCCAAAAUAAUCAUUUAAGUUAUAUUAAAUCAUUAUAUUUAUUUAUUAAACAUCUUUUAAGUAAGACUUAUUAUAAAACAAGACUUACUUAUUUCGUAAUUUAACUAUUUUAAUGUUUAAGAAAAUUGGAGGAUGCUUUGAAUCCAGAAAAACUAAAUCUCAAUCAUAGCAUGUCUAGUUUGAUUUGAUGUGAUUUAGUGUAAGAAAUUUGAUGUGAUUUCAUGGACCCUUAUGUUUAUGAAAGCUAAAAAUUGGUAGGCAAUGAAAAUAAAAUAAUUUAUAGGGCAAAAGCAUGAAUUUCAAUUAUAGGAUAAAAAGUUGUAAUAUAACAAAAAUAAUCAUAUGUAUAUAACAAAAGGACUACCAAUACUUUACCAAGGACCUUUGAAGACGAAAAGAAAAUAAAGGAAUUUGAUAAAAAGUUGCUAUUGAAACUUAGCAAGACAUCGUUUUUCUAUUCUAUAUAUAGUCAUUUACAAUAUUUCAUACAACAUACAAUAUUGUCCACAGUAAAAUUCUAGGAGAAAAUUAUAAUCUACAAUAUUCUCCAUAACAAAAUUUUGGGAAAGAAUUAUAGAUGUCAAGGGAGAGUUUCGGGAAAGAAUUACAAUACUUAUCAAAGCACAUAUUUUAGGGGACUUAUGAUAAUAAUUAUACAGUAGAUUAUGGGAGAAGAAUCUAAGAGAAUUCAACUUUGGUUUGGAUUGAUAACUACAUACCUAAAUAGGUUGAGGUUGACCACUAUUUUGCUUAACACCUCCCUUGCAAGCAAAACAAGAUUUCAUAUAUUGUGAGCUUGGAUCAUAGAUGAUGAAGUCGCAAUGAGGAUAGACCUUUUGUAAAAAUAUCAACCAUUUGAUCUUUUAUGGGCACAUUAUGAAUCUCAAGGUCAUAUUGCAUCUCUUCCUCUCUAAAAAAGUCAUUGUCAAUUUCUAUAUACAUUGUGCAAGCAUGAAAGACAUCAGAGAAUGACAAUAGAUAAAACUAAAGUUCUAAUGAAUUUGAAUCAAGAUAGUUUGGUAAUUGAUUUAUAAUAGCAAAGAAACAAGUAUAAAAUGAAAAACACCCGGAUGGAUUUUUUUUUUUUUAAUCCUUAUUUUCUAAGGAAAUAAUGGGGAAAAUAUAUUUUAUUUUUGGAUCUUUAUAAAAUUAAAUAAACAAAUCUUAAUCUAGAUGGAGACCUUCCAAAGAUUUUUUUUUUAAUUGUUUAAAACCAAUUAAUGAACAUAAAAUAGUAAUCUAAGGGUUAGAAAAUUACCUGAAAAAAACUGAUCUUUGAAUCCGAAGGUCUUAAACCUUCAACCCUAUGUUCGGUGAUUUCUUUUACCUCUAUGUAAAAAUGGUUUUUGUACAAUGAAGUAAGGGAAUCUAAUUUAUACAUUCUAAUUGCAUUGUAUGUAAGAAAUUUUGACAUGUUGCCAAUAAGUGCUUCAAAGAACUCUUUGAAAAUGUCGAACUUAUGUAAAUAGGCUAGUGAGUGAGUUUAAGUACAUUAGAAAUCAUAUUUGAAUAUCAAGAGCGGUUGUAGGUUUCAUACUAGGGCCAUGAAAGGAAGCAAUCCUACUAACACUCUCCCUAAAACUACACAAAUUUGGGAUAAGAAAGAAGACCUAAUUAUACCUAAAGGUUCAUUCAUUCAUUAAGAAAUCUUUUGGAGUUUCCUCUUCUAAUUAGCCUAUUUUGUUUCAUAGCUUAGAGUCUAGUAUUAGUGUUUCAUUCUUUAUCCUUAGUAUUAUAUCUUUUUUGGAGUCUCUUACUCUUUGUUUUAUCUUUUAUUUUUUUAUUUAGGACUUCCUUGUUAAAUACUCUUUGUUUAGUCUAGGUCUAGGAUCUAGGGGGGAGUGUCUUACUCUUUAAUGUAUGAUUUAUAUCUUGUAUCAAAGUUGUAUCUCUUUUAAAUUUUAGGGUAUGAUAUUUGGGGGAUGGGAUAUUGGUUUGGGGCCUAAGGUUUAAAAUCAUACCCUUUGAAAGUUCAAUACUUUUUUUGAAUUAUUAUUUUUUAUUUGUUUUUCAGAAUUUCAUGGAAUUAGGGUAUAUGAACAUGAUUAGAAAUAUUAGAAUUGAUUGAGACAAUAAUCUUUGAGAGUGAGGAUUUAUUUAAAUACUUCAUUAUGUGAUUUAAAUGUUUUCUAAAUUCUAAAGUUAUGAGAAUAUAUUUCUUGUCACUUUUAAAAGGAAUUUGAAUCUAAUUAUUUCUUCUUCUUCUUUAUUUUUGUGUAAAACAGUCAUGCAUUCGAUGAAACGGUUUUUUGAGAGGAAGUCUCCAGAACGGCCAGGGAGAUUUCUAGAGAGAUCGGGAAGGUUGUGAGAAGAGAGAGAGUUCUAGAGAGAUCAGGAAGGUUGAGAGAAGAGAGACAGAGAUCAUACCAGAGAGAAUAACGAGGGCCAUCUGAGAAGCUUCGGAAGGUGAGAGAGGAGAGUUUUCCACGGAUACAGAGAAAUUUUCUGGAUUUCUUCUCCCUGUGGAGAGCUUGCUGGUGCAUCUUCGAAGUUCGUUACUGCCAGAAUAGCUCGCCACUGUGGAGAGCUUGCUGAUCGUCGAUCAUACACCUCCAUUGGCAAACUUGAAUCAGACUAGCUAAGUAUCACUGGUCAUUUUGGGACUUCUCCAGAAUUUUCAUCAUCACCCUCUUCAUCUCAAGAUCGAUUUUAUGCGCGUCAGAUUUUCUCCAUGUCCAUAAUCAACGUACAAGUUAGUUAUGCUUGAUUCUUUUAGUUUGAAAUCAAUAUGCGAAUGUCUUGUGCCAUGUAAUCAGAGAUUUGCCAUAAAGUUCUUUAAAGAUUCAAGUUCCAAAUGAAAGAAUUAAAAAUCAGUGUAGUUGAUCAUGCAAUGUGCUUAGCUAGCUUUGAAGAAUCAUUAUCGAUGGUCUUUGAUUUGGAGUUUUUAAGAUAUAUAUGGAUUAAAUCAAUAUAGCCAGUUGUGAUCUGAUAAUUGUUUGUGUUCUCUUGUUUAUUUAAAGUAGAAAGAAAUAUAAUGAAAGCCAAGAUGCAGUAGCUGUUCAUUUCAUUUUUAUCAUCAUUCUAAUUUAUGGAAAAUGCAUGUUAGAAAUCAACAUAAAUGAAAUAUAUUGGUUGGAUUUUUAUAAGAAAAUGCAUGUUAGAAUGUAAAAGAAAUGAGGUGUAGAGAUUGAUUUUUAUGGAAAUAGAUGUUGGAUGUCAAAUUAAAAAAUGAGAUACCAUGACUUUAUAUAUAUAUAUUGAAAAUCAAUAGAAAAUAGAAUAGAGAAAUUGAAUUUCUUUAAUACAAAUGCAUGCUAAUGCUAAUGAAGCAUGAUCCAUUGAGUGAAAACUAGAAAUUCCAAUUAUCUUAUUGUUAAUGCUUACAUGAAAUUUGAAUUAAUAAUAUGAAGAUUAUUAAGAAAAAUAGUGUUUUAUUCAUAUAAUGGUGGAACAAAUAUUUUAUUUUUGGUUUGAACUUCAAUAUGAUGUAAAUAAAUUAAUUUUAUCACUAUUUUUAUUUAGGCCUUUAUUCAUUUCAUGAUUUUUGAAUACUUGUCCGUUUAAGUUGGGUGUGGACCAAUUGGGCCACACAUGAGUGUUGUUAAAAUCUGAAAUUUAGGAAGUUAAUGAUUAAAUAUGGAUUGUUUGAUGAAUUAUGACUGAGAUAUAGUUAAUUUUUUUUCUCCAAAAUUUCUUUUCAUCUAAGUAAGCCAUUGGAUAAUCACGUGACAAUUGGCUUUGAAUAGAUUCUCUUUAUUUUGAUUCAUGUAAAUUUGGGUUAUCUUAAUUUCCUAAAAUAAUCCACACAUGUACACUUACAAUUUUUUUUGGUAAUCCAAAUUCAUAAAUUUUAAAAUAUACAUAAACCGAUUUUUUAUUUUUUUUAAAAAAAAUUGAUUUUAUACCUCGUUCAUAACAAAACCAAUCUUAGUCUAUUUUAUAAUGAAUUAUUUUUAUAUUCAAAGCCCAUCUUAGUCUCUUUUAAGCAUAAAAUUUCCCUUUUUUUUUUCGGUAUACAACUUGGAAAGGUUUUAAAAAUGAAUUUUGGUCUUAAAUACACGCGAAUUAAAAUUCAUAGUUCCAACUAAUAGAUUCUUUAUGAAUAGAUUCACGUAGAUUAAAUGGGAUUCAAUAAAUAACUACAUAAAAAAAUUCAAAAAUAAAAAUUUCUAUUGAGACUAUUGACAGCCCACGGCAUAUUUGAACUCGUUAAUUAUAAUCCGGAAUUUAUAAACUCUUUAAAAAUUUUAUAAUUAUUCCAUGAUAUUCUAGACUCUUUAUACUUAAUUUUAGAAUUUUAUUUUUUCAAAAAUGAUUUCUCGAUUAAAAGAUAUAAAUCGUUCUUUUAGAAGGUUCAGAUUUCACUCUGUUUUUUAUACUCACUUUUGCUUUGCAAAAUUAAAUUAUUAAAUGAUCUCACUAAAAUCAUUGAAAUUUUUUAUCCUAAUUUAGACUUCCCAAACUCAGCGUUUGACAAUAAAAUAUUAAUAAAUAAUUACUGAAAAGAGAGAUAUGAGUUUUUAUUCUCACGCCCACUGCACAAGCAUUUUAUGGAGCUGAAAGGUGUUUACUUGUUUUUAAAUAUGUUAUAAAUAUAAUAUUGCCUUGUGAUUAUUUUUCAGUAAAAAUAGACAUAUUAAGCUAGUUUUAAUAAUUUUUGCAUGAUUUUAGAACAUCUCCAACUUAAUUAAAAAAAUUAGAUGUGAAAUACUUUAGCAAGAUGUCCUAUUUCGAACCUAUUGAUAUCAUUAUGAAAUCUGGUAUUAAAUGAAAGCUAGUUGAUUAAUUUCAUCACUUGGAUGAUAAACUAGACACAUAUAAUAUAUUCUCUGAAAAUUUUCGUAAUGAAAUUCAACUUCUAGAUAUUUGUUUUAGAUUUAUUAUAUAGGAUCUCCUGUUUUAACCGUUUGCUAAUUUUUUAUUUUUUAUUUUAUUUUUGUAAAGAAACCCACUAGUGAAUAAAUUUUACAUUGAUUAUACAUAAGUUUAGUUUGUAAUUCCUUUUUAAAUUCAUUACUAUUAUUUAUGAAUUAAUUCCAUCUCUAUAAAAAAUCUUUAAGAUGCUGAACCAAGUACGCAAACCUUUUCUUUACAAUUUAUUCAGAUUAGAGCUUGUGAUUGGAUGUUAUCUAUUAGUGUUUGUUGAUUAUGUUGAGAUUGUGUGACAUUAGACAUGAUUUGUUAUGGAGUAUGUGAUUGCUUAGAGUGUAAUGUGAUGUUAUUGUUUGCUAUUUUAACUUUUGUGUUUUCUGAAAGCGCUUGGAAUGCAAACCAAGUACACCUUUCUCUAUCAAAUUAAUGAAUUAUGUUCAUUUAGUUCAUAGUGUCUGUGAAUCAACCAAUUGAUCUUCACAAUUAUUUCAACUUACUCAAUAGAGACCUAACUUCUAGUGCUUAGAAGGGUGCUAAGUUCUUCACUGUACCUUCCGAAUAAAUAACUUGAUCCCCUGGAUUUAGGCUCAGGUUUUCAAAUACAAGCCUUUUUCAAGAAAUAGGAGUAAUUUUUAUAGGGUUUCUCUUUCUUAUUUUAUUUUCCUUUUAAAAAAAUAAAAUGAAAAUAAGUGGUGAAUCCAUUAUUUAUAAAAUUGUUUUUUCACAAACAAGAAGCGAGUCUCGUCAUCAAAUGAGAAUGCAUGUGAAAAUGUGGGAUCACAUCUCCAAUGAAGAGUAUGAUACAAACUAGAAAAGUCCGCAUGUCAAAAUAAAUGAAAUGAAAUUGCCAAUCAUAAGCUAUAUAAAAUGAGGCCACCCCCUGAAUGAAGGAGUAGUGGGGGUCUCUUCUCCCAUAUGCACCUUUAUUUAGAUUCAAAUUUUCCUUCUUUUUUUUUAAACAAAAUGAGGAAUCUUUUAAAAAAAUUCUAUCUCACAAAACACAAUUCAUCAAUUUUAAUCCAAUGUGCACCUUUCCAUUUUUCAAACACCUUUGUUGCACCCAUUUAGCAUGAGGGGCAUCGAUCAAAACUAAAAUUCGAGGAAGGGAUCAAAUCAAAAAGAAAGAAGAGAAAAAGACAUUUUGUCUUUCUUUCAAUACAAAUAAGAGAACAAAGAAGCCACUCCAAAAUAAAAGUUGGAUAAAGAAGUUCUAAUAAGAACUAGUACUAGACUUCUUCCUCCCUUUCUAGUUUUCCAAUCUCCUUUUAUUUUUGUUUUCACCUGGGCUUUCCAUUCUAUUUUAUAAGGAUUCAAGGAUAUUACUCUAAUAAUUAAUGUAGAAAGGUGAGGCACUUUCCCUAGCAUACGGGAAAGAAAAUCCAUUCCAAAAUAACUAAUAUACCAACAAACUAGUAUCAUUUUUGCCAAAAUGGAAAGAAAUUAUAUUUUUCGAAUUCGCUACCCUUUCUUUCUUGAUUAGCUAUUUAUGAUCAAACUGAUAAAAUAAACUGAGCAAAAGUAAAACCAGAAUAGAGAAACAAUUCCACUCUUUAUUUGUACUAAGACAACCAAUAAAUAGGCAAUACAACCAACUGGCUUGACAAAGCCAUAACAACAAAGGCAUAAAAAUAGGACCAUGAAACCAUGUUUCAAUAAAUCUGCUGCCACCAUCACCAAAAAUCAGGAGAUAAUAAAGAGACUCAAUAAACAAUUUCCUAUAGACCAGGACAACAUAACAGAUAUAAGACUCAACAUAAAACAAUUUAUUAAAGACUUGGUCAAAUGACCCAUUGCACAAAGAUAUUUUAUCACCCUCCCUUAAACUGAUAUCUGCAGAAAUCAGUUUAGGAAUCAAUUUGCAAAGCCUUUCCUGAAGCAGCCACAACCUCCUUUGAAGAACAAACUCCAAGCAUACUUCGAAGUUUCAUAAAAACAGCAGGCUUGAGGGGCUUAGUCAAGAUAUCUGCAAUUUGAUCUUCACUUUUGCAAAACACCAAAUCAAUAACUCCAUCUUUACAUAAAUCACGCAAGAAGUGGUACCUCACAUCAAUGUGUUUGCUUCUCCCAUGUAAGACUAGAUUCUUUGAGAGUUUUAUUGCAGAGAGGUUAUCAUAGUAAAUCAUUGUUGGACCUUGCUACUGGUUGUACAAAACUUCAAGUAACCUUCUUAGCCAAAUAGCUUGACAUGAGCUUGAUGCUGCAGCAAUGAACCCAGCUUCCGUAGUUGACAAAGUCACAAUCUGUUGCUUCUUUGAUGACCAAGUAAUAUCUCCAGAAUUCAACAUAAACACUGCUCCAGAAGUGCUCUUUCUAUUAUCAAGAUCUCCAGCAUAAUCACUAUUUGAAAAACCAAUCGAACUUGAUCUUUCACCCCUUUUGUAUAGAAUCCCAAAGUCUACAAUACCUUUCAAAUAGCGAAAAAUUCUUUUUGCAGCCAAAAGAUGAACUUCAGUUGGAUUCUCCAUGUAUCUACUGAUUAAAUUGACUGCGUGCAUAAUGUUUGGUCUUGUAGAUGUCAGAUACAUAAGACUUCCAAUGAUCUGCUUGUAAAGAGUACUAUCCACCCUCUUUCCUGCUCCACUCUUUGAGAGUUUCAGACCAACUUCACUUGGGGUGAUGACUGAAUUACAAUCCUUCAACAUAAACUUGUCCAAAAUCUCUAGAGCAUAUUUCUUUUGAGAAAUGAAAACACCAGCAGAUGAUUGCACUACCUCAAUGCCAAGAAAAUAGUGCAUUAAUCUCAUAUUAGUCAUAUCAAAUUCUUUCAUCAUAGACUUCUUAAAAUCAGCAAGCAUGGUUUUAUUAUUACUAGUAUAAAUGAGAUCAUCAACAUAUAAACACACAAUUAAAAUCUUCUUAUCAACACCAUAUUUAGUGUAAAGAGUGUGCUCAUAUGGACAUUUAAUAAAACCUUCCUCAGUAAAAUAAGCAUCUAUACGACUGUACCAAGCUCUUGGUGCUUGUUUCAGUCCGUAUAAUGCUUUCUUUAACUUAUAUACCUGAUUCUCAUAACCUUGCUUCACAUACCCAGGGGGUUGAUCAAUAUAGACUUCUUCUUCCAACUCUCCAUGCAAAAAUGCUAACUUCACAUCUAACUGAUGGAUAGACCAUGAGUUUUGGGCAGCCAUGGAUAACACCAAGCGAAUAGUGUCAAGCUUUGCUACUGGAGCAAACACCUCUUUGUAAUCCACUCUGAAUUCUUGCUUGUACCCCUUUGCAACAAGCCAAGCUUUGUACUUAUCAACUCCACCAUCUUUGUUCAACUUCAUUUUAUUAACCCAUUUAACACCAAUGGAUUUCUACCCUUUUGGAAGUUCAACUAGUUCCCAACUAUUAUUUUUCUCUAUAGACCCGAUCUCCUCAUUCAUAGCCUUAUGCCACUUUAAAUCCUUGAUAGCUUCUUGGAAUGUAAUGGGAUCACAAUCUGAUAACAAAGCAUAAUGGGCAAUUGUAUCAUAGUUAUCAGAUUGAACUCCAGUUACCUCAAAAUCUUGCAUCCAUGCGGGCCUUUUUCGAACACGGCGAAGUCAUGAUUCAGCAACUACAUUACUCUCUGCUGCUGUUGAUGAAGUUUCAGCGGUUGUUGGAGCAUCAUUUGGUGGACUUUCAGGUAUAGAAACCGUAGGAAUUUGUUGUUGUAGAAGCUGCUGCCUUUCUUCUUCAACAUCAUUGUCAAAAAUGACUUGAGUAGGCUGCUGCCCAUUCCAAUUCCAGGUGCUCUCCUCAUCAAAAAUAACAUCUCUACUGGUCACAAUCUUCUUCGUGAGUGGAUUGAACAAUUUAUAUGCUUUGGAUGCUUCACUUACGCCAAGAAAAACACAUUUUUCACCUUUAUCAUCAAGUUUAUUCCUUUUCUCGUCUGUGAUAUGUGCAUAGGCGAUGCAACAGAAAAUUUUGAAGUGAUCUACAGCUGGUUUCCAUCCACUCCAAGCCUUCUCCGGUGUCAUGUUUUGAACAGAAAAUGUAGGACUUCUGUUCAACACAUGGAUACUCCAAUUCACUACCUCCGGCCAAAAACUCUUUGGAAUUUUGCCCCUUGCAAGCAAGCUCCUCACCAUGUUGAGGAUGGUUCUAUUUUUUUUCUCCGAUACACCAUUCUGUUGCGGUGUAUAAGCAGCUGUGAGUUCUCUUCGUAUGCCUUGAUCAUCACAAAAAUGUUCAACUUCAUUUGAACAAUAUUCUCCACCACGAUCAGUACGGAGAAUUUUGAUGGAUCUCCCUGUUUCUUUUUCAACGCGUGCCUUGAAGCUUUUAAAUGCACUAAAAGCUUCUGAUUUUUCCUGCAAAAAAGAAACCCACGUUUUUCGACUAUAAUCAUCAAUAAAGAUAAUUAGAUAUUUUUUACCCCCAUUAGAAGUUGGAUUAAUUGGACCGCAAAUGUCAGAGUGAACCAGUUCCAAGACAUUCUUUGCUCUUCGCGACUUUCCUUGAGGGAAUUGAGAACGAUGUUGUUUUCCAACAACACAUUCUUCACAAACUUGAGAAGGAAUGGAAAUUUGAGGAAGACCUGUCACCAUAUGUUUCUGUUGGAGAGUUUUUAAUCCACCAAAAUUCAAAUGGCCAUAGCGUAAAUGCCAAAGCCAUGAAAGAUCUUUCACUUCAGCCAUUAAGAAAGACUGGACACUAUCAAUCUUCAAUGGAAACAACUUGUUUGAAGCCAUUUGAACAACAACAAUAGCACCUCUCGAAGGAUCAUAUAUCUCACAAGCACCUUUCUGAAUUGUUAUUAUGUAACCCUUUUCUUGCAAUUGACCAACACUUAACAAAUUACUUUUCAAGUCUGGUACAUAAAAAACAUUGGAAAUUGUUUCUACAAAACCAUUCUUGGUUCUAAUAUUAAUAUCACCCUUUCCCAUUACAUUCACAGUAGAACAAUCACCAAAGCUCACUGUAGAACGAAAACCUUCAUUUAGAAAACAAAAAGAAGACUUACUACCACACAUGUGGUUGCUGCAGCUUGUGUCCACAUACCACACUUCUGCUUGAGGUUGUUCAUUGACUUGAGCAGCCAUCAACAAGGUUUCAACUUCUUUCUUUUCUGCAUAAUUAGAUUUCUCUCAUUUUUCUUUGUCGUUAGGUAAUUUAGUAUAACAUUCAGAACGGUAAUGGCCAAAUUUAUGACAUCUAAAACACUCUACCUUGGAUUUGUCAAAUUGUUGAUUUCGGCCUCUGCCUCUAUUUUGGAAAUCUUGUUGAUCUUCAUCAACUCUAAAAUUGCCUCAUCCACCUCUUCCUUUACCUCCAUCUCUAACUCCUCGAACUCCUCUUCCUUUGCCUCUACCUCGAUCUGUUGAUCUAUUCAUUGUCAAAGCAUUGUUGUUAGUUGAAGCCUUUAAAGCUUGCUCCUCCUUGUCCUCCUGGAUGAUUUUCUGUUCAUGAACUAACAAAGAUCCUUGCAACUCGUCAAUUGAUAGUUCAUCAAGGUCUUUCCAUUCCUCAAUAGAACAAACAACAUAGUUAAAUUUUGGCGUCAUUGACCGAAGAAUUUUCUCAAUAACAGUCACGUCCUCCAUCUUCUCGCCAUGAAUUCGCAUUUUGUUGAUGAUUGCCAUUGUUCUUGAGAAGUAAUCAGAAACUGACUCCCCCGGCUUCAUUCGAAGCGUUUCGAACUUAGAUCGAAGUGCUUGAAGCUGCUGCCUCUUGGUCCUCGUUGAUCCCUGGUACUUCUUCUUCAUGGAGUCCCAAAUCUGUUGGGAGGUGUCCUUGCACAAAAUAGUUUCCAAGAUUGAGCGAUCAAUAGCUUGGAACAAAUAAUUCUUUGCCUUUAGAUCUUUUAAUAUCUGUCCUUCAAUCUCUGUUUUCUGCGCAUCCGUCAUUGGUGAGUUCGUUGCUGGUUCUGCUAUCCCUCCAGAGACUACUUGCCAGUACUCUUUAGAUCGUAAGAAAUUCUCCAUCAACAUGCUCUAAUAUUCAUAGUGACCAUCAAAACGUGGAAUUGCAGGUUGCACAAAAUUUUCAGAGGCCAUUGUUUUUUUUUCUACUGCUGAAAGAAAAUAAACAAAGCUGCUGCUAUAUGACUCUCUGUCUCACAAACUCUCUCUCUCUGUUUUGGCACUCUCAAUUCUCACUUUCUGGUUUUAACCCACUUUUCUAACGUUAACCGGGCUCUGAUACCACUGAUAAAAUAAACUGAGCAAAAGUAAAACCAGAAUAGAGAAACAAUUCCACUCUUUAUUUGUACUGAGACAACCAAUAAAUAGGCAAUACAAUCAACUGGCUUGACAAAGCCAUAACAACAAAGGCAUAAAAAUAGGACCAUGAAACCAUGUUUCAAUAAAUCUGCUGCCACCAUCACCAAAAAUCAGGAGAUAAUAAAGAGACUCAAUAAACAAUUUCCUAUAGACCAGGACAACAUAACAGAUAUAAGACUCAACAUAAAACAAUUUAUUAAAGACUUGGUCAAAUGACCCAUUGCACGAAGAUAUUUUAUCACAAACGAAUCUAAGUUCUGGAAUUUGAAGAAUUUAAAUUUUCCUCACAGAGAAUUGUCAAAGAACUGAAUUUGAACCAAUAAUAAUUAUUUAAAUGAGAAUCUCUAGAAAAUCCAAGUGGGCACCAUCACCAUUGAAUAACGGGCCUUUAGUGUUCUUCUAUAGAAAGGGAUGUGGGUUUUGGAUCUUAAUAUGAAAAGAAGGGUCAAGUGUUUUGUAUAUUGCCCUACUUGGUAUGAGUGUGGCUAUGUUGGGCUUGUUUUGGAGCUUGAAGUUUUAGUUUGACUUUUAUUAAAUCUCCCUUUUUAAAAAUAGAUUGUAUUGGCUUUUCUCAUUGCUGUUGUCACAUUCCUCGGUCCUUAUUUUAAUAUUUUUUAUAUGAAAUGCAAAAUAUUUGAGUACUUUUUGGGUGGUUGCUUAUAAUAAUUUAAAAGAGGUUGAGUAUAUAACAUUUGGGGAAAUAUGUUUCUACUAUCAUUUAUUAAAGUCGGUAGCGUAUACCAUUUGUAAAGAAAUUAAGAUUUGGUAACUAUAUUUCUUCUAUCAUUUGUUAAGGUGUGGGUAAAUAUUUGUCGAUAAUAUUUCUAAAGAAGUUGAGAUUUGGUUCAUUUUUUUUCAAAAAUUAACUUGAGAAAAUAUAUAUAUAUGAGAACAUGUUUUUGUGUUUAUUCUUUCAAAAAUAGAUUUUUGAAAAUUAUUUGGAAAAUAGGGUAUUUUUGAUAAAAAGUUUCAAUUGUUGUUAUUUGUUUUCAUUUGUUUUCUGUGCUCGUUUAAAAAAUAAUAUAUAAAUAAAAAGAAUGAUUGAAAAUAAAGUAGUAUAUAUAAAAAAAAUUGCUUUUUUUAUUGUAGAGAAUUUGACAAACAUGCUUUUAAUGUUAGAAAAUUAUUUUUUACACUAUUACAAAACAUAGUUGUCAAACAAGGAAUUCUAUGUCACUUUCCUUUCAUCUCUAGAUUUUGUCAAGGUAAUCAAAUUACUAAUUAUGAUUACAAACUCCUUUUCUAUUUAUUAGAUCUAUAAAUUCAUUGUUUUAGUUAGAAUUCAAUAAAAGCUUAACUAAAAAUUUGAACAAAUAAUAAAAUUGUUGUUUAGAUUAUUUAUUUAUUUAUUUUUGAGAAUUUUGUUAACUCAUCACUGUUACUUAAUUGGAAUCAACAAGAAGGAUUUUUUUAAUACUAUUUUUUUUGUUCUUUUGAGAAUUUGGUUCAAUAAAGGGUUUCAUUUAAAAAAAAAAAUUCAAUGUGUUGCAUGCAUUGAAUACUAGUCAUUAGGAUAUUUAAUUGAGAAAUGAGUGAUAUUGAUUGAUUUGUAAACCCUAAGAUUUAUAUAAUCAUUAUUUUUUUUUUAUAAAAUUAUCAAAGGAAAGAUUAUUAGGGUAUUAAUGCAUUACUCCAUUAAUUUGGUUUAGGACUUUGUAUAUUUUUUGUGAUUUACACUCCUUUCAACAUUCAAGUUUUCUACAUGAUUAACUUGGGAUUAAACAAAUAAGUAUAACCGAAUUGAUUGAUAAAAAUGACACAAAAGACAUAAGUAUUUAUAUGGAAAUUGAAAAUGAAUUUAAAUUUAAAAUUUAAAAUGGAAAAUCUUUCAAAUCUCUUUUAAUUUAAAAAAAAAUAUUUUUAAAGUUUAAAAAUGAAAAUCUUUCUUUCCUAGCCUUUUUUUUUUUGGUAAAAUAUCAUUUGUAAAUUGAACCAAGCCCACUAGGAUUUCUAUAAUAUAAAUCUCUUAGGAGAAUUUUCAAAGAUCAUCCCCUAAGCUUAAAGUCAUUAUUCUUUGUGUUUAAUAAAAAACUUUCAAAGCAUUUUAAGCUUGUUAAGUGAGUUUGUGAUAGAAGAUCGCAUCCUCUCAAGGUGUUGAAGAAUCCUCCAAGGAGAAUGGUACUUUUGCACCAUAGACGUGAGAUGAGGCGGAAGUUUGGGAUAUAAAUUUUUGGGAAUAAUAAUUGUUAAAUAACAGUAUGUACUUAUCCUUGAAAUUUAGGGGAUAAAGUUAGUGAAUUAUUUUUAUGUCACUUUAGAUUCAUUUUACCUAUUUCAACUUUUUUAUAUAAUGAUUAAAUAAUUUGAAAAUAUAUAAAUUUUUAAUAAAUUUUAAUUAUAAUUCAUUUUCUUUCAUACUUUAAUUUUCAUUGAGAAUAUUUUCCUUUUUCUUUUUUUAGCACCUUCCUGAUAUCAAACUUUGCAUAAAAAAAUCUCUUAGCUAGACAAGGUUUUUAUAGCCUUUGGAAAUGGAUAUCCAUUCGACAAGAGUUGAAUAUAGCAUUCUGAAAUCUUUAGUAAGGUUUUCAUGUGGUUCUUUUAAUAUAUAUAUAUAUAUGUACAACAAUCUCAUUAUUUUUCACACAUGUUUUAGGGCAAUUUAUGAAUACAGCCCCUUGAUUCCUUUAUAUAUGGUUAACAUGACGUUGCUCUACAACAUUGCUCUUCGUUUUCAACUAUCAUGACAUUGAUGAUAUAAAUGAUGAUCUCUAUAACGUUGCUCUUUGUUUUCAACUACUGAGAUAACAAGGGUACAAUAUUUCAUGCAUAAGCCUCAUGAAUAUCAAGUAUCAUUUAGCAAAGCUCACAUAUAACACUCUAUGUUUGUGUGAUAAUUGCAGAUGUAUUCAACAUAGCGUCACUGUCUCCAUUAACACCAUAGAGGAUACCAAUUGGUGAUGUAUUUGGAAGUGACACCAAAGUAGAUAAAUGGUGAUGCAUUCGGAAGUGACACCACAUAUUUCUAGUGAUGAUAGGGUGUCGUAUUAAAUGCAUCAUCUUUGAGUUAUGAUGUCACAUUAAAUGCAUCACCUUUGAGUUAUGGUGUCACAUCAUUGUAAAUUAUUUGUGGAAGAUAUGAUUGCUUUUAGUUGUAGAUUUUUGUAAUGCUUAUGAAUUAAUAAGUAAGAUUAACAUGUGUAUAUUUUGUCUAUAAAUAUAACAAUCAUAUUACAUAAAAAACAACACUAAACAAAACAAAACAAAAAGAAAAAGAAAGGGAAUUUUGUUGAAGAAAUUGGUAUGAAUUCAAGUCAUUUUGAUAUGAGAAAUUUUAAAUAUUAACCUGUGUAUAUGAAUUAAUAAGGAACUGUCUUCUAAGGCUAAUAUAAUAGAAGAAAAACCUAAACCCAAAAACAAUAGGUUCAGAAAACAAAACUCUAGGACCAAGCCCAAUGCAUCAAACAAGGUCCAGAACCCAACUACUAAAAAAUGGGGUAAUUGCUUUGUCUAUGGCAAGUUUGGACACCAUACAACUCAAUGUCCCCAUAGAAAGAGAACUAAGAAGUCCAAUUCAAAGGCAAAUUUGGCAGAGACAGAGGUGAUCACAAUAGUAAUCUCCUUUAAGGUGAGCAUGGUCACCGAUAUGAAGGAUUGGGUGGUAGACUCUAGGGCUACCAGGCACAUCUAUGGGAAUAAAAGUGGAUUUACUUCCUAUAUCAAUGUAAAGAAAGGAGAGGAACAAGUGUCCAUGGGUAAUUCUAGGUCUACUCCAAUGAUUGGCAAAUGGAAAAUUCUCCUCACGGUAACCUCUGGAAAAGUGCUCGCCUUUAGUAAUGUUCUUCAUGUGCUAGAUAUCCACUAGAACUUGGUGUCAAUAUCUCUUCUUGGGAAAACAGGAGUGAGGAUCUUGUUUAACUUUGAUAAAAUAGUUGUAACCAAGAAUGAUGCAUUCGUGGGGAAGGGCUAUUGUAAUCAGGGUUUAUUGAAGAAAAUGGUUGAAUUGAGUUUAAUCUUUAAGCUAUCCUUAGAAAACCAUGGAAAAUGUGAAUCAUGUGUAGAAUAAAAAACCACAAAGAAAUCCUACAAGUUAGUAGAAAGAGAAUCAGAUCUACUAAGUUUAAUACAUAGUGACUUAGGAUACCUAAAAAAUACAAUGAUUAGAGGUGGUAAAUGAUUCUACAUAACUUUCAUAGAUGACUACUCAAGGUAUACAAGGGUAUAUCUUUUGAGAAGCAAAGAUGAAGCAAGAGGUGCAUUCAUCAAGUACAACAAUGAAGCGAAAAAAUAACUAAGUAAGAAAAUUAAAAGGAUUAGAACUGAUAGGGGAGGAGAGUAUGAAUCCAACCCCUUAAAUUCUUUUUGUGAAGAUCAUGGGAUCAUUCAUGAAACUACUCCUUAUUCCCCUAAGUCUAAUGGAGCAGUAGAAAGGAAAAAUAGGACCUUAAAAGAAAUGAUGAAUGCAAUGUUGGUAAGUUCAGGAGCAUCCUUGAACUUGUGGGGGGAAACUAUCCUCUUCGUUUGUCAUAUUCAAAAUAGAACACCUUACAAGAGAACUGGUAAAACCCCUUAUGAGUUAUGGAAGGGUUAUGCACCUAAUAUAGCAUAUUUGAAAGUAUGGGGGUGUUUAGCUAAAGUUCUUUUCCUUGAACCUAAAAAAUGAAAACUAGGUCCUAAAACCUUUCAUGCAAUGUUCAUUGGCUAUGCUGAGAAUAGUGCGGCAUAUAGGUUUCUUGUUACUAAGUCAAAAAAUAGUUUUGUAGAUGUCAAUACCAUAAUAGAAACCAAGAAUGUGAAUUUCUUUGAAAACAUCUUUCUUAUGAAACUAAAUGGUGAACAACAAGUUCAUAAAAGGUUCGAUCCUGCUUCGUUUGUGGGCCGAUCAACCUGAAAUUUUGAGGAGAGGUUCGUGAUUCAUUGAUCUUCAAUCUGAAUGGUGGAGAUUGGAUUUGGAGAUCCAGACAGUCGUCUUUUCGUCCGAGAAUAGAGCCUCUAUUUUGAUGCAUUUUCUAUCCGGACAAUUUUGAUCAUGACCUCUGAUCAAGAUUAAUCCGUGGUUCGAUUGAGCCGAUUUUUGGAGAGUAGGUUCAGAGCUCAUUGAUAUUCAUUUUGAACAGUGGAGAUUGGAUUUGGAGUUCAGAAUAGUUGUAUCUCAAUCCUAGAACAAUGAUGUGUUUGGUGAGAUCUCUCCAUUAUUUUUAUGCAAAGUUGUUGAAAUUGUCAAGAUUAAUUUGUCUUGAGAUAUGGUUGAUGUAUGCCUCUAGUUUUAUCUAGAAAGAAUUGUGUAACCCAUUGAUUAUAUUAGUGGAGUUUUUAAGUGGCCUAAGGGUCCCGUGGUUUUUACUUUUCAUAUUGGAGAAGGUUUUCCACGCUAAAAAUUAUUGGUGUUCAUAUACUUGUUGAUUGGGUGAAUUCUUGUUGCUCUAUUUGAUUGAUUUCUAUUAGGUUCUCACAAAAGGGGAUAAAACCUGGUUGUGCAUUGUUUGUAUUUAUCCCAUUAGCAUGGACAGGAAAAAAUUUUCAUACAUUGGUCCCAAUCCGUGCAUAGACUGAAAUACCUUGUCAAGAUCAUCAAUGGGCCUUUUUAUUGCAACAAAACUAUCACAAAUUGAGUUGAAGGCCUUCAAGUACUCAUCCAAGGAUUGAGUUCCCUUUUUAAGGGUCAUUAACAGAAUCUUCAAAUGGGCUACCUUCUCCACUGUGACAGGAAGAAGAUGUUCAUCAAGAGAAGUUUAGGUGGUGCUUUUUUUUUUACUUAAUUCUAAAUAGAACUUUAAUACUUAAUAAUAUUAAUUAUUAGUUGUUUGUUUUUUUAAUAUUUUCUUUCUAUUAGACAUUAAAAGGUAAAGAAAAAUCAACAUGUUAUUUUUUUCAUUAAGAAAAAACCAAAUAUUUUGGUUUUUUCUAUUCAGUAAAAAUUUUAUAAUAAGUUAUAAAAAAAUAGAAAAAGAAACUCCUCUAAAAGCAAAUUGUUUUCAAUAAAAAGUUAAAAAAAAUUAAAAAAAAAACCACCACUUAGUAUUGAUUCUUUCUUAAUUAUUUACACGAGGGUGUUGAAUUUUGACUAUUUUAAUAUUUUCACAUUCUACUCCAAUAUUGCCAAAAAUUAGGGUAAUAACAUUUCCCAUGAUUUUAAAAAUCGAACCAAACUGGCCGAUCAAUGGCCUGUUCUUGGAUCAAACUAGGGUUGAAUCGUUGGAUUCUUCAAGCACUGAUCAAGCUAAAAUUGUCUAAAAUAUUUUAACAUUUUAACUGCUUUGGGUCUAUUGCUUCUUGCCCAUAAUUAUAAUAGUUUAAAUCUCAUUGGGCUGAUUAUGACCCAUGAACUUCUGUACCUAUUGUUAUAGAGUUGGAAGGGGUAUUUAUACCCAUGGAUGAAAAUAUCAAGAUAUCAUGUAUCAAAGGUUAUGGAAAUGAUAUUUGGUGAAGAAAUAUCAUUCUAGCAAAAUUUUAGAAAAAAUCGCCGAUAUUUCCUAAUAUAUCGGAUGGUCAAUGAGAGUCAAUGACGAUCAAAUGCACUAUAGUGCUUCGCUACAAUGCCUUCUAAAAAAUGCCUAUUUCACCUUACCACUAGGGCAAGUUUACCCCUUGUUAAAUAUAAUGCACUAAACAUAUAUAUAUAUAUAUAUAUAUAUAUAUAUAUAUAUAUUCAAAGUCAUCAUAUAAAGAAAAUAUUAAAAGAAUAUUUUAGAGAGGAAAAUUAAUUAUAAUUAUUUUAUGAUUAAAUGCAAAAUUUUCUUUUAAUUGAUUACCAAAAAUAUAAAAACUAUCAUGAUAAUUUUCUUCAUAGUGUUUUUAAUAUCAUUAAUAGAUUAAUUAAAUAUUAAUUUUAUAUCAUUUAAUACAAUUGAAUUAAAUGGAUCAUAAUUUUAAUAUUAAUAUAUAUUUUAAAAUUAGAAAUAUUAUAAUCAAAUAUCAUAAUAUUAUUAUGAAAUAAUAUUUGAUGUAAUUUAAUAAUAAAUGUGCACUUAUAAAAUUCAUACUUUUAUUAAUGCAUACGAUAUUAUUAUCAAAUAUGAUAAAUCAUAUUAUACAUAUGUCAAAUUCUUUAAUAAAACAACUUUAUACUUUUAAUUAUAUUUUUAUGAAGUUUUUCUUAUAUUUAUAAAAUUUUGAUCAAUUUUAGGUUUAUCGAUAAUUUUUUACAACAUAUCUGUUAAUAUAUUUGUAAAAUCGAAGUAUUGAUAUAUUCAUAAUUACUGAUAUUUUCAUCAUUGUUUAUACUCAUAUUUCCUGCCGCAUAACUAGUGAUCUUUUGAUUGGGAUUCAAAAGUAGAAAAAGUAGAUAAAAAUUUUGCUUUACUAAAGACUCAACCGUUACACCUUAGGUUACCAAAAUAAGAAGUAAACCAUUGGGGUAAAGAAGCAUUUUAAAUUAUUGUUAUUGUAAAACAUUAUAUAUUAAAGAAGUCCUUCUUUAAAAAUUUUAUUAUUUAAAACCCUUAAAUAAUUAUACUUAUUAUAUAAUAAUAUUUAUGAAAAUACUAUGAUAUUUUUAAAUAUUAUAAAAUAAUAAAAUAUACAAUUUUGGACAUAAAACUAAAUAUUAUAAUUUUUCUUUAUAAUAUUAUAUAUGUUUUAUUUAAUAAAUUUUAAAAUAUUAAUAUUUAUCCUUACCAUUUAAUUUGAUAACAUCAAAUAUAAAGAAUGCAUUAUUAUUUUUUUAUUUUAAUUUUUUAUAAAUAAUUUUAAUUUUUAUAAUAUAUAAAUUAUAUAUUUAUUAUAUCAUCGGUUCGACUGCAGUUCAACCACCAGUCCAACCACUAAACUGUGAAUCGGUAAUUUUUUUUGUUCAAGUGAGAACUAGGUCCCAUGUUCUGUUGUGAAGUAGGACAACAAACUCAUCAAACAAUGUUGGAUGCUAUGCUGAGAGUUUGAGCGCUUGAGUAACAAAUAUGGGUUUAGGAAAUUCAAGGGUGGCUUAUGCUAGGAACUCUAGAUUAUUUCGUUAUCAAGUCCUAGAUCUUGUAAGAAUGCAUGUAUCCCUAAAGUUCUCUAGAUCUAAUGCAACAUGCAAAAAGUAAUAAUUUCAAAAACCAUUUUAGAAUAAAAAUCUAGAAUUUGAAUCCAAGUCGAUGAAGAUGUCGUGAGCAUCGUAGAACUUGUCUACCUAAAAGCCUUCCACCCGAUCUCUCUUUCUAUGGAACCUAACAUGAGAGAAGAGUGAGCUUCUCUCUCUCUCUCUCUCUCUCUCUCUCUCUCUCUCUCUCUCUUUCCCCCUCCCCCAUGAGGGUGGCUAGGGUUCAUCUCUUUAGAAUAUAAAAAAUCUUACUAGAAAGAAUGAAACCUUAACCCUUUAAAGGAGUUUAUAUAAGCUUCCCCGUGGGCUUAAUUGACUUAAGUCGAAAUUGGGUUUAGGCCACUUAAUCUAACCCACUUUGGUACUAAUUAAUGCAUUAGCUCUAAGUGACUCUAAUUAAUUAAUAGCACAUUCCAGAAAGUCAAUUUAUAAGAUCUAGUUCAAGCAUACAUUUUUACCAAAACACCCUUAUGUAGACUUAUGAAUUACAAAUGCCCAAAAUACUCUCAAAGCAUUCCACCAUGAAAUAAGAGCUCAAGUAGAGACCAUUGAGACCUAUAGGAAAAUACUAACUCCUUCAAAACCUAAUGUUGAAUUUGACUUUACACUCUACUAAAGAGAGUAAACUACACCCUAAUAUCUUAUGAAAUUACAACUAGCAAAGAUCAAGUCUAUGACCUACUAUUCAUUACAUGUAAACUCUUCAUAAAUUGAUGUCUGUAAUUUAACAAAAUAGUGUUAUUACCUAUCAAGAUUAUCUUUUUAAUCCUUAAAUUAUAGAUCUCACUUCUUAUGUGAUCAACUGACCUACUUUACCUUAAAGGAGUAUUAUCUUUCGCUGUGAAAAUUUAGUGUGUGUUACUUGACUUUUUGGUAGUUCUUAAAGAAUAAUUUCCUCAAAGAACAAAAGAAGCACAUAAAAAAAAAUGCAAUAAAUAAUAAUUGUGGUGGUCUCAAAGUGACCUGGCCAAAAGUGAAAUAAUUGGAGGAUGACAACACGGAACAAGGACUUUUCAAACAGUUAUAUACAAACUUAAUAUAAUAAGGGUUUUUUUAAUGAUUAUUUUGGGAAAUUUUUUUUUAAAAAGGGGAGGAUAUAAUUAUAUAAAAAUAUGUGUAUGCAUAUCAAUACAUGUGUGUAUUUACACGUAUUUUUACAUAUUAAUUUAAUAAAGUAUAAUAAAAAUCAAUUAGUAUGACAAACAAAAUUAAAGUAAUAACAAUCCUAUAAGAAAAACAAAAAAUAAAUAAAUGAACAAAAGUAAGUUUGUGUCAAAAAAAUAUAGUAAAAAAAUAAAAAUCCUUGUGGAAAAACUAAUUGCUAAUAUUUUUUUAUUUCAAAAACAUUUCUAAUAUUAACCUAUACCGGAACCAUUUAAUGAAAAUAAACUUACUUUAAUAAAAAUAUUUUCUUUUAUGUAUCUAUAGACGAGAAAAAAAAAUUGAUAUAUGUCGAAAUUUAGUGGUUAGGGCAGGUCAAUAGAAAAUAUGAUUGGAAAUUUGGUGAUUAGAUCUAAGUGACUCUAAUUAAUUAAUAGCACAUUCCAAAAAGUCAAUUUAUAAUAUCUAGUUAAAGCAUACAUUUUUACCGAAACACCCUUAUGUAGACUUAUGAAUUACAAAUGCCCAAAAUACUCUCAAAGCAUUCCACCAUGAAAUAGGAGCUCAAGUAGAGACCAUUGAGACCUAUAGGAAAAUACUAACUCCUUCAAAAUCUAAUGUUGAAUUUGACUUUACACUCUACUAAAGAUAGUCAACUGCACCCUAAUAUCUUAUGAAAUUACAACGAGCAAAGAUCAAGUCUAUGACCUACUAUUCAUUAUAUGUAAACUCUUCAUAAAUCGAUGUCUGUAAUUUAACAAAAUAAUGUUAUUACCUAUCAAAAUUAUCUUUUUAAUCCUUAAAUUAUAGAUCUCACUUCUUAUGUGAUCAACUGACCUACUUUACCUUAGAGGAGUAUUAUCUUUUGCUGUGAAAAUUUAGUGUGUGUUAAUUGACUUUUUGGUAGUUCUUAAAGAAUAAUUUCCUCAAAGAACAAAAGAAGCACAUAAAAAAAAUGCAAUAAAUAAUAAUUGUGGUGGUCUCAAAGUGACCUGGCCAAAAGUUAAAUAAUUGGAGGAUGACAACAGGGAACAAGGACUUUUCAAACAGUUAUAUACAAACUUAAUAUAAUAAGGGUUUUUUUAAUGAUUAUUUUGGGAAAUUUUUUUUUAAAAAGGGGAGGAUAUAAUUAUAUAAAAAUAUGUGUAUGCAUAUCAAUACAUGUGUAUAUUUACACGUAUUUUUACAUAUUAAUUUAAUAAAGUAUAAUAAAAAUCAAUUAGUAUGACAAACAAAAUUAAAGUAAUAACAAUCCUAUAAGAAAAACAAAAAAUAAAUAAAUGAACAAAAGUAAGUUUGUGUCAAAAAAAUAUAGUAAAAUAAUAAAAAUCCUUGUGGAAAAGCUAAUUGCUAAUAUUUUUUAUUUUAAAAACAUUUCUAAUAUUAACCUAUACUGGAACCAUUUAAUGAAAAUAAACUUACUUUAAUAAAAAUAUUUUAUUUUAUGUAUCUAUAGACGAGAAAAAAAAAUUGAUAUAUGUCGAAAUUUAGUGGUUAGGGCAGGUCAAUAGAAAAUAUGAUUGGAAAUUUGGUGAUUAGCUCUAAGUGACUCUAAUUAAUUAAUAGCACAUUCCAAAAAGUCAAUUUAUAAUAUCUAGUUCAAGCAUACAUUUUUACCAAAACACCCUUAUGUAGACUUAUGAAUUACAAAUGCCCAAAAUACUCUCAAAGCAUUCCACCAUGAAAUAGGAGCUCAAGUAGAGACCAUUGAGACCUAUAGGAAAAUACUAACUCCUUCAAAAUCUAAUGUUGAAUUUGACUUUACACUCUACUAAAGAGAGUCAACUGCACCCUAAUAUCUUAUGAAAUUACAACGAGCAAAGAUCAAGUCUAUGACCUACUAUUCAUUACAUGUAAACUCUUCAUAAAUCGAUGUCUGUAAUUUAACAAGAUAAUGUUAUUACCUAUCAAGAUUAUCUCUUUAAUCCUUAAAUUAUAGAUCUCACUUUUUAUGUGAUCAACUAACAUACUUUACCUUAGAGGAGUAUUAUCUUUCGCUGUGAAAAUUUAGUGGGUGUAAAUUGACUUUUUGGUAGUUCUUAAAGAAUAAUUUCCUCAAAGAACAAAAGAAGCACAUAAAAAAAAUGCAAUAAAAAAUAAUUGUGGUGGUCUCAAAGUGACUUGGCCAAAAGUUAAAUAAUUGGAGGAUGACAACAGGGAACAAGGACUUUUCAAACAGUUAUAUACAAACUUAAUCUAAUAAGGGUUUUUUAAAUGAUUAUUUUGGGAAAAUUUUUUUUAAAAAGGGGAGGAUAUAAUUAUAUAAAAAUAUGUGUAUGCAUAUCAAUACAUGUGUAUAUUUAUACUUAUGUUUACAUAUUAAUUUAAUAAAGUAUAAUAAAAAUCAAUUAGUAUGACAAACAAAAUUAAAGUAAUAACAAUCCUAUAAGAAAAUAAAUAAAUAAAUAAAUGAACAAAAGUAAGUUUGUGUCAAAAAAAUAUAGUAAAUAAUAAAAAUCCUUGUGAAAACUAUUGCUAAUAUUUUUUUUUUAUUUUAAAAACAUUUCUAAUAUUAACCUAUACUGGAACCAUUUAAUGAAAAUAAACUUACUUUAAUAAAAAUAUUUUCUUUUAUGUAUCUAUAGACGAGAAAAAAAAAUUGAUAUAUGUCAAAAUUUGGUGGUUAGGGCAGGUCAAUAGAAAAUAUGAUUGGAAAUUUGGUGAUUAGCUCUAAGUGACUCUAAUUAAUUAAUAGCACAUUCCAGAAAGUCAAUUGAUAAGAUCUAGUUCAAGCAUACAUUUUUACCAAAACACCCUUAUGUAGACUUAUGAAUUACAAAUGCCCAAAAUACUCUCAAAGCAUUCCACCAAGAAAUAGGAGCUCAAGUAGAGACCAUUGAGACCUAUAGGAAAAUACUAACUCCUUCAAAAUUUAAUGUUGAAUUUGACUUUACACUCUACUAAAGAUAGUCAACUGCACCCUAAUAUCUUAUGAAAUUACAACGAGCAAAGAUCAAGUUUAUGACCUACUAUUCAUUGCAUGUAAACUCUUCAUAAAUCGAUGUUUGUAAUUUAACAAGAUAAUGUUAUUACCUAUCAAGAUUAUCUCUUUAAUCCUUAAAUUAUAGAUCUCACUUUUUAUGUGAUCAACUGACAUACUUUACCUUAGAGGAGUAUUAUCUUUCCAUGUGAAAAUUUAGUGGGUGUUAAUUGACUUUUUGGUAGUUCUUAAAGAAUAAUUUCCUCAAAGAACAAAAGAAGCACAUAAAAAAAAUGCAAUAAAUAAUAAUUGUGGUGGUCUCAAAGUGACUUGGCCAAAAGUUAAAUAAUUGGACGAUGACAACAGGGAACAAGGACUUUUCAAACAGUUAUAUACAAACUUAAUAUAAUAAGGGUUUUUUUAAUGAUUAUUUUGGGAAUUUUUUUUUUAAAAAGGGGAGGAUAUAAUUAUAUAAAAAUAUGUGUAUGCAUAUUAAUACAUGUGUAUAUUUAUACGUAUGUUUACAUAUUAAUUUAAUAAAGUAUAAUAAAAAUCAAUUACUAUGACAAACAAAAUUAAAGUAAUAACAAUCCUAUAAAAAAACAAAAAAUAAAUAAAUGAACAAAAGUAAGUUUGUGUCAAAAAAUAAUAGUAAAAUAAUAAAAAUCCUUGUGGAAAAACUAAUUGAUAAUAUUUUUUAUUUUAAAAACAUUUCUAAUAUUAACCUAUACCAGAACCAUUUAAUGAAAAUAAACUUACUUUAAUAAAAAUAUUUUCUUUUAGGUAUCUAUAGAAGAGAAAAAAAAAUUGAUAUAUGUCGAAAUUUGGUGGUUAGGGCAGGUCAAUAGAAAAUAUGAUUGGAAAUUUGGUGAUUAUCUCUAAGUGACUCUAAUUAAUUAAUAGCACAUUCCAGAAAGUCAAUUGAUAAGAUCUAGUUCAAGCAUACAUUUUUACCAAAACACCCUUAUAUAGACUUAUGAAUUACAAAUGCCCAAAAUACUCUCAAAGCAUUCCACCAUGAAAUAGGAGCUCAAGUAGAGACCAUUGAGACCUAUAGGAAAAUACUAACUCCUUCAAAAUCUAAUGUUGAAUUUGACUUUACACUCUACUAAAGAGAGUCAACUACACCCUAAUAUCUUAUGAAAUUACAACGAGCAAAGAUCAAGUCUAUGACCUACUAUUCAUUGCAUGUAAACUCUUCAUAAAUCGAUGUUUGUAAUUUAACAAGAUAAUGUUAUUACCUAUCAAGAUUAUCUCUUUAAUCCUUAAAUUAUAGAUCUCACUUUUUAUGUGAUCAACUGACAUUCUUUACCUUAGAGGAGUAUUAUCUUUCCAUGUGAAAAUUUAGUGGGUGUUAAUUGACUUUUUGGUAGUUCUUAAAGAAUAAUUUCCUCAAAGAACAAAAGAAGCACAUAAAAAAAAUGCAAUAAAUAAUAAUUGUGGUGGUCUCAAAGUGACUUGGCCAAAAGUUAAAUAAUUGGACGAUGACAACAGGGAACAAGGACUUUUCAAACAGUUAUAUACAAACUUAAUAUAAUAAGGGUUUUUUUAAUGAUUAUUUUGGGAAUUUUUUUUUUAAAAAGGGGAGGAUAUAAUUAUAUAAAAAUAUGUGUAUGCAUAUUAAUACAUGUGUAUAUUUAUACGUAUGUUUACAUAUUAAUUUAAUAAAGUAUAAUAAAAAUCAAUUACUAUGACAAAAAAAUUAAAGUAAUAACNNNNNNNNNNNNNNNNNNNNNNNNNNNNNNNNNNNNNNNNNNNNNNNNNNNNNNNNNNNNNNNNNNNNNNNNNNNNNNNNNNNNNNNNNNNNNNNNNNNNUCAAUUGAUAAGAUCUAGUUCAAGCAUACAUUUUUACCAAAACACCCUUAUAUAGACUUAUGAAUUACAAAUGCCCAAAAUACUCUCAAAGCAUUCCACCAUCAAAUAGGAGCUCAAGUAGAGACCAUUGAGACCUAUAGGAAAAUACUAACUCCUUCAAAACCUAAUGUUGAAUUUGACUUUACACUCUACUAAAGAGAGUCAACUGCACCCUAAUAUCUUAUGAAAUUACGACGAGCAAAGAUCAAGUCUAUGACCUACUAUUCAUUGCAUGUAAACUCUUCAUAAAUCGAUGUCUGUAAUUUAACAAGCUAAUGUUAUUACCUAUCAAGAUUAUCUCUUUAAUCCUUAAAUUAUAGAUCUCACUUUUUAUAUGAUCAACUGACAUACUUUACCUUAGAGGAGUAUUAUCUUUCGCUGUGAAAAUUUAGUGGGUGUUAAUUGACUUUUUGGUAGUUCUUAAAGAAUAAUUUCCUCAAAGAACAAAAGCAGUACAUAAAAAAAAUGCAAUAAAAAAUAAUUGUGGUGGUCUCAAAGUGACUUGGCCAAAAGUUAAAUAAUUGGAGGAUGACAACACGGAACAAGGACUUUUCAAACAGUUAUAUACAAACUUAAUAUAAUAAGGGUUUUUUUAAUGAUUAUUUUGGGAAUUUUUUUUUUAAAAAGGGGAGGAUAUAAUUAUAUAAAAAUAUGUGUAUGCAUAUCAAUACAUGUGUGUAUUUAUACGUAUUUUUACAUAUUAAUUUAAUAAAGUAUAAUAAAAAUCAAUUAGUAUGACAAACAAAAUUAAAGUAAUAACAAUCCUAUAAGAAAAACAAAAAAUAAAUAAAUGAACAAAAGUAAGUUUGUGUCAAAAAAAUAUAGUAAAAAAAUAAAAAUCCUUGUGGAAAAACUAAUUGCUUAUAUUUUUUAUUUUAAAAACAUUUCUAAUAUUAACCUAUACCGGAACCAUUUAAUGAAAAUAAACUUACUUUAAUAAAAAUAUUUUAUUUUAUGUAUCUAUAGACGAGAAAAAAAAAUUGAUAUAUGUCGAAAUUUGGUGGUUAGGGCACGUCAAUAGAAAAUGUGAUUGGAAAUUUGGUGAUUAGCUCUUAGUGACUCUAAUUAAUUAAUAGCACAUUCCAGAAAGUUAAUUUAUAAAAUCUAGUUCAAGCAUACAUUUUUACCAAAACACCCUUAUGUAGACUUAUGAAUUACAAAUGCCCAAAAUACUCUCAAAGCAUUCCACCAUGAAAUAGGAGCUCAAGUAGAGACCAUUGAGACCUAUAGGAAAAUACUAACUCCUUUAUAAUCUAAUGUUAAAUUUGACUUGACACUCUAUUAAAGAGAGUCAACUGCACCCUAAUAUCUUAUCAAAUUACAACGAGCAAAGAUCAAGUCUAUGACCUAUUAUUCAUUGCAUGUAGGCUCUUCAUAAAUCGAUGUCUGUAAUUUAGCAAAAUAGUGUUAUUACUUAUCAAGGUUAUCUCUUUAAUUCUUAAAUUAUAGAUCUCACUUUUUAUGUGAUCAACUUACAUACUUUACAUUAGAGGAGCAUUAUCUUUCCAUGUGAAAAAUUAGUGGGUGUUAAUUGACUUUUUGGUAGUUCUUAAAGAAUAAUUUCCUCAGAGAACAAAAGAAGCACAUAAAAAAAAUGCAAUAAAAAAUAAUUGUGGUGGUCUCAAAGUGACUUGGCAAAAAGUUAAAUAAUUGGAGGAUGACAACACGGAACAAGGACUUUUCCUUAAAAAAGUUAUAUACAAACUUAAUAUAAUAAGGGUUUUUUUAAUUAUUAUUUUGAGAAAAAAAUUUUAAAAAAGGGGAGGAUAUAAUUAUAUAAAAAUAUGUGUAUGCAUAUCAAUACAUGUGUAUAUUUAUAUGUAUUUUUACAUAUUAAUUUAAUAAAAUAUAAUAAAAAUCAAUUAGUAUGACAAACAAAAUCAAAGUAAUAACAAUCAUAUAAGAAAAACAAAAAAUAAAUAAAUGAACAAAAGUAAGUUUGUGUAAAAAGAAAAUUGUAAAAUAAUAAAAAUCCCUCUUGGAAAAACUAAUUGCUAAUAUUUUUUAUUUUAAAAACAUUUCUAAUCUUAACCUAUAUCGAAACUAUUUAAUUUUAUUACAUUUCAUGGAAAUAAACUUCCUGUAAUAAAAAUAUUUUCUUUUAGGUAUCUAUAGACGAGAAAAAAAUAUUUGAUAUAUGAUUAGAAAAAUGUUAGUGUCCGAAAAUCGAAAAAUGUCCUUGGAAGAUUGUAUUUAUUUCCCCUGAAUUUUCGGUUUAUCCGGUACGCUCCAUGCCAAACACUGCCCGUGUUUUACGCGGUUUGCAACCCAUACUCCAUGCUCCAUGUCGUAAACAAAUGAGAUUAAAGAUUAGUCUGACAGCUUCAUUGGAAAAAUUCAAAACUAAUGGAAAGAAUGAAUAAAAAAAUGAAAGAAAAUGAAUUGGUCCACAUGUGAAAAGGAGAGAGCUGGUUGUUGAAUGGGAAAUGGAGGAAAAUAGAAGAAAAAUGACAAAGGAAGGAGCCAAGAAAAGGAAGGUGAGUGCUGCCAGCUGUUGGCUCCUCUGAACCAUUCUUCCUUCUAGCCUCUGACCAAAAAAAGAUUGCUUGCCAAGAGAAGAACAGCCAUUUAGCAUUGAAAGACCCUUUCUUUUCUUUCUAAGCCUUCUUGUAACUCCUCCGGAACCAGUCCAAAAAUGGCUUCAUCUGCUACUCCCAAUCCUCAUAGUUAUGAUGUGUUCUUGAGUUUCAGAGGUGAAGACACUCGCAAGAAUUUUACUGAUCAUCUUUAUAACACUUUGGUUGCAUAUGGAAUUCACACCUUCAGAGAUGAUGAAGAACUUUUGAAAGGAGAGGACAUCAAAUCGGGUCUGUCCAGAGCUAUCGAAGGAUCGAAGAUUUUUAUUAUUAUUUUCUCAGAAAACUAUGCUGCCUCCAAGUGGUGUUUAAAUGAACUCGCAAUGAUCAUCGAGUAUACAACGCUAGAGGACAAUAAGGUUAUACCGGUCUUCUACCAUGUCAAGCCUUCAGAUGUGGGACACCAAUCGGAAAGCUUUGAAGUCGCGUUUUUCAACCAUGAGAAAGAUGCAGAUCAAGAGAAGAAGGAGCUAAUAGAGAAGUGGAGGAUUACCUUGAAGAAAGCAGCUAAGCUAUCUGGAUACCAUGUGGAUAAUCAGUAAUAAUUCUUCUCUUUACCUUUGCUUUAUUUCAUUUUUUUUUUUCUCUAAUUACAAACCUGGGUAUAUUUCCUAUGUAAAUUAUUCUUUUCUAUUUAUAUCGAAAGCUUACUUCAUGAUAUCACUAUCUAAUUUUAAACAAAAUAGAUGAAUAUGUUGAAUAAUUCUAAACUAGCCUAAGUUUAAGAUUGGAUUGUGGGCUUACCAAUCCAUUCUCGGAUUCAAUCUACUUAAUAUUGGUUUUAUUACCCAUUUGCCUUUUCUUUUAAUUUGUUUAUAUGGCUAAUUUAUUUUAGGCAAGAUGACGGGGUUUUUUUAUUCAAAAAUAAAAAAUAAAUAAACUAUGAGAUUUUGUCGAUAUAUAACAUUAAAUAUUUUGUCUAACAUGAUUUCGUAUUAACUUCAGAAGAAAUGACCUUCUGUACAUAACAGGAUGCCCGUGCCACCUAGCUAACUAUGCUUUUAUUAUUUAGGGGUACAUAUUUUAUAUAUACCCACAUCAUUAACAAAUAUCUUGUACAGUAUACUUAUAUAAAAAAUGGUUGCAUGUCAUUUUUGUCUUCUGUUCCAAUUCACUAUUAUUAUUAUUAUUAUUAUUAUUAUUAUUAUUAUUAUUAUUAUUAUUAUUAUUAUUCACUUCACUUACAUAUAUUGUACUAGCUUUUACUGCAUAAUAUUGUAGUCUAGUUUACUGAAUACCUCUAGUAAGAUAUUAUUUUGGAGAGAGGAAAUGGAAAAGGUAUCUCUAAAAUUUUAACUAUUUUUAGCAUUAGCUUAGAACUGUAGUUUACUAACUUCAUGCAUGAAGGAUUUUGUCAACUCUUUGGGAUUCCUCACACUUGUCUAUAAUCUAUGAUCUCUAUCAUAUUUAUUUUAUGACACUUUUGAUGGUCACAUCUCUUCCGAGGUUUUCCAAUCUAUCGACAUAAACCUAGUACAAUAUUGUGUAUUAUUCAUAUGUUUAACCCAUUUGUGAUUGUAUAAUGUCAAUGAAUUCCAUCAUGCUCACAUAAUACAAAGAUUCCUAUGCACCUUCCCCUAUUAUUUAGUGUCUCAAUUUUCUUAUUUUUUGUGUCAAAAUUAUUCAUAGAGUUGUUUAAUUAUUCAUAUUUAUUGCACCUUAAUGAUCAUGUUUUGAGUGUAAUGUUCUUUGUAAGCUUGUUUUGUCAUUUUUUUAUUUUAUUUUAUUUUUUAUAUAAAAAGUCUAUUCCAUUGACCUUGGGAUAAGCUAGUCCUAGGCUUAAUCCCCAAAAAGUACUCCUACUAUGCUUAUUUGGGAUUAAUCUACCAACUUUGUUCUCUUAAUGAAAACACUAACAAAUGAGUCUUCAUUUCCUUAAGUUGAUCCCCCACCCAAAAAAAUAAAAAUAAAAAUAAAAAACAAAACAAAACAAAAUUUAACUAUUUUAAUUGUCUCUUAGAAGUAUUUCAACUCUUCUUUAGUUAAAUUCAAGGUUUUUAAUCAACAAGCAAAUCCUUAAAUAAAUUCAAGGUUUUUAAUCAACAAACAAAUCCUUAAAAAAUUGGUAAGUUGAUUAAACAUGGAAACAAGCAAAUAAGAAAUUAUAAUAAACUUUUUUGCAAAAUAAAUGGUGAAAGGAAACCAUAUGAUAGCAUCAAAGAGAGUUUUUAACAAUUUUUCAAUCAAUAAAGAUGUCACUAGAUUGGGGAACUUAGAUGACAAACUAGAAGCUAUCAUAAAGCUUGGCAUAUGAGGAGUUAUCUCUACUUGGAGUCUAGUAACAUUUUAUACCAAUCAACUUCAAUUUGAACUUUUCAACUAAGCCAACAACUAAAGUUCAUAUAUUUCCACUUUUUUCUCACUUGAAUUUAUGCUAGGAAUAAUUAUAAUAUAUUUCAUUUAAUAAAUUGGCCUGAUCUUUUUUUCUAUUACAUUCUACUGUUAAAAGUUUGGUUAGUACUGUGAAUGACACCAACGUCACCAAUUUCCUUUAUAUUGAUUAUAUUUGUAACUAAUUCCAAUCUUAUGUACUUAAUGAUUGACAGACAUGAAGCAGAGGUUAUUCAAAAGAUUCGUGAAGUUAUCAUUACAAGAUUGAAUCGUAAGCCUUUAUAUGUGGGUGACAACAUAGUUGGUAUGGACUUUCAUUUGAAGCAAUUAAAGUCGUUGGUAAAAACCGAGUUGGAUGAUGUUCAUAUGGUUGGUAUAUAUGGAAUUGGUGGAAUUGGUAAAACUACCAUCGCAAUGGCUUUUUAUAAUGAUAUCUCAUCCCGAUUUGAUGGUAGUAGUUUUCUUAGAGGUGUUGGAGAGAAAUCCAAAGGUGGUUUACUUGAAUUACAAAAGAAACUUUUUAAAGAUAUCUUAAAGUGUGAAAGUACAGAUUUCGAUGAUACUAGUGAAGGAAUCAAUGGGAUAAAGAAAAGACUUUGCUCAAAAAGAGUCCUUAUUGUUCUCGAUGACGUGGAAGAAUUAGAGCAAUUGGAAAACUUAGCUGGAAAAAAUGGUUGGUAUGGGGCAAAAAGUACAAUCAUUAUAACAACUAAAGAUACAAGUUUGUUGAGCCAACAUGGAGUGAACAUACUUUAUGAGGUAAAGGAGUUGAAUCAUAAAGAAGCCAUUGAUCUUUUUAAUUGGUGGGCCUUCAAACAAAAUAUUCCCAAGCCUAAAGAAGAUUUUGAAAGCCUUUCACAUUGUGUAGUAGGAUAUGCCAAAGGUCUUCCAAUAGCACUUAAAGUUUUAGGUGGCUUUCUUUUUGGUAAGAAAAUAGAUGAAUGGAAAAGCGCAUUGCAUAAACUAGAAAAAAUACCACACAUGAAAGUCCAAAGUGUUCUUAAAGUAAGUUAUGAGAGAUUAGACGAUACAGAAAAGGAGAUAUUCUUGGAUAUUGCAUGUUUUUUCAAGGGAAAAGACAAAGAUCUUGUUUCAAGAAUAUUAGGAAGGUAUGCAGAUAUUGGAAUAAAAGUUCUUCAUGAGAGAUGUCUCAUUACAAUUUCUCAAAAUAAGUUAGAUAUGCAUGAUUUAUUGCAACAAAUGGGCCAAGAAAUUGUUCGUCAAGAAUGUCUUAAAGAGCCUGGAAAAAGGAGUAGACUUUGGGAUUCCAAUGAUGUUGAUAGUAUGUUAACAAGAAAUACGGUAAGAGCCAAAUGUCAUUUAUUGAAGAAGUUAUAUAUCUAUAUAAUUUAAUUAAUUUUUAUGUAUCUUAUUUUUGGCUUAUUCUUGACUUUUAUCUUUUUAGGGGACUGAAGCAAUUGAAGGACUAUUUGUAGAAAUUCCUACAUCAAACAAGAUGCAAUUUUCUACAAAUUCUUUCACAAAGAUGAACAGACUUAGAUUGUUCAUAGUCUAUAAUAAACGGUAUUGGAAUUGUUUUAAGGGUGACUUUGAAUUUCCUUCUUCUCAACUAAGAUACCUCAAUUUUUAUGGAUGCUCUUUAGAAUCUUUACCAACAAAUUUUAAUGGAAGGAAUCUUGUUGAACUUGAUUUAGUACGUAGCGGCAUAAAGAAACUUUGGAAAGGGGAUGAGGUACUUUUAGAAGUGUUGUUUAGUUAAUAAUUUUUAUAUUAAUUUAAAAGUUUAUCAAAAGUUAUCUACUAACACAUUUUAUUUUGUUCUAGAUUUUUAACAGCUUGAAAGUCAUCAACCUUGGUUAUUCAAAGUAUCUUGUUGAAAUCCCAGACUUUUCAAGUGUGCCAAAUUUGGAGAUCCUGAAUCUAGAAGGUUGUAUAAAUUUACUUAAAAGGUUCAUCCACUACUAUUAUUAUUAGAGUUAUUAACUAACUUUUUUAUUGAAUAUAAUAGGGUGCACAAGCCUCGAGAGUUUCCCAAAAAUCAAGGAAAAUAUGAGUAAGCUAAGAGAGAUUAAUUUAAGUGGAACAGCUAUAAUAGAAGUACCAUCAUCAAUUGAGCAUCUAAAUGGGCUUGAAUACUUCAAUUUAAGUGGAUGCUUCAACCUCGUAAGUCUUCCGAGGAGUAUUUGUAAUUUGAGUUCUCUUCAAACUCUCUAUCUGGAUAGCUGUUCAAAACUAAAGGGUUUUCCAGAAAUGAAGGACAAUAUGGGGAAUCUAGAAAGGCUUAAUUUGAGAUUUACAGCUAUAGAAGAGCUUUCAUCAUCAGUUGGACAUCUAAAGGCUCUUAAACACCUAGAUUUGUCAUUUUGUAAAAACCUUGUGAAUCUUCCAGAGAGCAUUUUCAAUAUCAGCUCUCUUGAAACUCUCAAUGGGAGUAUGUGUUUAAAAAUAAAGGACUUUCCAGAGAUCAAGAACAAUAUGGGAAAUCUAGAAAGGCUUGAUUUGAGUUUCACAGCUAUAGAAGAGCUUCCAUAUUCAAUUGGAUAUCUAAAGGCUCUUAAAGACCUAGAUUUAUCAUAUUGUCACAACCUUGUGAAUCUUCCAGAGAGCAUUUGCAAUUUGAGCUCUCUUGAAAAGCUUAGAGUCCGAAACUGUCCAAAACUCCAGAGAUUGGAGGUGAACCUAGAGGAUGGUUCACACAUCUUAAGAUCAUUAAAUACAACUUGUUGCAUAAUAAAGCAAGGUGUAAUCUGGAGCAAUGGCCGCUUCUCCUCAUUAGAAACAUUACAUCUACGGUGCAGUCAAAUGGAAGGAGAGAUCCUUAAUCAUCAUAUUUGGUCCCUGUCAUCACUGGUGGAAUUAUGUAUAAGAAACUCUGAUCUCACGGGAAGAGGAAUCCUCAGUGAUAGUUUCUACCCAUCAUCAUUGGUAGGAUUAUCUGUAGGUAACUUCAAUCUAAUGGAAGUAGGUGAUAAGGGAGAAUCAAAUGAUUCUCCCUUAUCAGUAGGAAUCCAAGGAAUCCUCAAUGAUAUUUGGAACCUAUCUUCACUUGUGAAAUUAUCUCUAAAUAACUGCAAUCUAAUGGAAGUAGGAAUCCUUAGUGAUAUUUGGAACCUAUCUUCACUGGUGAAAUUAUCACUAAAUAACUGCAAUCUAAAGGAAGGAGAGAUCCUCAAUCGUAUUUGCCACCUGCCAUCAUUGGAAGAAUUAUCUCUGGAUGGGAACCAUUUUAGUAGCAUACCUGCUGGCAUCAGACUACUUUCCAAUCUAAGAGCCCUCAACUUGAGACAUUGCAAGAAGCUUCAAGAAAUUCCAGAGCUUCCAUCAAGUUUAAGAGACCUUUACUUGAGCCACUGCAAAAAGCUUCGGGCAAUUCCAGAGCUUCCAUCAAAUUUGCUACUUUUAGAUAUGCACAGUUCAGAUGGUAUUUCAUCACUGUCAAAUCAUUCUCUGCUCAAUUGCUUGAAAUCAAAAUUAUAUCAGGUAUGAUUUUCAUGGCACAGACCUUUUACUUUUGUACCCACUUGAUUUACAUAGUGCUUUUGUGCAGGAACUCCAGAUUUCUCUUGGUGCUUCUGAAUUCCGAGACAUGGCAAUGGAAAUUGUUAUUCCUAGGAGUAGUGGAAUUCUAGAGGGAACAAGGAAUCAGAGUAUGGGAAGUCAUCAAGUAAGAAUAGAGCUCCCUCAGAAUUGGUAUGAAAACAAUGACUUGCUGGGAUUUGCUUUAUGCUGUGUUUAUGUUUGGGUACCUGAUGAAUUCAACCCUAGAUGUGAACCAUUAUCGUGCUUGGAUUGUAAAUUGGCUAUCUCGGGAAAUUGUCAAUCAAAAGAUGUGGACAAAUUCCAAAUUGAAUCUGAAUGUCAUUGCUCUGAUGAUGAUGAUGAUCAUGGUAGUGCAUCAGAUCUAGUAUGGGUUAUAUAUUAUCCCAAGGAUGCUAUUAAGAAGCAAUAUCUCUCCAAUCAAUGGACACACUUUACUGCUUCAUUUAAAAGCGUAACCCUUGAAGCGAAAGAGUGCGGGAUCCAUCCUAUAUAUGGCUGCUUCAAAUGUCGACGAGAUAAAGAAUGCCAACAGAAGCUUUGUUUAAAGGGCAGUGCUAUUAAUGAGCUUCCCUUUAUUGAGAGUCCCUUUGAACUUGGUAGUCUGUGUUUGCGGGAGUGCAAAAACCUAGAGAGUCUGCCAAGUACCAUCUGUGAGUUGAAGUCCCUUACAACUCUCUCUUGUUCUGGCUGUUCACAACUAACUAUCUUUCCAGAAAUCUUUGAGACUUUGGAAAAUUUAAGAGAGCUUCAUUUAGAAGGGACUGCCAUCGAAGAACUACCAUCAUCAAUUCAACAUCUAAGAGGGCUUCAGUAUUUGAAUCUGGCAUAUUGCAACAACCUUGUGAGCCUUCCAGAAACCAUUUAUCGUUUGAAAUCCCUCGUAUUUCUCUCUUGCACUGGUUGUUCACAACUAAAGAGCUUUCCAGAAAUCCUGGAGAAUAUCGAAAAUUUACGAGAGCUUUCUUUACAUGGAACUGCCAUAAAAGAGCUCCCAACAUCAAUUGAACGACUAGGAGGGCUUCAAGAUUUGCACCUGUCAAAUUGCAGCAACCUUGUGAAUCUUCCAGAAAGCAUUUGUAACUUGAGAUUUCUCAAAAAUCUCAAUGUUAAUCUCUGUUCAAAACUUGAGAAAUUUCCUCAGAACUUGGGGAGUUUGCAACGUUUAGAGCUUUUGGGAGCUGCAGGUUCAGAUUCCAAUCGAGUUCUAGGAGCAAUUCAGAGUGAUGAUUGCCGCAUGUCAUCAUGGAAAGCAUUAAAUCUGAGCAUCAACUAUUUUAGUAGCAUAAUUCCUAUCAGCAUCAUUCAACUUUCUAAAUUGAGAGUCCUUGACUUGAGUCAUUGCCAGAAGCUUCUACAAAUUCCAGAGCUUCCACCAAGUUUACGAAUUCUUGAUGUCCACGCCUGCCCAUGCUUGGAAACAUUAUCAAGUCCGUCAAGUCUACUUGGUUUUUCUUUGUUCAGAUGCUUCAAAUCAGCAAUUGAGGUAUGAUUUUCUGAGACAUUUAACCUUUUUUUUUUUUUUUUUUCUUUUUGAAACAUAAGAUUUACGCUACUCUUUCAUGCAGGAAUUUGAAUGCGGGUCCUAUUGGAGCAAGGAAAUCCAAAUUGUUAUUCCAGGAAAUAAUGGAAUUCCAGAGUGGAUAAGCCAACGGAAAAAAGGAUCUGAAAUAACAAUAGAGCUUCCUAUGGAUUGGUACCAUAAUAACGACUUCUUGGGAGUUGCCUUAUACUCUGUUUAUGUUCCACUUCAUAUUGAAUCCAAUGAAGAUCCUUGUAGUUUAAAAUGUCAAUUGAAUUUCCAUGUUCAUCACUUUGAAUUUCUGGAUGAUCUACCAUCUAAAUUCUGGUCUAUGAAUGGUCUUUCAUAUGAAUUUUGGCCCGUGGAUGAACUCUCGUUUAGAAGGGGUUAUUUGUGCCACCAUAAUGGUGAUGAAUUAAAUGAAGUCCGGGUGGCAUAUUAUCCGAAGGUUGCUAUUCCGAAUCAGUAUUGGUCAAAUAAAUGGAGACAUUUGAAGGCUUCAUUUCAUGGUUACUUGGGUAGUAAACAAGUGAAAGUGAAAGAGUGUGGGUUCCAUCUUAUAUCUAUGCCCAAGAUUGUCAACAGAAGCAUCCCACAAGAUAGAAGUAUAAAAGGCGUCGAGCACAAUCGUCCACCAAUAUUGAUACAGUACCCAGAUGUUCAAAGAUGCUGUGACACCAAAUCAGUACCAGAAGAUACUAAUGUUAAUGCACAGAGCUGCUGUGAUGACACACAUAGUACAGAACACAACCAUUCUCCAAUGGAUACAAUAACACAUAAUGUUGAUGAUAAUGUUGUUGAUGCCCAAGAUGAAGAAGAAGACCAUAUGCACAAGUGGUUGGACCUUCUUUGCAAAUCUGUUCAAUGGAUAUGUUGUAGAAGAUGCUAAACAUUCAUCUCAAGCUUUUGGUAAGCCACCUUUCUUUUGGUAAGCUUUUGCUAUGUUCUUUCUAAAGAUUUAUUCUUCUUCUUCUCUCUUAUUUUUACCUAGCUACUCUUUUUUGAAAGUCAAGUCCAUAGGCGUAAAAUCCAAAUUUUGUUUUAUAAAAAAAAAAAUCAUUUUUAUUAGGACUUGUUUUCGAGUAUUUUUAACAAGCUUGAUUGCACUGUUAUUUUCGAAGUAUUAAACAUUGAAUUAGAUAAGUUGGUAGAGGAAAUUACGCAUUAGCCUUGAACUUGAUCAGUUAAGCCAUGAAAGUUCUUACUAAAUAAAAUAUUUCAAGUCAAUUUUUAUUUGUUAUUAAUGUAUUGCCUAUUUGAACUCACAUUUUAUUCCAUUUUGUACUUUAUAUAUUUUUUUGGUCUCAAAAAGAGAUUAAGUCUCCAAGUAAGAAAGAUCAAUCAAAUUAGGAGGGGAAGAACAUUUCAAUUUCAAGUAUUUUCCUUUAAAAUAUUUUGAGAGGUGCAUAUGUUUUAGGCAUUCCAAAUGAGUUAACAAUUAAAUUAUGACAUUGAUUUCACUAACUAGAGUUGUUUGGAUUGAUUCUUUAGUUCAAAAGUUAUCACUUCUCUAGCUUUAACUAUUCCAUUAAACUAGUUUGAUACAAAAAAAAUUAAAUAAUAUUAUUUAAUUUUAAUAUUAUUGUGUUGUUUACUGAAUGGUACCAGAUAUAUAAACUUCAUGUUACAAAUGACACCGCUAUUGCCCAUUUUAUCUCACAACUACAACAAAGAGGUUUUCUACAUGGGGAUGAUAUGGGAGAUCGGUUUUUCAACUGCUCACAGUAAUAUCUCUCUUUUGUUUGAUGUUCUAUCUAUUAAGGAUGAAAUUUUUGUUGGUUCUAUUGGAAAAAUUAUGGUUUCAGGAACUUGCUAUGGCAUAUUGUCUCUCUUAGGAAGGAAUGAAUUCUGGAUCGUUAUCACUGCAUUCACCUCAAACAGGGUAGAACUUGUCAUUUCUUGCAAUAGAUGUGUAUGCAAAGCUUGAUAUUUUUAUUAAUACAUUAUUUAACACGUUCAUUAUCAGAACUUGUUUUAUGGUUUAUUAUUUGUUUAUCAGUUCUGUGUAAUGGAGCAUGCACCAAGUAAACUCCUCCUCUUGCCAAAGGUUUGAGAGUCUUAUAUUUGGUUUAUGUAUGUUCCUGCAUCUUUAGUAGCAAUAAUUUUAUACUAUCUUUUGGGUUUUAUAGACUUUUUUUGUAACUGUGAGAGUCAUCCAAGGCCAUAUUUCAGGUUGUUCAUUAACUGGCUUUUUGACCUUGUGUCCCCAGACCCUAUCUUGGAUGGUGCUAACUUUCAGGUAUAGGUUGUUUUCAUUUCAUGCAUUAGUAUUGUAAUAUGCAAUUUGGCAUAAACUAACUAGAUAAGGUCACUUUUCAGGUGUUGAUUGCUUUUACUAAUGCUUUCCAUGCAUUGCAGCUUCUUAAAAUCCUGGUAUUCAGGUCAGCAUGCCAUGCAUUCAAGGUUUUUCUUUCCCAAAUGUUAAAAUCUGUUGUUGCAUAUGAUUUUGUGAAGCUCUUAAGAAUGGAUUUCACUUAAAAGAGUACCCAUGUUGGAUGCUCCAAAAGGGGACAAUUUCCUUGGGUGAUUGCAGUUUUUUUUAAUUUGUUUUCAGGAAACUGAUCCAAAAGGUGGGAAAAUUCAACUGCACAUUGAGCAACACAUCAAUAUUUGUGGUAUGAUUUAAGAGCUUGUUUUUAUAUAAUGCAGAAAUCUCGUUAUCAAUCUAGAUGUUGAAUAACUGCAGCUAAGCUCUGCUAGGCCUUUUUUAGAGGAAAAAAAUACUAUUAAAAAAAUUAAUUAUAAAAUAUUUUAAAUAUAUAAUUAAAAAUUAAAUAAUAUUUAUAAUAUUAUUUAUUCAAUUUUAUAUAAAUGCAUUAAUGGUUUAAAUUUAUUAAACAAAAUAUACACAAUAUUUAAAUGUGAAAAUAUAUUCAAAAUGGUAAAAAAAAAAAAAAAAAAAUCAUAUUUUAAUACGAAAACAAAUUUUUUUUAAAAAUGUGAUUUAUAUAUAUAUAUAUAUAUAUGUAUUAUUUUUUAAAUUGCCUACUUACUUAUUUUCUUGUAAAUAUUGAUAUAAACAUGGAUGCAACACAAUAGAGUAGUUAUGUCAUUAUGACCUUGUGGUUUGUGGUUCAAACCCUCUUGUGUAGGAACAAAGUUGGUUUUUCUUUUAAAUCCCUUUACCUUGUCCCACAUCCAAAGUAAAAGGAAAAGUAAAGUGCUUUAUAAACCUCUUCUCAACCAUCCAAAGCCAAGUGGUCAAGCUAAGUGAUUGUUGGGCCUUAUGGCACAACCUUUGAAUAAGGGCCCAUUUUGCAAGCUGGGGGUGGACAUUUAAUGUUGGGCCAUGGAGGGAAUAUAGCCUAUUUUGUCAAAAAAAAAAAAAAAGGGAGGCAAUUAAUGCUGGGCGGGAGUGGUACACUUAGUAUUUUAUUACGGAAAAAUGAUUUGGUAAAAAAUAAUUGUUCACAAACUUAUAACAACAAACUUGCCACAAAUAUUUAUUUGUGAAAAAAAAAUAUUCUACCACAAAAUAUUUUCUUUUAACAAAAAAUUAAUUUAUGGCAAAAUCUCUUAUUUGUUGUAGUGAAUGUAAUGCCUUAGUUAUGGGUUUGAUUGAUAUCUAGAUGGAAUAUCUCAAGCUCAAACAAUUGAAGGCGACAAGCUCAGGCAAUUAAAUGUGAAAAGCUCAAAUGACUUGAACAUCUCAAUUGCAGAAUUUUAUCAAAGGGAAGGAGGAAUCUCAACUUAAGAACAAACUAUCAAAUUCAAGAGGAGACAAACAUCUCAAUUGUAAAAUUUUCCUUCCAAAUGUUUUAGUAGAGGAAUACAUCUUGACCCCAUACAAUGAGUUUUGGAUGAUGAUGGGUAGAGAGGAGAGACCACAUAGUACAAGUGAGAGCGAGUGUGAAAGUCCUUAUGGAGGGGAACUUGAAGCCAUCUGCUGAUAUUUGACCGAAUUGAAUCAAGAAAAGAUCCCCAUCCACCCGCAUGAUUCUACUAGCAGUAAGCUAUUGUAGUUUUCAAUUUUUGCAGUGGCUUACAAGUGAAUGAUUGUUGUUAGCUUGUCAAUGUUCAAGAGCAUUAUUGAAUCCUCAAUUUUAUUCUUGUUUUUUUUUUUUUUUUUCCAACAGAUUCAAUUCUGUUUCCUGAUGGAUCAAUUUGCACUACGGUUUGAACUCUUUCAAACCUUGGUGAGUGAGAGGAGGUAGGAUGCUUCAAAAUUUUAAGCUGUGAUGGUAUGAUCGUGUGGUAAAAAAUGUUCAGCCUGGAAAGAAAAAAAAAAUUGUCUACAACAAUAUGUAUGCCAAGACAUUCAGAGAUCUUUCAAAGAGUUAGCAGCUCUAGAUUAAUCAAUCCUGCAGGAUGAAAAUGGACGGAGAUCAAAGCCCUUUGAUUCAUAUCUGUAAUUGCAUAAACAUAUGCGCCAGUGUUGUACAAGAAUAUGAGGUUUCUGACACUACGAAAGAGGCCAAGACACGAGUGGCCAUGAGUACAAGUUGAAUUUUGGAUACAAUCCAUUACCUGGAACUAUGGAUUUUCUUGCUGUUGUUCAUCCCUUUCUGGAUUUUCUUGAAGGCCCUAUCAUUUCUUGGUUGUACUGAAUUGUUUUGAAUGUUGUAUUUCAUGCAUUAGACGAUGGAGUAGAGAUCAUUCCAAGCAUUUGUAUUUAUUUUGAAAAGCAUUUGACACCCAUAUAUUGACCGUAGAAUUUUCUUAUUUAAAAUUUAGUGUACAUAUGGAAUAUGGUAUCAUUUUUCCAAACCGAUCAAACUAUAUAGAUUUUCUAAGACUUUCAGUUUUUUAAAUAUGAAACCAAUCCACAUUGGUUUGAUCAAAAUAAUAAGUUAAAAAAAGAAAAGUAAUUUAACAUAUUUCUAUAAAAAGGUAUAAUUUAGGUUGAAAAGUAUACUUGUUUGGACAAGUUGUCAUUCUUAUACUUGUUUUAGAAAUUGGUAAGUUAAAGAAUAUAAAAAAAAAAUACUAUUUUUUAAAAAAAAGAGUGUUUGUCAAGUUAUUUUUAAAAAUAUUUUUCAAAAAAAUAAAAUAAAAAAUUAUUUGGACAAGUUGUUUUUAAAAUUUUUUAUUUUGAUUUUAAAAAUAAGUAGUUUUUAUUUUUUGUCAAAUAUGAAUAGAAAUAUUAUAAUAAAAUCAUAAAUUAUAUUUUCUUUUACAAUAUAUAUAUAUAUAUAUAUAUAUAUAUAUUAUAAAAAUAUGGAUAUUAAUAUCUUUAUAAAAAUAUGAUUGAUUUAUUUUAUUAAAAAUAGAUAACGGUAAUUUAAAAUAAUAAUUGUUAAUAAUAUUUUAUUUAAAAUGAAUUUAAAAAAUGAAGUUUUUAACAUUUGAAUGAAUUAAGUUUUUGAGUACAUACAUACAAUUAGUAGUCAAUUAUAAACAUAGUGUUAUUAAAUACUUUUAAUUUAGUCAAUAAUUAAUUAGAUCUAUUUUUUGAAUUUCAAAUUAUUCUUAAAAAAUAUAGAAGAUUAAAGUACUAAUUAUGUCUCACUUAAUUUAGAAUCUAUUUAUCUAAGGAGAAAAUUUAGAAAUUAUAAUUGUAUAUAUAUAUAUAUAUGAGAAAUAGUAAAGUCAUAACUCAUAAUAGAAAAAUUAUUGUCUAUGAUUUUCUAUAGUGAUUAGAUUUAUUUUUCGAGUUCUAAAUAAUUUUUAGAAAUUAUUCAAUACAUUAAUAAAUACAAUACUGAGUGUAGCUUGUUUUAAAGUUCAUUUUCCUAGUGAGAAAAUUUAUAAGAAUAUAGUUAUAUAUGAAAAUGCUCAAGCACAGAUUAGCAAGAAUGAAGAAUUUGUUUCUAUUUUACAGUUUUUACAGUAGACCAAUGACUAUAUAUAUAUAUAUAUAUAUAUAUAUAUUACAGUAUAACUAAUCUAACCAUCUAACCAUCUGAUAGCUUGGAACAACAGAGAGACGAGUACGAGCGGCUGAGAACUGAUAGCUUGGAACAUGUUUAGUAAAGACAUCUGCCAACUGGUCGGUAGAAAGAACAUAUUGAAUCAAAAACUCUUUGCGGAGGACCUUAUCACGAACAAAGUGAAGAUCAAUCUCUAUGUGCUUGGAGCGGGCAUGGAAGACAGAGUUAGCUGCAAGAGCAGCAGCACUGAUAUUGUCACACUAGGUCAGAGGAGUGUCCGGUUGAGGAAUGCACAACUCUUUGAGAAGAAACUGAACCCAGGAAACCUCAGCGGCGAGAAGAGCAAGUGCCCGGUACUCCGAUUCUACACUACUACGAGAGACGACACGUUGCUUGGUGGAGGACCAUGAAAUGAGAUUGGUGCCAAAAAAAAAGACAAAAGCCACUGGUGCUUCUUUUAUCAUCGGGACAUGAAGCCCAAUCCGCAUCGGUAUAGCCUUGAAGAGACCAAGAUGGUGAGGCAUGGAUAGAAAGACCAUGAGUAGCAGUACCUUUGAGAUAGCGGAGUAUGCGUUUAGCAGCUUGCAGAUGAGAAGUGGUAGGAUGAGCCAUGUAUUGACAAGCUCGAUUCACUACAAAUGAGAUUUCUGGUCUUGUGAGAGUGAUGUACUGAAGAGCACCCACAAGACUGCGGUAGUGAGUAGCAUCAAGAGCAGAUAAAGGAUCUCCAUCUGUUGCUGAUAACAAUUUUCCCAAAGCACUAGGUGUGCUAGCAGAUUUGGCCCCAAGAAGAUCAACACGCUCAAGUAGCUGAUGUAUGUAGCGUUGUUGAUUGAGAUGAAGAACAUGAGGAAGCCGGGUGACUUCAAUACCAAGGAAGUAGCUAAUAUCCCCAAGGUCUCGAAUAGCAAAAUGAGAGCUAAGCUGAGAAAUGAUAUGAUGGACCUAUGGUGGAUUACUGCCAGUAAUGAGAUUAUCAUCCCACAUAGAUUAAAAUGAUGAUAAUAUCNNNNNNNNNNNNNNNNNNNNNNNNNNNNNNNNNNNNNNNNNNNNNNNNNNNNNNNNNNNNNNNNNNNNNNNNNNNNNNNNNNNNNNNNNNNNNNNNNNNNGCCAGUAAUGAGAAUAUCAUCCACAUAGAUUAAAAUGAUGAUAAUAUCAGAUGCAGAGUGGAAAUAAAAUAAAGAUGCAUCAGCCCUUGAGCAUUGGAAUCCCAGCUAUAAGAGAAAGGAGCUGAGCUUGUGGAACCAAGUUCGAGGCGCUUGUUUAAGGCUAUAGAGAGCCUUCUGUAGACGACAAACAUGAGUGGAGCAAGAGCUAUCUUCAAAGCCUGGAGGUUGCAUCAUGAACACCUGUUCCUGAAGAUCUCCAUUUAAAAAAGCAUUGUGGACAUCUAGUUGUUUAAUAGGUCAGUUGAAAGAGACGAUAAUGGAGAGAACAAGCUUGAUAGUGCAAGGCUUCACAACUGGACUGAAUGUCUCAAAAAAAUCAAUGCCAUAGGUUUGAUGAAAACCUUGGGCAACCACCCAAGCUUUGUACCUGUCAAUGCUACCAUCAGGUUUAUGUUUGAGUUUGAAGACCCAUUUACACCCAAUAAUUUUGGCCUUAGACGGAGGUGGCACCAAAGACCAAGUUUGAUUCUUCAAUAGAGCCUAAUAUUCCUGUUCUAUAGCAAGCUUCCAGUUAGGGUCUUGAAGAGCCUGUUUGACAGUACGUGGCUCAGCUAUGAGUGAGGUAAGAUAGGUCUUCUUCUUACAGAUACCAGAUUUGGAUAUGAUAAUCAUAUGAUGGCCAGGAAUUGGAGCUGUGGAAUCCUGGAGUGGAGUAGUAGAAAUCUCAGCUGCUUCAUCCACAAAUGGCACCUGAAUGAGCGGGGGUAAAGACAAAGAGCUGGCUAGAGGUGAUGUGGGAGCAGGUUGGGAUGGGAUAACCGGAGGAAAGCUGGUUGUAGAGGGGAAGAGAACAGAAGAUGGAGGAAAAGAAAAUGCUGAAGUGACAGGAAAGUGAGAUGAUUGGUGGGAAGGAGAAUUCAAUGCCUGAAAUGGAAAUGCAGUCUCUGCAAAGACUACAUGCCUAGAGAUAUACACUCUACCAGUUGUAGGAUUAAGGCAAAAAUAACCCUUGUGAGAUGUUUCAUAACCAAGAAAGAUACAGGGUGUGGAUCGUGGCUAAAAUUUGUUGGAGUUGAGAUGUUUGAGGUGUGGUUAACAAAGACAACCAAAGACUUUGAAAUGGAAAUAAUUAGGUGGGUGUUUGUAAAGAAGAUAAAAUGGGGAGCUGUAAUUAAGCAAAUGAGAAGGCAUGCAAUUGAUAAGGGUAACUGCUGUAGUGAAAGCAUAGGACCAAAAUUUGGAUGGAAGGGCAGCUGUGUAAAGAAGAGUGAGCCUGGUUUCUACAACAUGGCGCAUCUUGCGUUCGACCCGGCCAUUUUGUUCAGGUGUAUAAGGGCAAGAAAAUCAAUGGAGUAUACCAUGAAGAGAUAGAAAUCGGGUGAGGGCAAUGAACUCUCCACCAUGGUCUGUUUGAAGGCAUUUAAUGGUGGUCUGAAACUGGUUUUCAACAAGAGUUUNNNNNNNNNNNNNNNNNNNNNNNNNNNNNNNNNNNNNNNNNNNNNNNNNNNNNNNNNNNNNNNNNNNNNNNNNNNNNNNNNNNNNNNNNNNNNNNNNGAAGCACAUUGUGUAAGACAAAGGGUUUAGCAGAAGUGUGGAGAAAGGAAUGAACAACUUGGGUUAUGGGUAGGGACUUACCAUUGCCAACCAUCACAAAGUCAGUACCAUUGUGUGGAGUACCAUUGUAGAUAUUAGCAGCCAUAUGGGAGAGAUGGUGGGUGACGCUUGAAUCUAAAAACCAGGAGUCCGUUGAUGCUGGGGAAGGUGCUGCCAUCAUGGCUUGAGUAGGAGGAGUGAGACUAGUUUGAGAGGUUGAUGAGGCUGGUGCAUGUGGCCCUUGAUAAUUCACAUCAAAUCUAUGAUAACAAGAGAGGACCAUGUGCCCAAACUUGCCACAUAACUGACACUGUGGUCGAUUAUUUCUCCGGGAUCGAUUAUUGUUGAAUCCGUUAGGGCGAUAUCCUUGAGGAUGUUGCUGUCGUGAAUCUGAAAGAGUGCUAGGUCGUGGGGUUGGCAUGAAUGACUGAGGUGGUUUCCCUUGAGAGGGUUUGCUGGACUGUGACCUUUGUGGUCUGUUAUGAGUUGCAAUAUUGGCAAUGAGGAGGUCUUCUUUAGUAGUCGUGGUUUGAAGAUGCAGCCUCUGUUCAUGAGUAAGAAGGAUGCUAUGUACCAUAUGAAGCUGAAGAUCAUCAUCUCUAGUUGUGAGAGAAGCCACAAUGGGGUUGUAUUCAGCCCCUAGUCCACUUAGUAAUUGAAGGAUUUGAUCCUUUUCUGGCACUGGUUCUCCAAUAGCUACUAGACUAUCAAAGAUAUGUUUGAGUUUUUUUUAUGUAUUCCAUCAUGGUGAGAGGGUCUUUUUUGGUUGUUUGAAAAGCAAGUCUUGGCUGCAUUGUUCUUGCUUUAGUGGAAGCAGAGAAGCUUCGUUGGAGGGUUAUCCAUGCUUCAUGGGAUAUUCGUAGCCCAACAAUUUGGCCCAUAACAUCUGGGGUGAGAGAAAAGUAGAUCCAACUCAGGAUCAUAUGAUCAUAUCUCCUCCAAAUCAAAAAAUCUAGGUUCACUUCACCGAUGGAUAUUAUUUUUAGAGGACAUGGUCUCAGACCUUCAAUAUGGUCCUCAAAUCCAUUGACAUAUAUCACAUUUUCCAUUUGUGUAUGCCAAAGGAUAUAGUUAUCUCUAUCUAGUUUGAUAAGAAGAGGAUGGUUCAGCAUGCUCAUGUUUAGGGUAAAGGUUACCUGAGAAGAGACAAUCUCCUGUGUGGUUUGUGUUGAUGAAGCCAUCGGAAACUAGGUACAGUAUGUUCUUGAAGCUUUCUUGAGGUGAGUAAGAAAAGCAGAAGGUAAUCUACAGAUGACGUAUAUCAGAAGAAAGUUGUAGCAGAAAGAGUUGUUGGAGAUUUUUUUAUCGUCUUGCCGGGAGAGAAAUAAAAAAUAAAAUAAAAAAUUCAAAAGCCUAUGGCUCUGAUACCAUUAAAAUGCUCAAGCACAAAUUAGCAAGAAUGAAGAAUCUGUUUCUAUUUUACAGUUUUUACACUAACUAAUCAUAACAGCAUUUGUUAGAGAGGAGAAGAAUCAUCUGCUGAUGCGGGUGUUUGUCUAUCAAUAUACAAUAAAGAAACUAUAAUUAUUUUAAACCAACUUUUAUUCAUAAGUUUUUUGUAUUAAUGAGGUUACUAUCCGAGGUUCAAAUUAUUUUAAAAAAUGACUAGACUUGUUAAUGAGUGAUGUAGCAAUAAGCAAGAAAGAAAAGAGGAUAGAAUACGUCUAAUCCAAGAAAAUUUGGAAUCCAUUAAAGAAACUCUCAAGAAGAGAUUUUCAUUGACUAAAAAUUCAGAACAAGACAAAGGAUCUUUUUCCACCAUUUUUUCCUCCAGUUUAUCUUAAUAACCCUUCAAUGUCUUCACAACUUCCAACAUUGAGGAAAUAAAAUCUCAAAUAUCUACUAUUAGUAAUCAAGUAUUAUAAGUCUCAAGUUUCCCAGGUAAUUUAAAUCUUAUUCUAAAACUGACUUGACUAUUUUCUUCGGAGUCCCCUCUACUUGAACAAAAUUCGAUCUUGAGUCACAAUCUUGAUAAAACUAGUUGCCUUGUUAGAUGAAUGAUACUCAUACAAAUAAAAAACAUUGAAGGUCUUAAAUUCCCAUGUCUUCUAGUAAUUUUCCUUAACACCUGAAAUGGUCCACAUUUCUUCGGCUUCAACUUUUUAUAAUUUCUAGCAGAAAACCUUUCCUUGUGUAAGCAUACCAUCACCAUAACACCUACUUGAAACACUUUUGUGUCGAUGAUGUUUAUCAACUGCUACUUUAUACUUGCCAUUUACCUCUUCUAGCCUCAUCUUUGUUUCUGCUUGCAUUGCUUGAACCUUCUCAGCUAUAUGUUCUGCUAUGGUACUCAAACAAAGAGCCCUCGAUAAUUGUAGCAAAUCUAGAGCAUGCUUUGGUGACUUCUUCAUAUCUACUACAAAGGGAGACCUUCCUAUUGUGCUAUGAACAACAUUAUUGCAUGCAAACUCUGCUUGAGCAAAUGCAAAAUCCCAGUGUUUAGGCUUGUCUCCACAAAUACUAUGAAUCAAAUUUCCCAAAGUCCUAUUUAUUACCUCAGUUUGACCAUAUGCCUGUGAGUGUGUAGUGCUACUAUAAUUCAGUGAGGUAUCAAACAUCUUUCCAAGAGUGAUCCAUAAAUGACUAAGAAACUUAGCAUCUCAAUUGGAGGAGAUAGAUUAAGGAACCCCAUACAAUCUAACAAUUUUGCAAAAGAACAACUUUGCUAUAUGUGAGACAUCAGAAGUUUUUUAGUAAGGAAUAAAAUGAACCAUUUUUGAAAACUUUUCAACAACCACAAAAACAAAGUCCGCUCCUCUUUGAGUAUAGGAAUUCCUAAGAAAAAAUCCAUUGACAAGUCUUCCCAAAUAGCAUUUGGAACUGGUAAAGGCAUGUAAAGUCCAGUAUUCUAAGCUUGACCCUUUACUACUUGGCAUGUGUAGCAUUUUUUGGACAAAAUUACUAGUAUCUCUCUUUAAUUGUGGCCAAUAAUAACGUCCUUCAAUACUGGUCACAGUUUUAUCCCUUCCCAAAUGUCCACUUAAGCCUCCACCAAGGAAGGCUCGAAUAACCUUUUCUCAUAAAGAUACUCGAGGAAUGCAUAAACAAUUUCCAUAACAUAAACAACUAUCAUGAAUAUGAAACUCGCUAGCAAGCUGCCUUUGAAUGAAUUUGUUCUAGAUUUCUUUGAAAUCAUCAUCUUUUGUGUAUUACUCUUUUAAACAUUCAAAACCAACAACUUCAUUCCUAAUUAUCACAAGUAAUACAGCCCGACAACUAAGAGCAUCAACAACUCGAUUUAGUGCUCCAGAUUUAUGUCGUGUAACAAAAGAAAAAUCUUGCAGAAAAGUUGACCAACCAACAUGAAAUUUAUCUAAAUGCUUUCAACAGUUAAUGAACCUCAAAGCUUGAUAGUGAAAAUAUAAUAUAUAAAUUCUCUCUGUAUCAAAUAAUGUUCCCAAUACUUUAAUGCUUGUACAAUUGCAUAUAGUUCCUGAUUAUAGGUACUCCAUUUUUGCCUUACUUGACUUAAUUUUUACUGAGAAAAGCCACUAAUCGUCCACAUUGAGAUAAAACAACUCCAAUUCCAAUAAUGCUUGCUUCCCACUCUACCUCAAAUAGCUUUUCAAAACUUGGUAAAACCAAUAUUAGUGUGGUGCAAAGCUUUUCUUUAAUCAAAGCAAAGUCUUUGCUUCAUCACUCCAACUAAAUCUCCCUUUCUUCAAAUGCUCUAUUAUUAGUGUCGUUAUGGUACUAAAUUUUUUUUAUAAAUCUUUGAUAAAAGGUCGCCAAACCAUGAAAGUGGUGUCACAGUUUUUGGUGUAGGCUACUCUUGUGUCUUCAAAUUGAUAAAUGGUAGUUUUUUCAUUCAUUCUUUCAUUCGUUCAUGUACAGAGUAUAUAUAUAGAGGGUAAUCACCAUUCUAAGAACGGGAAAGAAUGAUACAAGGAAAGAAUGAUAUAAGGAAAUAACAACUAAUAUCCUAGUAUCUCAACUUUCCUAAUAUCUCAAUAUUCAUAAUAUCUCACCUUUCCUAAUAUCUAAACAUUCCUAAUAUCUCAACACUAAAUAAUAUAAGGAAAGCAUUCCUAAUAUCUCAACACUCCCCCUCAAGUUGGUGCAUGGAUGUCACACAUGUCCAACUUGUCUAAAAAUUUUGAAAACACUUGACUUGAGACAGCUUUGGUGAGGAUAUCAGCCAAUUGAUCUUCUGAUCGAAUCUUAGGCAAUUCCGCAAUCUUAUCAUCCAACUUUUCCUUAAUGAAGAAUCUAUCCACCUCGACAUGCUUUGUACGAUCAUGUUGUACUAGAUUAUGAGCAAUGUCACAUGCGAAUUUAUUGUCACAAAACAAUCGGAUUGGUUGCCUAGAUAGGUAACCUAAAUCCUGUAAGAGGAGUCUUAGCCAUAAUGCCUCACAAAGUCCUAGAGUCAUACCUCUAAAUUCCGCUUCUGCACUUGAACGAGCGAUGACAUUCUGCUUCUUACUUUUCCAUGUCACAAGAUUACCACCUACAAAGGUAAAGUAACCAGAUGUAAAUCGCAUAUCAUCCACUGCACUGGCUCAAUCNNNNNNNNNNNNNNNNNNNNNNNNNNNNNNNNNNNNNNNNNNNNNNNNNNNNNNNNNNNNNNNNNNNNNNNNNNNNNNNNNNNNNNNNNNNNNNNNNNNNAGUAUAUACUUCUAUACUCUGAUGAUCAACAUUUUUAGCGAACAAAAUUCCCUUCCCAAGAGCAUUCUUCAAAUACCUCAAAAUACGCAUGACUGCAUUCAUAUGUUGCUCUCCAGGAUUAUGCAUGUAUUGACUCACUACACUCAAUGCAUAAGCAAGAUCUGGUCUUGUAUAAGCUAAGUACAUUAAUCUCCCCACAAGUCUCUGGUAUCUUCCCUUAUCGGUUGAUACUUGAUUAGGUUCAACACACAAUUUCAGACCUUCUUCUAUUGGUGUAUUAACAGGUUGACAUCCCGACAUUCCAGUCUCCUGUAAAAGAUCUAAGGCAUACUUUCUUUGAGACAGAAAAAAUCCUUCACUUGAUCGAGAAACUUCAAUCCCAAUAAAGUAUUUUAAAGGACCUAGAUCUUUCAUUUCAAAUUCUCUAGAUAGAUAAUUUUGCAGAGCUUUUUUUUCUUCAAGAUCAUUUCCUGUAACUACCAUGUCAUCCACAUAUACGAUGAGUGUCGUAAUCUUACCAUGUUGCUUUUUUAAGAACAAAGUGUGAUAUGAAUUACUUUGACGAUAGCCAAAAGCUCUCAUUGACUUUGUGAACUUUCCAAACCAUGCUCUCAGGGAUUGCUUCAACCCAUACAAUGACUUCUUCAAUUUGGAUGGGCCCUAAACAUCAGAAUGUAUAACCAUAAAAGGAAACAGACUUUUAUUCAAAAUUAACGGAAACAAAGCAUGAUGGCUUUUAGCCAAUUCACAAAUAUCACAACAGAAACUAGAAAUAUCACUCUUUGUAAACAAACUAGGAAACAAUUUUUUAAAAUAAUCAAAGGAAGUGUGUCCCAAACGUCGAUGCCACAACCAAAUUUCAUAUUUUUUUCUUCUCCUCCUCAGAUCCAUCUACCAUCAAGGCUUGUUGCAACUUAUUUGAAUCCUUUGACUACAAGUCCAAGUAAUAGUGUUUUCCCCGCUUAAUACUACAACCAAUCGUCUGUCUUGUUUGGAUGUCCUUAAUCACACAAAAUUCAGGCCAAAAAAUGACAAUACAAGAUAAGGCUACAGUGAUUUGAGAAACUGACAAAAGAUUGUAAUCUAAAGAUGGAACAACUAAAACAUAAUUCAAAUUCAAAGUAUCAGUAAGAGUUAAGGAUCCUUCCCCAAUGACUGGGGUUGUGUUACCAUUGGUUGUGGAAACAAAUUUUUGUGAGGAAGGUCUAAGGGGUGAAACCUAUCUAGAAUCAAAAGUCAUAUGAUUUGUAGCACCAGAAUCAAUUAUCCAUGCACUAUUAAUAACAGGUGUAAAAGUAUUUAGAAACUUACCACCAUGAUCUGUAGCGGCUACCAAUGCAGAGGCUUUCUCAGCAACAUUAGCCUCUGUUUUUAUUUCGGCAAUAGUUGUAGUCGAGGUUUUCUUGGAAUCCUUCUUCCGUUGAUCACGAUUAUUAUCAUUAAUAACAAAGUGUUGAUAGCCUAAACAUGAUCUAAAGGUCCAUGGUUCAAACCCUCCGUUCCUCAUUGUUUUCCUGGUCAUACCAAGAGUUGUUGCUUUGAAAUUAUGGGAUAUCCAGACUGGUGGGAUCAGUCUUAUUGCAGUGAGUGCAUUUGAAGGUUGACUUAUCAAUAUUAGGGCUUGUCUUAGGAUGGUUGAUUGUUGUUGGACUACCAUAGCGACAAAAUAUCUAGGAUUUCAGUUCCAUGGCUCUGAUACCAUCUUUAAAUUGAUAAAUGGUAGUUUUUUCAUUCAUUAUUUCAUUCGUUCAUGUACAGAGUAUAUAUAGAGGGUAAUCAUCAUUCUAUGAAUGGGAAAGAAUGAUAUAAGGAAAUAAAAACUAAUAUCCUAAUAUCUCAACUUUCUUAAUAUCUCAAUAUUCCUAAUAUCUCAAUAUUCAUAAUAUCUCAACAUUGUGGAGCUUGAACUUUAUCAUUGUCAACAUGAACUCCUUCUGAACUAAUCAUAUAUUCGAGAAAUAGCAAAUUAUUGGUCAUAAAACUGCACUUCUUCAAAUUAAUAAAUUAUUUAUUUUUUUGCAGCACUAUUAGAACUUCUCUCAAGGGUUGAAUGUGUUCUUACUCAUUCUGGCUAUAAAUCAGUAUAUUGUCAAAAUAUACAAUAACAAAUUUCCCAACAAAAGGUCUUAACACUUGAUUCAUGAGUUGCAUGAAAGUACUUGGCCUAUUUGAUAAUCCAAAAUGCAUGACCAUCCAUUCACACACAAUCUUCCUUUAAUUUUAAAGGUUGUCUUCCAUUCAUCCCCUAGUCUUAUGCAAUUCUGGUGAAUCUAGUUCCAAAACCAAUUUUGAACAUUCCAAUUGAUCCAAGACGUCAUCUAAGCACAAAAUCGAAAAUCAAUACUUUACAGUGAUCUUAUUUAAUUUAUAGAACAACUAUCUAUGCACAUAUGCCAACUACCAUCUUUGUUUGUAGUAAGCAAGGUUGGGAUUGCACAUGGGUUCAUGCUUUCGAAAAUAAAUCCUUUUCUUGCAAAAUCUCACCUUUUUUCGGGCUCAUUCUGUAAAGUGGUAAGUUAGGCAAGUUUGUUUUUGGGACUAAACCAAUAUCAUGUUGGAUGUCAUGCCUUGGAGGCAAACCAUCAAGUAAAUCACUGGCAUUGAAGUCUUUAAAUUCUUCCAACAUUGGUUGCAACUAAUUAGGCACUUCCACAAAUGCUUUCUCUUCAAAUUUAUUUUAUAACACUUACCUUAUUGGUUCUAGUUCAUUAAUGGAUAAUAUUUGUCUUUUAAUUCCUCAUCCAAAUUUUACCUAGUCUGUGAAUGUGAGUACUAAUAUCUUAACAAUAAUUCUAUAACAUUGUGGCAUAGACAUUUAGGCCACACCUCUAAAGAAAGACUAGAGAGGUUAGUUAUAGAAGAAGCUCUACCACUUUAGACUUUUGAGAUCAUGGUGUUUGCAUUAAUUGUGCUAAAAGGAAGUUAAUAAAAUCUAGAAAUAAAGGUACUACCAGGAGUCAAGAGCUUCUUGAAGUCAUUCAUUAAAAUAUAUGUGACCCAUUUCUCAUUUUACCUUAAGUGGGAAGAGAUAUUUUAUAACCUUUAUUCAUCAUAUUUCUCUUUUUGUUGUCUAUUUUAUUGGUAAAAAGAUAGAGGCGAUAGAUACUAAAAUUUUCCAAAUGAAUUAGCUUGAAAAGACAAUUGAAGUGAUACAAAUUGAUCAUGGUGGUCAAUACUACAAAAGAUACAAUCAAACAAAACAUAAUAUUCUAGAAUCAUUUUCCUUGCAUUUUCAAGAGUAUGGUAUAGUUGCUCGAUAUAACAUGUCGGGUACUCCUCAAGAAAAUGAUGUAGUUGAAAGAAGAAAUCAUACUCUUAUGGAUAUGGUAUGGUCGAUGUUGUGUAAUGCAACCUUAUUAGGAUUAUUAUGGAUUGAAGCAUUAAGAAGUGUUCAUAUAUCCUAAACCAAGUGCCUUGUAAGGCAAUCUCAAAGACUCCUUUUCAGUUAUGAACAAGUAGAAAACCAAGUCUAAAACAUCUACAUGUUUAGGGAUGUGCAACACCAAAUUAUAUAACCCACAUGAAUGAAUAUUAGAUUCUAGAAUAGUGAGUUGUUAAUUUGUAGAAUAUUUAGAAAGGUUACAGAUUUUAUGCCCAUUAUACAAUCCCAAGAUUGUUGAAACUCUAAAUGAUAGGGUCAUUAAAGAUUGUUAUGAGAUCAACACUAAGUAUUAAAGAUAAUAACAAAUUUCAGGGUUUUGGGGCUGCUGUUUAAAAGUAAAUGACGUGUAAUUCAAGAUUUUACUGGUAUUAGGAGACUGACGUGUAGUGCUUAGAGGUUCAUCCUUCACUAAAAAUAUCCACUCCUUGAGCUACUAUAUCUUCAAGGCAUUGAAGCAAUGGAUUGGGUUUGUGUUUAUGGGCUUGCAUAGAUCCAUGUUUCACUUGGGCUUCAUCUCUACGUAGGACCUUGAGUGAUUCCUUUGAGGCAUGAAUCUUGUUGGUGGGAAUUCUUUUCUUUUAAUUUGUUCUACUAAGUCAAUUCGGGAAAAGAAUAAUUUAUCACACUAAAAAACCAUUGCGAAUUUCAUAGAAAAUAAUCCACUAAAACAUUUCCAAAUUGGAAGGUGAAAUAGAUUUCCUCGAAGUCUUUAAUAUUAGCAUAUGGAUUCUCGCUCCCAUGCCUCUCAACACUGACAGCAACUGCAUUAUGUUUGGUCCGAUUAGGACAUGUUGAGUUGGGGUCACAAAUCUUUAAUUUGACCCUGGCUGGGUUUGGAUGGUCCCCCACUAAUCUUUAAUGGUAGCCUUAUGGUGCAUGAGAAAUGGAAAGGUUUGAAAGAUGAAUGAAAAUUUUUUGGGCUAACUCUUUCACUCAAUUAAUAAAUAAAUAAAUAAAAAGGUUUAUGAAUUUUCAGAAAAAAAGGAUGAGUGGUUCCAUGGACUCCCUUAUUUCCAUGAAAAGUCCAAUUAAGUUAGCACAACCGAGACUACCUAUAGGUUCUCUUAGUUGGAGAAGUUUCAAUACAAGUACAAUUUAAUUAAACCCAAUGCAUUACACUUGCAAGUUGAACCUCCAUGUGAAAUCUUUAAAGCCUCCAUUUGCUUGCCAAUUUGUGGUGUUAAGAGUUCAAUAAUGACCAUCUCAAGUGAAAAUGACUCUCACCAUUAAGCACUUGAGAUACUUUCAAUGGAACCCCUAAACUCCAAUUUCCAAGCAUCAAGGUAUGAUAUUCUAACUAAAAAUAGACAAUCUAUGAUAUCCUUGAAGCAUCCACUCCCUAUUUACUUGCCAAAUUAUAGCAUUAAUGGUCGUCUCAAGUUAAAAUGGCUCUUAUCAUUACGUUCUUGGGAUACCCUCAAAGGAACCCCUAAACUCCAAUUUUCCAACUUCAAGUUAUAGUUUUCUAAUUAAAAACGAAGAGGUCAAACUUAAAAGUUGAAUAAAUCAUUAAUUAUUCAUGGGCUAAAGGGAAGUCGUAAUGAGCCCCAUCUCCUAAAGCUUAAUCUAGUACUCGAAUGACAUGAAAAUUGAAUCAAAACAAAGAACAAAAAAAAGCAUUGAAAACAAAGAUUAAGUUUCGAAGUUAUACAACAUUAAAGAGUAAUGUAGUUAAAUGUAAAUACAGUCUAUUCACAUAGGAAAAUAACAUCCAAAUCUUAUGAAAAUUGGUGAGAAUGAACUUCUAGGAGUCUAGACUUUAAUAAAGUAUAUUUGAACUCAUUUGGAUAUCUCUAGCCACUUUAACUUUAUUAAAACUUUUAUUGGUCAAAAUAGGGUAAUACCUUUGAUUUCCCUGCAACUUUGAUCAUUUGGCUCAACUCAUAUCCACUCUUGCAUUCAGAGAGACCUGAGAGGUUCUCAAGAUUAAAAUUAUUCAUGACACUAGCAAUAAAAAACAACUAGAAAAUACGAGAAAACUGAGCAUAGACAAGGUAGUAUACAAUAAACUAGUUGCGAAGCACUUUUAAUGCUAAAAUGAAACUUACUUCUCUUUCACUCAAUAAAUUAUAAUAUAUUCCGGGAUGGAGCAAAACAAGCAAUUAUUAAACUAUUAAUAUGUAUUGUGCCUAUCUCUUAUUGAUUUCAAAUACUUAAAAGUUAUGUUUGGUUCAAAGAAAGUGUGAUGAAAAAAAAUAAAGAGAAAAAGUAAAGGAAACGAAAAGUGAAAGAUAAAUAAAUAAAUAAAUAAAUUUGAAGUCAAUCAAUAAUUUUUAUAGAUUACUUUAAACUUAUUUAACUCUAAAAGAUUAAAUAAAAUUAAAAUAUAUAAGUUUCUUACUAAUCUCAAUUAUAUUUUUCUUUCUUUUAUACUUUCUAUGAUAAAACCAAAUAUAAGAAAAUCAUUUUUACUUAACAUUUUUCUUUCCUGAAUAUAUGCUUUCUAGGAAUAAAACAAAUCCAAAGUAAUUUUUUCAUAAUGACUAAUAUUUCUAUCUUAGAAAUAACAAUAACCUCUAAUAUCUUCCUUUGUAACCAAAAAAAUCAUUAAUUUCAAUCAUAUUUCACUUUUCCAAAUACUACCUAAUUAUUAAGUAGGUAACACUCGUGUAACCCAUUUAACCUAUUUAAUAAUGAAAGUUUCUUAUUUAAUAAUUAAAUUUAGAUCUUAUAUAUAUCUAUAUGAUUAAUGUUUCUACCAAAUAUAUAUAUAAUUCAAUUGAUUUAUUUAUUUUAAAAUAAAUUUAAAAUGAGUUAAAUAGUUUAAAAAUAUAAUUAGGUAUCCCACUUACGCAACAUACAAAUGAAGUUUCCUACUUCCAGGUCUAUGUCUCCAGCAUUAUUCCCAUCUUUAUGACAAAACAAGAAAUUAUUUGCUUGAAAUUUAAAAUAUCACUAAAAAGGAAAGACAAAUAUAUAUACCACUUUGAAGCCCGCUGAUGUGUGACAUGCCAUGCAUGCUACCAUCAGUAAUACUAUUGCUUUUCCAUUGGGGAGAUAUGCAAGAUGAAAAUUUCCAGGCCCUUCAAUCUCUACGUUUGCCAUGUAUAUAUAUAAUAAAUUAAUAUAAAAUAGUGAGAAAAUGUUAUAUCAAUCCUAACAAAAAAAAAAAUUGAGAGAAUUUAUUAAAAUUUUCUCUUUUAAGUUACGUUUCAUUUAAGAAAGUACAAAGAAAAAAAUGCUUAAAAAAUAAUUUUUGAUUUUUCUAUAGAAAAUAAUGAAAGAAAAUCCAAUAUAAUUAAAAUUAGAUAAAAAUUUUAUAUUGUUAAAUUACUUAAUCUUUGCAUGAAAAAAAAAAAUUAGUGAAAUGAGUUUAAAAUAGUAUAAAAAAAUUAUUAGAAAAUAUUAUUAUAUAUGAUAAUAUAUAUUAUAAAAUAUUAAAUUAAGUAACUUGGAUUAUUUGAACUUUGCUUUGAACCUCACCCAAGUUGAGUUCAAAUUAAAAAUACCUAAUUCAAACCUAACCCAAGUAUUAAAAAUCAAGUCCACCUAAAUAUUUGGCCACCUUAAGUUGUACCAGAUUUUAAUUAUAUUUUAUUUUUUUAUGUUUUUUUAUAGUGAAAUCAAAUAUAAGAAAAGUCAUUUUCUAUAUAUUUUUUUUUUUCUUUUCUUAGUACCUUCUGAAAUCAAACAUAAUUUAAAAGAUGAUAAAUUUAAAAUUGGAAUGAAUGCUUAAGGCAUAAAAUACAUUGGACCUCUCAAUUUAUUAUUUUGCUUCAUUCUAUCCCACAUGGAAGGAAUAAUCAAAAAACAAAAUAAAAUUUAUUGAAGGGAUUCAACUUCUUCUUCGUUGGUUACUUCAUGAACUCAUGGAAUGUAAUCGGACCAUUUGAGAUCAACAAACCACAAACCACUCUUAUCAAAUAUUAUACAGCUACAUUCAAAGUACAAUACAAAUAUAUGUAAGAUCUAAAAUUGCAUAUAGUUUUUUUAAAAAAAAAAGAAAUCUUAAACAAAUGAUAGUUAAGAAUCUAUUUUUGAAAAUAUAAUAUUUUAUAUUCAUACUUAUUUAUAUUAAAUAUCUUUAGAGAAAAGUCCAACAAUCGGUUAAGAUCAGUCCAAAAAGUGUUUUUGAAAAUAAAAAUUAAGAGCAUGUUUGAUAACUAUUUUUAAAAAUAAUUUUUGAAAACUGUUUUUUAAUAUUUUUUUUUCGAAUAAAAGUUUGUUUGAAAAUUUAAAAUCUUUUUAACAUUUUAAAUAUGUUUUCAAAUUAUUUUUAUACUUCAUGUUUUAUUUUUAAUCAUUCUAUAUAUUUGUAGGGGCGGAAACAGUAAGGUUGAUUCAACGUUGAUUCAACGAAACCUUCUUGUUCUCUCUUAUUGAUUUCAUAGCCAAGAAGCACUAAAAAAAUGGAGACCCUUCUUGUUUUUAAAGACCAUAUGGAUUUCAUAGCAAUCAGUGAGUAAGCUUCAGACACGAUAGUUUCUUUUGGGGGUUAACAAGCGAAUAAAUUUCAAGAUUGAUUGAAUUCACAAGAUUUAAAACUAGCUAGAUUAACAAAGAUAAACAAAGAAACAAUUCUAUAUUUUGAUCUUCGUCCAAACGACUGGAUCAACAAUUCUAAAACCUAGAUGAGGGCUUCUCAGGUGUGGUAUACGGGAUCGAGAAGACGGUUGUUUGUUGGUAGUUCGUUGAUUUUGUUUUCUACAUGCGGACACGUGUCAUGGAUUUUCAUUCCCGCUAUUUUCCUCAGUAGCGGCACUCCUGAUCUACUGAGAUUUUAUACAAUAUUUCUUUUAAAAAAAAUACAAACUACUUAAAUUCUUUUUUUUGUUUUUUUUAAAAAAAAAAAAAGAUUUUGUACUAAAUACCCAUAUUUUUAUAACUUUUCUUUUUCUUUUAACUUAAAAAUAGUUAUUAAAAAAAUAGAAAACUAUAUAUAGUAUUUAAAUGAAUAUUAUAUUUUAAGAUUUUUUAUAUUGGUCGUAGAUUUAGAGAGAGAAUAAAAUAUUAUAUAUUUUAUUUUUAUUUGUAAAAAUUUGUGAAAAAAUUCUACUUAUUAUUUAAAAAUUAUUUUAUAUUUCACUUUAUUUUUUAAAACCAUUUCUAGAAAACAUUUUAAAAACAUCACUACCAAACCGGCUUUUAUUUUUUAUUUUUAAAAAUCAUUUAAUAUAUAAGUCAAUAAAAAUAUUACUUUCUUUCUUAUAUUUUUUAUUUAUAUAAAACAUGAAAUUUUAUAAUAUCAAAAUUUAAAAAAAAAAAAAAAAAAAAAGACUAGCCGUUGAAUUCCACUUCAACUUCUCUCCCAUUCUUUGUCUUCAAAUUUGAUAGAUUCUAAUUUUAAAAAUCAACUUGUCAUGAUAAGAACAUUUCCAUUUAUAAUGGAUAUUGAAUGUUAAAAUUCACCUAAAUGUCAUGAACCCUGGAUAAUCAUUAAAAAAAAUAUAGACUCGUUUGAUCAUGUUUUCUAAAACUUGUUUUUAAAAAUUGUUUUUUUUUAAUUAAAAAAUAAAAAAUAAUUUUUAAAACCAAAUUUAAGAAUACAUGGCCAAACCACCCUUAUUUUUUCAUGUUUUAUUUCAAACUAUUUAAUGAGAGGAGAAAAGAUAAAUUAAACUCACUUGGAUUAAUGUAUAUAAAUAAUUUAUUAAUUUUAUGCCUAAAUUAAAAAUGAAGAAAAAAAAAUCCAUUGGGAAGAUGCACCUAAAAAUAUAAUAAAGUAAAACAUAAAUGGCAGAAAAAAUAAAUAUCAAGAAAAUGAGAGACUGUAGAGAUAUCACCUGCUCUGGGUUGUACAAUUCCUACUAGGGAUGGCAACGGGGCGGGUUUUUUCGGGUACCCGCCCCGCCCCGCCCCUAAUGGGAUGGGAUAAAAAUGUAUUAAACGGGUUUGGGACGGGUAUGGGAUGUUUUUAAAANNNNNNNNNNNNNNNNNNNNNNNNNNNNNNNNNNNNNNNNNNNNNNNNNNNNNNNNNNNNNNNNNNNNNNNNNNNNNNNNNNNNNNNNNNNNNNNNNNNNGGCUUUCCUCUUGUGUUUGGUAAUGCCCAACUCCGUAUGCUCAGGCACAAAGCUUCCCCAUUUCUUUUGGUGCACAACAAGGACUCUGGAGUUUCUGGCCUUGAUUUUGGGUGUAAACUGCUUGAUGGGAUGAGGGAAAUGUCAGGUUUUGCUCACUUUGUUGUGUAACUGGAAGUUUAUUUGAAUCUUGUGGUGUACUUGAGUGAGUGUUUGUAGAUUGUUAUUUUGGAAAGAUGGUGUCAUCCGGGCCACCCACUCCCAUAGGUGGAGCCCAACCUGUUCCCCCUUCACUUUUGCGUUCGAAUUCUGGUAUGUUAGGAGCUCAGGCGGGUUCUGUGCCACCCCAAACAGGGUUCCCUUCGCUUGUGUCUCCAAGAACUCAGUACAAAUUUUUUUAAAGUAAUUUUUUUUUAAAAAAAAAAAAAAAAAAAAAAAGCUAAACGGGGCGGGGAAUUGUACUGGUUACAUAUCCAUUCAUCUAAAAAAUGGCCAAUGUGUUGGCUCCAUAGGGCAUUCAUUCAUAAUCAAUAGUCACAUGGUUAGAUAUGCAGUAAAUCCUUUGGUUUGUAGACUAGGUUAUGAGAUCUAAUUUAACCUUUAUUGGACAUAAAAUUCUUAGGAAAUGCCUUGCCUAUGAGAGCUUUUAUAGGAUGUACAAGGGAAAGUGGUGGACAUCCUCUAAAAUAAUUAUGGAGACUAUUUCCUAUUUUUAUACUAACCUNNNNNNNNNNNNNNNNNNNNNNNNNNNNNNNNNNNNNNNNNNNNNNNNNNNNNNNNNNNNNNNNNNNNNNNNNNNNNNNNNNNNNNNNNNNNNNNNNNNNAUAUAUUAAAUGAUUUUUAAAAAUAAAAAAAUAAAAGCCGGCUUGGUAGUGAUGUUUUUAAAAUGUUUUCUAGAAAUGGUUUUAAAAAAUAAAGUGAAAUAUAAAAUAAUUUUUAAAUAAUAAGUAGAAUUUUUUCACAAAUUUUUACAAAUAACAAUAAAAUAUAUAAUAUUUUAUUCUCUCUCUAAAUCUACGACCAAUAUAAAAAAUCUUAAACUAUAAUAUUCAUUUAAAUACUAUAUAUAGUUUUCUAUUUUUUUAAUAACUAUUUUUAAGUUAAAAGAAAAAGAAAAGUUAUAAAAAUAUGGGUAUUUAGUACAAAAUCUUUUUUUUUUUUUAAAAAAAACAAAAAAAAGAAUUUAAGUAGUUUGUAUUUUUUUUAAAAGAAAUAUUGUAUAAAAUCUCAGUAGAUCAGGACCCCGCCCCGUUUAAUUUUUUAAACGGGACGGGGAUGGGAAUUGAUUUUGCUAAACGGGACGGGGUUGGGAUGGGGGCGACCCGUCCCGAACCCGCCCCGUUGCCAUUCCUAAUUCCUACACGCCAAAAUUCUGACGCUUCUUCUCCUACCAUCACAUUCAUACCUUCCCUUUCCCUUUUUUCGUUCUAAUUCCGACCGCAUUACACACUCGAUACCAUCGACACAGCGUUCAGGUUUGCUAAGGAAUAAGGUCAUUUCUGAGAUAUAAAAACAAAAGGAAAAGAAUUAAAGAUGAAACUCAUAAGCUUAAACUAAAUAAUGAGGAGAAGAGAAAGAUUGAAUUUUAUAUCUUGGAAUUUCAUUUUGAAAAUAUUUUUAUUUAAAAUGAAGAUAAUUAUGAAACUUUUAAAAAUUUUGAUAUCUUCUUAUCGCAAAUAUUAUUUUCAAUAAAUCUUCAUAAAUAUUAUCCAUUCAAACAGUUGAAUUCACAUAAAUAUGGACAAAAAUUUAAUUUAAAUCCCCUUAUUUUCUCUAUUUUGAACUGUUUCAUAGUUGAAUGAGUUUAUUUAUAACUAAUAAGAGUGCAACUUGAUCGGAUUCAUAUGACAGAUGCUCAAAGGAAUAAAAGAUGAACAGUAAAAAAAUAAAAAUUAUGUUUUCACCCAAAAAAGAUUAUGACCUUUGUAUUGUACAAUAAUAUUUUUUUUUUAACUUUAUAAAAACAAAAAGAAAAAUUAUGACAAAAAAAAUAUUCCACAAAAACAAAAUUUUAAAAUCGUCAAAAAUAAAAUACCAUUGUAGACCCCAUUUGGGGCACGUUCUCAUUUUUUUCUGCAGGUCAUUUUCUUUGCCAGUGGAGGGCUCUUUCAAGAGCCACGGAGAGGCUGCCAUGGAUUCAGCUAGUGCCAUUGAAUGAGCCAAUGAGGAUGAGACGCCUGUAAAGGGGGAAUCUGCAGAAGCCGUUGUAUAGGAGCGUCUUCUGUUACCGGCAGGAGGGGUUUUUGGUAGAGAGAGGAGGUGGUUUUUGAGGUGGGUUGGCAGAGGAGGUUUACAUAGUUUAAAAAUAUAAUUAGGUUUCCUACUUACGCAACAUCCAAAAUGAAGUUUCCUACUUCCAGGUCUAUGUCUCCAACAUUAUUCCCAUCUUUAUGACAAAACAAGAAAUUAUUUGCUUGAAAUUUAAAAUAUCACUAAAAAGGAAAGACAAAUAUAUAUACCACUUUGAAGCCCGCUGAUGUGUGACAUGCCAUGCAUGCUACCAUCAAGUAAUACUAUUGCUUUUCCAUUGGGGAGAUAUGCAAGAUGAAAAUUUCCAGGCCCUUCAAUCUCUACAUUUGGCAUUUAUAUAUAUAAUAAAUUAAUAUAAAAUAGUGAGAAAAUGUUAUAUCAAUCCUAACAAAAAAAAAAUUAAGAGAAUUUAUUAAAAUUUUCUCUUUUAAGUUACGUUUCAUUUAAGAAAGUACAAAGAAAAAAAUGCUUAAAAAAUAAUUUUUGAUUUUUCUAUAGAAAAUAAUGAAAGAAAAUCCAAUAUAAUUAAAAUUAGAUAAAAACUUUAUAUUGUUAAAUUACUUAAUCUUUGCAGGGAAAAAAAAUUAAUGAAAUGAGUUUAAAAUAGUAUAAAAGAAUUAUUAUAAAAUAUUAUUAUAUAUGAUAAUAUAUAUUAUAAAAUAUUAAAUUAAGUAACUUGGAUUAUUUGAACUUUGCUUUGAACCUCACCCAAGUUGAGUUCAAAUUAAAAAUACCUAAUUCAAACUUAACCCAAGUAUUAGAAAUCAAGUCCACCUAAAUAUUUGGCCAACCUUAAGUUGUACCAGAUUUCAAUUAUAUUUUAUUUUUUUUAUGUUUUUUUAUAGUGAAAUCAAAUAUAAGAAAAAUCAUUUUCUAUAAUAUUUUUUUUUUCUUAGUACCUUCUGAAAUCAAACAUAAUCUAAAAGAUGAUAAAUGUAAAAUUGGAAUGAAUGCUUAAGGCAUAAAAUACAUUGGACAUCUCAAUUUAUUAUUUUGCUUCAUUCUAUCCCACAUGGAAGGAAUAAUCAAAAAACAAAAUAAAAUUUAUUGAAGGGAUUCAACUUCUCCUUCGCUGGUUACUUCAUGAACUCAUGAAAUGUAAUCGGAAAAUUUGAGAUCAACAAACCACAAACCACAAACCACAAACCACUCUUAUCAAAUAUAAUACAGAUACAUUCAAAGUACAAUACAAAUAUAUGUAAGAUCUAAAAUUGCAUAUAGUUUUUUUUUUAAAAAAAGAAAUCUUAAACAAAUGAUAGUUAAGAAUCUAUUUUUGAAAAUAUAAUAUUUUAUAUUCAUACUUGUUUAUAUUAAAUAUCUUUAGAGAAAAGUCCAACAAUAGGUUAAGAUCAACCCAAAAAGUGUUUUUGAAAAUAAAAAUUAAGAACAUGUUUGAUAACUAUUUUUAAAAAUAAUUUUUGAAAAUUAUUUUCUAAUAUUUUUUUCGAAUAAAAGUGUUUGAAAAUUUAAAAUAUUUUUAACAUAUUUUUAAUAUUUUCAAAUUAUUUUUAUAUUUCAUAUUUUAUUUUUAAUCAUUCUACGUAUUUGUAUAAUUAUUUUUUAAAACAAUCCAUAGAAAACAAAUGAAAACAAUUUAAAAAUAAUUUUAAAAUGUUAUUUGAAAACACUCUAUUUUUCGUUCUUAGAAUAAAAUAUAAAAAAUAAAAAGCAGUUUUUUUAUCAAACAUAUUUUUCUAAUUUUUUUUGUCCUAGAUAACAUAAAUUAUUGUCGAAAACAAUUGUCAAACAAGUCCUAAGAAUUAAGUAAAUUUUAAGAAAUAUUAAAAAAAAAUCACUCGUAAUAUUGAAAAAAAAUUUAUAGUGUUUUUUAAAUAAAUAUUUGAUAAGUGAUUCUUCUAAAAAUAUAUUUUUAAAAAAUAUUUACAUUAAAAAUAAUUUAAAUAAAAAUACAAUCGGUGAUAAAAUUUAAAAAACAACCUUUAGAAAAAAACAUUAAAAUAUUAUAUUAUAAAUACUAUAUAACUUACCCAACAUCUAAAAUGAAGUGUCCUACUUCCAGGUCCACUCUCCAAAAUCAUUAUCAUCAACACCAAGCUAAAAGGAAUUUAAAACAAAACAAGAAAUUAUUUGCUUUAAAUUUAAAAUAUCACUAAAAAGAAAAAGACAAUAUAUAUAUAUAUGCCAAUUAGAAGCCAGCUGACGCGUGACAUGCCAUGCACGCCACUGUCAAUAACACUAUUGAUUUUCCUUUGGAGAGAUAGGCAAGAUGAAAAUUUCAAGGCCCUUCAACCUCUAAGUUUGCCUUGUAUGUAUAAUAAAUUAAUCUAAAAUAGUGAGAAAAUGUUAUCACAAUUCUAACAAAAGAAAAAGAUUGAGAAAAUUUAUUAAAAUUUUCUAUUUAAAGUUAUGUUUCAUUUCAGAAAGUAAAAAAGAAAAAAAUGCUUAAGAAAAAUAAUCCAAUAUAAUUAAAAUUAGAUAAAAAUUUUAUAUUUAUAAAUUAUUUAUACUUUUUUUUAAAUUUCUAAUACUAUUUGGUUGUUGUUUUCUGAAAAUAAAUUUUAAAAACAAAGUGAAAUAAAGAGCAAUUUUUAGAUAAUAUGUAAAAGCUAUUUUUUCUAGUUUUUAAAAACAAAAGGAAAACAUAGACCCAUUUAAAUAUGUUUUUUAAAACUUGUUUUUAAAAAAUUGUUUUUAAGUUGAAGAAUAAAAAUCAAUUUUAAAAACAAAUUUUAAAAUAUAUGACUAAAUAAGCCCUUAGUUUUUUAAUUUUAUCGCUCCAAUGGAAGCUCACAAUGAAGAUAAAUUUAUCAAAUGUUAUUAAUAAUUAAUAAUCUUUUUAUAUUUUAUUUUAUAGUAAUUUAAUAACUGAAAAAACUUCGCUCCCUAUUUACUAUAAUCUUUUUUAUAUUAUAUUUUAUAUUAAAAUUGAUAAUUUUAUAUUUAAUUAAUAAUGAUAUCAAAUAAGUGAUGAGAUCAUCUAUUUGAAUUUAUUUUCACAUAUUGUGGAUUGAGAUUUUUUUAUUUUUUUAUUUUUCACUCUGUGUUUUGUCUUAAUAAUAUUUUGAUUAUCACAAAAUAAGAUUAUAUGACUAAUAAAAUUUUUAAACUUUGAUGUUGAAUUUUGAAGGAAAUUAAGUCAAUCAAGAAAUGUCAUAAUGACUCAUUUAUGUAAAAUUGGUGCACUAAAACUUUUUUUUAUUAAAGGCACCUUUCAUUUAUUAAAAAUGUUCUUAAAAUCGAUUUUAUUCAUUUGUAAUUUGGUCAAAAAUUUAUUUGAAGAAAAAACAUGAGCUUAAAGUGGCCUAAAAUAUUUUCAAAAUUAAUAGGAGUUAAUAGUGGUUUGUGCCCUUGCUUUUGAGUCAAAUAAAGAAAAAUUACAUAAAUGGUAAGAGAUAUUUUUGGCAAUAACUUUGCAUUGCUCAAACAAGUUUUUUUUUUUUUUUUUGCAAUAACCACCAGUCACCACCUAGAUCAAUUGGUUUGAGGUGCUUGGCCUCCAAUGAGUAGUUGUACUUCUUGCUACUAAUGGUUGAUAUACCAAUUGAUUAUCAAGGAACCUGUAUCUAAACGAGUAGUUUUCCAAUGCAUCUUAUAAACAAAUGCUUCAAAUUUCAUUUAAUGCUAAAAAGGCACCUUGAAUCUAUGGCUUAUCAAUCUUAAGUGUUGUACAUUAAAUCAAAUAUCAAUCUACACUCGCACACUUAUUAAUAUUAGAUAAUUGUGCUUUCAAGCCAAUUGGGUUUGAUGAUUGGCCCAAGUCCUAUCACUCGUUGUUGGAAACUUGAAUUUCUCCAUUCUUUUAUCCUAGAUCAUAUAAGUGCAAGCAAAACUUAUUUUUACAUGUGAUAACAAUGAAAAAAUUAUUACUUGAGUUUUAUCUAUCAUUCCAGUUACAAGGGAUAUUUCUUAAUAGAACAAAAAUUGUUCAAAAAAGUAUUCAACUAAGGGAUUUUUUCAGAACAUGAAUAAAACCUAAUUAAACUCAAGAACGUCAAUAUACUAAAAAUUAUUAUUUGAGUUUUAUCUAUCAUUCCUGUUACAAGGGAUAUUUCUUAAUAGAACAAAAAUUGUUCAAAAAGGUAUUCAACUAAGGGAUUUGUUCAAAACAUAAAUAAAACCUAAUUAAACUCAAGAACGUCAAUAUACUAAAAAUACCUAUGAUCUUAAAAUUUUACCUUCCAACGAGAAUAAGUUGUCUACAUCCUCUGAAGUUUGUUCUAGUGUUCCUACUACAAUCUAUAAAAAAAAAAAAAUUAAAAAAAAUAAUCAUAUUUUUAGAAAAGAUAGGUAUAAAAAAAAAAUCUCAAAUAUGAAAAGCACCAAAGUUGCUUACUACUUUGUUACCAACCCUGCUGUCACAGCGUAUUGCAUUCAAAACAAUGCAUAUGCCGCUAGACAGAUACGCUGUGGAAACGGCUCUUUCAUCCAUCCUCACGUUGGCACUGUUUUAUAAAAAAUGAUUGACAAAAUGCACAAUGAAAAAAUACAUUUAAAAAGAAAAAAAAAAACUUACGCCUCCCUAACCAGAAACGUAUUCGGGAAAGGUUCACCGUUCAUGGUACACACUGGUCCGAGACUCUGAUUGUGGGUACAGAAGGGCAUAAAUGAUAAAACAGUGUAGACACCCAAGUAUUCUCACGGGAACAGCGAUGGUUGUUUGAGUGGCAUAUAUCGGUUGAAGGUGUUCAUCCAUAAUCUGCACUACCGCAUCUGCAAUAAUUUCCGGUCUCGUAAUACGUAAUGCCAUGUUUUGAGCUGCAAAACCGAGAGUGCAAAAUUUUCUUUCCUCGUGUCACUGCACAGGAGGAAAACAAAAAGGAAUUUUUUUAUUUCUCCGUAUAUAUUCCAGAAAAUUGUAAGGAAAACUUUACUUUUUUUUUUUUUUUUUUUUGUGCUUUUUCCCUUGUUUGGUAACUCGGCAUCAUCUGUCUCAAUGGAUGAUGCCUCAGUACCCUAGAGGCGGAAACAGUAAGGUUGAUUCAACGAAACCUUCUUGUUCUCUCUUAUUGAUUUCAUAGCCAAGAAGCAGUAAAAAAAAUGGAGACCCUUCUUGUUUUUUAAGACCAUAUGGAUUUCAUAGCAAUCAGUGAGUAAGCUUCACGAUAGUUUCUUUCGGGGGUUAACAAACACCAUAUGGAUUUCAUUUCAAGAUUGAUUGAAUUCACAAGAUUUAAAACUAGCUAGAUUAACAAAGAUAAACAAAGAAACAAAGAAACAAUUCUAUAUUUUGAUCUUCUUGGUCCAAACGACUGGAUCAACAAUUCUAAAAGCUUCUCAGGUGUGGUAUACGGGAUCGAGAAGAGAUUUUGGAGGAUAAGAGAGCCUUUUAUAACCAUGACGGUUGUUUGUUGGUAGUUCGUUGAGUUUGUUUUCUACAGGCGGACACGUGUCAUAGAUUUUCAUUCCCGCUAUUUCCCUCACUCUUGAAUUCAUUUCAUGUACACAUGCCAAUUUUUUUGUUUUUUUUUUUAUUUUUAAAAAUAUUUUUCUCUAAAUACCCAUAUUUUUAUAAAAAUACCAAUAUUUUUAUAAAAAUACCAAUACUUUUCUUUUUCUUUUAACUUAAAAAUAGUUAUUAAAAAAAAAUUAGAAAACUAUAUAUAGUAUUUAAAUGAAUAUUAUAUUUUAAGAUUUUUAAUAUUGGUAGUAGAUCUUAGAGGGAAGAGAAUAAUUCAAAUUUAUCUUUUUGUUAAUAUUAUUUAUUUUAUUUUUAUUUUUAAAAAUUUGUGAAAAAAAUUCUACUUAUUAUUUAAAAAUUAUUUUCCAUUUCACUUUAUUUUUAAAAACCAUUUCUAGAAAACAUUUUAAAAACAUCACUACCAAACUAGCUUUUUAUUUUUUUUUAAAAAAAUCAUUUAAUAUAUAAGUCAAUAAAAAUAUUACUUUCUUUCUUAUAUUUUUUAUUUAUACAAAACAUGAAAUUUUAUAAUAUCAAAAUUUAUAAAUAAAUAAAUAAAUAAAUAAAUAAAUAAAACUAAACUAUUGAAUUUCACUUCAACUUCUCUCCCUUUCUUUGUCUUCAAAUUUUAUAGAUUCUAAUUUUAAAAAUCAACUUGUCAUGAUAAGAACAUUUCCAUUUAUCAUGGAUAUUGAAUGUUGAAAUUCACCUAGAUGUCAUGAACCCUGGAUAAGGUUCAUUUGAUCAUGUUUUUUUAAACUUAUUUUUAAAAUCUGUUUUUUUUUCUUUAAUUAAAAAAUAAAAAAUAAUUUUUAAAAACAAAUUUAAGAAUACACGGCCAAACCACCUUAUUUCUUAUGUUUUAUUUCAAACUAUUUAAUGAGAGGAGAAAAGAUAAAUUAAACUCACUUGGAUUAAUAUAUAUAUAAAUAAUUUAUUAAUUUUAAGCCUAAAUUAAAAAUGAAGAAAAAAAAAAAACUUACCCUUCUUUGACAUGAUGCAAGUUAGGAUAGGGUUUUCCAUUGGGAAGAUGCACCUAAAAAUAUGAUAAAGUAAAACAUAAAUGUCAGAAAAAAUAAAUAUCAAGAAAAUGAGAGACUGUAGAGAUAUCACCUGCUCUGGGGUUCUACAAUUCCUACAUGCCACAUUCAUACCUUUUUUCGUUCUAAUUCCGACCGCAUUACACACUCGAUACCAUCGAUACAGCGUUCAGGAUAUAAAAACAAAAGGAAAAGAAUUAAAGAUGAAACUCAGAAGCUUAAACUAAAUAAUGGGGAGAAGAGAAAGAUUGAAUUUUAUAUCUUGGAAUUUCAUUUUGAAAAUAUUUUUAUUUAAAAUGAGGAUAAUUAUGAAACUUUUAAAAAUUUUGAUAUCUUCUUAUCCCAAAUAUUAUUUUCAAUAAAUCUUCAUAAAUAUUAUCCAUUCAAACAGUUGAAUUCACAUAAAUAUCGGUAAAAAUUUGAAUCCCCUUAUUUUCUCUAUUUUGAACUGAGUUUAUUUAUAACUAAUAAGAGUGCAACUUGAUCGGAUUCACAUGACAGAUGGUCAAAGGAAUAAAAGAAGAACAAUAAAUAAAUAAAAAUUAUGUUUUCACCCAAAAAAGGAAAAUUUAAUAUAAUAUAUAACAUAAUAAUAAAAAUAUACUGAAAAAAUAUUAAUAAUUUUUUAUUUUUUUAUAGAUAAAAGAUUAAAAUAUAUUUUAUUUAAUAUAAGGAGAUUGAUGAUUAAAAAUACGAUUAUGACUUUGUAUUGUACAAUAAUUUUUUUUUAAAUUUUAUAAAAACAAAAAGAAAAAUUAUGACAAAAAAUAUUCCACAAAAACAAAAUUUUAAAAUUGUCAAAUACGAUUAUGACCUUUGUAUUGUACAAUAAUUUUUUUAUUUUUUUUAUUUUAUAAAAACAAAAAGAAAAAUUAUGACAAAAAAAUAUUCCACAAACAAAAUUUUAAAAUCGUCAAAAAUAAAAUACCAUUGUAGACCCCAUUUGGGGCUCGUUCUCAUUUUUUCUGCGGGUCAUUUUCUUUGCCAAGUGGAGGGCUCUUUCAAGAGCCACGUGCUGCCUCAAGAGAGGCUGCUAUGGAUUCAACUAGUGCUAUUGAAUGAGCCAAUGAGGAUGAGACGCCUGUGAAGGAGGGAAUCUGCAGAAGCCGUUGUGUAGGAGCGUAUUCUGUUAGGAGGGGUUUUUGGUAGAGAGAGGAGGUGCUUUUUGAGGUGGGUUGGCAGAGGAGGGAGGUGCGUUUUGAGACGUUUUGGGAGGAGAAAAGGUUAGCUUGAGAGGAGAGUUUUGCUGGAGGAGAGGAGUUGCAGGGAUAUUUUCGGAGAGGGAUUCUUUCUUGGAGGGCACGAGAGGGGGGAUGCAUUUUUGAAGAUCUACAGAGGAGGCUUCCUGGAGCAGAGAGAGGAAAGAGCCUGAGAUAUUUUGAGGUUACUAGGAAGAGAGAGAGUUGCAGGCAGCUUAAAGGAGAAGAAGGUAAAGGUAUGACUGCCACUAAUCCUUUGUUUUGCUUCGUUGGUAAAUAGUCUCUUUCUCUUUUCUCAAUAUUUUCUGUGGAUUGCUUGACUUGUGUUUAGCUUUUAUGGUUCAUGUUUGGUUGCUAUCUCCUUCAUUUUCUUUGGGAUGAUUCGAGAGUAGCACAGCUCUGGUUUAGUUUCACUAUGCAUCAUGUGGAAGUCUUGUUAUUUUUAUUUCAAUUCCAUGGGAUACUUGUUUGAUUUCACUCACCCUCAUCUAAGCCCAUUGAUUCAAACAUGAAAUGUGGCUUUGUAUGGGUUCGUUUUAUCCCCUCCCCUUGUGCUCUGUUUUCUCUGUUUUUCCCUGUUCCUGGUACCCAUCCAUGGUGUGCAUCAGUUUUCUCAUCGGUGUCUAAGGAAGGAGGAAGCAGUAGCAUCAUAAGUCGCCAUGGUGAAGUACUCUAGAGAGUCAGACAAUCCCACCAAGUUUUGCAAGACCAGGGACUCAGAUUUCAGAGUUCAUUUCAAGAAUACCAGGGAGACUACUGAUGCAACCAGUAGGUUGCUUUUGACCAUGGCCAGAGAGUAUUUAGAGGACGCCCCAGUCCACGAGCAAGCCAUGCCUUUCACCCGGUUUUGUAGAGGUGUUGGACGAACUGCUCAGGCAAAGAAUAGACAUUCAAAUGGGCAAGGAUGUUCGUCUGUCAAAUCUGUUAAAUACAUCCUAGUUUUGCUUAAACACGCUGAGAGUAACGCAGAUUUGAAAGGUUUGGAUGUUAAUUCACCCUACAUAUCUCACAUCCAAGUGACUCAGGCAUAGAAACAAAGGACACCAGAUAAAAUCGCAAGUGUAUGGCCCUACAGAACCAAAACGAGCAUGAGCUCUUUAGCUCUCAUCGUUUUGCACAUAAGCAGCUCACUUUGUAGAGCGCAUGAAGAAAAAGGACUGACAUAGAGCCAUGCACUGGAGGUUUUCAUUUCCGUUCUCUAUACCUAUCCCACAGUUCCUCCUCCCUCUUUCCAACCCCUGAUCAAAACCAUCGGCACUACGCUCCAUUUCCGCAGCCGGCAAUGUCGGCUACCGCAUUAUUGCAGAAGGCAGCACAAAUGGGGGCAGCCGCAUCAAACGCGUCCUUGCUUCGGGGCUUAGGAUCGGCAAUGUCACCGUCUUCGUCUGCACAGCAAGAUAGCAGCACCACCCAGUGGAGCGGGCAUGUAAAGGCAGAUAACAAUCCGGUAGGAGCUGGGCUGGGAUUGGGACUUCCCUCGGAGGGAGGCCCUGCUUUAGUCGGGCUAAUGAUGGGUCCAUCAUCGCUAUUUGUGAACAAGCCAACCACUCUUGUUCUCCUCGGGCUGGGUAUGGUUCCUGGUGGCGCUUCCACGGCUGGACUCUCUGCACUGCUUGCUUCUAUCAGCGGUGGCGGCCUUGAUAUUGCAGCUGCCGGAUCCCCUUUUGGAGGAGCAGCAACUGCUACUGCCGAGGCUGCACCUGAUAAAAAGCAUAAUGGGCCUGCUCUCCUAUAGAAGAUAAUUUCCUGUAUUUUUAUUAUGGUGGGGUUAACGCCUGUCAUGAUCCUUCCUCCAAUAGACGUAAUAGCGGGUCAAAAACGACACUACAAUAGGAAGACCCAUGCAUCACAAAGGAGAGUCCUCUAAUACAGUGCAGCCAGUCCCUAAUACUAUGAGCAAGCAUCCAUUUUCUAUGUCCAGAUGCCAACCCAAUGGCACUGAACCCGAAGCUUUCUGCCAGUCCACUCAUCGAUUGAGGAGACCAUACCCAUAUGCAUGACCGUUUUUUGACGCAUGCAUGACCUUCUUGAAAGAUAUGGAGAUGUUUGGUGCGCCUAGAGCUUGACUGGCCACAUGUGAUGGGAUUUAGAGAGGGUAUUUAGUGCCGACAUACUGAACCUUUUGACAAAGCUGUACGUGAAGGAGUAGCAUUAUCAAUCCCAUUCAGUUUCAAAGACGUCCACUUCCCUGAAACCAUCAAGUCUGGUGGCAUCCUUGUGGGUUCAUUUCAUGUUGUGGGUGUUUCGGUUGUUUGUGUGGCAGGAAACAAAGCCACAGAGCUUGCUUUUAUAUCGAUGUACCAAUGUAUUAAAGCUGGCAGAUUCGGGAUUGGCAAGUGCACUUAGUUUCUGUUAAGACAUUCAUACAUAAGGUGAUGGUUUUUGUGGUGUAGAGCACCUAAAAUACUGCUUGGACUACGUCACUAUUCCUCUCCUGCUGGUGUGUAGUCUGUGGGUUGCAUAUUUGCUGAGAUGGAGAACCAGCUAUCAUUGUUUCCCGGGUCUUCAAAGCGGGAUUCAUUUAGGCAACCCCAUGGUAUCCAAUCACAUAUGAUGCCGGAAGAGGUGGGACUGGUUCAGCCUAUUCAGGUCAGUUUUCCAGAGGAGCGGCUGGGUAAGGAAAUUCAAGUUGUAGAUGCAGAGAGCAUGGUGGAAGUGAAGGAUCUUUCGCAAAUCUGACUGGUAAUGGUACUGUUGAAGGAUGUGUUGAUAGUGUUCCAAAUGGUGAUGCUGGUGUGGAAGAGCUACAGGAGAGUGGCAAUGGCUACAUGGCAGACGCACCUCCCAAGUUCCUAAUCAUUGAUGAUGAUUAAAGGAGCCGAUCGGUAAAGAGAACAAGGAUCCCAUAUGCGAUUUCAUGAGACUGCAUGCAACUCUGAACCAGUUGGAAGCACUCCUCUCAGUUUCGCUGCCAAGUCUGCAGCACUAGAAGAAGUCAUUGAUGACCUUGCAUGGCCACUAUCCCUCCAUUCGGGACCAUUACAUGUUUGCUGAUUUGGAUUUGAGUAGAAAGAAAGGUGGGAAAGGUGAUCCUGAGUGCUCGGGUAAUCAUGAAACGACUCGUGAUUAUGGCAAGCUAAUUGAGGUCUUCAUAGUAGACAAGCCAGCCACUCUAACUGAUUGGGAAAGGUCGUUAGCUUUCAGCAAGGAAUGGAGUAAUAUCCACCCUCAUUUCUACAAGCGCUGUCAGUACCUAGCAGAUAGUGAAGGGGAUACUGGGAAUAGACACAGCCUGCUCCGUCUUGGUAGGAAGCUAAAGGAGAUUGAUGAAGAUGUAAAAAGACAUAGUGAGCUUCUGGAAGUGAUAAAGGGGAACGACACCAGUUGACAUCAGUACAGUUGUUGCCAGGCAUUGGAAGGAAUUCUACUUCUUGGGCUUUUGGUUAAAAGCAAGGCAGUACAUAAUCAAUCAAUGAAUCUGUCAGCCCUGAUUGGAAACAUUGAGAAUCAGAUCAUCACAAUGCUCGAAACACUGCCAGGUAUUUCAUGGAUCAGUUGGGCCAUAAAAUUGAAACUAGAAGGAAUAUGUUGUCCCAGAAAGAAAUGAAACACCUUGAAGUGGCCCAAAACCCAAUGCUCUGCAAGUAAAGAUCCAGUGACAGCACCCACACACCAGUAAUGCAGUCUCAAUCAUACCUAUAGGCCCCACUCCUACAUGGCCACUUCCUCUCCGCAUUUCACAUUUCCUUGUGAUUUUUCAUUCUAAAUUGGUUUUCUAAAAUCUGCUUUCCAUCAAAGCAAUCAGAAUUUUUUUUAACUUCAUCCUUAAGAGUUUUUAGAUACUUUUUGCAAGCCACUUUCGAAUUUUCUUUGAUUUUCAAAAUAUUUUAGAAUAAGGGUGAAUUUAUUUUUCAUAAUUCUUGGUGAUGAAAUUUACAAAAUCGAUUCAUUCAAAAAUAAAUUGGGUUAUGGUGGGGGCUCGACAUCAAAUAAAUUUCCUUUAAAAUAAAAAUGGAUUUGAAUGAAAUAUCAUGCAUGCUAUUGGUGGUUCUUCAUCUUGUUUGGUGAUAUGAGUGAUAUAUUUUGUAUUCAUUACUGUGCACUAACCCUCUCUCUUGAUAGCGCAUGGUGGCUCAUUACCCAAGUAUGCACCCACUUUCACUCUGGUCAUUGUCUAUACAUGUUUUGAUUCCUACAUGUGCAUGAUUGAUUUGGGUAUCCAUUGAUUUUUUUAUUGAUUGUCACAUUAACUUUAUUUUAUUAGUAGAGACUCGUCUAUAGGGACUUAGAGGGGUGCUACAAUCUUGUUCAAAUUGAUGAAUGGUAGUUUUUCAUUCAUACUUUCUUUCGUUCAUGUACAAAGUAUAUAUAGAGGGUAAUCAUCAUUCUAAGAAUGGGAAAUGAUUAUACAAGGAAAGAAUAAUAUAAGGAAAUAACAACUAAUAUACUAAUAUCUCAACUUUCCUAAUAUCUCAAUAUUCAUAAUAUCUUAACUUUCCUAAUAUCUAAACAUUCCUAAUAUCUCAACACUCUCCCUCAAGUUGGUGCAUAGAUGUCACACAUGCCCAACUUGUCUAAAAAAUUUUGAGAAUACUUGACUUGAGACAGCUUUGGUGAGGAUAUCGGCUAACCAAUCUUGCUUUCCACCUUGGAUCAACUAAGGCUUCCUACACACCGUUAGGAAUAACUACAGUAGAUAAUUGAUUUACAAAUGACUUAUUUGAUUCAGACAAAUGAUGGUUAGACACAUAGUUGCUCAUGGGAUAUUUGACUUUGGUAGACAAAUCAGGUUCAUAUGUGGGUUUAGGAAUACCUCUAUUAUGACGAUGUGGUAACGGUUUCAUGAAUGGAUCGGGUUCCAAAUUAAGAACUCCCUCAACAGACGACGAUUGGUUUGGUAUUUCAGUGAAGACAUCUUCGGACCCAAAUUGUUGACCACUCAAAUCCAACUCACCCACUUCCUGGUUCACUAGUUCAGAUUGUCCAGAUUCAUCUUCCUUAGAGAUAUGAUAAUCAUAAUCAAGAGUCUGAAUUUCCUUAUGGUAGUCCCCCUGAAGUUCAUACUCAGAUGAAAAAUAUAUCGAAUCUUCAUGAAACACCACAUCCAUUGUAAUAUACAUUUGUCGAGUUGGAGGAUGGUAACAUCGAUAUCCCUUUUUGUGCAAUGCAUAUCCAACAAACACACAUUGCAAUGCAUGGGAAGUUAACUUAGUGCAUUGGUGCUUGUGUAGAUGCACAAAUGCCACGCAACCAAAAACACGAGGAGGUAGAUUUGGGACGGUUAGGGCAACUACGACAUUAGUAAGAGCUUGGAGAGGUGUUUGAAAGUUAAUUGAGUUAGAAGGUACCCGAUUGAUCAAGUAUACGGCAGAUGUGAUUGCUUCUCCCUAAUAAGAUAUCGGUGUUUUUGCUGCUAUCAAGGAAGCACGAACAACCUCUAACAAGUGCCGAUUUUUUCGUUCAACGAUUCCAUUUUGCUGGGGUGUAUUGGAACAAGUAGUUUGAUGAAUGAUGUCAUGUCCUUCCAAAUACUUUUGAAGAUCAGAACUUUGAUAUUCUCCACCAUUAUCACUACGCAGAACCCAAACCUUUGCAUUGUACUGAGUUUCAAUCAUUUUAUGAAAUUUUUGAAAUAACAAGUUCACUUCAUCUUUGGUCUUCAUCAAGCAUAACCAUGUCAUUAUGGUACAAUCAUCAAUAAAAGUAACAAACCAACGCGAACCACUCAAAGUUGGGACUUUGGAUGGGCCCCAAACAUCAGAAUGUAUAACCAUAAAAGGAGACGGACUUUUAUUCAAAAUUAAUGGAAAGGAAGCACGAUGGCUUUUAGCCAAUUCACAUAUAUCACAACGGAAACCAGAAAUAUCACUCUUUGCAAACAAACUAGGAAAUAAUUUUUUUAAAUAACCAAAGGAAGCAUGUCUCAGACGUCGAUGCUAUAACCAAAUUUCAGACUUUUUCUUCUCCCCCUCAGAUCCAUCUGCCAUCAAGGCUUGUCGUAACUUAUUUGAAUCCUUUGACUGCAAGUCCAAAUAAUAGAGUUUUCCCCGCUUAAUACCAAAACCAAUCAUCUGUCUUGUUUGGAUGUCCUUAAAAACACAAAAUUUAGGCCAAAAAAUGACAAUACAAGAUAAGGCUGCAGUGAUUUGAGAAACUGAUAAAAGAUUGUAAUUUAAGGAUGGAGCAACUAAAAUAGAAUUCAAAUUCAAAGUAUCAGUAAGAGUUAAGGAUCCUUCCCCAAUGACUGGGGUUGUGUUACCAUUGGCUGUGGAAACAAAUUUUUGUGAGGAAUGUCUAACGGGUGAGACCUAUCUAGAAUCAAAAGUCAUAUGAUCUGUAGCACCAGAAUCAAUUAUCCAUGCAUUAUUAAUAACAGGUGUAGAAGUAUUUAAAAACUUACCACCAUAAUCUGUAGCGGCUAUCAAUGCAGAGGCUUUCUCAUCAACAUUAGCCUCUGUUUUUAUUUCGGCAAUAGCUGCAGUCGAGGUUUUCUUGGAAUCCUUCUUCCGUUGAUCACGAUUGUGAUCCCACCAGUCUGGAUAUCCCACAAUUUCAAAGCAACGACUCUUGGUAUGACCAAUCUUAUUGCAGUGAGUGCAUUUGAAGGUUAACUUAUCAAUAUUAGGGUCUGUCUUAGGAUGGUUGGUCUUGGAUUGAUCCUGCCAAUUUCGGGUUGAUUGUUGUCGAACUACCAUAGCUAAGGUGUCAGGGUUGUCAGAUUCUGCUUUCAUACUAGCAUGACGUACUGUCUCUCGUCGAAUCAGUGCAUAGCAUUCUUCCAAAUCGGGAAGAUGAUCUUUGCGUAGAAUCUCUCCUCGAACUUGCUCAAAGUCACCACCCAAUCCAGCAAGAAAGAUGUGCACCCGUUGUCGUUCAAUGGAUUUCUGGUAUGCUGCAAUGUCUUCAGGGUCUUUCAUGACUACCUUAUCCCGAUGAUCCAAUUCGCAAAAGAUUCAGUUAACUCUUCAUAAUAUUCAGAAAGAGAUCUGUCGUUUUGUUUGGCAGUGAAGGCUUUUUGAUUCAAAGUGAAAACUUGUAAUUCAUCACUUCCAUCAUAGAAGGCCUUUGAUAAUGCACUCCAAAUUUCUUGAGCGGUGGGUAAGCGUAAGUAACGCUUCAUAAUUUCUGGACUCAUGGACAUUAACAACCAUCUCUUCACCUUUUGAUUCUCAGCAUACCAUUUUUCAUAUCCAUCUUCUGACUCUUUUGGUAGAUUUGUCUUACCACGGAUGUAGAAAAGUUUUUCCCGUUCGGCAAUAUGCAUCUCUACGAGUUGUGACCAAACGUCAUAGUUUGAUUCAGUCAAAAUAAUUCAUGGAUUGAAAGUACCUUCAGAUUGAAAAACAAUAGUACUUUUUUCACUCAUUUUUUUUUAUCUCUCAAAGGAGGGGCAAUUGUUGGCCUUACGACAAAAUAUCCAGGAUUUCAGUUCCCUGGCUCUGAUACCAUGUUCAAAUUGAUGAAUGGUAGUUUUUCAUUCAUACUUUCUUUCAUUCAUGUACAGAGUAUAUAUAGAGGGUAAUCACCAUUCUAAGAAUGGGAAAUGAUGAUACAAGGAAAGAAUAAUAUAAGGAAAUAACAACUAAUAUCCUAAUAUCUCAACUUUCCUAAUAUCUCAAUAUUCAUAAUAUCUUAACUUUCCUAAUAUCUAAACAUUCCUAAUAUCUCAACAAAUCUUUGUCAUACUUUCCCGAUAAGUAACCUGACCCCCGAACCCGAUCCAGUUUUUCACAGACCACCUUUUUCAAAUAAUGAGUCACACUUAGGGUUUUCUAUCUUAUUUUGUUUACCCUUUUAAAAAUAAAACAAAAAUAAGUGACGACUCAAAGUUAUUUUCUAAUAAAUAAAAUCAAUUUUUUAAAUAAAAAUCGAGCUCGCCAUCGAGUGGAAGCGCAUGAGACGAAAUGCGAAGUCCACAACCAUAUAAGCAUAUAAAUCAUUAAUUAAUUAAACUAAAAGAUCUUACAAAAAUAAAAAAUCACAUAAUUUCAUAAAUCAAUAAAUAAUUAAACUAUAGAUAUUAUCUACACACUUUACUUUUUGCCUAGCAUGUCAAGCUUCCACAAUUUUAGAUUCAAAAAUAAAAGAACUGCUCCAAUGGAAGUUGACAAUCAAGACAAAUGUAUCAAAUGCUACUGAGAAAUUCACUACAUAUAUUGAAAAACUUCAAUCCCUAAUUAAUACUUUUUUUUAUAUUCUAGUUUAUAUUAAAUUUAAUAAUUUUAUAUUUAGUUAAUAACGAGAUCAAAUAAGUGAUGAGAUAAUUUGUCUGAGUUAUCAAUGUUUAAUAAUAACCUAGUUCUAUUGUCUACUUGAGAAUCAUUAUUAGUGCUAUAGUGUUCGGAUAUAUAGUUAAAUUCUUUCUUUAAACAAUCACUAAUAAGACUACAAAUUAAAAAAAAAAAAAACCAAUUCACUCCAAAUUCUUCUUUCCUUUUUUUGGAUCAUUGCGACCUCAACUUUAUCUCCAUAUAUGAUUGAAUUAUAAAAGAUGCCUUAUUAGCUCUAUUCUUUAUGGAAUCAUAAAAAUUCUUAAUAUUAUAUAUGUAUGAGUUCUUCUUCAUGUUUGCACUGUUUAAUAAAAAAUGAUUGACAACAUUCAUAAUGAAAAAAAAAAAAAAAAACAAGCUACGAAAGAAAAAAAAAAUUUACAUGUGGUAACAAUAAAAAAAUUAUUAUUUCCUUAUAUUUUUAGUCAUCAUUCCUGUUAUAAGGGAUAUUUCUUAACAUAACAAAAGUUGUUCAAAAAAUUUAUACUACAAAGAUUUGGUGUGAAGAUAUGACACGUGCAAAAAAAAUCAAGUCGGUUAAGGGAUUUCCUCAGACAUCCUGAAAAGCAUAAAUAAAACCCAAUCAAACUCAACAACGUCGGUAUACUAGAGAGACCUAUGAUGUUAAAUUUUACCUUCCAAUGAGAAUAAAUUGUCCCUUGCUUACAUCCAAUGAAGUUUGUUCCCAUGUUCCUACUGCAAUCUAUAAAAAAUAAAGUAAAAAAAAAAUAUUUGUAGAAAAUAUAGGUAUUAUAAAAAAAAUCUCAAAUAUUAAAAGCACAAAGUUACUUACAACUUUGUUACCAACCUUGUUGUCACAGCCUUUGGAGCGUAUUGCAUUCAGAAUAAUGCAUAUGUCGCUAGGUAGAUACGUCGUGGAAACGGCUACAUAACUUUCAUCCAUCUUCAUGUUUGCACUAUUUUAUAAAAAAUUAUUGACAACAUACAUAAUGAAAAAGUAAAAUUAAAAAAUAAAAAAUAAAUGUGGUAACAAUGAAAAAAAAUUAUUAUUUCCUUAUAUUUUUAUUCAUCAUUCCUCAUGGGAUAUUUCUUAACAAAACAAAAACUGUUCAAAAAAUUAAUACUACUUAGAUUUGGUGUGAAGAUAUUGCGCGUGCAAAAAAAAAAUCAAGUCGUUAAGGGAUUUCCUCGGACAUCCUAAAAAGCAUAAAUAAAACCUAAUCAAACUCAACAACGUUAGUAUAGUAAAGAGACCUACGAUCUUAAAUUUUACCUUACAACAAGAAUAAACUAUCCUUUACUUACAUCCUCUGAAGUUUGUUCCCGUGUUCCUACUGCAAUCUAUAAAAAAUAAAUUUAAAAUAAAAAUCAUAUAUUUAGAAAAGCUAAGUAUUAAAAAAAUAUUAAAUAUGAAAAGCACAAAAUUACUUACCACUUUGUUACCAGCCCUGCUGUCAUAACCUUUGCAGUGUAUUUACAUUCAGAAUAAUGCAUAUGUCGUUGGGCAGAUACAUUGUGGAAAAUAACUGCAUAACUUUCAUCCAUUUUCACGUUUGCUCUGUUUAAUAAAAAAUUAUUGACAACAUACAUAAUGAAAAAAUAAAUUUUAAAAAAAAUAAAAGCAAUAGAAUUUUAAGAAAAUAAAAAUUUACAUGUGGUAACAAUGAAAAUUUUUAUUAUUUCUUUAUAUUUUUAUUCAUCAUUCCUGUUAUAUGGGAUAUUUGUUAACAGAACAAAAACUGUUAAAAAAAUUUAUACUACUUAGAUUUGGUGUGAAGAUAUGGUGCGUGCAAAAAAAAUAAAGUCGGCUAAGGGAUUUCCUUGGACAUCCUGAAAAACAUAAAUAAAACCUAAUCAAACUCAGCAACGUUAGUAUACUAAAGAGACCUAUGAUCUUAAAAUUUUACCUUUUAACAAGCAUAAACUCUCCCUUGCUUACAUCAUUUGAAGUUUGUUCUUGUUCCUACUGCAAUCUAUAAAAAAUAAAUUUAAAAAAAAAUCAUAUUUUUUAAAAAGAUAAGUAUUUUAAAAAUAAAAAUAAAAUCUCAAAAGCACCAAAUUACUUACCAAUUUGUUAUCAACCCUACUAUCAUAACCUUUGCAGUGUAUUGCAUUUCGAAUAAUGCAUAUGCCGCUAGACAGAUAUGCCAUGGAAACGGUUGCUGAACUUUCAUCCAUCUUCACGUUUGCAUUGUUUUAUAAAAAAAUUAUUGACAACAUACAUAAUGAAAAAAUAAUUUUUUUUUUUUAAAAACAAAGCAACGGAUGAAAUAUAUAUAUAUAUAUAUAUAUAAAUUUUAUUAAUUCCGUAUAUUUUUAUUUAUCAUUCCUUUUACAAGGGAUAUUUCUUCAUAGAACAAAAUUGUUCAAAAAAUUUAUACUACAUAGAUUUGGCGUGAAGAUAUGGCACGUGCAAAAAAAUAAAAUCGACUAAGGGAUUUCUUUUGACAUCUUGAAAAGCAUAAAUAAAUCCUAAUCAAACUCAACAACGUCAGUAUACUAAAAACACCUAUGACUUAUAUUUUUAUUUAUCAUUUCUGUUAUAAGGGAUAUUUCUUAAUAAAACAAAAAUUGUUCAAAAAAUUUAUACUACUUAGAUUUAGUGUGAAGAUAUGGUGCGUGCAAAAAAAGUAAAAUCGGCUAAGGGAUUUCUUCGAACAAACUAAAAAGCAUAAAUAAAACCUAAUCAAACUCAACAAUGUCAGUAUACUAAAAACACAUAUGAUCUUAAAAUUUUACCUUUCGAAGAGAAUAAAUUGUCCCUAGCUUACAUCAUUUAAAGUUUGUUUUCGUGUUCCCUUGCUUACAUCCUUUAAAGUUUGUUUUCGCAUUCCUGCUGCAAUCUAUAAAAAAUAAAUUUAAAAAAAAAUCAUAUUUUUAGAAAAGAUAAGUAUUAAAAAAAUCUCAAAUAUGAAAAGCACAAGGUUACUUACAACUUUGUUACCAACCCUAUUGUCAUAGCCUUUGCACCGUAUUGCAUUCAGAAUAAUGCUUAUGUCGUUGGGCAAAUACGUCAUGGAAAUGGCUGCAUGGGAUAUUUCAUAAUUGAACAAAAAUUAUUAUUUCCUUUUAUUUUUAUUCACCAUUCCUGUUACAUGGGAUAUUUCAUAAUUGAACAAAAACUAUUCAAAAAAUUUAUACUACUUAGAUUUGGUAUGAAGAUAUGGUGUGUGCAAAAAAAAUCAAGUCAGCUAAGGGAUUUCCUUGGACAUCCUGAAAAGCAUAAAUAAAACCUAAUAACACUCAACAACGUCAGUAUACUAAUCAGGCGUAUGAUCUUAAAAUUUUACCUUCCAACGAGAAUAAACUCGCCCCCUUGCUUACAUCCUCUAAAGUUUGUUCCCAUGUUCCUACUGCACUUUAUAAAAAAUAAAUUAAAAAAAAUCAUAUUUUUAGAGAAGAUAGGUAUUAAAAAAAAAAAAAUCUCAAAUAUGAAAAGCACCAAGUUACCUACAAAUUUGUUUCCAACCCUACUAUCACAACCUUUGCAGUGUAUUGCAUUUAGAAUAAUGCAUAUGCCGCUAGGCAGAUACGCCGUGGAAACGGUUGCAGAACUUUCAUCCAUCUUCACAACCUUAUUAUCACAACCUUUUCAAUGUAUUGCAUUAAAAAAAAAAGCAACAGAAGUCUAUAUAUAUAUACACACGCAGUAACAAUGAAAAAAAUUAUUAUUUCCUUGUAUUUUUAUUUAUCAUUCUUGUUACAAGGGAUAUUUUUUCACAGAACAAAAAUUGUUCAAAAAAUUUAUACUACUUAGAUUUGGUGUGAAGAUAUGACGCAUGCAAAAAAAGUAAAGUCAGCUAAGGGAUUUCCUCAGACAUUCUGAAAAGUAUAAAUAAAACCUAACCAAACUCAAUAAUGUCAGUAUACUAAAAACACCUAUGACUUAUUUUUAUUUAUCAUUCCUGGUACAAGGGAUAUUUCUUAACAUAACAAAAACUGUUCAAAAAAUUUAUACUACUUAGAUUUGGUGUGAAGAUAUGGCGCGUGCAAAAAAAGUAAAAUCGGCUAAGGGAUUUCCUCAGAUAUCCUGAAAAGUAUAAAUAAAACGUAAUCAAACUCAACAACGCCAGUAUACUAAAAACACCUAUGAUCUUAAAAUUUUACCUUCCAAUUAGAAUAAACUGUCCUUUGUUACAUCCUUUGAAGUUUGUUCCCAUGUUCCUAUUGCAAUCUAUAAAAAAAUAAACUAAAAAUAUAUAUAUAUUUUUAGAAAAAAUAGGUAUUAAAAAAAAUCUCAAAUAUGAAAAGCACAAAGUUACUUACCACUUUGUCACCAACCCUGCUAUCAUAGCCUUUGCAACGUAUUGCAUCUAGAAUAAUGCAUAUGCCGCUAGGCAGAUAUGUCGUGGAAAUGGCUACAUAACUUUCAUCCAUCUUCACGUUCGCAUUGUUUUAUAAAAAAUGAUAAACAUACAUAAUGAAAGAAUAAAAUUAAAAAAAUAAAAAAUAAAUAAAAAAACAAGCAACGGAAGCAAAAUACAUAUAUAUACAUAUAUAUUUACAUGUGGUAACAAUGAAAAAAUUUAUUAUUUCGUUAUAUUUUGAUUCAUCAUUCCUAUUACAUGGGAUAUUUCUUAACAUAACAAAAACUGUUCAAAAACUUAUACUAUUUAGAUUUGGUGUGAAGUUAUAGCACGUGCAAAAAAAAUGAAGUCGACUAAGGGAUUUUCUCGAACAUUCUAAAAAGCAUAAAUAAAACCUAAUCAAACUCAACAAUAUCAGUAUACUUAAGAGACCUAUGAUCUUAAAAUUUUACCUUCCAACUAGAAUAAACACUCCUUGUUUUACAUCCGAAGUUUGUUCUCGUGUUAUUACUGCAGUUUAUAAAAAAUAAAUUUAAAAAAAAUCAUAUUUUUUAAAAAGAUAGUUAUUACAAAAAUAAAAAUAAAAUCUUAAAUCUGAAAAGCACAAAGGUACUUACCAAUUUGUUACCAAGCCUAUGUCAUAGUUGCAUUUAGAAUAAUGCAUAUGCCGUUGGCCGGAUACGCUGGGCAGAACUUUCAUCCAUCUUCACGUUCACAUUGUUUUCUAGAAAAUGAUUGAUAACAUACUGAAUGAAAAAAUAUUAAAAAAAAAAAAGAAAAAAGAAACAAGCAAUGAAAGCAAAUAUAUCUAUAUAUAUAUAUAUAUAUAUAUUUACAUGUGGUAACAAUGAAAAAAUUUAUUAUUUCCUUAUAUUUUUAUUUAUCAUUCCUGUUACAAGGGAUAUUUCUUAACAUGACAAAAAUUGUUCAAAAAAUUUAUACUACUUAGAUUUGGUGUGAAAAUAUGGUGCAUGCAAAAAAAAAAAUCAAAGUCAUCUAAGGGAUUUCCUUGGACAUCCUGAAAAGCAUAAAUAAAACCUAAUCAAACUCAACAACGUCAGUAUACUAAAAACACCUAUGCUCUUAAAAUUUUACCUUCCAACGAGAAUAAAUUGUCCCUUGCUUACAUCCUUUGAAGUUUGUUUCUGUGUUCCUACUGCAAUCUAUAAAACAUAAAUUAAAAAAAAAUUCAUAUUUUUAGUAAAGAUUGGUAUUAAAAAAAAUCUCAAAUAUGAAAAGCACAAAAUUACUUACCACUUUGUUGUCAUAGCCUUUGUAGCGUAUUGCCUUCAGAAUAAUGCAUAUGCCACUGGGUAGAUACACUGUGGAAAUGGUUGCAUAACGUUCAUCCAUCUUCACGUUUGCACUGUUUUAUAAAAAAUGAUUGACAACAUGCAUAAUGAAAUAAAAAAAUUAAAUAAAAAAAAAAACAAGCAACAAAAGCAAUAUAUAUUUAUUUACAUGUGAUAACAAUGAAAAAAAUUUAUUAUUUCCUUUUAUUUUUAUUCAUCAUUCCUAUUACAUAAGAUAUUUCUUAACAGAACAAAAACUGUUAAAAAAUUUUAUACUACUUAGAUUUGGUGUGAAGAUAUGGCGCGUGCAAAAAAAAAUCAAGUCGGCUAAGGGGUUUCCUCGGACAUCCUGAAAAGCAUAAAUAAAACCUAAUCAAACUCAACAACGGCAGUAUACUAAAAACACCUAUGAUCUUAAAAUUUUACCUUCCAACAAGAAUAAAUUGUCCCUUGGUUACAUCCUUUGAAGUUUGUUCUCGUGUUCCUACUGCAAUCUAUAAAAAAAUAAAUUAAAAAAAUUAUAUUUUUAGAAAAGAUAGGUAUUAAAAAAAUUUCAAAAAAAAAUCUCAAAUAUUAAAAGGAGAAAGUUACUUACCACUUUGUUACCAACCCUACUGUCACAACCUUUGUAGUGUAUUGCAUUCAAAAUAUAAUUCAUAUGUCGCUGGAUAGAUACGCUAUGGAAACGGUUACAGAACUUUCAUCCAUCUUCACAUUUGCACUGUUUUAUAAAAAAUGAUUGACAGCAUACAUAUUAAAGUUUUUUUUUUUAAAAAAAAAAAAAAACCAAGUGACGGAAGCAAAAUAUAUAUAUAUAUAUAUUUUGCAAGCAGUAACAAUGAAAAAAAUUAUUAUUUCAUUAUAUUUUUAUUCAUCAUUCCUAUUACAUGGGAUAUUUCUCAACAGAAAAAAAAACUGUUCAAAAAUUUAUACUACUUUGAUUUUGUGUGAAGAUAUGGUGCCUGCAAAAAAAAGUCAAGUUUGCUAAGGGAUAUCCUCGAACAUCCUGAAAAGAAAAUAAAACCUAAUAAAACUCAACAACGUUAGUAUACUAAAAACACUUAUGAUCUUAAAAUUUUACCUUCCAACGAGAAUAAACUGUCCCUUGCUUACAUCCUCUGAAGUUUGUUCCCGUAUUCCUACUACAAUAUAUAAAAAAUAAAUAAAUAAAAAUCAUAUUUUUUUGAAAAGAUAGGUAUUAUAAAAAAAAUCUCAAAUAUUAAAAGUACAAAGUUACUCACCACUUUGUUACCAACCCUACUGUCAUAGCCUUUACAGUGUAUUGCAUUCAGAAUAAUGCAUGUCGUUGGGCAGAUAUAUCAUGGAAACGGCUACAUAACUUUCAUCCAUCUUCAUGUUCACAUUGUUUUAUAAAAAAUGAUUAACAACAUACAUAAUGAAAUAAUAAUUUUUUUUUUUAAAAAAAAAGCAACGAAAGCAAAAAAAUAUAUAUUUUUGCAUGUGGUAACAAUGAAAAAAACUUAUUAUUUCCUUAUAUAUUUAUUCAUCAUUCCUAUUACAUGGGAUAUUUCUUAACAGAACAAAAACUGUUCGAACAAUUUAUACUACUUAGAUUUGGUGUGAAGAUAUGGCUAUUAGACUAUUAGAAUCUUUGGCAGAAAAUCCAGGAGUAUUUGCACCAAUUCUUCACUCCAUCCAUUCUUUUUCCAAUUCAAAAUAAUCUAGCUAUUAGCGUAAAUUUCUCCUACAAAUGUGUGUUUGAUUGUUGAUUGUAUUUGAUUGUUUCCUUAUUAUACGCUUGACAUUUCAAUUGUACAGUUAUAAAUAUAAUGGAAAAUUACACGACUAAGGUAUGUUAGCCAAGUCAAAGAUAUCUCGUGUUCUCAUCAAUCUGUUGAAUAGUUAAGAUCUUACAUGGUAUCAGAGCAACAUCCUAUAAGCUCACGCUUUUCAAACGAUCAUUUCUCAAGCUUCCGCAUCAUCCAAAUGGCCAACACCAAUGACACCUCCAUCCCUGAACCCUAUCUCCAUCUACCACCACUAAUUCUAUUAAGCUAGACGGCUCUCAUAAUUAUUUGGCAUGGAAAAUGCAGUUCCUUAAUCUCCUUCGAGGACAGGACUUAGUUGGCUUCAUUGAUGGUACUGACACUUGUCCUCCAAAAAAUCUUACCUUUGGUUCAUUAAAUUCUACCUAUAUUGUUUGGCAGAUGAAAGAUGUUUGUCUCUUUAGAUGGAUCUUGCAUCUCUUUUGGAAAAACUUGUUUCCACUGUUUAUGGAUUGGAAACGUCUAAGUAAGUCUGGAUUGCCCUACAAACUUGUUUUUCUUCUCAAUCUCAUUCCCACAUUUCCCAUCUUAAACCUCAACUUCAAACAUUAACUCAAAGUACCAAAUCCUGUUCCGAGCAUCUUGAAAAUGCCAAAAAUAUUGCAGAUCAAUUAGCAGCAAUUGGUAAGCCUAUUGACGAUCAAGACUUGAUCUCCUUUCUUUUUGGUGGCCUGCAAUCAUCAUACACACCGUUUGUCACAUCUUUUAAUUUUCCAUCCUAUGACACUGACUUCACAUUUGAAGACUUUCAAGCUGAAUUGCUAGGCUAUGAAAAUCUUUUGGAUGUUAAUCAAUCUAUUCCUAGCACAGAUAGUACUCAUUUUGCAUUUGCUGCCAACAAAUCUAAGGCACCUAUUUAUAUGAAAAAGAAAGAAUCUCCACUCCCUCCCACAAAAAUGAAGAAUGCAUGUUCCUCUAAUUAUCGACCACACUAGUAGACCAGAUCUACUCCUCCAUAACUCCCCAACAACUGUCCGGUUUUGUCAAAUUUGUGGUAAAUUUAGUCAUACUACUAUUGAUUGUUUUCACCAUUUUGAUUGUUCAUAUCAAGGUCGUUUCUCUCCUCAAGAUCUCACAGCAAUGGUGGUUGAGACUAAUGCCACAUUUGAUCAUCAAGUGUGGUACAUGGACAAAGGCGCCAAUCCCAUAUUACAUCAGAUGCAACUAAUCUCACUCAUCAGCAGCCCUUUCGUGAAUCAGAAACUAUAACUGUCGGAAAUGGUUCAGGUCAGCAAGUUCUAAAUACUGAUUCUACAACCUUUAACUUCGGCCAAUCCAAUUUUCAUCUAAACAAAAUUCUCCAUUGCCCACAAGUAGCUACCGAUCUUAUCUCUAUCAAUCAAUUUUGUUUAGAUAAUAAUUGUUACUUUAUAUUAACUGUUAAUGAUUUUAUCGUGAAAGAGAACCUAACAGGCUGAAUUCUACUUCAAGGUGUGGUUGAAAAUGGCCUAUAUCCAAUAGUUGGGUGCAAGACUUCUCAUAAGAGCCUCACAUGUCUUUCGGCAACAAUAGGGGUUCGAGCUAAUGCAGAUACUUGGCACUCAAGACUAGGACAUCCCUUUAGUGUCAUUUUAGAUAGUUUGUUUCAUUCAAAUAAAUUCUCUGUCAAAGGUCCUUCAAAUAAAAUAAAGUUUUGCUCAGCUUGUCAACUUGACAAAGCUAAGAAACCACCUUUUCCAGAGUCUAGUCGUCAGUCUUCUGUUCCUCUUACUUUAAUCCACUCUAAUGUAUGGGUUUCCCCUGUACAAUCAACUAGUGGUUGUUCCUACUAUGUUUUGUUUAUUGAUAAUUAUUCGAGAUAUUCCUGGCUAUAUCCUUUGCACAAAAAAUAUGAUGUGUUUGCAACUUUUAUUAAAUUUAAAAUCAUUGCAAUUUUUUUUUCUCAACAUCAAUAAAGCAAAUCCAAAUAGAUAAUGGUGGAGAGUUUACUUCCAACCAAUUUAAAAAAAAAUAAAAUUGACUACACAAUGGAUAUACCAUAGGUUGACUUGCCCACACACUUCUCAACAAAAUCGAAUUGCCAAGAGGAAACAUAAACAUAUCCAAGAAAUGGGACUAACACUUCUAACCCAAUCAAGCUUGUCCCUCCCCAAUAUUGGGUUGAUGUGUUCCUUACUUCAGUGUUCUUAAUAAACAGAUUGCCUACCAAAGUCUUAGAUAAUAUGACACCUUACUUUUCACUUCAUAAAACUGAGCCAACUUAUAUGGACUUGCGUGUUUUUGGAUGCGCUUGCUAUCCACUCCUUUGACCAUAUAACGACCAUAAGUUAGCAUUCUAAAGUAAAAAGUGUCUCUUCCUAGGCUAUUCUAAUUGUAAAAAAGGAUUUAGGUGUCUUGACUUAGCAACUAAACGGGUAUACAUCUCACGACAUGUCAUCUUUGAUGAGAAAUCUUUCCCAGCUAAGGAACUAGCCGAGAACACCACAUCUCGAAGAACAAAUCCUAUUGUAGAUAAACCAUUGACAAUUCCAAGUUCAGUUAUAUCUAGUAAUUUAUCAUCUAACAUUUCUGCAGUUGUGCCACCUCAAAAUGAUCAUUCUUCUCCUUCAGUUGAAAUGCCAAUUCUUGCAGCAUCAAACUCUACACAACAAUCUCCACCUCCUACAUCCAAUGAUUAUUCUCCUUCUCCUCCUCCCACUUUAAAUUUUGAAAAUUCCAUUGACCCAAAAAUUGUCAUUCCACAAAUAUCUCCUUCUCCACAGGUGCCACAAGAACCCGAUAAUACCUCCAACAAUCCAAUUGUCUAGCCUACCUUCACUCAAAUUCAAACACGUUCCAAAACAAGUCACUCUUGACCAAAAUCAUUUCCUAAUUACAAAUUAUUCUAUAAUACCCGACAUCCUUUGCAAGUUUUUUCUACAAUCUUGGAUACUCUUAAACCAAUCUCCUACACUCAAGCAGUUUCGGAUCCACAAUGGUGUGCUGCAAUGGGAAGCGAAUUUGAUGUAUUGAUGGAAAAUGGGACUUGGUCUCUAUGUCCUCGUCCACUUGAUAAACACAUUGUCCGAAACAAAUGGGUAUACAAAAUUAAGAGAAGACCAAAUGGCAAUAUUGAACAUUUUAAAGCCAGACUCGUGGCCAAAGGGUAUGAUCAAAAGAGUGGUGUGGACUACCAUGAAACUUUUUCACCCGUGAUAAGCCAACUACUAUUUGUUUAGUUUUGGCUAUUGCAGUUUAUUUUCACUAGCCCAUUCGACAAUUGGAUGUGUCGAAUGCAUUUCUACAUGGAUUUCUAGAUGAAGAGGUGUUUAUGGAACAACCAAAAGGUUUUGUUGAUGAGACCAAACCGAACUAUGUUUGCAAAUUACAUAAGUCUCUUUAUGGUCUUAAACAAGCCCUAAGAGCCUAGUUUCGAUGAUUAUCACAACAACUUAUUGAGCUUGGUUUUCAAGAAUCCAUCAAUGACUACUCUCUGUUUACUCUACAUACUGAAAAUGUCAGAAUUUUUGUCUUAAUAUAUGUAGAUGAUAUAAUGGUGAUAGGAUCUGACAUCUCAGAAAUUACCAAACUCAUUCGACAUCUGUAGAGUAUUUUUCAUGUCAAGGAUCUUGGUUUUCUGUCUUAUUUUUUAGGUGUGGAGGCUGAUAAGAGCUCACAAGGACUACAUUUACAUCAAACCAAGUACAUUUGUGAUCUCUUAGAUCGGACUCAAAUGGCUAGUGCCAAGCCACUUGCAUCGCCGACGGUGGCAAGUACCAAACUGUCCAGUACAGAAGGAGAACUAAUAUCUGAUCCUUCUAUUUAUCGACAAAUCAUUUGGGCACUCCAAUACUGCACAAUAACACGUCUCGAUAUUUCUUAUGUUGUUAACCAGUUAUGUCAGUAUAUGCACCAGCUAAGAACUUCAUACUAGCAAGCUAUGAAGCGAGUUCUUCGCUGCUUAAAGGGCACUGUAAACCAUGGAUUGUUCUACACACCAUCUCCUCUACAAUCAAAUACCUACUGUGACUCAGAUUGGGCAUGCAAUCCAGAUGACAGAAGGUCUACUAGCGGCUAUGGAGUUUUUUUGGUGCAAAAACCUAGUUUCUUGGAGCUCUAAGAAACAAAAUGUGGUCUCUCAUUCGAGUACCGAAGCCGAGUACCAUUUAAUGGCACUUGCUACAGCUAAAGUCUACUAGCUUAGAAUGCUUUUCAAAGAAUUGGCUAUUAGUAUAGUCCACAUACCGACUAUAUGGUGCGAUAACAUUGGGGCAAUUGCACUCGCUUCAAAUCCAGUGUUCCAUGCAAGAACGAAGCAUGUAAAGAAUGACUAUCAUUUUAUUCGUGAGAAAGUAUGCAACAAUGAUAUUAAAGUCCAACAUGUCUCAACUGUGGAUCAAGUAGCGGACGUCUUCACCAAAGGCCAAACUGAACAACGUUUUCAGUAUCUAAAGAGCCAAUUAAUGGUUUGCCAAAACCCCAUUAAUUCGAGGGGGUGUUAAACUAUCAGAAUAUUCAGCAGAAAAUUCAGGAGUAUCUGCACCAAUUUUUCACUCCAUCCAUUUUGUUACCAAUUCAAAAUAAUCCAGCUGUUAGUGUAACUUUCUCCUACAAACAUGUAUUUGAUUGUAUUUGAUUGUUGAUUGUAUUUGAUUGUUUCCUUAUUAUACGCUUGACAUUUCAAUUGUACAAAUAUAAAUAUAAUGGAAAACUACACGGUUAAGGUGAGUUAGCCAAGCCAAAGAUAUCUCAUGUGCUCAUCAAUUUGUUGAAUAGUUAAGAUUUUACAAUGGCGCUUGCCAAAAAAGUGAAGUCGGCUAAGGGAUUUCCUUGAACAUCCUGAAAAGCAUAAAUAAAGCCUAAUCAAACUCAACAACGUCAGUAUACUAAAAAGACAUAUGAUAUUAAAAUUUUACCUUCCAACAAGCAUAAACUAUCCCUUGCUUACAUCUUCUGAAGUUUGUUCCCGUGUUCCUACUGCAAUCUAUAAAAAAUAAAUUAAAAAAAAAUCAUAUUUUUAGAAAAGAUAGGUAUUAAAAAAAUUUUAAAAAAAAAUCUCAAAUAUGAAAAACACAAAGUUAUUUACCACUUUGUUACCAACUGUCACAACCUUUGUAGCGUAUUGCAUCCGCCAUGGAAACGGCUGCAUCAUCCAUCUUCACAUUCGCACUGUUUUAUAAAAAAUGAUUGACAACAUACAUAAUGAAAAAAAAAAAUUUUAAAAAAAAAACAAGCAACAAAAGAAAAAAAGAUAUCUUUACAUGUGGUAACAAUGAAAAAAUUUAUUAUUUCCUUAUAUUUUUAUUCAUCAUUCUUGUUACAUGGGAUACUUCUUAACAAAAUAAAAAUUGUUCAAAAAAUUUAUACUACUUAGAUUUGGUGUGAAGAUAUGACGUCUACAAAAAGAAUAAAGUCGGCUAAGGGAUUUCCUCGGACAUCCUGAAAAGUAUAAAUAAAACCUAAUCAAACUCAACAACGUCAAUAUACUAAAAACACCUAUGAUCUUAAAAUUUUACCUUUCAAGGAAAAUAAACUGUCUCUUUCUUACAUCCUCUGAAGUUUGUUCCUGUGUUCCUACUGCACUUUAUAAAAAAUAAAUUAAAAAAAAAUCAUAUUUUUAGUGAAGAUAUGUAUUAAAAAAAAUCUCAAAUAUGAAAAGCACAAAGUUAUUUACCACUUUGUUACCAACCCUGUUGUCACAGCCUUUACAUUGUAUUGCAUUCAGAAUAAUGCAUAUGCUGUUGGGUAGAUACGCUAUGGAAACGGUUAUAUAACUUCCAUCCAUCUUCAUGUUCACACUGUCUUAUAAAAAAUGAUUGACAACAAACAUAAUAAAAAAAUAAAAUUGAAAAAAAAAGAAACGUAUUCUGGGAAAGGUUCACUGUCCAUAUUACACACUGGUCCGAUUUUGGGUGCAGAAGGGCACAAAACAGUGUAGAGAACCAAGUAUUCUGAUAACACAAUUGUACGAUUUGAAUAAUGAUUUCAUUAAUUUAAUUUGCUGUACAGGAUCACUGUAUAUAUACAAGAGCUAUGCAAUUUGUUAGACGUAAAGAUGCCUAUAUACAAGGAAAAGAUAAAAGACUUUUGAAUUACAAAUUGGUUAUAACAGAUUAAGGGAAAGCGGUGGAGAUAAAAUAGGAACUGAAUUUGUUGAAGCUGCUGCAGCUGAAUCGUCUGAUUGGGAAAAACGGAGACUGAAGCUUGAGGAGGGCAUCUGCAGAGAUAUCUUUAACAAUGGGAACAGUGAUGGUUGUUUGAGUGAAAUGUGUUGGUUGAAGGAGUUCACCCAUCGUCGCCGCUACCGCAUCUGCAAUAAUUUGCGGUAGUAAUAUUUUAUAUUUUAUAGUUGUUUAUAUUAAAUAUCUUUAGAGAAUUAGAGAAAAGUCCAAGAAUAUGCCUAAAAGUGUUUUUUAAUAUAAAAAUUAAGGAAUUAUUGGGUAACUAUUUUCAAAAAUAAUUUUUAAAAAUGACAUGUUCUCUAAUAUUUUUUUAGAAUAGAAGUAUGUUUGAAAAUUUAAAAUAUUUUUAACUUAUUUUUAAUAUUUUAAAUAUGUUUUAAAAUAAUUUUAUAUCUCAUGUUUUAUUUUUAUACAUCCAUCGUAUUUGUAAAAUUAUUUUUUUAAAUAAUUCUUAAAAAAUAAGUGAAAAUAAUAAAAAAUAAUUUUAAAAUAUUAUUUUAAAACAUUCUAUUUUUUAUUCUUAAAAACAAAAAAUAAUAAAUAAAAGCAAUUUCUUUUUUUUGGUCAAACAUGAUGUUUUUUUUAAAAUUUUUUUAUUCUAGAGAAUAGAAAAUUAUUUUAGAAAAUAAUUAUCAAACACGUCCUAAGUAUUUAACAAAAUUUAAGAAAUAUUUUUAAAAAUAAAAAAAAUCACUUAUAAUGUUAUAAAAAAUUUAUAGUGUUUUUCAAAGAAAUAUUUGAUAAGUGAUUAUUCUAAAAAUAUAUUUUAGAAAAGAAAAAAAAAACAUUUAUAUUAAAAAUGUUUAAAAUAAAAAUAUAAUCAUACACACACAACAACUUAUAAUAAAAAUUUAAAAACUACCUUUUAAAAAAACAUUCAAAUAUUAUAUUAUAAAUAUUAUAUAACUUACCCAUCAUCCAAAAUGAUGUAUCCUAUUUCCACGUCCACGUCUCCAAAAUCAUUAUCAUCCACACCAAGCUAAAAGGAAUUUUAAAACAAAACAAAGAAACUAUUUGCUUUAAAUUUAAAAUAUCACUAAUAUAUAUAUAUAUAUAUAUAUAUAUAGAUAAUUAGAUAUAUGUCACUUGGAAGCCUGCUGACGUGUGACAUGCCAUGCAUGCCACAGUCAAUAACAUUAUUGAUUUUCCAUUGGAGAGAUAAGCAAGAUGAAAAUUUUCAGGCCCUUCAACCUCUAAGUUUGCCCUGUAUGUAUAAUAAAUUAAUAUAAAAUAGUGAGAAAAUGUUAUCUCAAUUCUAACAAAAGAAAAAGAUAGAGAAAAUUUAUUAAAAUUUUCUAUUUAAAGUUAUAUUUCAUUUUAGAAAGUAAAAAGAAAAAAAUGCUUAAGAAAAAAUAAUCCAAUAUGAUUAAAAUUAGAUAAAAAUUCUAUAUUUAUAAAUUAUUUAAAAUUUUUUUUAAAAAAAAUCUAACAUUGGUCAUUGUUCUCUAAAAAUAAUUUUUAAAAACAAAGAGAAAUAAAAGAGCAAUUUUUAUAUAAUAAGUAAGAGUUAUUAUCCCUAGUUUUUAAAAACAAAAGGAAAACAUGGAUUCAUUUGGACAUGUUUUCUAAAACUUGUUUGUAAAAAUUAUUUUUAAGUUAAAGAAUAAAAAUCAAUUUUUAAAAACAAGUUUAAAAAAAUAUGGCUAAACUAGUCCUUAGUUUUUCAAUUUUCUGGCUCCAAUGGAAGCUCACAAUCAAGACAGAUUUAUCAAAUGUUAUUAAUAUUUUUUUUAUAUUUUAUUUUAUAGUAAAUUUUAUAAUUGAAAAAACUUCUCUCUCUCUAAUUACUAUAAUUUUUUUAUAUUAAAAUUGAUAAUUUUAUAUUUAAUUAAUAAUGAUAUCAAAUAAGUGAUGCGAUCAUAUAUUUCAAUUUAUUUCCACAUAUUGUGGAUCGGGAAUUUUUUUUUUUUUUUCACUCUGGGUUUUCUCUUAAUAAUAUUUUGAUUAUCACAAAAUAAGGUUAAAGACUAAUAAAAUUUUUAAGCUUUGAUGUUGAAUUUUGAAGGAAAUUAAGUCAAUUAAGAAAUGUUAUAAAGAUCUAAGUGCUUUGAAGACCUUGAGGUAGGGAUGACAACGGGGUGGGUUCGGGAUGAGUCACCUCCAUCCCAACCUUGCCUUGUUUAUUCAAAAUAAUUUUCAUUUAAAAAAUAAAAUGGGACGGGGCGGGCCAUGUAUGAGAAAUUCUCAUACUCGCCGUCUCGCCCUAUUUAACUUUUUUCUUUCGAAUUUUUUUAAUUUUUUUUUAAAAAUUUAAUUACAUUAAAAUAAAUAUAUAUUAUAAAUAAUUAAAUUAUUAUAUUUUUUAUAACUUAUCUACAAAAUAUUUUCUUAUUAUCUAUAUAAUAAAAAUAGUAAAAUAAAAAUUAAAUGAACAUAAUUUUAAAAAUUAAUUUUAUAUAUAAUCAGCGGGUGGGGAGAGACGGGACAACGCAAUACCCAAACUCGUCCCAAACCCACCUCGGGUUUUAAAAAAAUUUUCAAACCCGUCACAACACGUUUAAUUAAAAUUAAAACACAUUCCAUUAGGAGCAGGUGCGGGUACCGAAAAAAAUCCACCCCAUUACCAUUCCAAGACUCGAGAAAUGCAUUUAUGUAAAAUUGGUACACUAUAACUAUUUUUUUUAAGGCACCUUUCUUUUAUUUUUAUGUUCUUAAAAUCAAUUUUACCCAUUUGUAAUUGGGUCAAAAAUCUAUUUGAAGAAAAACUUGAGCUUAAAGUGGCCUAAAAUAUUUUCAAAAUUAAUAGGAGUUGAUAAUGGCUUGUGCCCUUGGUUUUGAGUCAAAUAAAGAAAAAUUACAUAAAUGGUAUAAUUUAACCUCAAUCCAAUUUCUUACAUUAAAUCACGUCAAAUCAAAUUAGACAUGCUAUGAUUGGGAUUUAGUUAUGCUCAAUUCAGAGCAUCCUCUCAUUUUCUUAAAUAUUAAAAAAGAAUGUAUUUACAUGUAUAAUAUCAAGUAAAAUCUUAAAGGUAAAGAUGAAAAAAAAUAAAUAAAUCAAUAAAUGAGUUAUAAGAGAGUUAUUGACCCUUGACUGCUUCCAAAAGAAUCCUCUUAUCAUCCAAAUAAAUAAAAAAUUUAAUCUCACUAUCAUUCAUUGAUUAAAAAAAUAGUUAACAAUAAAGAACUCACUAAACCAAAUGACUUCUAUCAAACCCAUCAUACCAACACCAUGAUUGCUAAAAGACAAAGGGUGGGGUUUUAACUUUGCUGUCUUGAAGUACUGGCUCCUUCAUCACCCCCGCACAAGCCUUGUACAAGCUACAGCAUAGAGAAACGAAUUAGUAAAGAGAAAAAGCUAGACUUACCCGCAUUGGCUGGAUUAGCCUUAAUCAACCGACUCAGAUGCAACGCUGCUCACUGCCCCACCUUUUUGCAAUUGCUGGCCAGUAAAUAUUUCUCAGCUAUUUCGGCCUUUUAGAGGUCUUUGGCAGAGAAGAUACAGAUGGGAUUAUGGUUGCCACCCCAUGAGGAAAUCAGCUGCUCUAGCAUUAAUCUUCCAAUCCUGAAAAAAAAUAAAAAUAAAAAUAAAAAUAAAAAUAAAAAUAAUUGCUCUUUUUCACUAGUCUAUGCCACCAAAUUUAACCCAUGAAUGAGUUGUUAAUUGAAGGAAAAUAAAAGUAACAAAAUAACAAACACAUAUUUUUCAUGAUUGUUAGAAAAUGGCUUUAUUUUUCCUGAUUCAAAGAGAAGAAGAUUGAAUACUUGGUUUCAAUUGCACUGAUGACUGACGCAUACAAUGAAAAAUUAUGUUGACUAUCAUGUGGGAAUUCCUUGAAAAUUCUUCAAAUAGAAAUCCGUGGAAAUUUCAUGUUUCUUUCACACUUUUUAAUUCUAAAGAUUCUCAAAUUCAAACUAGUAUCGAUUUCAAAUCAUUUGUAUAAGCAUCUAUGUUCACAAAUUCCUCUUAUUAUAUUAUUUUUUCAAUAAUUAGAUAACAAAAAAGGCGGCCUUGGAAUAGAUGUCAAGUGAACUCAUUGGAAUAAAUAUUAUAAAAGGAAACAAAAAAAAUUACAAAAUAAAGAUACAUCUCAAUUAUAAAAUUUCAUUUUUCUCGAAAUCUUUUACUUUUUGGGAAUAACAUAUAACUUAAAGAAAAGAAGAUGAAAUUUUUUAAAAAUAAUUAAUUAUUACUUCGCUAUAAUUUCUAUAAGCAUCUAUGUUCAUAAAUUUCUUUAUGAUAUUAUUCUUGCAAUAAUAAAUUUAAGAACAUGUUACUAAGCUUUGAAAAAAAUUUGAAGGAAAAAAAUAUAACGUUUUACUAGUAGAAUACCCAAUGAAUAAAAUUUAAUGAGGAUACUAAAAAAUAUCCUUUUUAAUUAAAGGAUGUGGGGCUGGCUGUUUGAUCCCAUGCACAUGCACUUGAGUUUGGAAUGGUGGACCUUACAACUUGGGCAAUGCAUCCUAUGGUUUAAAUUUGAGCAAACAAUUUUUAUAUAAUAAUAAAAUGAAAUAUAAAAAUAAAAAUUUAAUAAAUUUAUUAUUUUUAAUUAGUUUUGAAUGCCCCUCAAGCUAUUUGAAUGCUAUUCCUUUUUCUCUUUGCAUUUCAAUCCUUGCCUAUGACUUUUAAUUCUUAACACAUCUUAAUUUCAUAUAUUAGACAUUCCGGGUCAUUGGCUCUACCAACACCAAAUAUAUAUAUACCUUGAAAUUCACUAACUUUGAAGUGGUCAAAAUUUGAUUUAAGAAGAAUAAGACCCAAGAAAAUAUGAUGCAUUAGAGUCAUCAAUAAGAAAUGAUAUAAAAUUAUUAAUUUCAACUAAUACAUCAAUAAUAAUAUUACCAAUGAAAAAGUUAUCCAUGGUUUUACUUGGUAUAUUUUAAAAUAUUAUAGAUGAAGUUUAGAUAUAUACAUGCCACUCGAUUUAGUGAAAGUAGAAUUAUGAAGGAAUAAGGUUAGGUAUAUUAACAAAAAUUCCUAAAUAGAAUGUUUGAUUACCAUCGUAACUUGAUUAAAGGAUCUCAACCAUCCACACUAAUGAAUUUAUCUUAAUUUAUAUAUUUGGAUGAAACCCAUCACAUGAUGAAUACAAUCUUAAGAGCCUUUAAAAUUUAUGGUUAGAUUCUAAUAAAAAAAUGGUUAUUGAACUAAUAAUUCGAUGUGAUUCAAUAACAAAACAUAGCAAUCCUUUAAAAAAUAAGAAAAAUUCCAUGUGACAUUUAAGUUACUUAUUGAUGUAAAUCAUUAUCCAAAAAAUUAAAAUUAAAAAGAUAAAUGGUGCAUGUAAAACCUCCAAAACUUUCAUCCCUCAAAUGAAAGGUCUUCCUCAGAAAACGUAUUGAAGCAAUGUCAUUGGCUCAAUUAUUUUUAGACGAUAGAAAAUAAAAUAUAUGAAUAUAUUUAGUGUAAAAUUAUUCAAUGAAAAAUAACAUUAGUGCAAAAUUAUAAAAUAUACUUCAAUAGGGAACAUGGCAUUUGAUUGUAGCUCCUGAGGAAACUACACUUUUAACCAUUAUCUACGGGAUGCAUAUGAAUUUGGUUUAGUAAAAGCUUAGAGGAAUUUUAUCAAAUUUUGUGAAAAACCUUUUUCUUUUACCAUAGUCGUGAUCAUGAUAGGAAUUUCUAUUUUUAUAUUUAUUUAUUAAUAAAAAUAAUUAUAAUUGAAGACCUUUGAUCAGAUAUUUUCCCACUUUAAUGACUUGGGUUCAACAAGUGUUGAUUUUAGAAAAAUAAAAUAAAAUAAAACUCUUAAAAGAUACUAUUCUUCUUUGGAAAAAUUGAAUGGUAACAAACAAGAACAAAAAAAUGUUGCAAAAUAAAUAAUUAAAAAAUAAAUAAAAGAUUGCAUUUACAGGUAUUAGUAAAAUCUAAAAGAGAAAUGUGAAAAAUUUUAAAUGAAUAAGAGUUAUAAGAGAAUUAUUAUUGACUCUUGACUCUACCAAACCAAUUCAUUUGGUCCCACAAAAGAGGAAGUUCAAUCCCACUAUCAUCCAAUAGUUUAAAAAUAAUUAAAAACAAAAAAUCACACAAAAAUUAAUGAUUCAUGUCAAACCCACUAUGCAAGCACCAUCUUAGAAGUGAGCCUCACAAAUGAGCCUCACAAAAAUUUAAUAAUAAUAACAUAUAGCUGUGGCUAACUCCAAAAUGCAACUAUAUUAUAUAUAUCAUUUAGUGGGGGUCAAAAACAAGAUGCAGCUGUAGGAACCAUUUGCUGACCUUUACUGUGGCUGCUACUGUUGCUUUGACUUUUGUUGCAAUUUACAUGUGGUUGAGCUAUAGCUGUGGCCAACUCUAAAAUGCAACUAUAUGCUAUUUAGGGGGGGUAAAAAACAAGAUGCAGCUGUAGGAACCAUUUGCCACACUUUACUAUGGCUGCUACUAUUGCUUUGACUUUUGUAGCACUUUGCCUAUGGUUGACCUAUACCUGGGGCAACUCCAAAAUGCAACUAUGUGCCAUUUAGUGGGGGUCAAAAACAAGAUGCAGUUGUAGGAACCAUUCGCUGCACUUUACUGUGGCUGCCACUAUUGCUUUGACUUUUGUUGCACUUUACCUGUGGUUGCUUACGGUCACCUUCACAACUGCAACUAUAAAAAAUAGUUGCACCACCUAUUGUUACACCAUGUGGCGGUCAGCUGGGUGUGCAACCAUAAUUUGCAGCCACACCAUUUCUGACCUUUAGUGAGGAUCACUAGCCGCUGCUAUAAGACAUUAUUCCUGUAGUGUUUAUAUAUAUUUGUAAUAGAACUUUCGCAUGCACAUUAUUUUCAUGAUUAGGAAUUAGAGAUAGAAGAUUUUGUAUAGAUUUGAAAAGAAUCGUGGAAGAAACUCAACUUAAUUCCCAAUUUUAAAAAGAAUUGUGGAAGAAAUUCAACUUAAUUUCUAAUUUUAAAAAAGAAUUGUGAAAUAAAAUCAAUUUAAUUUCCAAAAUUAAAAAGAAUUGCGGAAGAAAUUCAACUUAAUAUCUAAUUUUAAAAAAGAAUUGUAAAAUAAAAUCAAUUUAAAAAGAAUUGUGGAAGAAAUUCAACUCAAUUUCUAAUUUUCAAAAGAACUGUGAAAGAAAUUCAAAUUAAUUUCAAAAUUUAAAAAGAAUUGUGGAAGAAAUUCGAACAAUUAACACACCUUUUUGGCAAGGGAAUCUACCGCAUUCGUGAACAGACUUAGUCCCAUUUUCCUAAUCAACUUAGCACGUUGUUUGAAUUAAAUACCUGCGGAUUGAUAUUGGUUUGGAUAUCCUGAGUGAAUUUGACCAAAGAAACUCAAGCAGACCAAUAUUUUAUAGUCUAUUCUGAGCACGACUGUUUCACACCGUGGGCCACAUACCAUUUAACUUAACAUACAGCUUCUCUUUCAUGUCAUCAAUCUCUUUCAUACAUUAUAUUCAACAACUUACAGCUUCUGGAGGCCAUUGCUGCCCUAUAAAUGUAAUGGAGCUUCCCAAGCUUUUGCACUCAUACUUUCCAAGUCAGUUUUCAAAGAAGUGUUCUACUACCAUUCCAAAAAAUUAACAUGUCGGGUCAAGUCUUAGCAAGCCCUCUAGGCCAAUUUCCGGAACUGGAAAAUCGUCCGGUGGUCAAGUAUCACCCUAGCAUUUGGGGUGACCAGUUCAUGUCCUACACUCCUGAAGACGAGGUAAUUGAAUGAAAACCUGUGUUAAAUACCUAUAUAUUUGAAAGUUGUUUUUCUUGAUGUGUUGUUUAGUAAAAUUACUUGGUUGCCAUAGGUAACACGUGCCUGCAAAGAGAAGCAACUUGAAGAUCUGAAAGAGGAAAUUCGAAGGAAGCUAAUGAAUACAGCUGGUAACACUUCCCAAAAACUAAAAUUUAUCGAUGCUGUGCAACGUCUUGGGGUGGCAUACCACUUUGAAAGAGAGAUAGAAGAAGUGUUACAACAUAUUUAUGAUAGCUAUCCUAAUGGCGAUGAUAUGGAAGGUGGUAUCUAUAAUGUUGCUCUUCAAUUUCGGUUACUAAGACAAGCUGGGUUCAAUAUUUCAUGUGGUAAGAGCCCAAAGAAUUAUCAUGUAUAAGCUAAAACGUAUCCUUCUCAUAAGUCCAAUCUUAUGUAUGUUUAAAUUACGGUAUUUAUGUAGGCUUGUUCAAUGAGUUCAAGGAUGAAAAGGGUAACUUCAAGAAAGCUUUAGUCAGUGAUGUAAGAGGCAUGCUAGGCUUGUAUGAGGCUGCACAUCUCAGAGUUCAUGGAGAAGACAUACUGGAUGAAGCACUUGCUUUAACCACCACCCAUCUUAGGUCCAUGGUAGAACAUUUAGAAUAUCCUUUUGCAGAACAAGUUGCCCAUGCCCUGAAGCAGCCCAUUAGAAAAGGUUUAGAGAGGCUAGAGGCAAGGUGGUAUAUAUCUAUCUACCAGGAUGAAACUUCGCAUGACAGAACUCUACUAAAGCUGGCCAAGUUAGAUUUCAAUCUAGUGCAGUCCCUACACAAGGAGGAGCUAAGCAAUAUUACUAGGUUUGCUUUCAAAUCACUAGCAGAUAUGCGUAGUCACCUUCUCAUUUUAACCUGAGCUAAUAUCUUUCAAUGAAUUUUAGGUGGUGGAAACAAUUAAACUUUGCUACAAAGCUACCUUUUGCGAGAGAUAGAUUGGUGGAAGGCUACUUCUGGAUACUUGGGGUGUUCUUUGAGCCUCAAUAUGCCUGGGCUAGACGAAUUGUAACCAAAACAAUUGCCAUGACAUCCACUAUGGAUGAUAUAUAUGACGCAUAUGGCACAUUUGAAGAACUCGAGCUCUUCACCGAGGCCAUUGAGAGGUUUGAUGCAUGCAAAUUACCAACCUUCAUCAUUUGUAUUGUAUGUGAUACUUACAUUAGGCCUGGUUUUAUUUUCAGGUGGGAUAUUAACAGCAUAGAUCACCUUCCAGAAUACAUGAAACACUUUUAUGUGGCACUCUUAGAUGUGUACAAAGAAAUUGAGGAAGAGAUGGAGAAAGAAGGAAACCAAUAUAGGGUUCAAUAUGCGAUAGAAGCAGUAGGACAUUCUGCAUUGACUUUGUUUUGUAUACUAACAUAUCGUUGGGAUAUAGAUGUGACUUGAUUGAAUGUUUGACAGAUGAAAAAACAAGUUAGAGCUUAUUUUCAUGAGGCUAAAUGGCUCCAUGAAGGACGCAUACCAACAAUGGAAGAGUAUAUGAGUAUAGCACGGGUAUCCUCAGGUUACCCCAUGCUUACAGCCACGUCUUUCAUUGGUAUGGGAAAAAUCGUAACAAAGGAGGCCUUUGAUUGGGUGAUCAGUGACCCCAAGAUUGUCACAGCAUCAGCUGUAAUUGCUAGGCUCAUGGAUGACAUCACUUCACAUAAGGUAUUGUGAAUGUAGUAUUUCUUGUUAAGCUAUAAUUUGACCUUAACCUUAAAUCUCAAUCAAAUAUAUUUACUGCACUGUUCUUCUAAACCAUAUAUGCAGUUUGAGCAAAAGAGAGGACAUGUUGCCUCAGGCGUUGAAUGUUACAUGAAGCAAUACGGUGCCUCUGAGGAAGAGGUAUACGAUAAGUUUCAGAAGCAAGUUGUGGAUGCAUGGAAGGAUACUAAUGAGGAGUUCCUACGACCUACGGCUGUUCCGAUGCCUCUCCUUAUGCGUGUGCUUAAUCUUUCUCGAGUGAUGUAUGUGAUCUACACGGGGGGAGAUGGGUACACUCAUGUUGGAAAAGUGAUGAAGAAUAAUGUUGCAUCACUGCUCAUUCACCCUAUCGCAUGACCAAAUGGAUCAAGUUGAUGAGCAUCUACAUAUUCUGCCAUACCUAAGGAGUACUAAGAUGAAUAAAUAUGAUUGUCUCCAUAUAAUGUUUGAUACUAGUUUCUCUCUCGGUUUGGUCGUGCUUUGCAUCAUACUAUCACUUGGGCUAAAUGUAUUAAUGCUGUUGCAUCCAUUUUAAUAUAUAUUUAAAACACAUGGAUCAAGUUUGAUACUUUUCUGCCAUUUAAAGUUCACGUGAUCAGGGAGAAAAUUCUCCAUAGAAAAUCACUUGGAAGUUACCAGGAAAGAGAUGUUUUGGUCAGACCGCUUAUAUGGCCUUAUUAGCAGAAGAGGGUUUAGAACAUACAAAGACAUAAAAAAACUAAAAAAUUCAUCCUAACGGGUAAAAUAUUAUUAUUAUUAUUAUUAUAAUAUUAGACAUUCUAAAAGUUUUAUUAUAUACCAUGUAAAAAAUAAAAGUUAUGACUUUACAUAAGAUUGGAAUUCAAAGUUCAAGCACAUUAAAUUAUGCAGAGUUUAAAUUUUUGCCAAAAAAUAACAAGGAAAAAAAAUGGAGAAUCAAUUCAAUCAACUCAUCAUUUUCCUAACAAGAAUUACGAUAUUGAAAAUUAUAGACAAGGUAUAGAAAAAAAGACUUACAAAAAGAAUUAUCAUGAGGUUUUAUUUUUUUAACAAUAAGUCAAAAUAAAUUUGAAAACAAAAAAAGAUAAUUAAAAUUAAUAUAUUUUUUAACAUUUUAUUUAAUAUUUAAUAUUGUGCAUAGAUAUGUCAUAAGAUUAGGAUAAAUAUAGUACAUGUGAUUGUAAACAAUAAGGCCAAGUAGCCUAGGUGGCAAAGUAGCACCUCCCUUCCUACAUGCACUUUCAAGUUUUUUCAGCAUGCUAAUGUAGCUUAAAUAACCAUAAAUUGCCAAAAUUAGUGAUUAAUUGAAAAAAUAACAAAAGAACAUGAUUAAUCAAAAUAGAUUAUCAAAAUUUAGACAAAAAUUCAUUGAGUGAAAUUCUCCCAUAAUUUCCUAUAUUGGUGAUAUUUCGGGAACAUUAAUCAUGAUUUCCAAGUUCAAAAGUUUACGGUAUCUACAAAUUAACAUAUCGAAGAAGUUCGAGAAUAAUUUUUAGAGGAUUAUAAAUGUCUUUUAAUAAUUAAAUUCACUUUACAAAUAGCUACAUGUUUAAUUAAUAUUAUAUUCUAAUGGUGUUGAAAACAAAUUAAGAUGAGGCUUCAAAUCAAAUGUACUUUGCAAUAAAACAAAUUAUGCUUAGUAGACAUAUGUAUGUUUUUGAAAAGGAUGGAUGCUAAUUUCAUAUUUUGCUUUGAAAUUAAGCCACCUAGCUCAGUUGUCUUUUAAAGACUUUAGUGAAUGCAACUUCAAAUGACCAAUAAUGCACGGUAGCAGUAAGCGAAGACUCAUUAUUUUGACUUCAAGGCAUUAAUUCAUAUUUUAUCCAUUACACAACAGAAUAUAUAUAAAUAUCCUUAUAAAAAAUAUAUAUAUAUAAUAUUUAUAGGUAGCAACUUUCUUCUUAAGCAAAGCAGCCAAGUAAGACUACGAAAUCUAUACCAAACAGAAUAUCUACUAGGAAUUAAAUUGAUUGGCUCGAAUAUAAAAAUAUAUAUAUAAUAUUUAUAGGAAUUAUUUCUAACACUUAAAUUGAUUGAGCUUAGGUUAAAGUACUCUUCAAAUUGAUAAAUGGUAGUUUUUUCAUUCAUCUUUCAUUCGUUCAUAUACAGAGUAUAUAUAGAGGGUAAUCACCAUUCUAAGAAUGGGAAAGAAUGAUACAAGGAAAGAAUGAUAUAAGGAAAUAACAACUAAUAUCAUAAUAUCUCAAUAUUCCUAAUAUCUCAAUAUUCUUAAUAUCUCAACUAUCCUAAUACCCAAACAUUCCUAAUAUCUCAACACUAAAUAAUAUAAGGAAAGAAUGAUAAAAGGAAAGCAUUCCUAAUAUCUCAACACUCCCCCUCAAGUUGGUGCAUAGAUGUCACGUAUGCCUAACUUGUCUAAAAAUUUUGAGAACACUCGACUUGAGACAGCUUUGGUGAGGAUAUCGGUCAAUUGAUCUUCUGAUCGAAUCUUAGGCAAUUCCACAAUUUUAUCAUCCAACUUUUUCUUAAUGAAGAAUCUAUUCACCUCGACAUGCUUUGUACAAUCAUGUUGUACUGGAUUAUGAGCAAUGUCACAUGCGGCUUUAUUGUCACAAAACAAUCGGAUUGGUUACCUAGAUAGGUAACCUAAAUCCUGUAAGAGGAGUCUUAGCCAUAAUGCCUCACAAAGUCCUAUAGCCAUACCUUUAAAUUCCGCUUUUGCACUUGAACGAGAGCGACAACAUUCUACUUCUUGCUUUUCCAUGUCACAAGAUUACAACCUACAAAGGUAAAGUAACUAGAUGUAGAUCGCCUAUCAUCCACUGCACCGGCCCAAUCAGCAUCAGUAUAUACUUCUAUACUCUGAUGAUUAACAUUUUUAGCGAACAAAAUUCCCUUCCCCGGAGCAUUCUUCAAAUACCUCAAAAUAUGCAUGACUGCAUUCAUAUGUUGCUCUCCAGGAUUAUGCAUGUAUUGACUCACUACACUCAAUGCAUAAGCAAGAUCUGGUCUUGUAUGAGCUAAGUACAUUAAUCUCCCCACAAGUCUCUGGUAUCUUCUCUUAUCGAUUGAUACUUGAUUAGGCUCAACACACAAUUUCAGACCUUCUUCUAUUGGUGUAUUAAUAGGUUGACAUCCCGACAUUCCAGUCUCCUGUAAAAUAUCUAAGGCAUACUUUCUUUGAGACAGAAAAAUUCCUUCACUUGAUCGAGAAACUUCAAUCCUAAGAAAGUAUUUCAAAGGACCUAGAUCUUUCAUUUUGAAUUCUCUAGAUAGAUAAUUUUGCAGAGCUUUUCUUUUUUCAGGAUCAUUUCCUGUAACUACCAUGUCAUCCACAUAUACGAUGAGUGUCGUAAUCUUACCAUGUUGCUUUUUCAGGAACAAAGUGUGAUCUGAAUUACUUUGACGAUAGCCAAAAGCUCUCAUUGACUUUGUGAACCUUCCAAACCAUGCUCUUAGGGAUUGCUUCAACCCAUACAAUGACUUUUUCAAUUUGCACACCUUCUGACAUUGCUUUUCUGACACCAUGCAUCCUGGUGGAAGAUCCAUAUAUACUUCUUCAGAUAACUCGCCAUGCAGAAAGGCAUUUUUCACAUCGAACUGUUAUAAUGGCCAAUCUAGGUUUGCAGCUAAAGAUAGUAAUACUCGAACUGUGUUGAUCUUAGCUAUAGGUGCAAAUGUCUCCGUGUAGUCAAUUCCAUAAGUUUGAGUGUACCCUUUUGCUACCAGUCUUGCUUUAAAUCGUUCAAUACUACCAUCUGCCUUGUACUUCACAGUAUAGAUCUAACGACACCCAACUGGCUUCUUUCCUGGUGGACAUUCUACAAGUUCCCAUGUUUUAUUCUUCUGCAAUGAUUUCAUCUCUUCAUUCAUAGCUGCUUUUCACCUUGGAUCAGCUAAGGCUUCCUGCACACUGUUAGGAAUAGCUACAGUAGAUAAUUGAUUUACAAAUGACUUAUUUGAUUCAGACAAACGAUGGUUAGACACAUAGUUGCUCAUGAGAUAUUUGACUUUGGUAGACAAUUCAGGUUCAUAUGUGGGUUUAGGAAUACCUCUAUUAUGACGGUGUGGUAACUGUUUCAUGAAUGGAUCAGGUUCCAAAUUAAGAACACCCUCAACAAACGACGAUUGGUUUGGUAUUUCAGUGAAGACAUCUUCGGACCCAAAUUGUUGACCACUCAUAUCCAACUCACCUACUUUCUGGUUCACUAGUUCAGAUUGUCCAGAUUCAUCCUCCUCAAAGAUAUGAUAAUCAUAAUCGAGAGUCUGAAUUUCCUUAUGGUACUCCCCCUGAAGUUCAAACUCAGAUGAAAAAUACAUCGACUCUUCAUGAAGCACCACGUCCAUUGUAAUAUACAUUCGUCGAGUUGAAGAAUAGUAACAUCGAUAUCCCUUUUUAUGCAAUGCAUAUCUAACAAACACACAUUGCAAUGCAUGGGAAGUUAACUUGGUGCGUUGGUGUUUGUGUAGAUGCACAAAUGUCACGCAACCAAAAACACGAGAAGGUAGAUUUGGGACAGUUGGGGCAACUACGGCAUUAGUAAGAGCUUGGAGAGGUGUUUGGAAGUUAAUUGAGCUAGAAGGUACCCGAUUGAUCAAGUAUGCGGCAGAUGUGAUUGCUUCUCCCCAAUAAGAUAUCGGUGUUUUUGCUGCUAUCAAGGAAGAACGAACAACCUCUAACAAGUGCUGAUUUUUCUGUUCAGCGACUCCAUUUUGCUAGGGUGUAUUGGAACAAGUAGUCUGAUGAAUGAUGUCAUGUCCUUCCAAAUACUUUUGAAGAUCAGAACUUUGAUAUGCUCCACCAUUAUCACUAUGCAGAACCCGAACCUUUGCAUUGUAUUGAGUUUCAAUCAUUUUAUGAAAUUUUUUAAACAACAAGUUCACUUCAUCUUUGGUCUUCAUCAAGCACAACCAUGUCAUUCUGGUACAAUCAUCAAUAAAAGUAACAAACCAACGUGAGCCACUCAAAGUUGGGACUUUGGAUGGGCCCCAAACAUCAAAAUGUAUAAUCAUAAAAGGAAAUGGACUUUUAUUCAAAAUUAACGGAAACGAAACACGAUGGCUUUUAGCCAAUUCACAAAUAUCACAACGGAAACCAGAAAUAUCACUCUUUGCAAACAAACUAGGAAACAAUUUUUUUAAAUAACCAAAGAAAGCAUGUCCUAGACGUCGAUGCCACAACCAAAUUUCAGACUUUUUCUUCUCCCCCUCAGAUCCAUCUGCCAUCAAGGCUUGUUGCAACUUAUUUGAAUCCUUUGAUUGCAAGUCCAAGUAAUAGAGUUUUCCCUGCUUAAUACAACAAUCAAUCGUCUGUCUUGUUUGGAUGUCCUUAAUCACACAAAAUUCAGGUCAAAAAAUGACAAUACAAGAUAAGGUUGCAGUGAUUUGAGAAACUGACAAAAGAUUGUAAUUUAAAGAUGGAACAACUAAAACAGAAUCCAAAUUCAAAGUAUCAAUAAGAGUUAAGGAUCCUUCCCCAAUGACUGGGGUUGUGUUACCAUUGGCUGUGAAAACAAUUUUUUGUGAGGAAAGUCUAAGGGGUGAAACCUGUCUAGAAUCAAAAGUCAUAUAAUCUGUAGCACCAGAAUCAAUUAUCCAUGCACUAUUAAUAACAGGUGUAAAAGUAUUUAAAAACUUACCACCAUGAUCUAUAGUGGCUACCAAUGCAGAGGUUUUUUCAGCAACAUUAGCCUCUGUUUUCAUUUCGGCAACAAUUGCAAUCGAGAUUUUCUUGGAAUCAUUCUUCUGUUGUUCACGAUUAUUAUCAUUAAUAACAAAGUGUUGAUAGCCUAAACAUGAUCUAAAGGUCCACAGUUCAAACCCUCGGUUCCUCAUUUUUUUCCUAGUCAUACCAGGAGUCGUUGCUUUGAAAUUGUGGGAUAUCCAGACUGGUGGGAUCAGUCUUAUUGCAGUGAGUGCAUUUGAAGGUUGACUUAUCAAUAUUAGGGCUUGUCUUAGGAUGGUUGAUCGCUGUCAGACUACCAUAGCAAAAAAAUAUCUAGGAUUUCAGUUCCAUGGCUCUGAUACCAUCUUCAAAUUGAUAAAUGGUAGUUUUUUCAUUCGUUCAUGUACAGAGUAUUUAUAGAGGGUAAUCACCAUUCUAAGAAUGAGAAAGAAUGAUACAAGGAAAGAAUGAUAUAAGGAAAUAACAACUAAUAUCCUAAUAUCUCAAUAUUCUUAAUAUCUCAAUAUUCUUUAUAUCUCAACUUUCCUAAUAUCCAAACAUUUCUAAUAUCUCAACACUAAAUAAUAUAAGGAAAGAAUGAUAUAAGGAAAACAUUCCUAAUAUCUCAACAAGUACUACCAAGGUUGUUACAUCUCAAAUCUUACCAAAAGUUGACAUAAUAUUUAUAUAAUAAUUAUAAUUUAUAUUAUUAUGGACUCAUGCACAUUUUUCACAUGUUCCUACUCAAUGAGGAUACUCAUUUAUUAUGAAAAAUGAUUAUUUGAAAACCCUUUUUAGGUUUUUUUAGAGUGAUCAUUUAUUUUAUUUAUUUUAUAAAAAGAAAAAAAAAUAAGAAAAAAAAGAAGAAGAGAAAAACCUUAUAUAACUCCUUAUUUGAAAAAAAAAAAAAAAAGACAAGUUCAUAAACCAAUAUUGAGUUAAAAGUCAAAUUACUUAUUGAAAAAAUACGAAGAUAAGUCAUACAAAACAACCCUCUAAGCUUAUAUACCUAUAGUCUUUACUAAGCAAAUGAAAUGAAUUAUGACGAUUAAAUAAUUGAUCAUGGAUGCUCAAGAAAAGAAAAACACAAUUAUAAAACAAGUCAUGGUGUUUGUAUCUUACAAAAAUGUAAAAAACAAAUGAUAAGAGAAUUUACAUAAAUUGAUUUAUGAAACUAAUUAAAAACAUGGGUUUAAUUAUUUCUAAAUUCAAAGGAUUAAAAAGUUAUUCCAAUUUGAUGAUUUCAAUUGAUUUUAAGUACAAAAGAAAGUUUUGAUUUCAUUUUUUUUUAAGAAAAAAAUACUUUAAAUUAUUCUAUUUAUAAAGAAAUGGUUUUUAUUUACUUUUUCUUAAAAAAAUAUAAUUUACACAAAUUCUAUUUACCUUAACAUUCCUUUUUUAUUUUUAUGCAGAAGAGAAUACUUUUAUAAUUUUUGUUACAACAUGAUUUUUACAAUUUUAUUUUAAAAGAAAGUAUCCAAAUCUAAUCUUAUGUGCAUGAGAAUCUUUUUCCAAAUUAUUUAGGAAAAGGAUUUUUAAAAAUUUAUUUAAAAAAAUAUUUACAAAUUACUUUAAAAAAGAUUUGUACAAAUUUAUUAACAAAAAAUAAAUAUUCAGAUCCAAUUUUAUUUACAGAAAAAAAAAAUGAUUUUCUUAGUUUUUAUUGAAAAUAAGACUUUUACAAUUUUAUUUAAUUAGUAUGAAAAUCCAAUUCCAUUUUAUUAAUACUAGAAAAAAAUUAUUAUUAUUUUUAUUAAGACAUGAUUUUUACAAUGUCAUUUACAAAAAAAAAAAAAAAAAGUUUACAAUUUUAUUUUAAAAAAUAUUUUGAAUUUUUUUUUUUAAAAAAAUGGUUUCAAUGUUUUAUUUAAAACAAAAUGCUUUUUAGAUUUUAUUUUUAAAAAAAUGAUUUUCACAAGUAAAAAAAAAAAAUUAUAGUUUUAUUUUUUUACAAAAAAGAAAAAAAUGAAUUUCCAAUUGUAUUUACAAUUUAUUUAAAAAUGGAUUUUGCAGUUUUAUUUAGAAAAACACUUUAUUGUUUUAUUUCAAUCUUAUUGUUUUAUUUUUCUUUUAAAAAAAAAAAAAAGAAGUUCAAAUUUAUUUUUCUCCUCUCUCUCUCUCUCUCUCUCUCUCUCUCUCUCUCUCUCUCUCUCUCUCUCUCUCUCUCUCUCUCUCUCUCCACAUACGCUCAUUAGUUUUGAUGUUACGGUAUCAGCCCAAUUGACAUGAUUUAUAUUGACUUGGUCUUUGGUCUAAUAGUGACCUGUGAACCUUACUGAUAUUACGCAAACCCUACCAUUUAUUUAUAAUAUUGUCGUGAUAAUAUUGAAAUAUGGGAAAUUUUAAUAGACCAGACAGACAUCAAUAGACCAAAGCCACCAAGCAGGAAUUGAAGAAACCAGAAAGCGUUUGUUCCAAACAUAGUAUACUGUAGAACAUGAAACAGAAGCUAGAGUAUACUAUCUUUAUUUGUGUCAUAUAUAUCUCCACUCUCAUAUUGGCACAGGGUCUAUGAGCAGCAUUGAAAUAUUAUUUUUCGUCACUUCUCCAGGAUGUGUGAAUAUAUCUUUGUGGCUCUUGUACAUCACAUCUCCUGAUCGAGCAAAAUUGAGAAGACGACUAAGGAGAAGCAUUGGCACUGUAGUAGGUCUGAGGCACUCUUCAUUUAUAUCCUUCCAUGCAUUCUCGGUUUGCUUGUGAAACUCAUCAUAUGCUUGCUGCUCCGACACACCAUGUUGCUUCAUGUAACAUUCGAUGCUUGAUGCAAUAUGCUCUCUCUCUUGCUCAAACUGCAGAAAUAGUAAUAUAAGGUGUUAAAAAGAAAUUGAUAUACAAUAGAUUUUCUUUAUCUUUAUGGGAUUGAUAUCCAAGUAUCAGUAGGAAGUGUUGUUUCAUUGUACCUUGUGGGAAGCCAUGUCAUCCAUGAGCCUAAUGAUUAUGUAGGUAGCUCUAACAAUCUUAGGGUUUUGUAGCAGCCAAUCAAAGACUUCUUUGGUUGCAGUCUCUCUCAUGCCAAUAAAAGACAUGAUUGUUAACACGGGGACACCAACUGUUACCAUUGCGAUACCCAUGUACUCUUCUAUUGUCGGUAUGUAUUUUCCAUGCAACCAUUUGGCUUCAACCAAGUAAGCUUGGACCAAGCUUUUAAUCUAGGACAAAAAUUCAGCCAAGUAAAUAUAUCAUGCAAGUGUUAUAUAUAGCAUUUUAUUUACAGUACAAUAUAGGAUAUCAUAAACACAAAAGAGUUCGAAGAAUCCUACUGCAUCUUUUGUGUGGUGGACACAGUAUGAUCUUUCUGUGUUUUCCAUCUCCUCAAUUUCUUUGUAGACAUCUAAGACUGCCUGAUAGCAUGGUUUCAUGUAUUCAGGAAGCUGAUGUACGCUGUUUAUAUCCCACCUGAAAAUCAAGUACCAAGUUCCCUUUUGAAGUUCAAAUAUCAAAAUCAAUUCAUUGGUUGUGGGUAAUUUGAAUCUAGCAUAUAUCAAACCUCCCGAUUGCCUCUGUAAAGAGCUCCAGUUCUUCAAAUGUUCCAUAUGCAUCAAACAUAUCAUCCAUAGUUGUUAUCAGAGCAUGUAAUUUGGUCUGUAUUCUUCUAGCAUAUGAAUACUGGGGCUCAAAACAACAUGUUGCUAUCCAAAAGUACCCUUCUACCAAUCGAUCUCUGGCAAAAGGUAGCUUUGAAGAGAAAUCUAGGUCUUUCCACCACCUGAGAAAAUACAUUAAUCCACAUAAAAGACCUGGUAAACUGUUGAUUUGAAUUUAAGUGCAAGAAUGAUUUGAGAACUAACCUCGAGAUAUUACUCAGCUCUUUCUUAUACAGUGACUGCAGUAGGUUGAAAUCUAACUUUGCAAACUUCAGUAAAGCUUUACUAUGUGAAGCUUCAUCUUGGUAGAUAGACAUGAAAGGCCUUGCCUCUAGCCUCUCCAAGCCUUUCCUAAUGGGCCGCUCUAGGGCAUGAGUUACUUGUGCUGCAAGAGGGUAUUCUAAAUGUUCUACAAUAGACUUGAGGUGAGUGGUGGUGAAAGGAAGUGCUUCAUCUAGUAUAUCUUCUUCCCACACCCUGAGAUGUGCAGCUUCAUACAAGCCUAGUAGGCCAUAUGGAUCAUUGAUCAAAGACUUCUUGAACCUCCCCUUUUCAUCUUUGUACCUCUUGAAUAUAUCUGCAAUCAUCACCAAAACAUAGAAUGUUAUAUGUGAGCUUUGCUAGAUGAUAUUCAAGCAACUUAUACAUGAUAUUAAUGAGGCUUACCACAUGAAAUAUUGAAGCCUUGUUGUCUUAGUAGUCGAAAUCGAAGUGCAACAUCAUAGAGAUCAUCAUUUAUAUCAGCAAUGCCAUGAUAGUUAUCAUAGGUGCUUUGUAAUGCUUGUUCUAUCUCGUUUUCAAAGUGGUAUGCCACCCCAAGCCGUUGAAUUGCAUCGAUAAACUUCAGCUGUUUCGAAGGGUUACUAGCUGCAGCUAUCAGCUCUCUUCUAACUUCCUCCUUUAGAUCUUCCAACUGCUGCUCUUUAUGGGCCAGAGUUAUCUGUAUCAAUAAACUGCAAGAACAAAAAGUGAGAAAAUCUUUAGGUCUUGUUAUGCAAACUACAUACAUGAUCAGAAAAUUACCUCAUCCUCAGGAGUGUUGCUCACGAUGAAGCUAUUGCCCCAAAUGCUAGGCUGAUAAUUUGCAGUUCGGCGAGUAGUCUCUGAAUUAGCAACUGGGGCUGGAGAAGACCCGUUGCUGGUUGCGAGAAUUAAGGCCAUGUGUAACUCACUCGUGAGAAAUGCAUGUGUUUUAAAAUAUAUUUAAAUGGAUGAAGAUAAAAUUAAUUUAUAAAAUUUUGAAUUUUUUUUUUCAAAUUAGUGAGUCAUAACCUAGUUUUCCCUUAAUCUUUCAUUGUACAAUAAAAUUAAUAUCAUGGUAAUAAAAGAAUUUGGAUAUAACUAGGGAACUAAGUUCUUUUAUAUACAACACAAAAAUUAGUGUCUAGAUGAAAAGAAAAUUACAAAUAAUUUGUUUUUCAAUCACACCUAUUGUAAGAAUCAUAUUAUUAAUUAUUUUGAUUCUUAAUUAACAAUAAUUAAGAAUAAUAGAAAUAUAUUUUUUUUAAUUAAAAUGUGAUUUGAGUUAGGAUGACUCUUAAAUUUUUGACAAAUUUUCAAUGCCAAUUUUUCAUUUAUAUAAAACCACAGAAUAUUUCAUUUAUAUAAAAAUUAGGUCCAAAUGAUGCUUGACACGUCAAAUGUCCUUUCAAACAUUGAAAAAGUAAAAAAAAAAAAACAUUGAAAGUUACAUGAUGUGAUUCAAUUAAACCACAAAUUCCUUAGAGGAGAGGUAUAUAACCUGCCAGUCACUUUAUUAUAUGAAAAUCAUUCCUCCGCCUUAUCAUAAUAAUUGAUUCUUCACCCAUCAAUAAUUUUAAAUUCCCCUAAUAUGGCAAUUUACAUCUCCUCUUUCUAUCAAUUUUUAGACCCAAUCUUAUAUUAAUUUCUAAAAAUUCCAUCCCUUAAAUCGGAGUGGCGUGACAUUAUUUAAUAAAUUCCAAUAAAACUAUAAGAGUUCUAAACAAUGAAUGAAUCCAAAAUAAUCAUUUAAGUUUUAUUUAAUCAUUAUAUUUAUUUAUUAAACAUCUUUUAAGUAAGACUUAUUACAUAAUAAGGCUUACUUAUUUUAUAAUUUAAUUAUUUUAAUAGUUAAGAAAAUUGGAGGAUGCAUUGAAUUGAGCAAAACUAAAUCUCAAUCAUAAAUGAGCAAGUCUAUUUUAUAAAGAGACAAUAAUGUUUGGAAGGAAGUACACUUGUGUUGGACCAUCUAUGGUCGAAUUCAUACACCAAAAUCUCUAGAAAAUCCGAGUGGGCACCAUCACCGUUGAAUAACGGCCCUACUUGGUAUGUGGGGUGAUGUUAUGGGUUUUGGAUGUUAAUAUGAAAAAAAGGGUCGAGUGUUUUGCAAAUAUUGCCGGCCGCCCUAUUUGAUUGAGACAUGAAUGAUCUUGGCUGAUUUGUAAACUCUAUUUGAAAGUAGUAAAAGAUUUGUGUAAUCAUUAUUUCAUUAUAAAAUUAUCUAAAGAAAAAUUAUUAGCGAUUUAGGGCAUUAGUCUAGUUAAAUUAAAUUUGUAAUUUUUUAGGUCGUUAUAUAUAUAUAUAUAUUAAUGAUUUAUACUCUCUUUAAACAUUCAAGGUUGCUGCAUAAUUAAUUUGAAAUUAAACAGAUAAGUAUAACUAAAUUGAUUUAGAAUAAUGAGCAAAAGGGAUAAGUAUUUAUAUGGAAAUUGAAAAUAAAAUUUGAAAAUGAAUUUAAAUUUAGAAUUUAAAAUAGAAAAACUUUCAAAUAUCUUUCAGUUUAAAAAAUAUUUUUUAAGUUUAAAAAGGAAAAUCUUUCCUUCCUAACUCUUUUUUUUUGGUAAAAUAUCAUUUGAGAGUUUUCAAAGAUCACCCCCUAAGCUUAAAGUCAUUAUUCUUUGUGUUUAAUAAAAAAAUGUUUCAAAACAUUUUAAAUUUGUUUGUUGAGUUUGAGAUAGAAGAUCACAUCCUCUCAAGGUUUCGAGGAGUCCAGUAAGGAGAAUGAUAUGUUUGCAUCGUAGACAUGAAAUUAGGUACAAUCAUUAGAUAACUUUAUGUACUUAUCCUUCAAAUUUAGUGGAUUUUAAAUUUAUGGUAUUUGACCUUGUAGUUCUUAUAUCAAAGUCUUUGGGAGCCUUUGUGGGUGAUUUUCUAUGUAAUCACUUGUAUUUUUAAGUGAUUUUUUUGUUUUUAUUUAUUCUUUAUAUCCUAAUAAAAGAAUAUAUAGAAACUAAAGAUUAGCAUACAUUGAGCUAAAUUCAAGAAGACUAUCCAUUCACUCCCUUUGAGGUGAAUAGAUAAAAAAGAAAGAAGAGAAAUGGGAGAUUUGUCUUUCUUUAAAUCCAAACAAGAUGAUAGGACCCAGUCAAAGAAUCGUGUACUACAACAAUUGAUUACAAGUAUUCUCUUUGGGUGAGAAUAGACCACACAAAGAAAUUGGGUUAAAAAUUUGUCAUAUCCUUUAUUGAUGUCCAUGAGCAAUUUUCAGCAUAUGUUAUUGAAACUAAAGGUCUUUAACACCAUAAUAAAAUAACUUCAAAUAAUAAAAAAAUAACAAUAGCGAAAGCAAAAAUCAAUGCAAUAGCUUUUGUUCUUCUACCACUACUUAUGACUUGUUCUAACACAUGGUUGUUAAUCCCUCAUAAUUCCUUGGCCAGAAGAGAAUAGCAGCUUGACUACGAAAUGAGCAAGCCUAUUUUAUAAAUGAAACAAUAAAGUUUGGAAGGAAGUGCACUCAUGUUGGACCAUCCAUGGUCGAAUUCAUUCACCAAAAUCUCUAGAAAACCCAAGUGGGCACCAUCACCAUUGAAUAACGGCCCUACUUGGUAUGUGGGGUGAUGUUGUGGGUUUUGGAUGUUAAUAUGAAAAAAGGGUCGAAUGUUUUGCAAAUGGCCCUACUUGGUAUUACUAAGCGUGGAUAUGUUGGAGUUGUUUUGGGGCUUAAAUUUCCUUUUUUUUCACGUACAUUGUAUUGACUCUUCUCAUCGUUGUUGUCGCAUUCCUCGGUCCUUAUUUUAAUAAUUUAUUAUAUUUUUUUUAUAUGAAAUGCAAAAUAUUUGAGUACUUUUUGAGUGGUUGCUUAUAAUAUGUGGUGAAAUUUAUUCCUACUAUUAUUUGUUAAAAGGGUAAGUAUUUGAGUGGUGGUUAUUUCUAAAGAAAUUAAGAUUUGGUUCACUUUUUCAAAAAUUAAUUUUUGCUUCCAAUAAAAAAAAUAAAAAAAAAAUGAAAAUGAAAACAUGUCUAUGUGUUAAUUGUUCCAAAAAUAGAUUUUUGAAAAUAGGGAAUUUUUGAGGAAAAGCUUUAAUUGUUGUUAUUUGUUUUCAUUUGUUUUUUUUGUGAAUGUUUAAAAAAUAAUAUAUAAAAAAAAUGAUUAAAAAUAAGGUAGUAUAUAUAAAAGUUUUUUUUUAUUGUAGAGAAAUUUGAAAAACACACUUUUAAUGUUAGAAAAUGAUUUUUUACAAUAAAAAAACUAUUACAAAACAGAUUAGUCAAAUAAGCAAUUCUAUGACACUUUCCUUUCAUCUUUAGAUUUUGUCAUGGUAAAAUUACCAAUUAUGAUUAGAAUUCCUUUUCUAUUUAUUAAGUCUAUAAAUUCAUUGUUUUAGUUAGAGUUCAGUAAAUUUUUAACUACAAAUUUGAAAAUAAAUAAAAUUACUAUUCAGAUUUUUUUUUUUUUUUUGCUUUUUUUCUUUUUUAGAAUUUUGUUAACUCAUCCCUCUUGGUAUUCCUCAAUUGGUAUCAACAAGAAGGGUUUUUUUUAAUACUGCUUUUUUGUCUUUUGAGAAUUUGGUUCAAUAAAGGGUUUGAUUUUAAAUUUUUUUUAGAUAUGUAUACUAAUCAUUAAUUAGGAUAUUUGAUUGAGACAUGAAUGAUCUUGGCUGAUUUUUAAACUCUAUUUGAAAGUAGUAAAAGAUUUGUGUAAUUAUUAUUUCGUUAUAAAAUUAUCUAAAGAAAAAUUAUUAGUGCUUUAGUGCAUUAGUCUAGUUAAAUUAAAUUUGUAAUUUUUUAGGACGUUAUAUAUAUAAUAUACCCCCUUUAUGCAUAAUUAAUUUAAAAUUAAACACAUAAGUAUAACUAAAUUGAUUUAGAAUAAUGAGAAAAAGAGAUAAGUAUUUAUAUGGAAAUUGAAAAUAAAAAUUUGAAAAUGAAUUUAAAUUUAGAAUUUAAAAUCAUAAAUUGCAAAAAAUUAGUGAUUAAUCGAAAAAAAUAACAAAAUGUCAUGAUUAAUCAAGAUAGAUUAUCAAAAUUUCCAUGUGCAUCCCAUCUUGUAAUACCUUUCAAACAAAGGUCGGUGCAAAUUUAAAAGAUAGCCUUACAUUUCUUUGGAAUACCUAAAAAAAUUUUGCUGGUUAGGAGAUAUUUGCAGUGAAGAGGAGCGGAUGAGAGAAGGGAGAGCGGAGUUGAGAGAGUUUUGGAGGGGGAAGAAAGAAAAAAAACGGAGGAAGUUUCUGGAGAGAAGAGGGAGUGCAUUGUGAGUAGUAGCAGAGAGCUUUAGUGAGAAAAGGAUAGGAGAGGCAGGUGUGCAGGGAUUCUGCAGGAGAGUUAGGGUGCUUUUGAGAGAGGAAGAAAGUUGGAGCUGUAGGAAGAGGGGUGGCAGAAGAGAGAAGAGAGAAGAGAGUUCAAAAUUUUUACAGAGGAAGGUAUACAUUGUUGUGAGGAGUUGCAGAGAUCUUUGGGGGAAUGGUUAUGGAGUGCGAGAGAAGCACUUUCUUCUGGUAGUCUGGAGGGCGAGAACUUUGAAAGAGUAUCUCCAGGUACGUCUGUGGUAACUUCUUGGUCUAUUCUCACUCAUCCCUCGGUUUUCUCUUUUUACCUUGCAUUCUCUCUAUUUGGCUCUGGUUCCUAUGGGUAUUGGCUGAUUGCUUAGAUAUGAGUGUGAUAUUGUGUUACUCUCCUCUCGUAUUUGUUUAUUUUAACAUGGCUCACUCCCAUUUUGGUAUUGGUUUUAAACUCUUCUGCUAAACCACUGGUCAGAACCCCUGGAUCUCAAUAUGAAAGGGGAUCCCACUUAAUGCUUGGCUCACUCUGUUUACUCUGCCAUGGGUACACUACAUCUUGUUUUAUUUCUUCCUCCAUUUCUGGUAUCUCAAUCCAUAUCUUGGUUUCUGGCUCACGUUUCUGGAUUUGUUUUGGACUAUUGGUUUUGUGCUCUGGUUUGUGCUUGAGGGGAGAGGGUGGUGCUUUAGCUAUUGCCACAGAUUCAGGGUUCCCAAUGGACGGGAUGCAUAUAGGAGCUACUUCGGCUAUUGUUUUGACUGUCCAAUGGGUGGAAACUAUGGCAACCGAGAGAUCAGAGUGCCUUUUGCAGUAAUCAGAAAGUGAAAUGGGGAGAGUUGAUUCUGGCUUACAUGAUGGAAAGACUAGUAGGGUGGACAUGACAAGAGGAUAUUAUGAUGCAGGUGACAAUGUGAAGCUUGGGCCUACCUAUGGCGAUCGCUGUUAUAAUGAUAUCAAGGAGCAUAGUGAAGUAUAGGAGGCAAACGGGUGCAAAUGGAGCACUGGGUCAUACCAUGAAGCUGUGAAGUGGGGUCCUGACUACCUCAUUAAAGCUUAUACCAUCACUCUUAUUGUCCUUUACAGAGAGAUUCAUGGUCGAAUGUCCACAUUGCAGACAAUGAAGGGUUUGUUUAUACCUUCUGCUUUUUCUUUGGCUGUCUCACAGGCUCUCGUUUCCCUCACUAGUGAAGUUGAUGGGGAGGGACAGGAUUCACCUAAUGUUUAGGCAUCUGAACAGAUGGCUCCAAGAGGACAGUUUGUUUUCGCUAUUGGAGUAGGGGCUUUGGUGUUUGUUCCAAUGUUCAAGGCUGUGACUAGUUUGCCUCAUUUUUAUAGGUAUUUUGCUUGAGUUUGGAGUUCUUUUGGAUUCUGACGCAGGCAUGACCUCUUUGGACCCCCUCAUUUCCCAAGUUUGCAAGUGCGUGAGAGUAAUGAAUUGAAGAGUUAUUCAAGAAGCCAUGAGAAGCCCGUGAGUGAGCUGCUGCUGCAACUUGGAAUGAACCUUUCUUUCUGUUCCAAUACUGAUCUAUGACCCAUUGAUAGAAGUUCACCCGACCGAUUUUUGAAGAUGGAGAGGCUCGAAAACCAUCUAUGCAUGCUGAUGUAGGCCCCAUGUCCGAGACAAGAGGUGCAGAAAAUGCCGACUAUGGUGAUUCUGAUAAUAAAAACAGUGGGAUUUCUUGGGUCCUUAUUGUGAUGAUGCACCCUACAGAAACCCAAAAUUUUCCACUUACAUGCAUGAAUUUAUAGUCCCACACUUCCCGCUAAUGGAGUGCAUCAAACGCAAGUUCUGCAUGGAUCCAUUGAACUCCCCAGAGACUUGGGAUGCUAAGUGAGCUGAAGAUCAAGUCUACAUGGCUGAGAUGUUGAUGCUAAGGAAGGUUACAGAUUGAUUUUGAAUGCUAGAUUUUCCUCAACUGACUGUUCACCCAAAUUCUACUGGUAGUUCUCAAGGACAGUUGGGUUCUCUGAAGAAGCAAAUUGUUGGAAUUGUCCAUCAAAACCAAGAAUUCAGUAUCCAGAAUGAGGAUUUUCCUGCAUCACCUGGAUUUAAAGGUGGAAAUACUUACUUUCCUGUGGACUCUCACCGGAAAGAACAACUCCAUGAUAGUGUUGUGUCAAUGAUGCAAUCUUAGCAUUUUCUUAUGGGAAGGUCUGGUAGAUUUAACUUAGAUGUCCCAUAUUCAUCUCGUCUUCAACAGCAACAACAACAUGCUUCAUCAAUUGGAAGCGGUGGACCACCUUCCAUAGGUCCAUUACUGCUGCCACCGCAACUGCCUCAAUCUCUUUUUCCUCUUCACAUGGGUUCAGCCGCUCCUCGUCCCGCCGUGAUCAUUAACUACGGCACCAGGUAUAUUAAAAUGGGUUUUUCCGGUAACGUGGAGCCGUGCUUCAUUGCCCCGACAGUUGUUGCUGUCAACGAGUCGUUUUUGAAUCAAAAUCGGAGCACCACCAACCCAAGCUAUCCGAUUGUUCACGGCCAGGUUUAUAAUUGGGAUGUCAUGGAGAGAUUUUGGCAGCAGGGUAUAUUUAAUUAUUUGAGAUGUGAUCAGGAGGAUCACUACUUUCUUUUGGCGGGAAGUCCACUCACUGCCCCGGAGAGCCGUGAAUACACUGGUGAAAUUAUGUUUGAAACCUUCAAAUGUUCCUGGUCUUUAUAUUGCAGUGCAGCCGGUACUCGCCCAUGUGACAGGAUACACUACAUCCAAGUGGCAGUAGAUGACAAGGAUGGUAAAAUCCUGGGCUUCAUGCAGGGGCUACGCUUAUUACUUGUCUUGUAAAUAUCUAGCACUGGGGAUUUUAUCGAGUUACCUAGUCAUGGGGUUUCUUCUGGAAAUAUAGAGAUGUUGUGAAGGGGAGAAGUGAUCAUGUCGCGGAUGGGAUAAAGGUUGAUAUACGGAGCCAAAUAUUGCUUUGACAGGAGUGUCCCAAGAAUGAAACCAGUGAACCUGAUGCAAGCCCAGUUAGACAGGCUAUGGAUCAUGGUUUUCCAUUGGCUUCAAUGCAUUAUUCAGGUGCAAUUUCUGGGGAGAUAAGAAGCAAUGGCCUUAAAGCCUACGUUCAUCUAUAUCUUGCUGCACUCAAUGGUGAUUGGAAAAGUGCAAAAGCAUUCCUGGAGUCAAAUCCACAAACAGUGAGAACGAGGAUCACAAGGCUCUUAGAAACUGCUCUUCAUAUUGCUGCUAUGGCAGGAUUUGCAUCUGCAAGUGAUAGAGGUAUCAGGAGAAGCAGAUAAACAGAGUUUUGGUAGGAGGAUCAAGCUCUGCUACCCAGUCAAGAUCUACCAGAGCCUGGUAUUGGAGGGUUUGAAUCAAUUUGUGCCUCGCUUAAGAGUCCGGGCAAUAUCUGAUGUUUUCUCUGAAUGGAAGAUUUCUUCUCUGGAUGAGCUUAGUGUAAUUGGUGCCGGGGUUCCAUAUGAGGAAUUUAUCAACAGCAAGCUAACUCUGAAGUUGGCUUGAAGGAACUAGGACGCUGCCAACACCAACUCUGUCCCCAUCUCUGUGGUUGUCAUUCUCCAUCUCCUUCCACUUGUGCAUGGACUGGAUGUCCACCUUCAGUAUGGCCACCCUUGGGCCAUGUGUUUCCUCAUCCCUGUUUUUUAAAAUAAUUUUCCCAAACUCUAUCUUGGAAAUAAUUUUAUUGAAUUUUGAUUUUCAAAUAAUUUCAACUCUCCUAUCUUUCAUCCUUAGAAUUUUUAGGUUCCAAAAAUUCCAUUUUUUAAUAAAAAUUGGUUGCUACUUUCUUUCUGGCAAGCCAUUUUCACACCUCUUCUGUUUUUAAAAAUGUUUUAAAAUAAGUAAAAAUCAAAUUUUGUAAUUCCUAGUGAUGGAAUUUACGGGUUUGGUUCAGGCAAAAAUGAACGGGCUUUGGUGGGGGCCCUACAUAUGAGAUUUCAAGAUUGAUUAACUGAUUGUUUGCUUCAUUAGCCACAUGUGAUUGAUUUACUCUAUUCCUUGAUAUGCGCUUAAUUAUAUAUGUUCAUUGUUCACUAACCAUGUUUCAUGAUAGCGCAUUCGUGAUUGCCGUCCAGGUACGCAUCUAUUCACAUUUUGCUCAUUCUUUAUACAUGCUUUGCUUCUCAUAUUGUGCAUGAUCGAUUUGAGUAUUCAUCGAUUUUCUUAUUGACUGCCACGUCAGCUUCAUUCUAUUAGUAGGGACCCAACAUUAGGGACUUAGAGGGGUGCUACGGUCCGUACCGUACCUUCCCGAUAAGUAACCUGACCCCCGAACCUGAUCCGGUUUUUCAUAGACCACCUUUUCCAAAACAAGGAGUCACAUUUAGGGUUUUUCUUUCUUAUUUUGUUUACCCUUUAAAAAUAAAACAAAAACAAAAAUAAGUGGCGACUCCAAGUCAUUUUCUUAAUCGAAUAAAAAUCAAUUUUUUCAAAAUAAAAAUCGAGCUCGCCAUCGAGUGGGAAACGCAUCGAGCCGAAAUGCGGGGUCCACACAGGGUAAUGCUCAAGUUGUAUCUUGAGGAAAUACUACAGCCGUGGUUUAUCUGGAUCAGUUUGUCACUAAGGAUAUUAUACCGAUCAACGAGAAAGAAGUCGUGUUGCCAUUAACUCAAGAGUUUCCUAAUUUCUACAAUAAGGAGGACCUUGCCUUGCCUAGUGAACUAGAGCCAUUUUCAGAGAAAGCCUCCUUCAUGACUACCAUUGACUAUGUCGUUUAUGAGAAGAGUGAUAUUUUCAUGCCAUCUCAUGCCGGAAAUCAUGUGCUCUGAGUUGUGAGUUUUAUUUCAUAUAUGAUUGAUUUUGGUUGACGAACCAGAUGCCAUUGCACCUUGCCGUGAGUGCACUCUUGCUGCUGUCUUCACCGAAUUGCUCCAGUUUAGCUGACCUUGACCAUUCCGAAUGAAUAUUUGAGAAGGAUACAAGUAUUUGGAUGUCUUGUUCACUGCUGCAGGAGGAUCUCGGGUCUGGCUGAUACCAUCCGUGGCGCUAAGGAAGCUCAGAGGAGCAACAGUCGCGAGUUUCGUCUCCGGCGACGCUCACUGAAGAAGUCCAAUGUUUUUUUUCUCUUCAGAAUCACCCCGUCUGCACCACCGCUGCCGUCACCACCGCGAGCAUCAGUCGUCCAUCCACUCAUCGGACGAUCGGAAAUCUCAUGGCCUGGGACAGAGCCUCUCACCUCUGCUUGAGCGCACUCUAGUCUUUCAAACCAUCACUCCAAAGAUUGGCUGCAACUCCAAUCUUCGAGGAGCUUCGGUCCGCUCCCUCCUGCAUUGACUCCAACUCUGGUCCUGGAACAGGAUCACCUAGCUCCUCAUGCUCGGCUGGAGAACAGAAAUUGGGUGGAAUCAUCCAAAGUUGCUGCUCUUUUGCUUGAACUAGAAAAUCUCUGCUCUGUAGGUUCCAAAAGUAUUUUAUUUAGCCAGUAGACUGCCUUUCUCGACCUCUUACAGAUUCCCCUUUCUUGGAGUAACAUAUCAUUUGUUCGUCUGGAUGGAACUCUGAAUCAGCAGCAACGGGAAAAAGUGAUUAAACAAUUCUCAGAGGAAAGCCACAUCCUGGUCUUGCUAAUGUCAUUGAAGGCUGGUGGAGUUGGAAUAAACCUAAUGGCUGCGUCCCAUGCCUUUGUUUUGGAUCCAUGGUGGGAUCCAGCUGUAGAGGAACAAGCUGUUAUGCGCAUUCAUCAUAUUAGACAAACAAAAAAGGGUAAUGAUCAAGCGGUUCAUUGUGAAGGGAACAAUACAGAGGAGUGCACUGAUUGCUUCAAAGAUGCAAAGUAGAGCAACAUGAGAAAAUGCGCACUGCAUGGCCACUUUAGCAUGGCCACCUUUCUGAGCCACGUGCCACCCCCCAAAAUUCUUUCCCUUCGUUUUCAAAAAAUAAUUUCCUAACUCCGUUUUCAAAUGUUUUUUCUAGCUUAUGUCAUUAUCAUUAUUAUUAUUAUUAUUAUUUUAUCUUUUUAUUUUUUUUUUUAGCGACUUCAAAUCAUCAAAUCUCCCAUCUUUAGAGUUUUAGGUAUCAAAAAUCCCAUUUUCAAUAAAAUUUGGCCGCCACUUUCUUUUCGGCGAGCCCCCUUCGAAUUUUUCAUAAUUUUAAAAUAUUUUAAAAUAAACAUGAAUUUAAAUUCUGUAAUUCCGAGUGAUGGAAUUUACGGAAUUAAUUCAUGCAAAAAUAAACGGGCUUUGGUGGGGGCCCUACAUAUGUGAUUUCAUGAUUGAUUUACUGAUUAGUUGAUUGGCUUUCCGGGCAUGAUUGAUUUGCUCUGUUCUUGAUAUGCGCUUAAUUAUAUCUGUUCAUAAUUCACUAACCCUGUUCCAUGUUAGUGCGUUGCUGUUUGCCGCCCAGGUACGCAUCUAUUCAUAUUUUGCUCAUUCUUUAUACAUGUUUCGUUUCUCAUAUUGUGCAUGAUCGAUUUGAGUAUUGAUUGAUUUCCUCAUCAUUGCCACAUCAGCUUCAUUUUAUUAGUAGAGACCCGACUUUAGGGACUUAGAGGGGUGCUACGGUCUUUACCGUACCUUCCCGAUAAGUAACCUGACCCCCGAACCCGAUCCAGUUUUUCGUAGAUCACCUUUUCCAAAAUAAGGAGUCGCACUUAGGGUUUUCUUUCUUAUUUUGUUUACCCUUUUAAAAUAAAACAAAAAUAAGUGGCGACUCCAAGUCAUUUUCAAAUAAUCAAUAAAAAUCAAUUUUUCAAAUAAAAAUCGAGCUCGCCAUCGAGUGGGAAACGCAUUGAGCCGAAAUGCGGGGUCCACAAAAAUUGAAAAUGUGAAUCUCAAUAAUGAACUACACCUAGAGGGGGGUGAAUAGGUGUUGUAGAACAAUUUUAAAAUUCUCCCAACAAAGAUUACCUAACCUUAAUAAAACAUCCACAAGCAACAAUGUAUGCAUCAACACUCUCCCAACAAUUUAUAAAUGCAAAACACAUGCAAAUGCUUCAACACUCCUCAAAAAUAAAACAAAAUAUAGAGUGAGAGAAAGAGACAAUGAACACCAGAUUUUUAACGUGGAAAACCUCCGAAGAGAUCAAAAACCACGGGCCUAUCACCGAUUGAAAACUCCACUAUGAAGAAUAAAAAACUGAGUACAAGGUUUUACCUAGCUCAAGCCAACCAAUCCUUCCCGGAAUACUUGACUAGUACCUUCAUUUUCAACUUCUCCUUUUGGAGCACACUUGGAGUCCGCACCAAGCUCAAUCUCGGCCUCUUCUUGAAUCCACACAAGAAGAAAAUGGGUUUUUGCACAACCCAAAUAGAAUGAGAGAUUUAGAUGUGAAUGAAAGAAUGAAUCAACCCAUUUAUUGCUCAAGAAAAUCCAUUGAAAACAAGUUUUGAACACAUUAAGAGAAGUUGAUUUUCUUUGCAAUCAAAAAACCCCAACUUAGGAAAGCAAAAAUGAGAAAUGAAGAACACUUGGGAGUGUGGCUGCUCUCCCCACGUUUUCAGCAGUCUCUCUACACAGAAAAUGAGAGAAGAUUGGGUUUUAAAGUGUAAAAAGAAACCCUUAAUCUAAUGGCUGAGAUUUGAUCAAAAAAACAUUAGUUGGAUAGAUCCACCCCUACACCUGGAUCGAUCCAGAAACAAAGGAAUAAAAGCCUUGCACCAAAAACCAUUUUUCCCAACUUUCUAACACAUUUUAAAGAUUAAAAACCGGGUUGAUUCACACCCAAUCACUCCACACUCGACUACAUACCUUGGUCUCUUAGCAAAGUCUUAGUCUUCAAAGUCAAGUAGUCCGAAUAGGAAUAGGAAAGCCGAGUUAGGGGACACUUAGGAAUUUUGUCCGGAAUUGCCAACCUAGCUAAACACUCACACCUUUCAAACAAAGGUCGGCGCAAAUUUAAAAGAUAGCCUUACAUUUCUUUGGAAUACCUAAAAAAAUUUUGCUUUUCUGUGGAUGAAAUAAUUAAACAUUUUAAAGCUAGAGCCAAGAAAUACGUCGACAAAGAACUAAGGAAACUUUUUUCAUUUUUUGUUAUUUCCUAUUAGGAGAUAAGAAUUUCAUGUCACCUUAUGGUACGGAAGCUUGUGGGGCUAAUCCCAUGGGUGCCCACUUUUUCAUGGACUGCACGUUCCCGGGAGUAUGGCCGGCGAGAACCAACUGCCAAGCUGACUUUCCUAACGGCUAACGCAGGACUCUUAUGUAGGUUGUUGGUAGGCAUUGAAAAUCUGAAACGCAGCAAGGAAAUAAAUGUGAUUAGUUUUAGUUUUAAAUUAGGUUUGAUUGAUCGGAUAAGAUAGGAUAAGGUUCUAUAUAAUAGGGUAUUAUAUCUUUCUAAAUAGAUCUAUCAUAUGAUUAUAUCAUAUAAUAAUUUUCGAUUAGAUAUGACAUUUUGAUAUAUAUAUUUUAUUAAUAUAAUAUUUUAAAAUAAUAUAUUAUAUUAUAUUUAUAUUUAAUUUGUGAAAUAAAUAAAAAAUAAUUGAAAAUAUAUGUAUUUUUAAAUAUAUUUUAUUUUAAAAAUAAAAUUUUAUUUGUGAAAUAAAUAAAAAAUAAUUGAAAAUAUAUGUAUUUUUAAAUAUAUUUUAUUUUAAAAAUAAAAUUUUAUUUAUGUUUAAUCAUAUUUAUCAUUAAAAUAUUUAAAUUUUAUAAAUAUGUUCUUUUAUUUUGUGUUAUUUAAUAUAUAAAAAUAAUUUAUAUAUCAUAUAUUAAUAUUAUUUUAUAAAUAGUUUUUAGUUUUUUUUAAUCAUAAAUUUAAUUUAUAGUAAAUUUUUUUAUUUUAUAAAAUGAAUAUAUUAAAAAUAUAAAAAAUGAUAAAAAUAAAUAAUUUUUUUUUUUAUGUGUAUUUGAUCAGUGAUGGCAUGCAUAUAUGAAAAAUUACUACAAAUAAAGGAAAGUAGCGGGAAUACGAACCAACCGUUGUAGGCCUCAGCUUUGGCAGUUCCAGUGUAAAUUUCUUCAUCAUUGUUUGAAGGAAGUAAAAAAGAUAAAAAUGAAAAAGAAAAACCAUGAGGAACUGGAGCCACAGAUUCAAUGAAAAUGGAAGAAAGCGUGUUUUACUGGGUGACUGGAUUCGGAGUCACUUCUUCGUAAGCAACCGUGUCUUUUACCCUUCUGUCCAUCUUUCUCGAUAGUUCACUUGACCGCUGACCUUAACAUGAAUAAAAAAUUAUAAAAAUAAAAAAGGAUGGAGAAUCUCGAAGCUAGGGAUAAGGUUGGGGUGGGCCAUUGAGAACGGGAAGUUGAGGAGCAUUCAUGUGGCCACUAAAAGAAGAUUCGUAUUAACUAAGGUGGGGUCCAUUCAAUUCUAUGUUCUUUAAGGUUGAAUCCGUAACUGUGGCGCCGCCGUUAGUUUUGGUCAGAUCCUUGAUUUCCUUUCAAUGUCUCUGGCCUCUUGUUUCACAGAUUCUUGAUAAAGUAGUAUGGAAAUUUGAGCUGUCACUCUCCAAAUCUGGACUGUCUACCCUUGAAUCAACGGCUCAGACUGAAAACUCUCACUGUUGGAGAGGUGUCCUUCCUGAGGGGGACAGCAGUAGAGAAAAGAUGAGUGACCCAAUGCCAGCCAGCUGUUUUGAAGGGAGUCCAACACGUGGCAAGAGCGAAUAUAAAAGGUUUGAUUGAUUUUAAAUUUUUUUUAUAUAUGUAUACUAAUCAUUAAUUAGGAUAUUUGAUUGAGACAUGAAUGAUUUUGACUGAUUUGUAAACUCUAUUUAAAAGUAGUAAAAGAUUUGUGCAAUCAUCAUUACGUUUAAAAUUAUCUAAAGAAAAAUUAUUAGCAAUUUAGGGCAUUAGUCUAGUUAAAUUAAAUUUGUAAUUUUUUAGGUCAUUUUAUAUAUAUAUAUAUAUUAAAUAUUUAUACUCCCUUUAAACAUUCAAGGUUGUUGCAUAAUUAAUUUGAAAUUAAACAGAUAAGUAUAACUAAAUUAAUUUAGAAAAAUGAGCAAAAGGGAUAAGUAUUUAAAUGGAAAUUGAAAAUAAAAUUGGAAAAUGAAUUUAAAUUUAGAAUUUAAAAUAGAAAAACUUUCAAAUAUCUUUCGGUUUAAAAAAUAUUUUUUAAGUUUAAAAAGGAAAAUCUUUCCUUCCUAACUCUUUUUUUAAUGGUAAAAUAUCAUUUGAGAGUUUUCAAAGAUCAUCCCCUAAGCUUAAAGUCAUUAUUCUUUGUGUUUAAUAAAAAAAUGUUUCAAAGCAUUUUAAAUUUGUUUGUUGAGUUUGAGAUAGAAGAUCACAUCCUCUCAAGGUGUUGAGGAGUCCAAUAAGGAGAAUGAUAUGUUUGCAUCGUGGACAUGAAAUUAGGUACAAUCAUUAGAUAACUUUAUGUACUUAUCCUUCAAAUUUAGUGGAUUUUAAAUUUAUGGUAUUUGACCUUGUAGUUCUUAUAUCAAAGUCUUUGGGAGCCUUUGUGGGUGAUUUUCUAUGUAAUCACUUGUAUUUUUAAGUGAUUUUUUGUUUUUAUUUAUUCUUUAUAUCCUAAUAAAAGAAUAUAUAGAAACUAAAGAUUAGCAUACAUUGAGCUAAAUUCAAGAAGACUAUCUAUUCACUCCCUUUGAGGUGAAUAGAUAAAAAAGAAAGAAGAGAAAUGGGAGAUUUGUCUUUCUUUAAAUCCAAACAAGAUGAUAGGACCCGGUCAAAGAAUCGUGUACUACAACAAUUGAUUACAAGUAUUCUCUUUGGGUGAGAAUAGACCACACAAAGAAAUUGGGUUAAAAAUUUGUCAUAUCCUUUAUUGAUGUUCAUGAGCAAUUUUCAGCAUAUGUCGUUGAAACUAAAGGUCUUUAACACCAUAACAAAAUAACUUCAAAUAAUAAAAAAAAAUAACAAUAGCGAAAGCAAAAAUCAUUGCAAUAGCUUUUGUUCUUCUACCACUACUUAUGACUCGUUCUAGCACAUGGUUGUUAAUCCCUCAUAAUUCCUUGGCCAGAAGAGAAUAGCAGCUUGACUACGAAAUGAUCCCACAACCACUUGAAUGCGUACAUGUCUUCACGCAUGAUAUUUUGGAUUUCUUUUGAUGGCACAUUGCGAAUGUCAUAGCCCAUUCAAAGUCUUAUCAUUACUCCCCCCCCUCAAAGUGGAUGCUUGUCCUCAAGAUCCCAAUUUGGAAACCGCUGCAGAAGCUCUUCGGUACUCUCCCACGUAGCAUCCUCCGUAGCCAGCAUACGCCACUUGACUAAACUUUCUUCACUAAACUUAGCCCCGCGUUUCACCCAACGAGUGUCUAGUAUGGCUUUGGGCUCAAUCACAAGUGUACCCUCAUCUGAAAAUGGCAGAAGUUCUGAACUGAUCACGGAACCAUCUCCAAGCUUCUUCCUUAGCAGCGAUACAUGAAAAAUAGGGUGCAAGUGCACACUGUCGGAUAGCUUCAGUUUUUAUGCGACGACUCCCACUCUCUCCUCGAUUAGAUAUGGUCUAUAGUAUUUGCUUGCAAGGUUCUGAUGAGCACGUUGAAAGCGAAUUGUUGGCGAUAAGGCUGUAGUUUGAGGAAAACAAGAUCGCCUUCUUGAAAUGUAACAUCCCGUCAGCCACGAUAUGUUAUUUGCUUCAUUCGAUUCCUUGUUAUCGCUAAGUUUUCCUUGAGAUGUUUCAACAAUGCAUCUCAAGUUGUAAGUCUAUGAUCAACUUCAUCAACAAGCGAAGACCCCAUCAAAUACAAUGGAAUAACAAGGGAAGGUCGCCCAUAAAGAGCCUGGAAUGGGGUCAUACCUGUAGAAGAGUGAUAAGUAGUAUUAUACCACAACUCAGCCCAAGGAAGAAAUGUACUCCAUUGGCGUGGUUGUUGAUAGAUGAAACAACGCAGAUAUUGUUCCACACAAUGGUUGACAACUUCAAAUUGGCCAUCCAUUUGAGGAUGGUAGGCAGAACUCAUCUUGAGUUGUGUACACAACAUUUUAAAAAAUUCCUGCCAGAACUUACUGAUGAAAAUGGGGUCCCUAUCACUGACAAUAGAUUGCGACAUUCCAUGUAGUUUCACAAUGCCCUCAACAAAUUUUUCUAAUGGAUGAGAUAAGGGCAGAAAAUGUGUGUAUUUGCUAAGACGAUCAACGAUCACCAGAAUGGUGUUUUGACCAUGGGAGAAUGGUGUUUUGAGCAAAAAUAAAUCUCAACCAUAACAUAUCUAGUUUGAUUUGAUGUGAUUUAGUGUAAGAAAUUUGAUGUAUCAGGUUUAUGAUAGCUAAAAAAUGGUAGGCAAUGAAAAUAAAAUAAUUUAUUCUUGUAGAGAGAAAGGACAAGAGACAAUAAAAUAACAAUUAUAACACUAGACUUCUUCCUUACUAUUUGGUUUUCCUAUCUCCUUUUGUUUGUGCUUCCACUUGGGCUUUCCAUUCUAUUUUAUAGAAAUCUGAGGAAAUUAUUCUUAUAAUUAACGUAGAAAAGUGAGGCAUGUUGAUGUCGGAUAAUUGGAAGUAACGUGUCUCCCUGAUGUCGUCACCCAAUCAAUUGAGAGUGAGACUUCCUUCUCCUCUCCUGCAAAAGACACACCCUCCAAAGAUCUAGUUAGAUUGACAAUUAGAGAGAAUACCCCGUCUUGGGAACUCAAGAAGUGGACUGUCUUACCACCUCCCCCCCCCUUUCUUUUUCUUUUUGAUCCAUGGGAAGACUUUUAUAGUGUUUGGAGCCUUGUCACAUCUAUGCUGGGAAGGUCCUUUGACAUUCACAGUCAUGAUGGCUACACAGAGGGUGACAAAUCAAUCAUUAUCCUUUAGGUGUCUGAUAGGAAUCGCUGGUGGGGUGACCUGGUGUCUUUCUUGUCACCUCAUUCUACAGGCGGCGCAGUGCAGAGCAUAGCAGGUUACCUGAAAGGACAUGGGGAUGUCCCAUCGAGCAUGCUUUUGGUGGGUAGAAGAAUGAUUGUCCACGGAAGCCGGUCAAGGAUCCUGUUUGGAACGCGUCAUGCAUUCUUGGAGGACAUGAAGCAGUCGGCCAUUGACUAUUGGGGUCGGAUUGGGUGUUCCUAGCUGAUGGCACAUGUCCGGACAAAGGCGAAGGGAUGUCAUUUGUCCAACAGAAGGGUGUCUUGCGAGGUCAAGGCAAUCUACCACGUGUCCGCCCAGGGGAGGUCCUUACAAUGCCCCCUUUUAACUCGAUUGUUUUUUCUUGACAGAAAAGAAGGGUUAAAAUGAUUUUUCAAAUUCUUUUAUUGACCGUGCGACACAUGGCGCCUAGGAAGGGCAUUUAUGAAGAGACACCAUUCUUGAAAUUGCUACCAGGCGGCGUGUCACCUCGAGUGAAGCGCGGUUGGGCGCCUUGUCGUUUGGGGUUCCUAGGGAUUUCAUUCCCUGCCCCACCUCCCUCCCCCCCCCCCCUCCCCUCCCCUUCCCCCCGACAACACUUUUCUCUUCGAUUUCACUUUUUGCCUCCCCUUUGCUUUGUUCUAAUAAUACCUAGGUAGCGAUCUUGGGCUUCGCACAACGACACUUUCCUUGGCGAUUUCUCGACUGGUUUACUCAAGCGACUGCGGUUCAGUUCUUUUCCUUGCCGUAAGCACUCACCAAGUAUGUUCCCAUUUCUUCUCUGUGUUGUCUAUUUACCGUUUUUCCUUGAUUGGAGUGCAUGUUUGUGAUUGGGGAUUGCGGUGAUGCUUGGGAGUUUCUGUGGGUCAAGAAAUGACUUUGCCAGACUUUGUAGAAGAGGGUACGUGACUGCUUCGGGCCAUCAUACUCUACUUGGCGUGCCUUGAUAACCCUUAUUAGGGUUAAGUUUGGUUAUUUUUGCAUUUUGAGGCUCUGUUGAGUCUAUUGGGUAUUUGUCUUCCUUUUGUGUGUUUGAAGGUUGCAGCAAGUCAGUCCCUGGCUAGGGUUAGGAAUUGAUGAGUGGAAUUGGGUUUCCCGAUUUGGGUAGCCACUAGAUCAGGCAUGCUAGAUAGUAGGGUCAGGUGGCUGCUUUCUAACUAUCAGCACUGUGCCAUGCAGGUUCGGCUCUGCCCAUCGCUCCAAUAUGCCUGCAAAAAAGGACACUACCUCAUCCACUGUGAUUGGGUAAGGUGGGAAGGGCGGUCGGACAGUCAUGAGUUCCGGACGCCCUAAUCCGAGAAAGCCCACUAAGCUUCUCAAUGAGAGGGAAUUCCACAAACUCUUCUUCAUCCCAAAUGGCGUCUCUAUUCAGUUAGUGGAGGGAGAUCUAACGUCCACAGAGAAGAUUGCACGCAACGCCAUUUUCUUUAGUAAGGAGCAGUUCAACGCGGAACUCCGUUUCCUCUUCCGUCCCUUUUCAAGCAGUUCUUGCACUAUACCCAAAUCCCUCCAGCCCAUAUCCAUCCUAAUAUCGUCCGGGUGUUAAUGGAGUGCAACAUCCUGAACAUGUUCUUCCAUCUAGACCUCUUCCUGCUAGAGAUCCUCUUCGUCUACACCAUCAAAAAGAGCAAAAAGGACAUCUUCAGCAUGUUCGCCCAUAUCCCGUCCCUCCAAUUGGUGACGGGCCUUCCUGACUCGAACAAAGGAGAGGCCAAGGGACAUUUGAAUCUGGCAUAUUGCAACAACCUUGUGAGCUUUCCAGAAACUAUUUGUCGUUUGAAAGCCCUCAUAUUUCUCUCUUGCUCUGGUUGUUCACAACUAAAUAGCUUUCCAGAAAUCCUGGAGAAUAUGGAAAAUUCUAAAGAGCUUUCCAUGAAUAUUUCAGGGUUUUUCUGUUUUAACCAUUGUUGAGAGAAACAGAUAAGGAAUUCAAAACAUAGAAAUGGAACUGAGAUAGAUAUUCCUUAUUUUUGGUUGCUGACAAUUUGUGUAUAUUGUAUUUUUGAUACUAUCAUAAAACUUUCAACGUUGUUCACUGGGAGACUUAGAUUUAACCAUGCCACAUAGGGAACAUGGCAUUUGAUUGUAGUUCCUAAAGAAACUAGAAGCUUUAACCAUUAUCUACGAAAUGCAUAUGAAUUUUGGUUUAGUAAAAGCUUAGCGAAAUUUUGUGAAAAAUCAUUUUCUUUUUUCCAUAGUUAUGAUGNNNNNNNNNNNNNNNNNNNNNNNNNNNNNNNNNNNNNNNNNNNNNNNNNNNNNNNNNNNNNNNNNNNNNNNNNNNNNNNNNNNNNNNNNNNNNNNNNNNNUAGCAGAUGCAUGGUUAUAAGUCUAAGGGGGAGAUUGAUAGAGAUAUACUAUUAACCAUGCAUAAGCGUGAAUUUAAUAGUAUGUUAUUAUGAUGUCAUUCUAUAAACAAUUAUUUCUUUGUAUUUAAUUGGAGAUUUGCAUUAGAUAAAUUAAUCCUUCGGCAUAAUUUAAUAAUAAUUGUGUUAGUAUAUUUUAUAUAUAACUAACUGGACCAAGUAGAGAAUGGAUGUUUUGUACUGACUGUUAAAACAUAUUCUCUAGGACAUUAGAAAUAAGAUUUAUGUUUUUAAUCAUGAUUUAAUUAAUAUGAUCAAAUAUAAAAUGUCUUGUGUUUUGAUUCAUUAAAGAGUGAGUUUCAUUUAUUGGAGCGAUAAGACUCGAUGAGUUGGACAAAGACGCUUUAUGUUUGCGAUGUAUUAAAUAAUGAUUGAAUCCACGUCUCGGUAUAGAGAUUGAUGAUGCACUUUAAGUAAGCUUAUAAGGUUUCAUAGUGUAAACCCUGCAGGUGGAUUUUUAUCCGACACAUGAAUUAAGUUAAGCGACAAUCUUGAAGAUCUAUUGUUACUCAAAUAAAUUGUCAGUAAUUUGUUUGAUGUAAAUAGCAUCUGUAAUCUUAACGUGGGAAACAUAAAUUAUUAUGUAAUGGAAUUGUAAGAUUAAUAAGGAGUUCAAUCAUGAAUUUUUGGUGGUAUAAUUUGUGAUUAAUUAUAAUGAGAAUAUACUAGUCCUGUAUGAAUUCUUAUUAUAAUUAGUAGCCUUGUUAAUUUUAUUCCUACGGUCCCUGUUGUGCCUUAAUUGUUUGGACUAUACAUGAAUUAUGUGUUUUAAAUAAAUGAUAGAUUAGUUUUUAAUUAAAUUUUAUUUAAUUAAAAAUAGAUAAUCUAAUUUAUUUAAAAUGAGCAUUUUAAGGGAGAGGUUGCAAAAUAUACGCUCAAGAGUUUCUAAGAAAGCGGUCUUCUUCCCAUCGAAGAGAGGUAUAUUAGAAACAGAAAAGAGAGUGACAGAACCCUAGCUAUUGUUUUUUCUGCCCACUCAGAAAUCAUAGUCCGGAAAUUGAUAAGGUAAACAGUAGAAGAUUGUAGGAGAUUGUGGGCGUUUUCAGCAGAGAAAAAGGUCAGUCUCUUACAUAUGGUUUUGGCUUGCCUCCAUGCUUGUUUCAUCAUGAUUUGUUUCCGCUGCGUAAAUCAUGGUUUCUAUCAAUACCGGUGUUCUACCAUGUCAAGCCUUCAGAUGUAGGACACCAAUCGGGAAGUUUUGAAGACGCAUUUUUCAACCAUGAGAAGGGUGCAGAUCAAGAGAAGAAGGAGCUAAUAGAGAAGGAGGAUUGCCUUGAAGAAAGCAGCUACGCUAACCGGAUACCAUGUGGAUAACCAGUAAUAAUUCUUCUCUUUGCCUUUGCUUUAUUUUUUAUUUAUUUAUUUUUUGUUUCUCUAAUUACAAACCUGGGUAUAUUUCCUAUGUAAAUUCAUUUUUCCUCUAAUUUUGGGUGUUAUGUGCAGUCGAUGUGGGAUUGUAGUUAAUGCUUGAGAAGGACACAUUGAAAUGACCUUCUGUUUUUAAAUAAAUAUUAUAUAUUUAUAUUGUCAAUAUGUCAUAGAAUAUAUUUAUAUAUAACUUACAAAUAAAUAUUAUAAAUUAUAUGUGGAUAAAUUAAUAUAUGUUUUUGUAUAUAUAAAUUAAUUAAAAUAAAAUUAUUGUAAAUAAAUAAAUUUUAAGUUUCUAAUCUUUUGUAUAAUAACUAGACAAAUUUAUAAAUAAAAUUAUCAAUAUUUUAAAAUAAAGAACACACAUAUGUAUCAUCAUUUCUUCUCUAUCAUUGAAUAUAUCAAAAUUAGAUAGGUGCAUAUAAAAUAUGCUUUCAAAUUCUAAAUAUUAUUGCUAAAAAUUACAAAUUAUAUCAUACAUAUAUCAAUUUAUUCAACAAAACAACUUCAAAAUAUCUAUUAUACUUCUCAUAUCAUUUCUAAGAGUUUUUCUUAAUAUUUUCAAAAAUUUUGAUCAAUUUUUGUCAUACUAAUAUUUUAUGUCAAAAUAUCCACCGAUAUUUCCUAAUAUAUCUCAAUAUAUCCGUAAAACCGAGUUAUCAAUAUAUUUGUCGAAACCAAUAUUUUUAUCUAUGGUUGUAACAACCCAUGAAUAGAGGAAAAUUACUAUAUAUUUUACUAUUUGAUCAAUAAAUUAAAAAAUGUCGAAAUGGUUGCAUUUCAUUUUGUCUUCACCACCACUUUUACUAUUUUAUUUUUUUCGUACUUUUUCUACUUCAUUUGGUUGUUAUUAUUAUUAUUAUUAUUAUUCACUUAAAUACAUUCAAAAUCUAAAGCUUUUAGUGCAUAAUAUAGUAGUCUAGUUUAAUGAAUACCUCUAGUAAGAUAUUACUUUAGAGAGAGAAAAUGUAAAAGAUAUCUCUAAACUUUUAACUGCUCUAUUAUUAGUGUCGUUAUGGUACUAAAUUUUUUUAUAAAUCUUCAAUAAAAGGUCGCCAAACCAUGAAAGUGGCGUACUUCUAUCAUAGUUUUUGGUGUAGGCUACUCUUGUGGAGCUUGAACUUCAUCAUUGUCAACAUGAACUCCUUCUGAACUGUUCAUAUAUUCAAGAAAUAACAAAUUGUUGGUCAUAAAACUACACUUCUUCAAAUUAAUAUAUAAUUUAUUUUCCUGCAACACUAUUAGAACUUCCCUCAAAGGUUGAAAGUGUUCUUACUCAUUCUGGUUAUAAAUCAAAAUAUAGUCAAUAUACACAACAACAAAUUUCCCAACAAAAGGUUGGGAAAUUUUAAACGUUGUUUUCCAUUCAUCCCUAAUCUUAUACGAAUUUGGUGAUAACCGCUUCACAAAUCUAUUUCUAAAACAAUUUUGAACCUUCCAACUAAUCCAAUAUGUCAUCUAGGUGCAGAAUUGAAAAUCGACACUUUACAGUGAUCUUAUUUAUAGCACAAUUAUCUAUGCACAUAUGCCAACUACCAUCUUUGUUUGUAGUAAGCAAGUUUGGGAUUGCACAUGGGCUCUUGCUUUCGCAAAUAAAUCAUUUUUGUAACAACUCCUCCACCUUCUUUUGGGCUCAUUCUGUAAUGCGAUAUGUUAGGCAAGUUUCCUCUUAAGGACUAAACCAAUAUGAUGUUGGAUGUCACAUCUUGGAGGCAAACCAUCAAGUAAAUCACUGGCAUUGAACUCUUGAAAUUCUUCCAACAUUGUUUGCAACUAAUUAGGCACUUCCACAAUUGCUUUCUCUUCAAAUUUAUUUUAUAGCACUUAUCUUAUUGGUUCUAGUUCAUUAGUGGAUAAUCUUUUUCUUUAAUUCCUUAUCCAAAUUUUACCUAGUCUGUGAAUGCGAAUACUAAUAUCUUAACAAUAAUUCUAUCAUAUUGUGCCAUAGACAUUUAAUCCACACCUCUAAAGAAAGACAAGAGAGGUUAGUUAGAGAAGAAGUUCUACCACUUUAGACUUUUUGAGAUCAUGGUGUUUGCAAGGAAGUUAAUAAAAUCUAGAAAUAAAGGUACUACUAGGAGUUAAGAGCUUCUAGAAAUCAUUCAUACAAAUAUAUGUAACCCCUUUCCGAUUUUAACCUUUAGUGGGAAGAGAUAUUUUGUAACCUUUAUUGAUGGUAUUUCUCUUUUAGUUAUGUGUAUUUUAUCAGUAAAAAGAUAGAGUAAUUAGAUAUGUUUAAAAUUUUCAAAUGAGUUAGCUCUGAAGACAAUUACAAUGAUACAAUUUGAUUGUGGUGGUCAAUACUACAAAAGAUACAAUCAAACAAAACAUAAUAUUUUAAAAUCAUUUUCCUUAUAUUAUCAAGAGUAUAGUAUGGUUGCUUAAUAGGAUUAUUAUGGUAAGGCCAAUGUCGGGUACUCCUUAGGAAAAUGAUGUAGUUGGAAGAAGAAAUCACACUCUUAUUUAUGGUAAGGCCAAUGUUGUAUAAUGCAACCUUACUAGGAUUAUUAUGGAUUGAAGCAUUAAGAAGUGUUCACAUAUCCUAAACCAAGUGCCUUGUAAGACAAUCUCAAAGACUCCUUUUGAGUUAUGAGCAAGUAGAAAACCAAGUCUAAAUCAUCUAAAUGUUUAGGGAUGUGCAACACCAAAUUAUAUAACCCAAAUGCAUGAAUAUUAGAUUCUAGAAUAGUGAACUGUUAAUUUGUAGGAUAUUUAGAAAGGUUACAGAUUUUAUGCCCAUUAUACAAUACCAAGAUUGUUGAAACUCUAAACGCUAGGUUCAUUAAGGAUCGUUAUGAGAGUGCGAGUAUGGGAUCAAGGCACAUGGCUAUAGAUGAAAAUAAAACUCCUAUUGAAAGUACAUUUCCUCAAGAUAGUGUUAUUAAUCUAUCAAUUACAAUGCAAAAAAAAUUGAUUUAAAUCACCAAGGGCUUGAAGAGCAAAUACUUCCUACAAAUGAAAUCCCAAUCAAACUAACUAUUAACAUGUCAUUACAGAGAUCACAAAAAGAAAGGAAAGUAAGCACCAAAAAAAAAAAGUUCUGCUUUUUGACAUGCCAAUUUGUAGAUAAGGUAAGCUUUUCAAUAUCUUAAUCCUUGCUUGGAAAAUGAUGAGUUGAUUAAAUUGAUUCUCCAUAAUUUUUUUUUUUCACAGAAAAUUGAACUCUGCAUAGUUAAUGAAAUAUUGUACCCGGCCAUCUUGUCUUAGUAACCGAAAUUUAGGAGGAAAAUAUCUUUUUCCUAGUAACUUCCAGGAAUUUUCUCCAUCACGUGAUUUUUGAAUAACAGAAAAGUUUCAAACUUGAUCCAUGUGUUUUAAACAUGUAUUAAAGAUACACAAACUAGAUCAAACACUCAAACUAAAAAUGAAAAUCAAUCAAACCUGCCUUCGACUUCAAGAAUUAUACGCAAGAGGAACAUAUGGUUUGAUUGAGAAAUGUUACUCCUAAAACCUAUGUACGUUUGAUUGGCCUUUUAGGUCAAGGUUAAAUUAUAGCUUAACAGGAACUAGAUUCACAAUACCUUAUGUGAAUUGAUGUCAUCCAUGAGCCUCCCAAUUACAGUUGAUGUCGUGAUAAUCUUGGGGUCACUGAUCACCCAAUCAAAGGCCUCCUUUGUUAAGAUUUCUCCCAUACUCAUAUACUCUUCUAUUGUUGGUUUGUGUCCCUCAUGGAAGCAUUUACCCUCAUAAAAAUAAGCUCUAACUUGGUUUUUCAUCUGUCAAACAUUCAAUCAAGUUACAUAUAUAACCCUAUGUUACUAUACAAAACAAAGUCAAAUGCAAAAUGCCUUACUGCUUCUAUCACAUAUUGAACCUGAUAUUGGUUUCCUUCUUUAUCCAUCUCUUCCUCAAUUUCUUUGUACACAUGUAAGAGUUCCACAUAGCAGAGUUUCACAUAUUUUGGAAGGUGAUCUAUGCUUUUAACAUCCCACAUGAAAAUUAAACCAGGCCUAUUUAAGUAUCACAUACAGUACAAAUGAUGAAGGUUUAUAAUUUAAUUUGCAUGUAUCAAACCUCUCAAUGGCCUUGGUAAAGAGCUUGAGUACUUCAAGUGUGCCAUAUGUGUCAUAUAUAUCAUCUACAAUGGAUGUCAUGGCAAUUAUUUCGGUUAGAAUUUGUCUAGCCCAGACAUAUUGAGGCUCAAAUCACACCCCAAGUACCCAGAAGUAGCCUUCCACCAAUCUAUCUCAGGCAAAAGGUAGCUUUGUGGCGAAGUCUAAUUCUUUCCACCACCUAAAAUUCAUUAGAACAAUUAGUUCAGGUCAAAAUGAGAAGGUGACUAGGUAUAUCUGUUAGUGAUUUGAAAGCAAAACUAGCAAUAUUGCAUAGCUCCUCCUUGUAUAUACCACCUUGAUUGAAAUCUAACUUGGCUAGCUUUAGUAGAGUUCUGUCAUGCAAAGUUUCAUCCUGGUAGAUAGAUAUAUAACCUUGCCUCUAGCCUCUCUAAACCUUUUCUAAUGGGCUGCUUCAAGGCAUGAGCAACUUGUUCUGCAAGAAGAUAUUCUAAAUGUUCUACCAUGGACCUUAGAUGGGUGGUGGUGAAAGCAAGUGCUUCAUCCUGUAUGUUUUUCUCCAUGAACUCUGAUAUGCAUGUGCAGCCUCAUGCAAGCCUAGCAUUUCUAGUACAUCGCUGAUCAAAGCUUUCUUGAAGUUACCCUUUUCAUCCUUGAACUUGUUGAAUGUACCUACAUAAAUAUCAUAAUUUGAACAUAAGAUUGGAAUUAUGAGAAGGAUACACUUUAGCUUAGACAUGAUAGUUCCUUGGUCUCUUACCACAUGAAAUAUUGUACCCAUCUUGUUUUAGUAACCAAAAUUUAAGAGCAACAUUAAAGAGGUCACCUUCAAUAUCAUCAUCAUCAAGAUAGCUAUCUUUAAUAUGUUGUAGCACUUCUUCUAUCUCUCUUUCAAAGUGGUAUGCCACCCCAAGACGUUGCACUGCAUCCAUGAAUUUCAGUUGUUGGGAAGUGUUUACCAGCUGCAUUCAUUAGCUUCCUUCGAAUUUCCUCUUUUAGAUCUUCAACCUGCUUCUCUUUGCAGGCCCGUGUUUCCUGUGGCAACCAAGUAAUUUUACUAGCCAACACAAUAAGUCAAAAAACUUUUGAAUAGGUAUUUAUAAGCCACAUAAGAUUAACACAUAUUUUCAUUCAAUUACCUCGUCUUCUGGAGUGUAGGACAUGAACUGGUCACCCCAAAUGUUAGGGUGAAAAUUGGCCACUGGCUGAUUUUCAGUUUAGAAAAUUUGCCUAGAGGGCAUGCUAAGACUAGACUAGACAUGUUAAUUUCUUGGAAUGCUAUACUUUGAAUGCUGAAUUUGUAAGUACGAGUGCAAUAACUUGGGAGGCUCCAAAUUAUUUACAGGGCAGCAAUGGCCUUCAGCAGCUGUAUGUUGUUGAAAAGAAAGUGAAAUUUGGUUGAAUUUUGGGGCACAAUGUAUGAAAGGUAUUGAUGACGGGAAAAUGAUAGGAUUUUCUAGAGUCUCUUGGAUAAAUUCACACAAAAGUCCAAAUGAGCCAUUAUUCUUAGGAGCUUUUUCUUUCAUUUUCCAUUUUUUAAUUAUUUAAUUUUUUAAAAUUUUGAGUCUCUUAUCAUUUUGUACAUAUUAUUUACUAAAAUUACAAUAGUUUAGUUAAUUAAGGCAUUUGAAUGCACUAAAAUCCCUAUAAAUAAAUAGCAAAGGAAGUAUAUGCAUGGUACUUUCAAAUAACAUUCUCCACACUUUUCCUGAAAGAAGACAACACAACAAACAAAAUAAAAUGGCUUUGAAAGGUCAAAAAAUCUCAAGUGUAAUGAGGUGGCCUAGGCUUCCUUUGCAAUGAAAUUAAUGAUUUCAUUUUCCACGUUGGCUUUAUCCACCUCUAUCCCUUUUCCAAAAAUGACAUGUCCUGACAUUUUUCCCCAAUCACUUGUUAUCUUUUUCUCAUGGUUCUAAUACCACUGUUUAAAAAGAGAUAAUUGAUUGAGAAUUUUUUUAAAAAAUAAAUUGUCUUUCACUACUCUUGUUCACCAAUUACAUUAAUCUUUAAUUUAUAAAACAAAAAUUACUAACAACAAAAAUAUUAAAAUUUUGCAGUACUCUUAAUUAAUUAAAGAUACACAGACUAGAUCAAACACUCAAACUAAAAUAAUCUAAUCGAGUUUCAAAGAUUUAAUCAAAUUUAAUUUUUGAAAGCUUUUCAAAUUAAAAGCUUCCUUUAAAAAAAGGGGAGAAAAUUAUUAGAAAUAAAUGAAAGCAUUCUACCUUUUCUAACAAGUAUAUGGAGUUUGGGACGAUUAGACAAGGUUUCAGUGUCACAUCUAUGAAAGUGUAUAAAACCUAUUCACUCUCAAAGCUUGUAUAUAGAUGAAUGAGAUUGAAAUCCAAAAAAAGAUUCAAAGAGAAAAAGAGAGAAAAGAAAAUUUAAGAUUUCUUAUUAUGAAUUAUCUUGAAAAUAGGUAUAAUACUAUCAAAAUUUAAAUAAGACUAAUUUACCCUUACUUCAAAAAAGAAAUAAAAUAAUGAUAAUAUAGUAACUAAAUAAAUAAGAGAUAUAUUAAUUAAAUACAUAAUUCUAAUAUACUAACUACAUAUAUUAAUAAGCAUUCCCACGUAUAUCUCUCAAUAUUGUUUCCUUGAGAUACUCUAAGAUUCUACCCAUGCCAUUUCUCUUAAAGUCAUAUCCUUAGGUCAUUGUUUAAUAUCUCAUAGUCCAUUAUUGUGUGUUGACUCAUUUCCCUUGAAGUCAUAUCCUUCCGCACAUAUUAUUAACUGAAUGGAGCAGUAAAACAAAUAUAACAUAAGAAAUCAAACUUAAUUAUUUUGAAACCCAGAGAAACUAGGUGCUACAUAUAAUGUGUCCAUCUCACCUUAUUACAAUGAUGUAUUACAUAUUACUCCUUCACCUUAUUAUAAUGAUUUAUUAGAUACGGGACGUUAAUCAACUCAUCCAUUUGGUUAUAUUAUAGGGUUAAUGAAGAAAGCCGCAAUGUUAUUCUUCAUCACUUUCCCAACAUGUGUGUAACUGUCUUGCUCUUUGUAAAUGACAUCCGCGGCUCGUGUAAGAUUGAGAACACGAGCAAGGAGAGGCAUUGGAACAGCAGUAGGUUUGAGGCAUUCCUGGUUAAUAUCCAUCCAUGCAUUCUCAAUUUGCUUUCGAAACUCACUGUAUGCCUGUUCUUCAGAGACACCAUAUUGCUUCAUGUAACAUUCAAUGGCUGAGGCCACAUGCUCUCUCUUUUGCUCAAACUGCAUGUAUAAUACAAAAGUUGAGAAAAAACAAGCGUGUUAUAUUCUUCCCAUUUGAAACACAUAUUCUGCAUACCUUAUGUGAUGAGAUGUCAUCCAUGAGCCUUGCAAUAAAAUUUGAAGAUGACAUAAUCUUAGGAUCGCUGGUCACCCAAUCAAAGGCCUCCUUUGUUGCUAUUUCUCCCAUUCCCACCAAGGACGUGGUUGCAAGCAUGCAGUAUCCAGAGCUUACUAGUGCAACACGCAAGUACUCUUCGAUUGUUGGCACGUGUUCUUCAUGUAACCAUUUGGCCUCAGCAAAGUAAGCUCGAACUUGAUUCUUCAUCUAAAAAACAUUCAUCCAAGUUAUAUCUAUGUAUAUAUGAGACCAUAUAAAAUAUCAUCAAUGCAAAAGGUGGGGAUCCGGAGUUAAAGAUGUCCUACUACUUCUUUGGCAUAGUGAACCCGAUAUUGGUUUCCUUCUUUCUCCAUCUCUUCCUCGAUUUCUUUGUACACAUCUAAGAGUGCCGCAUAGCAGAGUUUCAUGUAUUCUGGAAGCUGAUCUAUGCUGUUAAUAUCCCACCUGAAAAUAAAAUAAUGAGCCUCGAUUUAGGUAUAUAUAAAUACAAAUAUUAUACACAAUCAAGGUUGGUAAUGUGCAAGUAGCAAACCUCUCAAUGGCUUCUGUGAAGAGCUUGAGUUCUUCAGGAUUACCAUAUGCAUCAUAGAUAUCAUCUAGAAUGGAUGUCAUAGCAAUUACUUUGGUUAGAAUUCGUCUAGCCCGUAAGUAUUGAGGCUCAAAAUACACCCCAAGUAUCCAGAAGUAGCCUUCAACCAAUCUGUCUCGUGCAAAAGGUAACUUUGUAGCAAAGUCUAAUUCUUUCCACCACCUAAAAUUCAUUAACAUGAUCAGCAUACAGGAAAGUGAUAAGAAUGGCCAAGUACAUGUGGGGUGAUCUAAAAACCAACCUUGCAAGAUUGCUUAGCUCUUCCCUGUGCAGUGACUGCACUAGAUUGAAAUCUAAUUUUGCCAGCUCUAGUAAAGUUUUAUCAUGGAAAGCUUCAUCUUGGUAGACGGAUAUAUACCAUCUUGCCUCUAUCCUCUCCAAACCUUUUCUAAUGGGCCGGUUCAGGGCAUGAACAACUUGUUCUGCAAGAGGAUAUCCUAAACUUUCUACCAUGGCCUUGAGGUGAGUGGUGGUGAAAGUAAGUGCUUCUGCAAGUAUGUCCUCUCCAUGAACCCUGAGAUGUGCAGCUUCAUACAAGCCUAGCAGGCCUCGUACAUUUGUGAUCAAAACUUCCUUGAAUCUACCUCGUUCAUCCGUAAACUUUUUUAAUAUACCUACACAAACAUCACCAGUACUUGAACAUAAGAUUUAAAUGAUAAGAAGGUUGAAUAUAAUUUUUUCUUAUUCAGUGAUAAUUAAUCCUUAGUCUCUUACCACAUGAAAUACUGUAUCCUUGUUGCCUUAGUAGUCGAAAUCCAAGAGCAACAUUAUAGAGAUCACCAUCAAUAUCAUUGAGGUCAUGAAAACUCUCAUAAAUAUGUUGUAACGCUUCUUCUAUCUCUUGUUCAAAGUGGUAUGCCACCCCAAGCCGUUGCACUGCAUCAAUGAAGUUCAGCAAUAGGGAAUGGUUAGCAGUAGCAGCCGUUAAUUUCCUUUUCACUUCCUUUUUCAGAUCCUCAAUCUGCUCCACUUUGCAGGCACGUGUAACCUAGACCAACAAAUUUUAUCAUCCAACAUCAAGAAAAAUAACUUCUAAAUAAGUAUAUAAACAUAAUUUCAUUGAAUUACCUUGUCUUCAGGGGUGUAGGUGAUAAAUUGGUCACCCCAAAUGUUGGGGUGAAAAUUUGUCACGGGACGAUUUUUGGGUUUAGGAAUCUGGGCUAGAGAACAUGCUGAGACUUGAGUAGACAUGUUAAUUCCUUGGGACAGUGACAGAACAGCACUAUACCUUGAAUGAUGAAUUGGUAAGUAUGAGAGAAAUAGCUUGGCAAGCUCCAUAUUAUUUAUAGGGCAGCACUGGCAUUCAGUGCACGGUUGUAUGCAGUUGAAAAGUAUGUGGAAUUUGGUUUGGUUUUGGGGCCCAUGAUUUGGAAGGGCUGUGCACAGAAGAGACUGAUGGUAAGAAAAGUAUUGGUCUUCUAGAGCUUGUGUGAAGAGGCGGCCUAGACUUCCUCUACACAUGAAGUUCACAUGUUUAAAUUUAAAAAGCAUGCUUAUAUUUAGUACGUAUUAUUGUGUACAAAUUAAGGCCAUUGAGGUCACUUCACCGUACGAAAACCAUUGAAUGCAUGUAAGAGUGUGAAAAUAUAUAUAUCUAAAAAAAAGAUAAUUAAUUUUUACUCAAACAGUUCUUAUGUUAUUAUUAUAUCAAAGUUUGAAUGAGUUAAAAUUCGACUUGUAUUAGAAAAUACCAAUAAAAAACUUUAGAGUUUGAGUUUAAUUUAACCUCAGUCCAAUUUCUCAUAUCAAAUCAAAUUAGACAUGCUACUAUCGAGGACUAAUUCUACCCUAUUCAUAGCAUCCUCCCAUUUUUUUAAAUAUUAAAAUAGUUAAAUUAUAAAAUAAGUACACCUCAUUAUAUAAUAAGUUUGACUGAAUAGAUGUUUACUAAAUGAAAAUAAUGAUUUAAUAUAACUUAAUUAUUGAUUUUAAAUAAUACAAUUAAUUUAAAGUAGAAAAUCAAAAUAAAUAAUUUUUCUAAUUCUGAAAUAUUAUUUGGUUUAGUACUUAUAGGAUUUUAUUUUUUGAUAUUAAUUAAAGUAAAACAACAUUAUAACUUAGAGUAAAUUUAAAUAAUAAAUUUUAAGUUAAUGAUUUACAUAUAAUUUAAUUUAAAUUAAAAUAAUAAUUAUGUACAAAAAUAUUUUAUUUGAUUUAUAUUACAUUCAUUUGAGUGAUAGGAAGACUAAUUAUAAUGUUUAGGAACUAGUUGAAAACAUUUUGGAUUCAUUGAUUAUUUAAAACUCUUAUAGUUUUAUUGGAAUUUAUUAAAUAAUGUCACAUGACUACGUUAAAAUUUCAUACAGAAAUUAAUAGAAAAAGGAGAUGUAAACUGCAAUAUUAAGGGAGUUCAAUUAUUGAUGGGUGAAGAAUCAAUUAUUAUGAUAAGGUGGAGGAACGAUUUUCAUGUGAUGAAUUGCUUAGCUGGUUACAUACGUUUCCUCUAGGGUCUGGAUAGUUUAAUUUGACUCACAUAAAGUAACUUUUUAUUUUUUUAUUAUUGUCAUUAUAAAUAUUCAAAAUGAAGAACAUGUUUGUAAGGACAUUUGUCAAAUCAAGUAUCAUUUCAUUGAUGUAGGACCUACACAUCAGAAUUAUUUAUCAAAUCAAGUAACUUUUUAUUUUUUUACUAUUGUCAUUACAUACGUCUCCUCUAGGAUCAAUUAUUGACAUUCAAGCAGAAUUAUUUAUUAAAUAUUAUGUGGUUUAUGUAAAUGAAAUAUUGGGAUUGAAAAUUUGUCAAAAAUUUAAGAAUUAUCCUCAAAAGGCAUGAUAAGGAUAGAAGCAUGUAAUAUUCACUUUUCAUAUUCUUAAAAAAUCUUGUAAAUAUCUCUUGUUGAUUAGUUUUAUGAUUUUAGGUAAUUAGUUUCUUGAUUUUACCUCCUUAACUUUUGGAGAUUUAUUCUUUCAUAAUUUGUAGAUUGUAUAAAUAUGUGUAUAAAGUUAUCAAUGAGAAUUAAGCCAUUCAUUCUCUAAACUUUACGCAGCCAUUCUCUCCCUCAAUACUAAUUGGACUGCAACCUUCAUAAACAAACUAAUUUUGUUCCCAAAAAAAUGGUGAGGAAUUACUUUGACACUUAUCACUUACACACACGUUGUGAACCUUUUUAACCACUAUUAAAUUUCAAAUGCUCAACAAGUCCUAUAUAUGCAUAUCCAAGGUACAACCAUUUUGAGUACAGUUAAUUUCAUUCACUCUCCUUGAUAUUUGGUGUAAAUAUACUAAAUUACCAUUAAUUUCAAAUUUUGUCAAUUAACACCCCUAUAACUAAGUGUAUUUCAUCUAUAAAAUUUAUUUUUAUAGAGAAUAAAGUUUCUUUUUUAAAGAAUUAUAUAAUACAUCUAUGUGAAUUUUCUACCUAAAACCUCUCUAAAAAAAUAAAUUUUAUAAAUGGAAUAUAUUUAUAGAGGUGUUGUUUGAUGAAAUUUCACUAAACUUAUGGGAAUAUAAAUGAAAUUUAUUUUUUUAUUAUAAAAUUUUUUAGACUAAAUUAAAGGAAUUUAUUUUAAUAGAAAAAACAUAAAAAUUGGUACAUAGCUAAUAUUUUUAUGCUAACAAGAAGGGAAGAGAGAAUAUAUAUAUAGAGAGGGACAAUUGUGUUUUGGACCUAGUUAGGUCCAAAAAUUAAGUUUUGAUCCCUAUAAGUUCACUAUUUAAGCCCAAGACUUAGAAAAAGAGUGAAAAUUGAAAAGAAUUAUGUGAAUUUUUUAUCUUUCCAAAAAUGACCUUUAUUGACUACGAAAAUAAAUUAGAAAAACAUUAAUUUAAUUUUAUAUGUAAACCUCAAUAAAUUUUAAUUUAAUUUAGAGAUUUGGAAAAAAAUACACCAUUUUCCAAAAAAAAUAAAAAUAAAUUAUUAUUAUUAUUAUUAUUAUUAAUUAAAAAUCAAACAUCUUGGAAAAUAUAUAUUUUUAAAUUAUGUAUGUAAAAAAUAACUAUAAAUAUGUCAAAAUUAUUUUUUUAAAUGAUAUAUUUUUAGAAUAUAUUUUUUAAAAAAAAUUAGUUUUCUAAAAAUAAUAAAUUUUCAGAAUAAUUAUUAAAAAAAAUUAAAAUAAAAAAGUUUAUCAAACAUUGUGAUAAAAAAUACUCAAAAUAAUUUUGAAGGGUAUAUUGGUUUCUUUAUAUUUUAUAUCAUUUUCAUCAAUUAUGAAACUUUCAUGGGCCAAAUCUUAAUUUUUGGGCCCAACUGGGUCCAAAACACAAUUAUCCCAAAAAUAUCUUAAAAUCAAACUCAAACAUAAUCUAUAUAUACAAUUUUUAACUACUGUUUUCAUUUAAAAUUGGUAAAUAUACCUGUUAGCCCAAGGGUUCUCCUAAUCGGGUUUUGAUGAUAACAAACCAUGGUUAAGUAACUAAUUAGUUUAAUGUUUAAGAAUCUCAGGUAUAAACUCGAAAAUUCAUCAAAUGACCAAAUGGAUACAAGAUCAAGACGCUUGGAAGACUUGAGAUCAUAGGAAAUGAAUGUAAGAUGAUAGCAUGAGUACACUUAGGAUGUUCAUACCUUUUCAUGCAUCUUAGAAAACUCGGUUUAUUCUUUAAAACUUUAUUUUCUUUAAGACCCGAGUUUUAUCAAACAUACCUUAGGCAAAUUGAUUCAAAAGUGGCAUAUUAACUCACCUAAAGACCUUGUCUAAGUAUUGGAAAAGAAAGAAAUCAAAAAGGAUAGGUUUUCGGGGCCAAAAGGCUCAACCGGUCGAGGCUAAAGCCAACCGAUCAACCGGUUGUGGAACCGGUCGACCGGCUGAGGUCGUCCGGUCGAGGACCGAUCGAGGAAGGUUAAAAACCUUCUCUCUCUCCCAGUAGCCUUCUCUUUCUGGUUGAGGUAAUUCCUUUACAGGUCGAGGUCCGGUCGAGGUCCGGUUGAGGCAACGGUAACCUGUCAUGCAUUAAAUGCUCCAACGGCUAGUGAACCAGUCGACCCCUAGCUCGACCGGACGAGGUUGCUUUUGGCUGUUUUUGACUCCCGAGCUUAGAAACCUAUAAAUUGAGAGUUCCACUUCAUUUAUGACUAAGAGAACCUAUAAGAUUAUUUCUCGAUUUCCUCUUAGCACUAGAAUAUCACGAAAAAAUUGUUCUUGUAAACGUUGUAGACCAAAAUAUUCUUUGGAAACCUUUCUAAUAUUUGCAAGGAAACUACAUCCCUCAAAUUGAGAAGAGAUUUCAUUACAAAUGGCUUGGGCAAUCGCUGUUUUGCCAAGUCCAUCCUCUCCAUAAAUCCCAAUCAUGUGAACAUCUUCUGAUUGAAUGUUCAUAAACUUAACUAAGUCCUUCAAUAUGAAUUCAUUUGUACUCGGGCUAUCCAUAAUAAAGGGCUUAGACGCCAUUUCAUCCCAAAUUUCUUUAAUGACUUCCUUUAUAACCACGGACUCAUGCCUGAAUUAAAAUGCACAAUAAAACUUAUGAUGGAUCUGAAUUUAUGUACUAUGAAUGAUAAGAAAAAGCAUGAAAAUUCAUUCGUAACAUGUUUUAUUCACAGCAACUGCCUUGUGCAGAAAUAGAAUCAUACAUUAAUAAAGGGACAAAGCCAACUAAAGAAAUUUUUUUGGUACAUUAAAUAUUAUUAUAUGAUUAUAUCAAGUAUGUGCCAAUGAAAAAUUAAAAUAACAUGUAAAAAUAUGUAAGAUCAUAUGUUAGCUUUUGGUGCAUGAAAUUUUAGAAUCUUGUUAUGAAACUGAUUAGGGGUGAAUAGGCAGUCCUUUUUAAUAUUGCACAGGUGAAGGCACUCAAGUGCACUUAGAGUCUUAUAGGCUCAAGAGCCACUUGAGGACAACUACCAUCAUCCUCAACCAAAGAAGUGAAUUGUCGGGGACUAUUGGUUGCUUGACCUCCAACACCAAGGGGUAAUGGCGUUGGAUGAAGCUGAAGCCCCAAUCAUAACAUUGUAACAAAAGGUCAUCUUUUUGAAAUCAAAUUGAUUGAUUUGGUUGUGACGGUUUUGGCAUGCUUCAAUGGAACGACCAAGGGAUCCAAUAGAACAAACCUCCACAGGAGUGUUUAGGUCCCAUGAAAAUGAAUUUCGCCUAUGGAUAACACCUAAAGGGGGGCUGAAUAUGUGUUUUUAAAAUAAUUUGAGAUGGUAUCUUACAAAUGCUUACAAUUCCCCUAUUUUUCUCAAAUUUUUUAAGUUUCUUUUUCAAUCCUAUCAACCAUCAAGCAAAUCACAAGCAACAAUAGAUACAUCAAUACUCUCCCAAUAAGUUAGUCAAUGCAAGUCACAUACAUAUGAAUCAACAUUCCUCAAUCAUGUUAUGUAAGAUAUUGCAUCAACACAAAAAUACAAUUUCACAUGUCCUUGACAUCAACACCAAAAACUAAAAUAUACCAUAUUCUUUCAAAAUUUCAAUGAUCUAAUUUCAGCUUAUAUUGCAAUUAAUCAUCCAAAGUAUCAUAAUGGAAAUAUCAUAAGCUAAUGAAAAAUGAAUCAAAGUAUGAUAUAGAAUAGAGAGAUAAUGGCACCGAUAUUUUAACGUGGAAAAUCUUUGAAGAGAUAAAAAAUCCACUAGCCUUUAGUGAUCAAAUCAUCCACUAUGAAGAAAAUCAAUUAAGUACAAGGAUUUACCUAGUCUAAGCUUUCAUUCCUCCCAAACCACUUGUCUAGAACCUUCAAACUUUAGCUAUUAAUUUUCUUAUUUUGGAGCAUACUUGGAAUCCAUACCAAACUUAAUCUUAGCCUCUUCUUGAAUCUAUAUAAGAAGAAAUUUUGGUUUUAUCCCAAAAUUAUGAGUAUGAGAGUAAGGAUGAAUAACACAAUGAAUCAACCCAUUUGGAAAGAAAAUUUCUCAUUUGAAAAUUGAUUUUCAACUCAAACCCAAGUGAUUUUCUCUCAAGGCAAACACUCUCCCAAUUUAGUUAGAAAAACUUGAAGCUCAACUCUCACUCUCAUAGUUGUCUCUCCUCUCCUAGAAAGGUGGCUUAAAUAUUAAGGUUUUAGAACUCAUCCAACUAUUGAGAGUCAUUUGGAAAAAGUUGAAGGAAUAUAGAUGUGAUUGAAUUUUGAUCGAUCAGACAAUAAUUAAAAAGAACUAGGUACAAUAGAAACUAUUAGCCUUAAGUUCCAUCAAUCAAUUAGAAAUCGGUCCAACUUAUUUAAACGCUAUGUUUUACACUCCUUAAGUAAUCACUCUCUUUUUCAAUAAAAUGAUAAGAGUUUAAAACAUGGUUGAUCAAUGUUUAUCAUCAUCCAACACCUCAAAAGUACUUACCAUCUCCUCAAGUCAUCUUCAAACAUGAACACUUUGAAAAAGGCAAGAGUCUAAGGGAGGAUUUUAAGGUAUGAACUAAGAGAAGCACAAUUGGAAUUUUGACCCAAAAUUGUCAAUACACAAAUAUACUUACAACCCAAUUUUUAUUUUGUUAUUCCUCUUAAAGAAAUUUAUCAAUUAAAAGAGAAAUUCAAUUGCAUAUAAAGACACACUAUACAUGGAAAACCACCUACAAAGUCUUCUAGAGACUCUGUGAAUGUGACAAUCAUAGAGUCAAGAGAUAGUAGAGCUCAUCUCAAAGAAAAGUACAUAUAAUUACUUGGUUGAAGCUAUCCCUAAGACUUAUACCCCAAAACCUAUAUUGGAUCUCACAUCUUUGAUGUAACACGACACAUGCUCCUUAUUGCACUUCUGGACACCUUGAGGGAAUGCAAAACCCUCAUAAUCCCAAAUGCAAUUCAUAAACAGUUUUUCCAAGUUUCAAGAUAUAGAAAGGCUAAUAAUCUUUUCAGUAUUUACAUCAAGAUAAGUUUGAUUGAAUAAAGAAGAAGAUUGAAGUUUUCAUUGACGCUUAUUAGGCCAUGUUAGUAGAAGAUAGGAGGGGGUCUACCUCGAGUUAUAGCACAUUUAUUUAGGAAAAUUUGUUGACGUGUGCAUAAAGUAAAAAAAUAUCGUGUAAUUGCUACACUAAGUUGAGUUUAGGUCUAUUGUUCAAGGGAUUUGUGUCAUGAUUUGGUUAGAGCUAUUGCUAUUGUGACAAAAAAAGCUACCAUAAGUAGAACUCACAACUUAGUUCAUCAUGACAUAACAAAGCACAUUGAAAUUGAUCAUCAUUUCACCAAAGAAAAAAUGGAAGAAGGGUUAAUAUGCAUUACCUACAUUCCUACAAAGAAACAAACUGUAGACAUCUUAACAAAAGGUUUUCCAAGACAAACUUUGAGGAUCUAACAUACAAGCUAGGAUUACUGGACAUUUUUCUCCAAUUUGAGGGGGAGUGUAGAGAAUAUUAUUUAGAAUUAAGUGUUUUAUCUUUUAGUUUUAUUAAUAUUCUAUUUUUAAAAUUCAAAAUAGUAGGCGAUUAGGAAGUUUUAUCUCUUUGAAUUUUCAGUUUCUAUUUUCUAGAGAUUUAAUUUAGCCUAGAUUCUAUCUGGUUAUUUCCUAUAUUCUAGGGAUUUAUUUUAGCCUAGAUUCUAUCUGGUUAUUUCCUAAAUUUUUAACCAUUAAAAUUCUUCUCUAUUUUGAGAAAAAAUAUAUACCAUAAUUCCAAAAUUUCACUCAAAUCACUUCAAUUCACCUCCUAGCCUCCCAUAGGCAUCCUCAGCUCUUCCCUUUCCCUAUAGUUCAAUCUUCAACACACCAAAAUUUUUAUUUCUUGUAAUUAACAACCCUAUCUUAGAGCAUGGUGAACACCCAUGAUAAAUGCAACAAUACACAGACGCAUAUUAGGUACGAAUCAUUAUAAAAAUACUGGUUGUUUAAUAUUCACUUUCCAUAUUCUUAGAAAAAAUUGUAAAUAUCUCUCGUUAAUUAGUCUCCUGAUUUUAGGUGCUUGAUUUUAGGAAAUUUAUUCUUUUAUAAUUUGUACAUUGAAUAAAUAUGUGUAUAAGUUCAUCAAUGAGAAUUAAUUCAUUCAUUCUCCAAACCUUACAUGUUCAUUAUAUCCCUCAAUAGUACUUUGGCUACAACCUUCAUAUGGUAUUAAAGCCCAAGGUGCUCCAAUGUCAAUCCUAACACUCCAAAAAAACCCUAAAUCUUUUGCCUCCUUGUUCUCUCAUCUUGCUAUCAUAAAUCCUUUUGAAAACAAUCAAACUAUAAUCUCCAUCAAUGUAGUCGCCUAAACCCCUCUCAAACUCACCAUAAAUAAUUACACCUCUUGAAGAUUUCAAUUUCAUACAUUUCUUGUAGGUUACGAUUUCAUGAGAUUCUUAGACAAAUCUCAACCUUGCUCACCUCCAAUUUUGAAAGAAGAAAAUCAUGAAAUUGUGAACUUGGAAUACUCCUUAUGGGUUUACCAAGACCAAUUCAUUCUCAAUGUUGUUGUUGGUUAUCCUUCUCCUACCAUUAUUUCAUUCAUUACUAUUAACAAAACAUCUCGAGAAGCAUGGACCACCUUGGCCAUGACAUGCCAUCAAGAGGAAGGAUCAUGCAAAUCCAAGGUUAACUAAUCGACUUCAUUAAAGGUUCUUCAUUCUACUCUUAGCCAUACCAUGCCACCUACAAUUUCUCUACAAGAGUGUUUAGGUCCCAUGAAAAUGAAUUUCACCUAGGGAUAACACGUAAUUAAAGGGGGGCUGAAUAGGUGUUUUUAAAACAAUUUGAGAUGGUAUCUUAAAAAUGCUUACAAUUCCCCUAUUUUUCUCAAAUGUUUUAAGUUUCUUUUUCAAUCCUAUCAACCAUAAAGCAAAUCACAAGCAACAAUGGAUACAUCAAUACUCUCCCGAUAAGUUAGUCAAUGCAAGUCACAUACAUAUGAAUCAACAUUCCCCAUUCAUGUUAUGUAAGAUAUUGCAUCAACACAAAAAUACAUUUUCGCAUGUUCUUGACAUCAACACCAAAAACUAAAAUAUACCAUAUUCUUUUAAAAUUUCAAAGAUCUAAUUUCAGCUUAUAUUGCAAUUAAUCAUCCAAAACAUCAUAAUGGAAAUAUCAUAAGCUAAUGAAAAAUGAAUCAAAGUAUGAUAUAGAAUAGAGAGACAAUGGCACCAAUAUUUUAACAUGGAAAUUCUCUGAAAAGAUAAAAAAAACCACUAGCCUUAUGUGAUCAAAUCAUCCACUAUGAAGAAAAUCAAUUAAGUACACUAGUCUAAGCUUUCAUUCCUCCCAAACCUCUUGUCUAGAACCUUCAAACUUUAGUUAUUAAUUUUCUUAUUUUGGAGCAUCUUGGAAUCCAUACCAAGCUUAAUCUCAGCCUCCUCUUGAAUCUAUACAAGAAGAAAUUUUGGUUUUAUCCCAAAAUGAUGAGCAUGAGAGUAAGGAUGAAUAACACAAUGAAUCAACCCAUUUGGAAUGAAAAUUUCUCAUUCGAAAAUUGAUUUUCAACUCAAACCCAAGUGAUUUUCUAUCAAGGCAAACACUCUCCAAUUUAGUUAGAAAAACUUUAAGCUCAACUCUAACUCUCAUAGUUGUCUCUCCUUUCCUAGAAAGGUGGCUUAAAUAUUAGGGUUUUAGAACUCAUCAACUGUUGAAAGUCAUUUGGAAAAAGUUGAAGGAAUGCAGAUGUGAUUGAAGUUUGAUCGAUCAGACAAUAAUUAAAAAAGAACUAGGUACAACAGAAACUAUUACCCUUAAGUUCCAUCAAUCAAUUAGAAAUCAGUCCAAAUUAUUUAAACGCUAUGUUCUACACUCCUUAAGUAACCACUAUCUUUUUCAAUAAAAUGAUAAGAGUUUAAAACAUGAUUGAUCAAUGUUUAUCAUCAUCCAGCACCUCAAAAGUACUUACCAUCUCCUCAAGUCGUCUUCAACCAUGAACACUUUGAAAAUGGCAAGAGUCUAAGGGAGGAUUUAAGGUAUGAACUAAGAGAAGCACAAUUGGAAUUUUGACCCAAAAUUGUCAAUACACAAAUAUAAUUACAACCCAAUUUUUAUUUUGUUAUUCCUCUUAAAGAAAUUUAUCAAUUAAAAGAGAGAUUCAAUUACAUAAAAAGACACUAUACAUGGAAAACCACCUACAAAGUCUUCUAGAGACUUUGUGGAUGUAAUAAUCAUAGAGUCAAGAGAUAGUAGAGCUCAUCUCAAAGAAAAGUACACAUAAUUACCUGGUUGAAGAUAUCCCUAUGACUUAUACCCCAAAACCUAUAUCGAAUCUCACAUUCGUGAUGUAGCACGACACAUGCUCCCUACUGCACUUCUGGACACCUUCAGGGAAUGCAAAACUCUCAUAAUCCCAAGUGCAAUUCAUGAAUAGUUUUUCCAAGUUUCAAGAUAUAGAAAGGCUAAUAAUCUUUUCAGUAUUUACAUCAAGAUAAGUUUGAUUGAAUAAAGAAGAAGAUUGAAGCUUUCAAUGAUGCUAAUUAGGCCAUCUUAGUAGAAGAUAGGAGGAGGUCUACCUCAAGUUAUAGCACAUUUAUUUAGGAAAAUUUGUUGACGUGUGCAUGAAGUAAAAAAAAAAUAUAGUGUAGUUGUUACACUAAGGUUGAGUUUAGGUCUAUUGUUCAGGGGAUUUGUGUCAUGAUUUGGUUAGAGUUAUUGCUAUUGUGACAAAAAAAAAAAAAAAAAAACUACCAUAAGUAGAACUCACAACUUAGUUCAUCAUGACAUAACAAAGCACAUUGAAGUUGAUCAUCAUUUCACCAAAGAGAAGAUGGAAGAAGGGUUAAUAUGCAUUACCUACAUUCCUACAAAGAAACAAACUGUAGACAUCUUAACAAAAGGUUUGCCAAGACAAACUUUGAGGAUCUAACACACAAGCUAGGAUUACUGGACAUUUUUCCCCAAUUUGAAGGGGAGUGUAGAGAAUAUUAUUUAGGAUUAAGUGUUUUAUGUUUUAGUUUUAUUAAUAUUCUAUUUUUAAAAUUCAAAAUAGUAGGUGAUUAGGAAGCUUUAUCUCUUUGAAUUUUUGGUUUCUAUUUUCUAGAGAUUUAAUUUAGUCUAGAUUCUACCUAGUUAUUUCCUAUAUUCUAGGGAUUUAGUUUAGCCUAGAUUCUAUAUUGUUGUUAAUUUUUUCUCUAUAAAGAUACUAGUUGUUCAUUCCAAUAAAUCAAGAGAGAUAUUCCAUUUAUUUUCUAAACCUCUGUUUACAACUUCUAUUUUAGGUUAUAAAAUGCUUAAGAAGUCACCUAGAGAGAGAUUUUAAUGACUUGACUUGUAGCAAACAUCUCAUGAUUUUGCAAAGUUUGUCUUGGAGUUAGGGCUCAAGUGCAAUGUCCAUGACAUUCAAGACCACAUAUUUCCCUAGGUUACUCUCAUUUUAAAAAUUUAGUUGUAUAUGUUGAGUUGAUGCAAAGGUCUCUAGGAGGUAUCUCUUAUCCCUAGUGUUUUUCCAUAACCUUUUAUCUAAAUUUUUAACCAUUAAAAUUCUUCUCUAUUUUGAGAAAAAAUAUAUACCAUAAUUCCAAAAUUUCACUCAAAUCACUUGAAUUCACCUCUUAGCCUCCCAUAUGCAUCCUCGGGUCUUCCCUUUCCCUAUAGUUCAACCUUCAACACACUAAAAUUUUUAUUUCUUGUAAUUAACAACCCUAUCUUAGAGCAUGGUGAACACCCAUGAUAAAUGCAACAAUACACAGACGCAUAUAAGGUAGGAAUCAUGGUAAAAAUACUAGUUGUUUAAUAUUCACUUUCCAUAUUCUUAGAAAAUUUUGUAAAUAUCUCUUGUUAAUUAGUUUGUUGAUUUUAGGUGCUUGAUUUUAGGAAAAUUAUUCUUUUAUAAUUUGUACAUUGAAUAAAUAUGUGUAUAAGUUCAUCAAUGAGAAUUAAUUCAUUCAUUCUCCAAACCUUACAUGUUCAUUAUAUCACUCAAUAGUACUUUGGCUACAACCUUCAUAUGGUAUCAAAGCCCAAGGUGCUCCAAUGUCAAUCCUAACACUCCAAAAAAACCCCAAAUCUUUCGCCUCCUCAUUCUCUCAUCUUGCUAUCAUAAAUCCUUUUGAAAACAAUCAAACCAUAAUCUCCAUCAAUGUAGUCGCCUGAACCCCUCUCAAACUCGCCAUAAAUAAUUACACCUCUUGAAGAUUUCAAUUUCAUACAUUUCUUGUAGGUUACGAUUUCAUGAGAUUCUUAGACAAAUCUCAACCUUGCUCACCUCCAAUUUUGAAAGAAGAAAAUCAUGAAAUUGUGAACUUGGAAUACUUCUUAUGGGCAAAACCAAAAUUCCAUGAUUAGCAAAGACAAAAACAAUACCCACAAAACCAAACAUAAAUUUUCUUUUACCUCAUUUACCUUACAACCAAAACUACUAAACUAACCAUCAUUACCUAGGCCCCCUUAAGAUUCCUAUUUGGCAUCAAGCUAUGUCAAAUGAGUUCAAUGCUUUCAUGAACAAUGGUACAUGGGACUUGGUACCUUCUCAUCCUUCAUAAAAUUUGGUAAGUUGCAAGUAGGUGUUUCAUUAUUUCAUAUCAAAUGACUCUUGAUGUGGCCAUCAACUCGUAUAAAGUGAGGCUUGUGGCCAAAGGCUUUCACCAACAUCUUGGCAUUGAUUAUAAUAAUACUUUUAACCCUAUUAUAAAAUGAACCAUAAUCAUACUUACAUUGGUUAUAGCUCUAUCAUGUGGCUAGCCUCUUUGUCAACUUGAUGUCAAAUGCCUUCCUUCAUGGCCACUUGAAGGUGGAUAUGUUCAUGACCCAACCACGAGGCUUCAUUGAUCGCAAUUAUACCAAUCAUGUGUGUAAGUUGAAAAAGGCUCUUUAUGGACUUAAACAAACUCCAUGAGCCUAGUAUAAGGAGUUGAGGGAGUUUCUUCUUUCCAAAGGUAUUGUCAACUCUUGGUUCAAUAUAUUUCUUUUCAUCUACAAGAGUUAUGGUUUCACCAUUUACUUUCAUGUCUAUCUAAAUGAUUUUGUUUUGACAGGUAAUGAUUCUCAAGCUCUUAGCAAGUUAGCCCAACAACUUCCUAGUCAAUUUUCCAUCAUAGAUCUCAAGGCUAUUUCAUAUUUCCUUAGCAUUGAAGUUUUACCUCAUCAUCAUGGAUUACUUCUUUCCUAGAAAAAGUAUAUUCAUGAUCUUCUAGACAAGACAAAGUUGUUCAAGCCAAGGAAGUCCAUAGACCUCUCUUAAUGAAUCAAGUUCUCACUUAAUGAUGGCUCACUUUCAUGAAUGCUAUCAAGUAUAUGCAAGUUAGGGGCUUAGAAUAACUUUCUCACUUUGGUCUAGAUAUUGUCUUUUCUGUUAACAAGUUAUCCCAAUUUAUGCAUAAACUAACGAUGGGACAUUAGACUAUAGUCAAGCGACUACUUCAUUAUUUGCGUUGUAUCGUUGAUCAUGGGUUUCUACUCCAAUAAAGUUCCCCUUUGUCUUUUCAUACCUUCUUUAAUGCGGAUUGGGCAAGUAAUUCUAAGGAUUAUACUUUUAUAGUAUGCUUGUAGUAUUUCUUUUUCUCAAUCCCAUGUCAUGGAGUUUCAAGAAGCAGAGAUUUGUAACUCGGUCAUCCACAAUGAGUAUUGAUCCAUGGCUUCCACUGCUUCCAAGUUAUUGUGAAUCAAGUCUUUUCUUCAUGAACUUAGGGUUUCCUUACAAUCUCUAUCGAUCAUUUAUUGUGGUUACAUUUGAGCUACUUAUCAUUAUGUCAAUCUAGUAUUUCCCUCUUAUAUGAAGUACAUUUCCAUUGAUUUUCAUUUUUGUUCAUGACAAGGUUCAAAGUGAUAAACUUUGAGUCUCACAUGUCUAUUUUUUAUAUCAAUUUGUGGAUGCUCUCACCAAACCUCUAUCUCAUCAAUGUCUUUAACUUCUUCGAGUCGAGAUUGUUAUCUCCAAUGGAGCACCAUCUUGGGGAAGGGGGGCAUGAUAAGGAUAGAAGCAUGUAAUAUUCACUUUUCAUAUUCUUAAAAAAUCUUGUAAAUAUUUCUUGUUGAUUAGUUUUAUGAUUUUAGGUAAUUAAUUUCUUGAUUUUACCUCCUUAACUUUUGGAGAUUUAUUCUUUUAUAAUUUGUAGAUUGUAUAAAUAUGUGUAUAAAGUUAUCAAUGAGAAUUAAGUCAUUCAUUCUCUAAACUUUACGCAGCCAUUCUCUCCCUCAAUACUAAUUGGACUGCAACCUUCAUAAACAAACUAAUUUUGUUCCCAAAAAAAUGGUGAGGAAUUACUUUGACACUUAUCACUUACACACACGUUGUGAACCUUUUUAACCACUAUUAAAUUUCAAAUGCUCAACAAGUCCUAUAUAUGCAUAUCCAAGGUACAACCAUUUUGAGUAUGGUUAAUUUCAUUCACUCUCCUUGAUAUUUGGUGUAAAUAUACUAAAUUACCAUUAAUUUCAAAUUUUGUCAAUUAACACCCCUAUAACUAAGUGUAUUUCAUCUAUAAAAUUUAUUUUUAUAGAGAAUAAGGUUUCUUUUUUAAAGAAUUAUAUAAUACAUCUAUGUGAAUUUUCUACCUAAAACCUCUCUAAAAAAAUAAUUUUAUAAAUGGAAUAUAUUUAUAGAGGUGUUGUUUGAGGAAAUUUCACUAAACUUAUGGGAAUAUAAAUGAAAUUUAUUUUUUUAUUAUAAAAUCUUUUAGACUAAGUUAAAGGAAUUUAUUUUAAUAGAAAAAACAUAAAAAUUGGUACAUAACUAAUAUUUUUAUGCUAACAAGAAGGGAAGAGAGAAUAUAUAUAUAGAGGGACAAUUGUGUUUUGGACCUAAUUAGACCCAAAAAUUAAGAUUUGAUCCAUAUAAGUUCACUAUUUAAGCUCAAGACCUAGAAAAAGAGUGAAAAUUGAAAAGAAUGAUGUGAAUUUUUUAUCUUUUCAAAAAUGACCUUUAUUGACUAUGAAAAAAAAAGUAGAAAAACAUUAAUUUAAAUUUUAUUUUUUUGUAAACCUCAAUAAAUUUUAAUUUAAUUUAGUGAUUUGGAAAAAAAAAUACACCCUUUUCCAAAUAAAAAUAAAAAUAAAUUAUUAUUAUUAUUAAUUAAAAAUCAAAUAUCUUGGAAAAUAUAUAUAUUUUAAAUUAUGUAUGUAAAAAAUAACUAAAAAUAUGUCAAAAUUAUUUUUUUUAAAUGAUGUAUUUUUAAUGAUUUGGAAAAAAAAUACACCCUUUUCCAAAUAUAAAUAAAAAUAAAUUAUUAUUAUUAUUAAUUAAAAAUCAAAUAUCUUAGAAAAUAUAUAUUUUUUAAAUUAUGUAUGUAAAAAAUAACUAAAAAUAUGUCAAAAUUAUUUUUUUUAAAUGAUGUAUUUUUAAUGCUUUGGAAAAAAAAUACACCCUUUUCCAAAUAUAAAUAAAAAUAAAUUAUUAUUAUUAUUAAUUAAAAAUCAAAUAUCUUAGAAAAUAUAUAUUUUUUAAAUUAUGUGUGUAAAAAAUAACUAAAAAUAUGUCAAAAUUAUUUUUUUUAAAUGAUGUAUUUAAAAAAAAAUUAGUUUUUUAAAAAAUAAUAAAUUUUCAGAAUAAUUAUUAAAAAAAUAAAAUAAAAAAAUUUAUUAAAUAUUAUGAUAGAAAAUACUCAAAAUAAUUUUAAGGGUAUAUUAGUUUCUUUAUAUUUUAUAUCAUUCCCAUAACGGACAAAGCUUCCCGUAAGGCAGCCUUCCACCUCUUUAUCUUCGCCUUUUCCUUGUCUGCAUUUUCUUCGUACAAGGAAAAUGGCGUUCCGUAAUCCCCCUCCUGCUUACGCACAUGGGACGGGUCCACAUGGUAGAAAAUGGGAUAUACUAUUCUUCCUGUUAUCCUCCUACAUUCCAUGAUCUCAUCAAGUUCAUUCAAACACCACCCGAAAUCAGCGAAGUUCUUUGAGAAAAUGACAAUGAAAACUCUUGAUCCUUUAAUAGCUUUCGAGAUUGCUGGCGCUAAAGCUUCACCCAUUCUGAUUUCCUCCUCAUCUCUAAAGGUGUGAAUUCUCUUUCCAUUCAAAGCAGUGUAAAGAUGAUCAGCGAAACUCUUCCGGGUGUCUUCUCCUCUAAAACUUAAGAAGACAUCAUACAAGAUAUCAUAACUACCAUCAAGAACACAAGUCGCAGCAGAAGCAGUGGUAGAAGAAGAGGCUAUCCCGCUGCUGAUCAUUUUGUUAACUCCUUUAAUCGAAAGCCAAGGGCCGGAAUGCAAGAGGCAGUCUCACUCUUUCUUUCUUGAUUCCAAUUCCCCAGACAUGAUUGAGCUGUAACCCGAUAGUCCAUGCAAGGACGAGGUUUAAAUUAUCUAACCAUCUUUGGUUUUAACUUUCAUAGGUAUGUAAAUUUAUAAAUUUAUAAAUUAAAAAAAAUGAAUUUUUUAGAGAAAUUUUCCAUAAAAAUAAAAUAAAAAAAUUGGAUGGCUGUGUUCAAUAAUUCUCUAAUAAAUAAAGUUUUAUUUUCUAAAAAAUAAGUUUUAUGUAUGAAAUAUAAGGGUGUGAAAAUAUUUUUCUAAAUAUUUUAUGAAUUUUUCAAUCAUAUUUUAAAAAAAAAAUCCCAUGAUUUUUUUUUUAAUAAUAUACCAAUUCUUUCUUGGUUGCAGAAUUUAGAGUGCAUCAUGGCACUAAGAAAAUGACUAAGAAAAAAUACAAAACAAAUGAAUGAUAUUAAUAGUAAUAUAUAUAUAUAAAUAAUGUAAUAAUUAAUUUAAAAAUUAUUGUUUCAUGAAAACAUAAAAAAAUGAUAAGAAUAUUAAUAUUAAUAUCAAUAAUAUCAUAAAAUGAUAUUACAAAUUAUUUUUUUAUUCUCAUAAUUAAAAAAAAAACCAAAGUUAUUAUAUUUUUAUUAUAUAAACUUUAUCAUUUUUGAAUUAUCUUACUUUAAAAUAUAACUAUCAAGAAAAUAUUAUAAUAAUUAGAACUUACAAGCUUUAAGAAUUAUAUUUAUAUAUAAAAAUAUAAACAAUAAUGUUAAUGUAAUAUUAAUAAUAAGUAUAAUAUCAUGAAUAAUAUAAUAAUUGUAAUAUUUAUUAAUGAUGAUGAUGAUAAUAAUAAUAAUAUAAUUAUUCUAAUGUAUAUUAUAUAAAAUUUAAAAGAUUAAAAAAAAAUUAAAAAGGUAAUCAAAGUACAUCAUUAAAAUUAUGGAAUGACUAUAAAUUUGAUAACCCUCAUUUUCUUUUAAUAUUUCUUUUUUAAUUUUUUUGAAAACCAAACAAAAUCUUAAAAAGAAAUUAAUAAACUCUAAAAAAAAAAAAAGUUAGGCAUCAUCUUCAAGAAAAAAGUGUUGUGAAGGACAAACAUCUUGAUCAAACUUCAUAUUUGUCGUUUUCUUGCUGCAUGAUUCCAUCAAAAUAAUGCUACAACAAAGACAGAAUUGUACUGCCAAUGAUGUCAGAGAGGUGAUGCUGUGAUGUCCUCAGAUCAUACCAAGAUAAGCAUAGAAAGUUACAUCUCUCUUCUCUUCCGUUUCUUUUUAUUUAAAGCUAUGUUUUGGGAAGUAAAAUUGUUUUUUAAUUUGGUUUCAUCAUGAAAAAAAAAAAAAAAUAGAAUUAUAAUUAAUUAUAAAUUUAUAUAUUUUUUAAAAGAGUUAAAAUAAUUAAAAUAACAUAUAAAAAUAUUUUAAUUUUAAUUUUUUUAUUAUUUUUUUCCCUUCUCUAUUAUCUUUUCACUACUAGAAACUCCUAUUUUGCUACAAUAUUUUUUUACUUGAAUAAUCUUUUAUGACAAAAAAAAAAUUGUAAUGAUUUUCUUUUUAAUGGCAAAAAAGUUCUUUUAGAGAUGAAAUUUUUAUUUAAGAUAAAAAAAUCAUGUUUUCAUAAUAAAAAAAUAAAUUUUCAUAAUAUUUUAAUAUGAAUGAUGUAUUCAUGAUAAAAAUAAAUAAAUUUAAUCAUAAUAUCAAUUUAUGGUAAAUAACUUGUAAAAUCUUAUCACAAAUUUUUAUUCAUAACAAAUAAUUUUUACUAGAUUAUAAAUCAUUUACGGCAUACUUCUUUUAAUAAACUUAUAUCUCAUACUUUUAAAUUCAAUAUUAUAUAUAUAUAUAUAUAUAUAUAUAUAUAUAUAUAUAUAUAUAUAUAUAUAUAUAUAUAUUUAAAUUUAAUAUUAUAAAAAAUAAACAAUUUUAUUGUCACCGAACAAAUUUUCACUCACCUCUAUUUAAUCUAAACCCUAAGCUUAAUGAUAAAAAGCCAAGGGCCUUUGAAAAGAAAGGAAAGAAAAAGGAAUGCAAAAAUUUGAUUUAACCCGAUAGUCCAUGCAAGAACGAGGUUUAAAUUAUCGAACCAUCUUUGGUUUUAACUUUCAUAGGUAUGCAAAUUUAUAAAUUUAUAAAUUUUAAAAAAUAUAUAUAUUUUUUAAAGAAAUUUUCCAUAAAAAAAAAAUUAGAUAGUUGUGAUCAAUAAUUCUCUAAUAAAUAAAGUUUUAUUCUCUAAAUUAUAAAUUUUAUGUAUAAAAUAUAAGGGUGUGAAAAUAUUUUUCUAAAUAUUUUAUGAAUUUUUCAAUCAUAUUUUAAAAAAAAAAUCCCAUGAUUUUUUUUUUAAUAAUAUACCAAUUCUUUCUUGGUUGCAGAAUUUAGAGUGCAUCAUGGCACUAAGAAAAUGACUAACAAAAAAAUACAAAACAAAUGAAUGAUAUUAAUAGUAAUAUAUAUAUAAAUAAUAUAAUAAUUAAUUUAAAAAUUAUUGUUUCAUUAAAACAUAAAAAAAAAUUAGUAUUUCUUUUAAUUAAUUUUCUAAAAUAAUUUUUGGUUUGUAUAUAAAAGAACUUAGUUUCCCAAAUUCUUUUAUUACCAUGAUAUUAUUGUGGCUGUGGUCUAUUGAGGUUUGUUUGCCUAUGCUAGAUAUUGCUUUUUAUUGCAUCUCUAGUGUUUUCUUUUAUCUUAACAUGAUAAAUGCAUAAAGUGUCCCAUAUUUAAAUAUUAUGAUGACAAUAUUAUAAACCAAUGGUGGGGUUUGGGUAUACAUGCAUCAGUUAGGUUCACAGUUCACCUUCAUGACCUCCUAUAUAAAUCAAGGCUUUGCCGUUAUAUCUAGCACCUAUUAUACCAAAAGUUUAAGUUCAUAUAAAUCAAGUCAAUUGGACUAUACCUUAACAUUAAAAUUAAUGUGAGAGUGACCAAAAGUUUAAGUUAAUAUAGAAAUCAAGUCAAUUGGAGAGAGACCAAAGUUUGAGUUAAUAUAAAUCAAGUCCAAUAUAUAUAUAGAGAGAGAGAGAGAGAGAGAGAGAGAGAGAGAGAGUCGUUAUAUCUAGGUACCUAUUAGACCAAAAGUUUAAGUUAAUAUAAUUCAAGUCAAUUGGAUUGAUACCUUAACAUUAAAAUUAAUGCAAGAGUGACCAAAAAUUUAAGUUAAUAUAGAAAUCAAGUCAAUUGGAUAGGGACCAAAAGUUUGAGGUCACUUCACCGUACGAAAACCAUUGAAUGCAUGUAAGAUUGUGAAAAUAUAUAUAUAUAUAUAUAUAUAUAUAUAAAGAUAAUUAAUUUUUACUCAAACAAUCGUGAAAUAGGAUUAUCAGAAUGAAUAAUCUCUUUAAGGGAAAUAUUUUGGUAUUAUUAAUUUUAAAAUAUGUUCUUUUAAAAUUUAAUAUACAUUUCUCAUAAUAAGGUUGUUCUAUAAUUCUUAUGAUUUUAUUAUAUCAAAGUUUGAAUGAGUUAAAAUUCGACUUGUAUUAGAAAAUACCAAUCGAAAACUUUAGAGUUUGUGAGUUUAAUUUAACCUAAGUCCAAUUUCUCAUGUCAAAUCAAAUUAGACAUGCUAUUCGAGAACUAAUUCUACCCUAUUCAUAGCAUCCUCCCAUUUUUUUAAAUAUUAAAAUAGUUAAAUUAUAAAAUAAGUGGACCUCAUUAUAUAAUAAGUUUGACUGAAUAGAUGUUUACUAAAUGAAAAUAAUGAUUUAAUAUAACUUAAUUAUUGAUUUUAAAUAAUACAAUUAAUUUAAAGUAAAAAAUCAAAAUAAAUAAUUUUUCUAAUUUUGAAAUAUCAUUUGGUUUAGUACUUAUAGGAUUUUAGUUUUUUAAUAUUAAUUAAAGUAAAACAACACUAUAACUUAGAGUAAAUUUAAAUAAUAAAUUUUAAGUUAAUGAUUUACAUAUAAUUUAAUUUAGUUUAAAAUAAUAAUUAUGUAUAAAAAUAUUUUAUUUGAUUUAUAUUACAUUCAUUAGAGUGAUGGGAAGACUAAUUAUAAUGUGUAGGAACUAGUUGAAAAUAUUUUGGAUUCAUUGAUUAUUUAAAACUCUUAUAGUUUUAUUGGAAUUUAUUAAAUAAUGUCACAUGACUACGUUAAAAUUUCAUACAGAAAUUAAUAGAAAAAGGAGAUGUAAACUGCAAUAUUAAGGGAGUUCAAUUAUUGAUGGGUGAAGAAUCAAUUAUUAUGAUAAGGUGGAGGAAUGAUUUUCAUGUGAUGAAUUGCUUAGCUGGUUACAUACGUCUCCUCUAGGGUCUGGAUAGUUUAAUUUGACUCACAUAAAGUAACUUUUUAUUUUUUUAUUAUUGUCAUUAUAAAUAUUCAAAAUGAAGAACAUGUUUGUAAGGACAUUUGUCAAAUCAAGUAUCAUUUCAUUGAUGUAGGACUUACACAUCAGAAUUAUUUAUUAAAUAUUAUGUGAUUUAUGUAAAUGAAAUAUUGGGAUUGAAAAUUUGUCAAAAAUUUAAGAAUUAUCCUAACUCAAAUCAGAUUUUAAUUGAAAAUAAUUAUAUAUUUUUUAUUUUGAUUAAUUAUUUUUAAUUAAGAAUCAAAAUAAUUAAUAAUAUGAUUCUUACUAUAGAUAUAAUUGAAAAACAAAUUAUUUGUAAUUUUCUUUUCAUCUAGACACUAAUUUGUUUCCCUUAAUAUUAGUAUUUCUUUUAAUUAAUUUUCUAAAAUAAUUUUUGGUUUGUAUAUAAAAGAACUUUUAGUUUCCCAAAUCUUUUAUUACGUGCCAUGAUAUUAUUGUGGCUUGGGUCUUUUGAGGUUUGUUUGCCUCUGCUAGCUAUUGCUUUUUAUUGCAUCUCUAGUGUUUUCUUUGAUCUUAACAUGACAAAAUGCAUAGUGUCUCAUAUUUAAAUCAAUAGUGGGGUUUGGGUAUACAUGCAUCAGUUAGGUUCACAGUUCACCUUCAUGACCUCCUAUAUAAAUCAAAGCUUUGUCGUUAGACCAAAAGUUUUUUAAGUUCAAGUCAAUUGGAUUGAUACCUUAACAUUAAAAUUAAUGUGAGAGUUACCAAAAGUUUAAGUUAAUAUAGAAAUCAAGUCAAUUGGAGAGAGACCAAAAGUUUGGGUUAAUAUCAAUCAAGUCAAGAUUUGAACUUCUUUUUUUAUUUAAAAAAAAAGAGAGAGAUAAAUUGGAACUUCUUUUUUUUUUUUUUUUUUUUGAGAGAGAGAGACAAGGUUUUUUUAAAAAAAUAAAACUGGACAAUUGGAAAUAAAACAAUAAAAUUGAAAUAAAAACUGGACAAUCCUUUUUUAAGUAAGUUGUAAAUACAAUUGGAAAAUCAUUUAAAAAAAACUGUAAAGUUUUCUUCUUCUUUUUUAACUUGUGAAAAUCAUGUUUUGAGAGAUAGGGAGAGAGAUAUUUGAAUUUUUUUUUAAGAGAGAGAGAAAUUCGAACUUUUUUAAAAAAAAACACAAUAAAAUUGAAAUAAAACAAUGAAAUGUUUUUUUAAAAUAAAACUGGAAAAUCUUUUUUUAAAUAAAUUGUAAAUACAAUUGGAAAAUCAUUUUUUUAAAAAAAUAAAACUGUAAAGUUUUCUUGUUCUUUUUUAACUUGUGAAAAUCAUUUUUUAAAAUAAAAUCUAAAAAGCAUUUUGUUUUAAUAAAACAGUAAAACCUUUAAAAAAAUUGCAAAACUCUUUUUAAAAAUAAAAUUGUAAACUUUUUUUUAUAUAAAUAAAAUUAUAAAAAUCAUGUCUUAAUAAAAAUGGUAAAAAAAAAAAGAAAAAAAAAAGAAGCUUUCUAGUAAAUAAAACCAAAUUUAAUUUUUAUACUCGUGUAAAUAAAAUUGUAAAAAUCUUAUUUUGAAUCAAAACUAAAGAAAUCGUUUCUUCUGUAAAUAAAGUUGGAUCCGAAUAUUUAUUCUUUUCAAAAUAAAUUUUUAAAAGUCUAUUUUAAAGUAAUUUGUAAAUAUCAUUUUUUUAAACAAAAUUGUAAAUUAAAUACAUUUUUUAAAAUCCUUUUCCUAAAUAAGUUAUAAAAAAUAUUCUUUUAGAGAUAAGAUUAGAUUUGGAUACUUUUUUGUAAAUAAAAUUCAUAUUGUAAUAAAAAUAUCAUAAAAAUAUUCUCUUCUCCAUGAAAAUCAAAGUGGAAUGUUGGUAAAUAGAAUUUGUGAAAAUUAUUCUUUUUUUUUAAGAUAAGUAAAUAAAAAUCAUUUCCUUAUAAAUAAUAGAAUACUUUGAAGCAUUUUUUGUAAAUAAAAAAAUAAACUAAAACUUUCUUUUAUACUUAAAAUAGAUUGAAAUCAUCAAAUUGGAAUAACUUUUUUUUUUUAUGUAAGUAAACUUUUUUAAUCCUUUGAAUUAGAAAUAAUAAAACCAAUGUUUUUAAUUAGUUUCAUAAAUCAACUUAUGCAAAUUCUCUUAUCAUUUAUUUUGUAUAUUUUUGUAACAUGAAAAACACCAUGACUUGUUUUAUAUUUGUGUUCUUUUUUUCUCGGUAUCCAUGAUUAAUUAUUUAAUUAUCAUAACAUUUGCUUACUAGAGACAAUAGGUAUAAAAGCUUAAAGAGGUAGUACAUACAAUUUAUUCUUGUACCUUUUUUAUAAGUAAUCCGACUCCCAAACUCAUUCUUGGUAAGCAGACAACAUAUGUAGAUUUUAUAGUCACUUGGGUACUUUUCUUUAAAGGAAAUCAUUACCUAUAAACAUUAUGUAUAUUUUUUAUAAUGAUAACUCUUAUUUCUCAAAUGAAUUAAAUCUUUGUUCUAAAUUUGUAAAUAUAUAUAGUGGUUAAACAUUCAAAUAGAAGUUGGUGAGCUAGUGCAUUCAGUUAGACUUGUAAGCUUCUUGCUGUAGUUAGUUUGUUAGUUGCUUAAGUGUACUAAUAAGUAGGUAUUAAGUUAGAUUUAAAAAAAAAAAAAGUUUUGGAUAAUUCUUGAUAAUAUAUAUAUAUAUAUAUAUAUAUAUAUAUAUAUGUAUUUAAUUUUCUUCUUAGCAUAAUUGAUCUCAAGUGAAAAUUUUUAAAUGUUAGUUUUGGAUAAUUCUUGAUGAUAGUUUAAUAGUUAAAAUUUUUAAAUAUUAGUUUUGGAUAAUUCUUUAUGAUAGUCUUUAAAAUUUUUAAACUAGAGCAUAAUUUUUUUUAAAAAAAUAAUAAUAAUAAUAAAAAGGCAAAGAUUGAUGUGGCUUGUUUGGUGAUCAAAGUAGAGGUUUCUCCCAUAGUAAGGGAGGGAGAGGUGUUCAACAAAAUAAUUCUCUAAGAUUCAACAAUCAAGAUGAUCAUUAUCAAUCAAGGCACUCUAUCUUGUAGAGCAACUCAGAACAAGAAAGAAAUAAAUUUAAUUACAAACAACUAUAAAUCAGGAAGUUAUUAUGAUAUGCCAAAUUUGUGGCAAACCAAAUCAGACGACUAAAAUUUGCUGGGACAACUUACCUCUAAUAAUCAAUGUUCUUUUUAAUUUACCCGUUAAGGACAAGGACAACAAGAUUUUGGUAAGAGGGCCUAGGUAAGGAAAUCUUUAUAACUUGAAAGAAAAAAAAAUGGAGUUUGAGUGUUAUCCAGGGUACUACAACAGAUUCUAGUAUCCGACAUCGAAGGCUCAGAAAUCCAAGUUUCCGAGUUUUACAUAUUUUAAGGUUUAAAAACAAAAUAAAUAUAUUCAAUUGGAUUCAAAGGCCUGUCGUUUGUGUUUCGUGUCAGCAAGGCAAAAGUUGUAAAUUAUCUUUUUGACAAUCAAAUACUAUUUAACAAUUUCCUUUGCAUAAAGUCCAUUGUGAUUUAUGGGGUCCUGUGGUUAUUAGUUCUCAAAAUUUUCGGUAUUAUGCUCUUUUUGUUGAUGAUCAUACUCGUUUUUCAUGGUUGUUUCCCUUGAAAAGGAAAUUUAAUUUUUUUUUCUUCACUUGUUUUCUUAUAUUCCAAAGACAAGUUGAAAAUCAAUUUGGUAAGAGGAUCAAAAUCCUCCAAUCUAAUGGAGGUGGUGAGGUUACAAUAGCAUCAUUUAUUAAUCAUCUUGGACAAUGUGGCAUUGUUAAACAAAUUCCAUGCCCCGCUACAGCUAAAUUUAAGAGAAAAACGUAUCCUUGUGUAUUUAUUGACUAUAGCCCUUUACAUAAGGGCUAUAGAUGCCUUGAACCUCAAACAAAUUGUGUCUAUACCUUUAAACAUGUUAUCUUUGAUGAGCAUGAAUUUCUUUUUGCUACUCAUACUAUUUCUUCUGUGCAAGAAUUUAUGAAUGGCUAAAUUCAAGUAACACAUCCUUCGCUCAAGCCACAUCAAACACCUCAACACCCGUUCCUCCUACUGUCCUUCCUAUCACAGAACCUACUAUCAUUGUACCUCUUAUCACAAACACAUCUUCUCCUUCUCUAACGAAGUCCACUCUAGGCACCCUUUACACCUGAUCCUUCUUCUCCACCAUCUCUACACUCCACCCCAGAUUUAAUGAAACAACUAUUUGUUGAUCUUCCAAUUCCACCCCCUUCUCUAUUACCACAAUGUACGCAUCCUAAUUUUACACCAGUGGUUGAUCUUAUUGAUCCUUCUUAUCUACCAAAACACCAUACACCACUUCUCCCGAGCAACAACACUCAUGGCAUGGUCACUCAUGCAAAAUUGAGACAAGAUCCUUCUUUGGCUCUACAUGUUAGUAACCUACUCCUAUUGAACCUAAAAAUCUUAAAUUAGCACUUAAACAAUCUCAAUGGACAACUAUUAUGCAAGAAGAAAAAUAGGCUCUCCAACAAAAUAACACAUGGAAUUUGGUUCCUAGACCAACUAAUGCCAUCAUCAUUAAUGGCUCUUUAUGGGUUUAUAAGAUCUAAAGUUUCGUUUGUUGUCAAACCUACAACCAUUCACCUUACCCCAUCUCUUGUUGUCACCUUUAACUAGAUUAUGAAGUAAUUAGAUGUGAAAAACAUCUUGUUAGAUGGUCAUCUCAAGGAAACAAUUUAUAUAGAGCAACCUCCAAGGUUUGUUGAGCCCCAUUUUGUUAGGAUAGAUACCUUAAAAACAUGAUAUGAUACAACAAAUUUGGAAUUCAUUAUUCAUUUAAUGAUAUUCUAGUUUUACUUUUAUCUAUUCUUAUUUCAUGCAUUACAUUUUAUGAGCAUUCUCAUCUAACAUCUUUUGUAUUGUAUAUGACUUGUGUACAUUAGCAGUUGCACGAAAGAAUCAAGUCAUGGGUUCAUUGUAAGUAAAUGAUUUGUUCACAAUUGGUUCAUGGACUUAAACAAUCCAUUUGAGGUUGUAAUUAAAGGGGUGGUUGGUUUUGGCUAUCGAGAUAGGUUUUCCACUCUAAGUGUACUAGUGUGUAUGGUUACACAUUAGACGGAACUUGCAGUGAGUCAUGGCUUAAGGCUAUCAAGUAAUCAUGACUUCAACAAAUUGUUUUAUUGUAUUGUCUCUCAACCUUAAGAGAAUAUUAAGUUUGUACUAAAGUUAGUAGUAACUUUGACCUAUGAGUGAGAUCGUAAGUUAAUCAUAUAUUCCCUAUGAAUUAGGUUAUUGUUGAUGGAAGCUUGUAGUAAUAGGUAUUUUCAAUAAAGGCAUUAUGAUAUCUCAUAAGAUUAAAACAAAGUAUCCUCUUAGCAUUAAAAUUUGCUCUUAAAGAUUUCAGUUAGCUAAAAUGUUUCCUCAACAUUAAAGUUAAAUGUUUUCAUGGUUGUUUGUACCUUUCCUAAGCAAACUAUACCAGAGACCUCCUUUAGAAAGCACACAAGCUAGAUUGUUCUACCAUGGCCACCGCCAUAUUUGCUAAAGAUUCACCAAGUACAAAUGAUUUAUAACAUGUAGACCCAACCAAGUAUCCCACCUUGUUAGUAGCCUCCAACAUCUGGCAUUCAUUAGACCAGAUAUUACUCAUGUAGUCAACAAAGUAUGCCAACACCUCGAACAACAAACUAAAGCAAAUUUCAAGGUUGUGAAAUAAAUCCUAUGUUAUUUAAAAUACAACCUCAAUUAUGGAAUUCGCUUUUUGGCUUAAAGUUCCAUAUCAUUAUAUGUUUUGUUGAUUCUGAUUAGGCAAGGUAUCUAAUAAUAAGGAGAACUACUAGUAGUUUUUGUAUUUAUCUUGAUGACAAUUGUAUUUCCUGGGCUUUCAAGAAACAAGGGACAAUAGCACACACUCUUCAACGAACCGUUGUCAAAUUGGCCAAUUGGCUCACCUUUCUCUUCCUACCACUUCCUCAACCUCCACUGCUCCUUUGUGAUAACAUGAGUGCAAUACAUAUGGCCAAAAUCUAGUGUUUCAUGCUCUAACAAAGCACAUAGAAUUAGAUUACCAUCUUGUUCGUGAAACAAUUGUUAUGGGACACCUUUGUGUUUAGUACGUUCCUAGUCAUCUCUAAAUAGCAAAUAUUUUUACCAAACCUCUAUCAAGAAGGGCUUUCUCUAUUUUCUGCUACAAGUUGGUAGUUCAAUGCAUGAUCCUCACUAACUUGAGGGGGGUUUAUAGAAGUCGAAUGCCUCUAGAUUCAGAGCCACAAUCAGCUCCAUAGCCAACCAAAUUAACAACUCACCAUUAGAGACAAAUAUUGCAAUGUGCAAGGCCAUUCUAAUGGGUCUUCCCUCUACCUUAUUAUGCAUGCAAGGAGCCAAUGGCUAGUGCAUCUUCACAGAACCAUCUAGAUGUUGAUUUGGUUUAUAAAAUAGGAAACAAAUCCUUUUUUUUUUCUAUCUAUAAUAGCACAACUUAAUUGAUUAACUAAACUCAAGCUAAAUCAAUUGACUUGCCUUUCAUUCUCCAUUCAUCUUUGUCUAUAUAUUUUUUGCAUAGCAAGUCAGCUAUCAUCUUAUUCUCGUGUAAAAACUAUUUUUCAAACUUCUUUACUUUGGUACCUAGGAAAUCACAUGCAUGUGUUUGAUGUUUUGUUAGAAGACUGUUAAAAGAAUGGUAGAAAUUUUUCUCAAGGCUGGAAGAAGCUUGAAAACAUGGAUAAAAGCUCAUGUUUGAUAUGUUUUUUUAUCAUUAAAAAAGGGUUUUUGAUGUUAAGUUUUCAAUUUGAAUCAACCCAAUUUCUUAAAUGUCACUUGUGCAACAUUUUCUAUGUUUCUUUUAUAGUUGAUUAGUGGUUGAUCAGAGCGACCGACCAAUUGACCAAUGUAAUCAAUCUAUUUAUUUUGGUAAUCUAUACAAGCUAAGCAACUGGCUCUAUUAGCAUCACCAAUCCCCAGGCUCAUUUUUCCACAGGUUAAUGAACAGUGAUUCACUCUUAACCUUCAUCACUUCUCCAACAUUCGUGAAUAUAUCCUUGCGACCUUUGUACAUGAAAUCUCCCGUUCAUGCAAAAUUGGCAACCUGUGUAAGAAGCAUUGGAAUAGCACUAGGUCUUGGUUUAUAUCUUUCCAUGCUUUCUCGACAUGCUUGCUCAGCUCAAGGUAUGCAGGCUGCUCUAAGACACCAUGUUGCUUCAUGUAACAUUCAACACUAGAUGCACUAUGUCCUCUCUCUAGCUCAAACUACACAAAAACUAAUAAGAGAUAUUUACAAAAAUGGUAAGUAAAUUCUCAUGAAGACCCCCUUUGUCUUUGAGAUAUGAAUGGGCAGUGUUAUGGAGUACUAUAUCUGAGUACCUUGUGUGACGCCAUAUCAUCAUUGAUCCUAAUAACUGUGGAGGAAGCUCUGACACUCUUUGGGUCCUUUAUUACCCAAUCAAAGGCCUCCUUUAUUGCCAUUGUUCCCAUGCCAAAAGAGAGAGAGAGAGAGAGAGAGAGAAUUGUGAACAUGGGGACAUCUAAGCUUACUGGUGCAACACCCGUGUACUCUUUGGUUGUUGGUAGUUGGUACUAAACAACAAAAUGAUAUCAUGUUGGAGAACUAAGUUUCCCAAAAGUUUAAGCUAUUAGAAUUUGGACUCAUAACCUAUAUCAUGCUCUCCAAAACAAACCAAGACAAAAAGGAGCCCGAAACCAUAAAGGCAAAUAAAGUAGAAGCUAUAAGGUCUAUUUGCAUCACAAAUCUUCGGGCUAGCCUUAGAUUGGCACAAGGUCAAUGAACAAUGAAGCAACAUUAUCUUUUAUCACUUCUCCAACAUUCGUGAAUAUAUCCUCACGACCUUUGUACAUGAAAUCUCCAGUGUUGGGGAUAAAUGUAUGCCCAAGAUCCAAUCUAUCAUGUAAUCAACUUUAGUUUUAAUAAGGUAUUAAUUCUUUAUUUCAUUAUCAUAUCUGUUUAAAAUAGUUUAUAUGAUAAGGUCCUUGAUUAAAAUUUGAAAAUUGUUAUCAUGAUAGAGAUUAUGAUAAUGAGAAGCAAUUCUUUUAAUAAUUUUAAUCUAAACUGUUCUUGAUCAUAGGAUUAUUGUCAACAGGACAUCAAUAAUCCAGAUAGAUCAAUAUAUAUGUGAUGGUCUUUAUUGGAUAAAGAUUGAUAUAUCUCAUUUGUUAAAUUACAUAUAUAGAUGAUGCACAUGUAGAUGUGAUCAUUGAACUGACUCAACUGAGAAUUUCUAAUGGUUAUCUUUACCUUAAAUUGUCAAUAGGAAUUUCUUAAGAAGAAAUAUAAUAGUUUUCUUUGACCUGAGAUUAUCAAAGUAAUUAACAAGUUAUUUAUUAUAUUUUAAUCCCGGACACCUAAUGCCUUAGGGCACUAGUUGAAUGGAUAUUGGAUAUAAUUAAAUACUUGUAGAAUUAAUGAUUAAUCAAGAAGGAAUCCAUCAACUCGUGGUAAUGAGUUUGAGCUCUAUGAUAAAAAUAAGACCUUGGCCAAGGGCAAUUGAAUGAAUGAAGAAAUGAGUUUCUUAAGUCAUUCACUAAAUAAAUAAUGUGUUGACUUAUUAGAGUUUGAUAGUAAUACCAUACUCUAGAGUUAGCCUAGAGCUGUAAAUGAUGGAAGGAAAUAUUACAUUAUUCUUCUACCGGUUCUUGAAAGUAAAAGAUAUUACUUCAUACUAUCUGGACGUUAAGGAGUGUUGCUAGACGCCUACCUUAAUUAGUAAAUUGAUUUGAUUAAUUUACUACCAGCUUAGUAAUGAACCUACGGGGUCACACACAAACCAGUGUUUUAAUCUUUGCAAAGAGCUAUUUAUUAUUAUUUGAUAAUUAAAUUAGAGAAUUUAAUUUUAAUCAAAUAAAUAAAUAUGUUCUAUGUGGAAUAUUAUUAUAUUCUUUGCUAGCACCAAGAAUAUAAUUAAUAUAUAGAUAAAAAAAUAAAAUAUUUUUCUUUGGACGUGGAAGUUAGUCCACGAGAAUGUUUGCUAAACAUUUGCAAACAUAUGGGUACAUGCAGCAACUUACAGGAGGGAUGUGGGUUUUGUUUUAACUUACAAGACUUGGUCAAAGUGUUUUUCAAAUGCUAUUGAAAAUAGCAAAAGAAAAACAAAUGGACCUAUAGAAUCUCUUAGUAGCCCAAAAAAGGAGGACACGAUAGAGAUAGAUUAAGUGAUAAAAUCAAAAAUCAAAUUAGUUGAGUUAUCUUAUCACUUAAAACAGAAGUUGUAUCGGAUAUGCUAUAUAGCAUAUAUACACAAUCUGAAUAAGGAUCGAUCUAUCUUUAUCCUCCUUGUUUUUACGCCAAAGAAAUACAAAGUGUUGUUCUAUUUUUUUUUUUAAAGUUCCGCGUAUCAAAGGGUUGAUAGCAAAGAUUAAUUUCGGUGUGGAUACACGUAGAGUCUUCAUACAAUUGGAGAAAAUUUUAUGCUUGAAGAACUGAUAUCCAGGUUAUUAUUUUAAAUUUUUUGAUAGCUGCAGUAUAUAUUUUGAAUGCAAAAUAGAUCAAUUUUCCGCUGUAUGUGUUAUAAAUUUAUUUUAUAACCUUUCAUCCAGUGCGUGCAAAAUUGAGAACACGUGUAAGGAGAGGCAUUGGAAUAGCAGUAGGUCUGAGGAACUCCUGGUUUAUAUCUUUCCAUGCUUUCUCAACCUGCUUGUUAAGCUCGUGGUAUGCAUGUUGGUUUGAGACACUAUAUUGCUUCAUGUAACAUUCAACACUAGAGGCAAUAUGCCCUCUCUCUUGCUCAAACUACAUAAAAAACAGCAAAACAUCAUGUUUAAACCUCAUGGUCUUCGAUUUAUGAAUGAGAAGCUUUUUGGAAGUAAUAUUUCAGGGUACCUUGUGUGAAGCCAUGUCAUCCAUGAGCCUAAUAAUUGUGGAGCAAGCUCUGACGAUCUUUGGGCCGUUUAACACCCAAUCAAAGGCCUCCUUUGUUGCUAUGAAUCCCAUGCCAACAAAAGAGAUGAUUGUGAACAUGGGGACAUCACAGCUUACUAGUGCAACGCCCAUGUAUUCUUCUACCGUUGGUACAUAUUCUCCAUGGAGCCAUUUGGCUUCAUUGAAGUAAGCUCGAACAGAGUUUUUCAUCUGGAAUAUGUUCAACAAAGCAAAUAUAUAUUAAAACUACUAUAUAUUACAUGUAAUGGGGAGACAAAGAUAGAACUCAAGGACUCUUACUGCCUCUUUUGCAUAGUGAACACAAUAUGAUCUUUCUUCAUUCUCCUUCUCCUCAAUUUCUUUGUAGGCAUCUAAGACAGCCCGGUAACACGGCUUCAUGUAUUCUGGAAGCUUAUCUAUACCAGUAUUGUCCCACCUGAAAAUUAGGUAACCAGUUCCCCUUCUAAGUUUACAAUAUGAAAUAAAUUUAUCUGAGUGAAAUUUGUACCUCAUUCCUCUCAAUUGCCUCUGUGAAGAGCUCAAGUUCUUCAAGAGUCCCAUACGCAUCAUAGAUAUCAUCUAUCACUGUUAUUAGGACAAGCAAUUUGGUCUGUAUUCUUCUAGCAUACGAGUAUUGGGACUCAAAACAUGCCACGACAAUCCAAAGGUAGGUUUCCACCACUCUAUCCCGGACAAAAGGUAACCUCGAAGAGAAAUCUAAAUCUUUCCACCACCUGAGAAAUACAUUAAUUCACACAAAUUAUCCUCCAAGUCAAAGUUGGAAUUUAAGUGAAUGUAAUAUUUGAGAACUAACCUGGUGAUGUGGCUUAACUCUUUCUUAUACAAUGACUGCAGUAGGUUGAAAUCUAACUUGGCAAGUUUCAAUAAAGCUUUACUAUGUGAAGCUUCAUCUUGGUAGAUGGAUAUGUAAGGCCUUGCCUCCAGCCUCUCCAAACCUUUCCUAAUGGGCCGGUGUAGGGCUUGGGUUACUUGUACUGCAAGAGGAUGGUCUAAAUGUUUUACCAAAGACUUGAGGUGAGUGGUGGUGAAAGCAAGUGCUUCAUCUAGU